CGGCGAGCGCCGCGACGACGGCGACGUCGCGGGCGACGUAGGAGAGGGAGCGCAGGGGGCUCUUGCGCCAGCAGUGGGGCGGCACGGCGGCGCGGACGUCGCCGAUGCGGAAGGGCGGCGGCUUGGCGGCGUCGAACUCGGAGCGGCGGUGGUCCUCGGUGGCCUUGCAGCUCGCCUCCUGCUCCGGCCUCAUUGCGGGGGCCAUGGCCGCGUACGGACGGACGGAUCUGUGCCGCGCGCGUCCUGGGGGAGGGGGGGGGGGGGGGGGGGAGGAGGCAAUGAGAGGGGAGGAGAGAGAGAUUCGGGAGAGGAUGCUUUGGCUUGGGUGGCCGGGCGGGGAUACACCUCUCCUCCUCUCGUCCCUUCUCAAUGGAGGAGGGGCGCGGGUGGGGACGCUAUUUAUAAACCGGGAUUGUAUUUCUAUUGUCAUUACUGUUUUGCGACUACGAGCAAGCUCCUGCUAGUACUUUUUCUUUUUCUUUUGCUAUAUGCCCUAUGUAGCACCGUAGUAUGCAAACCAAUUGAGUUGGCCGGUGCACGUGCGUCGCGCAAGUCUCCCGUCCAUCCCACGCCCCUGGUGGGCCCUCUUCUUUCUCUUUUUCUCCGGAGAGAAUAAUAAAGGAUUCAUUACAAGUGAAUUCAAGUUUCUCUCAGCUUAUAGACAUCUGAAGUUACAACAUGCAAAUCCAGUCUUUUAAACGCCUACGACGUGACAAAGCCAUGGUGGUGUGGCAUAGCUCGGACAGGGUGGCUGCCCUUGCAGCGGCCGAGCAUCAUACCUGGCCAAACGGACCGGCCCGCCACGGCAUGCCGCGUUUAGUAAUUCGGCCAUGCCGUGCCAGCCCGUGGGCUGCAUCUUCAGGCCCAGACAUGGCCCGGUUACUAAACGGACCAACCUGUUGACCCGAUUAGCACGUUGGGCUGUACAAUUUCAGCCUCAUGGGUUUGUUUUUAGGCCUAUUGGAUCAUAUGUUAUGUAUAUAUAUUAAAAAUAUUUAUAAAUAUGUAAAAAAAAUAAACGGAUCGUGUCGUGCCGGCCCGCAUGCCCAGCCUUCAGGCCCAGGCACGACCCGAGGCAUGCCACGUGCCUGACACGGUCUGUUUAAAUCAUGUCGGGCCGGGCCCGUGUCGUGCCAUCUUGGCGGGCUGGCGGGCCGGCCUGUUUAGCCCAGCCCAUUUGGCCAGGUAUGCCGAGCAUGCUAUAAAUCUUGACGCCUCCGACAUUGUGUCUAUUCCAGGUGCCUCGGUCGUGGGUGAUGGAGGCGGCGAUGCAAGUCGGAUGGGCCCGAUCUCGGCCUCUGGGCUACAGGGCCGCGACAUGAAAGUCAGUCGGAGUUGCCUUAAAGGUUGUCGUGUGUGGUUUCGGCGAUCCUUGGUUGAGCUGGGAGGGAGAUCUCCGAGUUCUCUAUCGUGGGGUUGCUCGUAGUUGGUCUAUGUGCUCCUGCCUGCCUGUGCAUGUCUUCGGUGGUCCACGACAUCGCAGCUACUCUUGUGAAGUGUUGCCGCGGCGGCAGAGUGGUCAACUUGGACGGUAUGGCCCCAAUCCAAAGGGCAGGGAUGAAGAUGUGUGGCGAUUUGGAAGAAAUUCUACCCCGUAUUCGGUCGGCGCUGACGGUGACGACGCCCGUGGGUGUCGUUCCCUUCCUUGGAGGCAUCGCUAAGAGGUGGCGGCAUCUCCUUAGCUUGCUCUUGGGAUUGGUAGAUGUCUACGGGUGAAAGCCUAGGUUUGGAGUUGAACCGGCAUGAUGGUGGCGUCCUUAACGUUGCUACUUUGUUGGGAGCAUCGUGCUCGAAGACAUGGACUUGAGGUUCCAUGAUGUGCUACUUUCGGGGCUUGCUACCGUCCAAGGUGAUCUUCAUAGGCGCAAUGUACGACAUCGUCGGCUAGUCCAAUACUGUGGCUAUAGUGGAUCGAUCAAGUUCUGCCAUCCAUUUGCCACCUUCUUUUACGCAUCAAGGGUGGAUGUGCAUCGACGAGGGAAGUUCAGUUGGAGUUGGUGUUGUCUUCGGAGGUGACUGGCAUUGCUCGAGACGCGACGAUGCUGCUCACUUUUGGACAUGCUCCUUUUGCUUUGUAGUUGUGUUGUUGAUGGUGGUUGUCUUCGGACUAGCCCUAGUGUGGAGUCUGCACUAUGCUUUUCACUUUCACAGUCAUGUCUCUCACUUUUUCCUAUACGUCCGAUCACAUGCAUGUGAUUGGUGAAGAAAGUGAGAGAAAGAAAAAAAGAACAAAGAGAGAGAAAAGAUGGGCCAAAUCCUAUGUGGCGCAUGCAGGACCACUCACCGGACAUGCCCGAGCGUACCUCAUAAUCAUCCUAUAUAUAAGGGCAAUAUGAGGAGUGUCAGACAGGUUGAGCAUUUAAGGAGGCCAUGAGGGGUCCGGUUGGGUCAACUUUUUUCUUAUCUCUCAUGUCCGGUCAGUGGUCUGUGUGUGCCCUCGAUCAAUAUGAGGAGUCCGACUGUAGAUGCUCUUACAGGUCAUGCAAAGAUCGGGCGCGAGCAUCAUGCGUGGAGAAGUUUUGAUCCUUAAAAACAAAAUAGAACACAUAUGAAAAUUGAGAAUCGCAUGCAACUUUGUCAAAAAACGAUCAAGAAAGUUUGAUCAAUAAAAUGAAUAGCUAAUCAAAUAUGCAAUUACCAUCUCAUUCAUUAAACGGGAAGAAGUUACAACCAAAUAUGAAUAAGUAACGCGAACUGAGGGUAGCUCAGAUGGUUUGGUUCCUUGUGAUGCAACCAACCCAUCAGGGUUCAAGUCCUAGCCUUCACAUUGAUAAUUGUAUUUUUCUAGAUUCAUUUCAGGUCUUUCGGCAAUGCGUUCGGUGUUCCAAAAAACAAUAUGAAUAGCUAACAAAGACUAUGCAUACAACAAAAGGCGGAGAAGAGAUUCUUUUUGUUGUUUUAUAUAACCAAGAAAGUUUGUCAUCCAUCACAUGCAUAUUGUGCUUUCUUGGCUCUUUCAACAAAACAUUGAAAACCAUAAAAUCUAUUUAUCUUGUAACAUUCAAUAAUGUAGAUGAAAUUAAUGAACUAGAACAAAUAGUUAAGAAAAAAACCAUGAAUAUCGAAAAAGGGAAGAACAAAAUGCAACCGAAAACAAUGAGCAAGAUAGUUUGACACCAUCCUACCCUUUGUGUAUCUCUUUGUUCUUUGGAUAAAUUUGUGACCUAAACACAUGAUUUGUCACAACUUAGGUUUUUCUCAAAGAAGAAGAAAUCAUCGAUAAAGGAGUGAGUAUAUAAAAGGGCCAAUUCCAUUUUUACCCCUAACUUUGUCCCGAGCUCAUCUUUACCCUUAAAAUAAAACGGUGCUCAACUAUACCCCUCUUCCGUUAGAUGGCGUUAUGGAAAUACCCCUCCGCACCGUUUCCGUCCAGUCAAAGGAGUUUGACUGUCUUCGGGACUUUUUCUGGACAAGUAUGCCCCUCCUUACAAGUGGGACCUGACCGAACAAUUAUUUAUCUCACUCGUCUUCUUCAACCUCCCGACGACCAUAGGAGACAGGAAGGCGGCAGAGCACCGGCGAUUUGGAGCUCCGGGAGGGAGGCACGACUGGGGCCCGUCCAUGUGUACGUCUGCAAUGUCGUCUGCAAGCUCCUCCGCAGACAGUGAGGUAAGUCGAUUUGGAUUUUCGGUUGACAUUGGAUUUGGGGAUUUCUCAUCUAGGGUUUCGCGGGAUGGGCCGUAAUAUGCGCCUUUUUGGCUCGUAGGUGGAUGGCUGCGGGAUUGUGCAGUUCCAAUCCGAGUUUUUCAUUCCCAAUCAAAGUUUCUACGGCCUUGAGGAGCGCUCGAAGCACCGUUGUCCGGGGCAUGGGCUAAUUCCUGCUCGCCGUGUUUCUUGGGGUGGAGCAAGCACGGUAAGAAUGUUUUUGUGUUGUCCACUCGAUGUAAUUGAUCUGACCUCAAAACAUCAUUUGGUACUCUGUUUUCGUCGAUUUAUUGCAAAGUUAUGAAUUUCACCUAAUUAUGUGAACUCUGAUUUAACAGCUUCCUGAUGAGUGUGAUUGGGUUGUUUGGAUUGACCCCCCUCCCACUGAGCUAGUGGGGCAAGCUUUUGAGGAGCUCCAUGGUGGACUUGAACGUAGUUGGAUCAAAGCUAGUAGGAUGGAGAGGAAGGUUAUGGAUCUGAACAAUGAAAACAAGAAAAUGCAAUUGAAGUUGAAGAAAAGGAAUGAGCUCAUGGAAACAAUGGGUUUUGUCUUUGUUCUUGGCAUCAGCAUUGUGGCUAAUUUAGUUUCUAUUUGGUCUAAGCAAGCAAUUAAGUGGCAGUGUGUGUGCUAUGUUUCUGCUAGUGUGUUGUGCCCUAGAUGUAAUGUUGUGAACUUGAGCAGAUGUAAUUCUAUCAUUUGUGCAUUGUUGGGGCUACUUUCUCUUGGUAAUACAAAAUUUGUGUUAAAAUUGUCACCAAUGCUUUAAUUUGGUAUUUAGGGGCAAUGUUGACUGGUAGUAACAAAAUAGAUGUGGUCCAGUGUUCAGCACAGAAUGACAGUAAAAGGUGCAAUUUUGAGCACCUAGCAAGAUAUUUAGGGGCAAAAGUGAGCAAUCAUAUGAUUGCACAACACACUCCAGCAUUAAACAGAAUAGAUUCCACAACAUGAUCAAUUCAUCUAACAUUAAACAGCAGUUCACACUCCAGCAUUAAACAUCAGUUCACACUCCAGCAUUACAAACCAACAGUUGUUUGACAACAUCUAACAUUAAACAUAAUAGAUUCCACAGCAUGAUCAAUUAAGUUUGCUCAUCUUGCUCCUUGUGUUGGCUACAGGAUUAGUAGCCUUGCUCCUUGUGCUUACAGUUGGUUGCAUGCCGCAUGUCGCCUUCUUCUGUGGUGAACCCCGCUUUGUACCUCUUGUAGCUGGCCUUUUGAAAAUUUUCCUUGGGCUGAGAAACAUGAACACAAUCAAGAUCAGUCAGCAAAAAAGUAGCUACAUAAUUAAUGCAUGUACAUGCAGUACAAUAUAUUGCAUACCUAGCAAGAUCAGUAUCAACAGCCUUAGAGGAAGUAGCAGAAGGAGAGCUCGUAGCAGGUGGAGGAGAGCCAGGAGCAGCAUGAGAGCUAGUAGCAGGUGGAGGAGAACUAGCAGCAGCAGGAGAGCUAGUAGCAGUUGGAGGAGAGUUAGGAGCUUCAGUUUGGGCAGUUGCUUGAGCAGAUUUUGGAGCUUCUGUUCCAGCAUUAUCAGCACCCCAAUGCUCAUCUUCUCCAAAAGCAGGAUCAAUGGACUCUUUGAAGUGGAUCCCACGGUGUCCUAGUCUUCCACAACGAGAUCACUUCCUUCUCCUGCCUCCUAGGCCUUUUUCCUUCAGACUGUGUCGUUAUCCUAGUCUUCCUUGGUCUGCCAGGAGGUAUGUGUUGCACAGGUGUAGAGAGUUUAAACCCAGGGUCAACAAUGUCCCACUGUUGUUUUCCCUCCAUUGCAGGCAAAUUUUCAGCAUAAGUGAGAUUGAAUCUUUUAACUGAGUAAAAUUCAUGCACAUACUGAUCUAUCUCACUUACUGGACCUCUCAUUGAAGUAAUGAAAUAGAGAGCAUGUAUGCAAGGUUGUCCAGUAAUUUGCCACUUUCUACAACUACAUGUCAUUGCUUGCAGAUCCACAGGAUACCUCCACUCUCUCUUCUCUUUGUCAAUUGCAAUUACCUCUGCCUGAAAUGUACUUCUCUUCACAAUAUUCAUGUCCAAAUUCUUGGACUUUAGCAGCAGCAUUUUCAUCACUUUAGGGACUAUGAUGUGCCCUACAUAAGUAGCAGCAGCAAUGUUGUGCCUCAGGUCAAAUUUCUCCAUCAAAUAUUGCCUGAUCUUGUCAAACAGAUCUACAAUGUGCAAUCCUUUCCAUUUUCUUAUCUUGGAAUUAAAUGACUCUGCAAGGUUAUUGUUCACAUAAUCUAACAUGCAGAACUCAUUGAAAAGUGCCAUGGCCCAUAUCUUGGUGUGAUGCUCAUCUAAAUACUCUUUCACAUCAGGCUUGCUAUACAACUGCCUCAGAUGGUAGUUAUGCCUUUUACUGCUAUAAGUUAGGGAACAGGGCCACAAGUUCUCAUUAGAAAAUUUCCCCUUAAACUUCUUGGAGAAGUUAGCAGCAAGGUGCCUCAUACACUCCCCAUGCUCUACUCCUUGGAACACAUCAUCUACAGCUGAUUCAAGUCCUUUACAUGCAUCAGUGUGUAUGACAAGCCCUUCUUGGUGCCCUAUGAGGUCCUUCAAGUGCUGGAAAAACCAUGUCCAAAUCUCUAUGCUCUCUACCUCUAGCACACCAUAAGCAACUAUAAAGAUCCAGUUGUUUGCAUCUACAACACAAGCACUUACAAGUUGUCCUCUAUACCUCCCAUUCAGAGAAGUGGCAUCUACUGCCAGAUAUGGCCUACACCCAUCUAGAAACCCUUUCCAGCAGGCCUUAAAUGACACAAAGGCUCUCCUAAAACACUCCUUGGACCUUCUCUGGCCAUUUUUUUCAAACUCCACCGUGUGCUUAUCAAUGUGAACUACACUACCUGGUGAUGCCUUCUCAACCUCAGCUUUGAAUGUAUAAAGCAAAUGAAAACUUUCAGUCCACUUACCAUAUAUGUUGUCAAUGGCCAUUUGCUUACCAUAGAAAACUCUCAUGUAUGGCAGUUCAACCCCAUACUUAUUCUUCAGAUCAGUUUGAAGCUGUGUCAUGGAAAUAUUUGAAUUUUCUCUGACCCAGUUCUUAACUUCAUCUGCAACCCAUCUGCAUUUUGCUGACCUCAACCUUUGCCUUCUUGUCACACUAGGGCAUGUGUGAGGAUGUAUGUUAACUUUCACCUGCAAUUACAAUUAACAAGCAAGUUAGGCAAACAAAUGAGCAUAGAAAUUCUACAGUUGUAUGUGCUGAAACUGUUGGGGCAUAGUUUAUGCCUAAGUAAUUUUGGUGAUUGAUGACAGUACCGUACAGGACUAACCGUGUGUGUUAAGGUUUGAGAUAGCACACGUCAAUGGCACAAGACGACACGUCUCCUCUCUCAUGGAACGGACGCACAACGCUCUCUACGAUUCUCUUUAUUUGAGUCAUAGGAAAGCCGUACUAUUAAGAGGGGAUCUGUAGUGGAAAGGUUUGGGUGGAAUCUAUCUUUACACACGCACACUUCACAUUCUCCCUUUCCUUUAUCUUUGGAGCGGCCCUUGCCUAUUUGUUUUGAGCAUAUGUGCAAAAUGGUCCCCAGCGGUAGUACCGCUGGACUGCUAGCGGUAGUACCGCUGCAGCCAGCGGUAGUACCGCUAGCUAGCGGUAGUACCGCUCCAGGUGCUUUGUUCCAUCUACCUAGCAGUAGUUCGUGGAUGGACCCUUUUGCGAAGACUUUCCCGGCGGUAGUAGUGUUUGUGCACUACCAAGGGGCCAGCGGUAGUACCGCUGGUGUCAGCGGUAGUACCGCUGGUGUCAGCGGUAGUACCGCUGGAGGCCCAGCGGUAGUACCGUUGCAUCCAGCGGUAGUACCGCUCCUGUUCAGCGGUAGUACUGCUGGAGCUCACGCAGAGAGUGGGAAAACGGUCUGAAUUUUCCCCCCACUAUAUAAAGGGUUCUUCUAGCUGAGGAACCCUAUCUCUUACCUCUCUAAGCUCCAUUGUUGCUCCCCAAGCUCAAAAGUGCCCGAUCUCUCUCCCUAGCCAAUCAAACUUGUUGAUUCUUUAGGGAUUGGUUGAGAAGGCCUAGAUCCACACUUCCACCAAGAGAAAAGUUGAUUCCCCCACCAAUCCCUUGCGGAUCUUGUUACUCUUGGGUGUUUGAGCAUCCUAGACGGUUGAGGUCACCUCGAAGCCAUAUUCCAUUGUGGUGAAGCUUCGUGGUUUAGUUGGGAGCCUCCAAGCUUUGUGUGUAGUUGCCCCAACCUUGUUUGUAAAGGUUCGGUCGCCGCCUUCAAGGGCACCUAUAGUGGAAUCACGGUACCUUGCAUCGUGCGAGGGCGUGAGGAGAAUACGGUGGCCUUAGUGGCUUUUUGGGGAGCAUUGUGCCUCCACACCGCUCCAACGGAGACGUACUUCCUGUCAAAGGGAAGGAACUUCGGUAACACAUCCUCGUCUCCAUCGGUUCCACUUGUGGUUAUCUCUAUCCUUUACUUUGUAUUUUCUUAUGCUUGUGACUAUAUCUUACUUGUCUUAAUAGCUCUCGUUGUUAGCUUCUAUAGGGUUCACCUCAUUGUCAUAUUAUUUGUGAACCCGUAUAGUGUUUACCUUAACUUGCUAAGAUUAAUUAAAAGUGGUCGCUGUCUAUUCACCCCCCCUCUAGCCAACCAUAUCGAUCCUUUCAAUUGGUAUCAGAGCCACGUCUCUUUAUUAAGGGUUUAACCACCCGAAGAGUAUGGAAGGCGGAGAGGAAGUUAACUGUGGGCAACCCGAGGACAUGGACUUGACUUCGGUCACAAGGGACGACUUGAAUACGGCUAUGGCAGCCCUCAAGACGUCCUUGACGAGCAAAGUCAAAACCAUGCUUAAAGAAUUAAUUGAUGGUCUUAAAAGUUCACCCGAACCGGCUUUAGUGGUUAAACCCACCAUUUCCGAUUCGGAGGCCAACUCCUUUAAGGAAGCGGCUAAAGGUAUGCGACCUGCUUCACCUCACGAAAAGGAUGGGACUGGAACAUAUGCCUCAGUUCCACCUCCCAUGGCAUAUGGAGGACCCGUUCUCGCACCUCGUCUUAAUCCUGUUGGUCCUCCUCCUAAACUUGUGAAAGGUGACUUUGCUAACUGGGUAUUUUCUAUUAAGUCUCAUUUGAAUCACAGCUCAACAAACUUGUGGAGAAUUAUCGAGCAAGGAUAUUAUCCCCAUGACCCAAGCAACCUCACUCCAAGAGAAGAUGCAGACAAUCAAUAUAAUCACUCUGCGUUGUUUAUUCUCCAGUCUGCUGUGCCACCUGAAGAUCUUCCCCACUUACGUCCCUUCACAUUGGCCAAGGAUUGUUGGGAGCAUAUUAUGGUGUUGUACAAAGGAAGCUCAAGUAUUCAACAAUCCAACUAUGAAGUGAUACUUGAUAAGGCCGAUGAGUUUGUGAUGAAGGAAGACGAGGACCCUCGUGAUCUCUAUCGGAGGGUGACUGCUAUUGCUGUGGCACUAAAGGAUCAUGGGAGUAAGGAUGUGGAUGAUACAUGGGUCAAGCGCAAGUUUCUCAAAGCCAUCAUGCCUUUCAAUAAAGCCAUGUCAUCUGUCAUUCGUCAGCGGCCAGACUUCCACUCCUUGUCUUCCAGUGAAGUGUUGGAUGAGUUCAUUGCAAUGUCAAUCAUGAAAGAAACAGCCGACAAUGCACUUGCUCGUGUUCGAUCAAAGACAACUUCACCCAACCUUGCGUUGAAAGCAAGAGCAAUGCUUGAAGAAGAAGAUGAAGAUGAGGAAGAGGAGAGCUGCCCUGAAGACACAAAGUAUGCUUAUCAUGAGCACAUGGCUCUUGCAUCAAGGCAAUUCUGGGGAAAUAAAAGGAACUCAAGACCCACCUUCACCAAGAACAACUCGAGUGGAUUCAAACCCAAACAACGAGUAAGGACAUGUUAUAACUGUGGCAACGUGAGUCACUUCGUGGCAGAAUGUCCCUAUGAGAAAAGGGAAGACAACGGAGGCAAGCUCAUUCGCAAAGACAAAACCAAAUCAUUUCCUAUCAAGAACAACUUUGUGAAGAAACCUCACCCAAAAGGGAUGGUGGCCCUGGAGGAGUAUCCUUCCGAUGAUGAUGGUGAUGAUGAUGAUACAGUGGCAACGGCGACUGUUGCUAUUGCCACUACCUCUUCCCAGAAAGUGUCUCUCUUCAACGCCCCCAACGAGAACCACAUCACCAAGUGCCUCAUGGCAAAAGGUACCAAUCAGGUAACUCCCAUCAUUAAGACCAACAUUGCUUCUGCUCCUUCAUUGUUAAAUUGUAUUGAAGAUAGUGAUGUUGGAGAACUUAAUGAGCAUGAUCUUGAUAAGUUUAUGUGCCCUAUUAAGGGAGAACCCAAGAAGCACUUUGUUGCUCUCUUGGAACAACUGGGUGAGGCCACUGACCUCAUUGAGUCUCAUGAGGAGACCAUCUCCGAGCUUCAGGGACAUAGUCGUGACUAUGCCGAUGAAAUUGCCGAAUUGUCUAGUGCUCUAGAAGAAGAGCGCACUCUUCGUUUGGCUCUUGAGGAUUCAUAUAACGAUGACUGCGCUAAAAUGCAAAAGAAACUAGAUCAUGAUGUUGCUCUUACUCGCAUGCUUAAAUCUGAAAAGUAUGCUCUUGAGGUUGGCCGUGAAAGACUCAAAGAAGAGUUUGACAUACUUGACAAGGCCCACAAAGCCUUGAAAGGUGUUCAUUUCUCUCUGAAAGAGUCUCAUGAUCAACUUCAAGCAAAGCUUACCAAGGAGAUCUCUACUCGUCCUCCCUUUGUGUUAAUUGAUAAUACUUGUGCAACUAACCCCUGUUGUGAGCAUGUUCAUCUUGUGGAGGAAAAUGCCAAGUUAAAGGAGAAACUUGAGAAGGGCCUUGUGUCAUGCAGACAAGGUGAGAAGAGUCUGAACGAUCUCUUGAGCACUCAAAAGGGUGUUGUAGGAAAGGAAGGACUUGGACUUACCUCCAAGUCAAAAGGUAAAAGGAAGAACAAGAACAAACGAUCUCUCACCCUCAUGGACAUCUUUGUCAAAGAGGGUGAGGGGACUCAGAAGGUGAACAUGAACAAGGUGGACUAUGGGAACCCCAAGAAGGGCAAAACCGUUCCUACUAACACAGCCGGCAAACUCAACUCUUCUUAUGUUUUAUGUUGUGCUAGUGAUGGGCAUGUUUAUGCCAGAUUUGUUGGUUCCUACGAUGAAGAUAUUGAAUGGGCUAUCUGGGUUCCUAAGACCCUUGUCUCUAACAUGAAAGGACCCAUUAAAAAAUGGGUACCUAAAACCAAGCCUUGAUCUAUUGCAGGAGUUUGCUUCCGGUGGGGUGUCAUGGUUGCUCGAUAGUGGAGCAACAAAUCAUAUGACCGGAAGCAAGGACUUAGUGGUGGAUGUGCAUCCUUCUCCAUCUAUGCCCACCCAUGUCCAAUUCGCCGAUGCAUCCUCGUCAAAGGUAUUGGGAUUUGGUAAGGUGGUCGUCUCUCAAGAUUUAUCUAUUGAGAAGGUCAUGCUUGUUGAGUCACUUGCCUACAAUUUACUUUCGGUUCGUCAACUUGCAAUCAUGGGUUUUUCCACAUUCUUUAAUAUUGACACUGUGGUCCUCCUAAGGAUCAAGACUCUUAAAGUAGCCUAUGUUGGACAUGUCAAAAAUGGUCUCUAUGUGGUGAACUUCUCAAAGCGACCCACUAAGACUGCGACAUGUUUAAUGGCUAAAGUUGACGUGGGCUGGCUUUGGCAUCGCCGUUUAGCUCAUGUCAAUAUGAGAUCUUUGCAAAGUCUUCUGACAGGGGACCAUGUUCGUGGACUAACAAAUGUGAGCUUUGCUAAAGAUCGUGUUUGCAGUGCUUGCAUUGAAGGAAAGAUUCAUGAAACUGCUCAUCGUCCAACGACUCUUAUCUACACUAAGAGGCUAUUGGAACUUCUCCAUAUGGAUAUGUUUGGUCCUCCAACAUUUGAUAGUCUUGGAGGCAGAAAAUAUUGCUUAGUGAUUGUUGACGACUACUCAAGAUAUACCUGGGUAUAUUUCUUUAAAAGGAAGAGUGGAACUCAACAGACGGUCAUCAACUUUGCUAAUGAAGCGCAACAUCAACAUGAAGCAAAGAUCUUGAUGAUUAGGAGUGACAACGGCACCGAGUUCAAGAACUACACCCUAGAUGAGUUUCUAGGUGAUGAGGGAAUAAAGCACCAAUAUUCUGCACCAUAUACCCCUCAGCAAAACGGCGUGGCAGAAAGGAAGAACGGGACCUUGAUAGACGCUGCAAGAACAAUGAUGGCAGAAUUCAAAUCUCCAUACAACUUCUGGGCAGAGGCCAUCAACACAGCAUGUCAUGCAUCCAAUCGGCUCUACAUCCGCAAAGCCUUGAACAAGACUCCGUAUGAGAUUCUAACUGGAAACAAACCCAAUCUCAAGUACUUCCGGGUAUUCGGUUGUAAGUGUUUCAUUCUCAAAAGGGGAGCUCGGUUAGCUAAAUUUGAUUCUAGAGCACAUGAGGGUAUCUUUGUUGGUUAUGCUACAAACUCUCAUGCUUACCGUGUCCUCAACAAGUCCACCAGACUAAUUGAGGAGACGUGUAACGUAGAGUUUGACGAAAAUAAUGGCUCCCAAGUGGAGCAAAGUGGUCUUUGUGAUAUAGGUGAUGAAAUUCCUCCCGAAGCCAUAAGAAGAAUGGGGAUUGGUCAAAUACUCCCCAUUGAGGAACCCCUUGUGGCCGAAGGAGAAGGACAAUGCUCUACUCAAGUGGAGCCAUCACCCCCACAAGCCCCACACGCUUCCGAUGAACAAAGAGAAGACUCUCAACAAGUUGAUCAAGCUCUCGAUCAAGAUCAAUUGCCUAACAAUGGUGAUGUGCCCCAUGAUAUUCAAGCACUACCCCAAGACCCCGAACCUACUCAUGAUCAAGAUCAAGUGCAACCCCGAGAUCCAGAACAAGUAGAAGCACAAGAUCAAGAUCAAGAGCAACCACUAAUACAAGAUCAAACUAGUGAACCUGCUCAAGUCGAAGGACAAGAUGAUCAGGAGACUGUCUCACAAUUCCCGUCUGGAGCUCCAACAACCGGCUCAAGACGCAAGGGCAAACAAAAGAAACAAGUCAAUGCUCCCCCGUUAUCUAAUGAAGAACUCUUGGAGCGUCGAGCAGCCAAGAAUGCGAACAAGCUGAGAGUCAAGUCACAUCUUAUGAAGAAUGUUCUUGGCAGUUUAAAAAGGGGAGUAUCCACCCGUCAACAGCUUUGGAAUUAUUGUGAGCAUCACGCGUUUGUCUCGUAUUGUGAACCUCAACAGGUACAGGAAGCGCUCGAUGAUGAGGAUUGGCUUAUGGCCAUGCACGAAGAACUUAACAACUUCGAGCGCAACCAAGUCUGGGAUUUAGUGCCUCGGCCAACGGAGGAACAUAAUGUCAUCGGGACCAAAUGGAUAUUCAAGAACAAGCAAGAUGCAAAUGGAAUUGUGAUUCGAAACAAGGCAAGAUUGGUGGCUCAAGGCUACUCCCAAGUCGAGGGUAUCGACUACGGUGAAACCUUUGCCCCUGUUGCUUGUCUAGAAUCUAUUCGCAUAUUACUUGCAUUUGCUUCUCAUCAUAACUUCAAAUUGCAGCAAAUGGAUGUGAAAAGUGCAUUUCUUAAUGGUCCUUUGAAUGAGUUGGUCUAUGUCAAACAACCCCCGGGAUUCGAACAUCCCAAGCUCCCCAAUCAUGUGUACAAACUCAAUAAGGCACUCUAUGGCCUUAAACAAGCCCCACGCGCGUGGUAUGAGUAUCUUACCGAGUUGUUACAAGAUCGUGGGUUUGAAAUUGGGAAGAUUGAUCCCACUCUUUUUACUAAGAGGGUUAAAGGGGAUUUGUUCAUAUGCCAACUAUGUGUUGAUGAUAUUAUCUUUGGCUCUCCUAACAUUUCAUUCAAUGAAGAAUUUGCCGCACUAAUGACUGAGAAGUUUGAGAUGUCCAUGAUGGGAGAGUUGAAGUUCUUCCUCGGGUUCGAGAUUAGACAAGGUCUAGAAGGGACAUUCAUCAAACAAGCCAAGUACACUCAAGACAUGCUCAAACGGUUCGAGCUCAAAGAUGUCAAACCGGUCAAGUUCCCCAUGCCAACCAAAUGCAAGCUUGACAGUGAUCCCAAUGGUAAAGCAGUGGAUCAAAAGGUAUACCGCUCCAUGAUUGGAUCCCUCCUUUACCUCUGUGCAUCUAGACCGGAUAUUAUGUUGAGUGUAGGGAUAUGUGCACGGUUUUAAUCCGCACCAAAAGAAAGUCAUUACAUGGCUGUCAAACGAAUCUUUCGAUAUUUGGCUCAUACCCCAAACUUUGGCCUCUGGUAUCCCAAAGGAGCAAACUUCAAUCUAGUUGGCUAUUCUGACUCAGAUUGGGCUGGAGAUUGUGUGGAGAGGAAGUCAACGUCUGGAGGAUGCCAAUUCCUUGGUCGCUCUUUGGUAAGUUGGUCUUCAAAGAAGCAGAAUUGCGUCUCCUUAUCAUCCACCGAAGCUGAGUAUGUGGCAGCUGCAAGUUGUUGUGCACAAUUGCUAUGGAUGAGGCAAACUUUAAAGGAUUAUGGUGUCACUUGUGACAAAGUGCCUCUUCUAUGUGACAAUCAAAGCGCCAUCAAGAUUUCCCUCAACCCAGUGCAACAUAGCAAAACCAAACAUAUUGAUAUUCGUCAUCACUUCAUUCGUGAACAUAUCAAGCUAGGUGAUAUUGAGGUUCACUUCAUCCACACUGAAGAGCAACUUGCAGAUAUUUUCACUAAGCCUCUAGAUGAAGCAAGGUUCCGGGAGUUAAGGCAUGAGCUAAAUAUCAUUGAUUCAAGUAAUGUGGAUUGAAACUAGGCAUAUUGCACCUCUCUUUGCAUUCCAUCUUGGUCUAGAUGUAGGCAUGGACAUAGGGGGAGUGUUGUUCUCUCAAUGAACUUUCCCUCCCCCCAUUAUGCGUAAAUAAAUAUAGUCUUUCACUUUAGCCAUUGUCAAAAGGCACUUGUGCUUCAAAGACGAGCAUUGGUCAUGAACCCAAGGAUAAUUCUUCGCGGUGUCAUACCAUUGUCUCAAACAUAGGUGGCCUCGACCACCGCCCCUCCAUCCUUUGUUGCGUAUAGAAGAAAGGAUAUACAAUGACAAGUCAGUACAUUUUCUUGGAUGCCAUCUCUUUUUACUCACUUGUCAUGUGCCCAAGUUCAUCCUUUUUCCUUAGCCGUGUUGCAACAUUUUCAGCGGUACUACCGCCAGGGUAGCGGUACUACCGCCAGGACCCCAGUAGUACUACCGCCAGGUAUGGCCGUACUACCGCCAGGAUUCGAAAUCUAACACGACCGGCUAGAAAAUUUCUAGGGUUUCAAGGGGGGAGCGGUACUACCGCCAGGUCAGCGGUACUACCGCUGCACCCCAGCUGUACUACCGCUGGCCCAUACCCCUUGGGCUAUAUAAAGGGAGGGGGAGCCUGAUUUUCUCAUCUGUUUCUUCUUCCUCGUGGCUCCUCCCUCCCCUAGCCCGAAAACUCCCUGGUUGGAUCUCACUUCGUGGAGCUCCUUCUCCCCGUUGGUUUGGAAGGGUUGCUUCAUCUCUUCUUCCUCCUCCAAGAGCCAUGAAUCCCAGUAAAGCUCCUCCCUUCUUCUAUUUGGUUGUUGUUCGUGUUCUAGGGUUAGGAGCAUUGGGGAUUGGAUACAUAUCUUUGAUCUUAUGGCUAGUUCUUGGAUGGCAUGAAGGAGAUAUUUGAGGGGAGUAUAGGUCCUAUGGUUUGUUGUUGAUUUUGUUGCCAUGCCCUAGGAUUUACUCGUUUUAGAUCUAGCACUUGAACUGUUUGGAUUGGAUCUAAAACUUGCUUUCUCUUGCCUAGGCAUGUACUUAUUUCGGUGUUACUAAGUGUUCCUCGUGUCAAUAGGGCUGGGGUGUAAGUAUUAGUGUUCAUAUUCAGCCCAUGCCCUCGAAAACGAUUCUUAUAUGUCAGAUCUGAAAGUCAAACCCCCAGCGGUACUACCGCCAGGGGUAGAGGUACUACCGCUAGGCCCCAGCGGUACUACCGCCAGGGGUGGCGGUACUACCGCCAUGGGCAUUCACUAUGUAUUUUUUGUGUUUUUGCUUAGCAAUGAGUGUUUACUUGUUUUGCAUUUUCAAGAUUCAUUGCCUUGACUCUUCUUGUCGACUCUUUUUCGCUAUGUGUUCUGUGUCACAGGUGACUCUUCUCGCCGUUCGAACCCCCCACAGGACACGCAGUCCAAACAGUAUCGCAACCCAGAGGCGCCCGAGGGGUCUGCCACCUCAGGUCUGCCACCAAAGAAGAAGUCCUUCAAGAAGGUCGCUCACAAGGAUAAGAAGGUCAAUGUCCGCACAAUGUCCCGCAAGGACUUUCUGCAGUUUCGCACCAAGAACCACUAUCUCAACGAGAGGGAUGUGAUCAAGGAUGUUGAUCAUGUCUGGGCAAGGGACCAGUGCAGGAUCUACCGUGAUGUUAUAGCUCAUUUCAAGAAGAACUAUGUCUCUGUUCAGUGGAUUGACCUGGCACAUCUUCAGAGGAACAUGGACUAUUUUGGUGAUGCCCUCUCUCUGGUUGGCAAAUUGGGCAUCAAGGACAUCAUCACCUUCAAGACGGAUUUUGAUCCCACUGCAAUUGCUCAGUUUUAUGUCACAGUCCAUUUCUCUCCUGAUGCAGAGCGUUCCAUGGUGUGGAUGACUGGGUCAAAGAAGUUGACCGGUACCUGGCAGGAGUUCAUGCAAUUCCUUCACAUUGACUUCCAGGGUGCUGACACUCCUCUUGGGCUGCGUCCUCAUGCUGCAGCCCCCGCCGAUAGGGCUCCCGCAAAGGACAGACUAUAGAAACUGUAUCUGAGGAAGGGGGUGCUUCCCAAGCACCUGGACAUCAUGCAUCGGAUCUUUCGCAACACCCUCUUCCCUCGCAGUGGUAACUUCGAUGAGGUCCAUGGCUCCUUGGCUGAGAUGCUGCUGCUUUGUGAGGAGGCUAUGUCUCAGGAGUCUGCUCAGCUGGAUAUUUCUGAUGUGAUGUUCACGGAGCUCUGGAACUGCAUCAUCAUGCGUAAGGUUCCCAUCUACGGGCCUUACCUGUUUGCAUACAUUCGCCAUAAGUGGCAAGAGGCUUUUCCGGAGGAGCUGCUCUACGCUCAGUCUGAUUACAUUGUGCACGACCCGAUCAGGCUUCGCGUCAAGGACAAGUGGGCCAACCCAUCUACUUCCUCUCAGCACAUGGAUACUGAUACAGAGACUGCUGCUGAUAGAGGAACCGCCUCUCAGUCCCGCUCGUCUGCCAUGCCAUCUUGGGCUAUCAAACUGCAGGACAAGAUGAAGACACUUUUCUGUAUGCAGGCCAAGGGUCAGUACCAUACACACGUGGCUCAAAAGCAGAGCCGCCAGAGGCAUAAGCGUGUUCUCAGGACCCUAGAUGUGGACAUCUCCAGCGGCUCACAGGACGACAUCACUCCUGAGGCUACUUGGAUGCAGGCUCAAGGGUACCAGUGGUCUGGCGAUGAGGCGGAAGAGGAGGAGCAAACCGACCAGGAGGGGACAGACGAGUCUGGUGAUGCUGAAGACGAGGAGUAGUUACCUGUGGCAUUAGGUGUGCCCCUUUUUGGUGUCUUGUGCCAAAGGGGGAGAGAGUCUAGGAUUUGCUUUCAUAUUCGAACUUUGCAUUGCUUUGCUUUAUUUCGUGUGGUUUGUUUCGAACUUGGUUUGCUUCUAGUUUGCCAUCUUUUGUGAGACAUGAGCUUAUGUGAGAUUUAUUUCCAUCAUAUGUUGUGAGUCAUAUGCCCCGUAUUGUCAUAUAUCUCUAUCUUUUUGUUCUCAUAUUAUUCUCUGUGCAAAUCCGGUAUUGUCAUCAAUCCACCAAAAAGGGGGAGAUUGUUGGGGCAUAGUUUAUGCCUAAGUAAUUUUGGUGAUUGAUGACAGUACCGUACAGGACUAACCGUGUGUGUUAAGGUUUCAGAUAGCACACGUCAACGGCACAAGACGACACGUCUCCUCUCUCAUGGAACGGAAGCACGGCGCUCUCUACGAUUCUCUUUAUUUGAGUCAUAGGAAAGUCGUACUAUUAAGAGGGGAUCCGUAGUGGAAAGGUUUGGGUGGAAUCUAUCUUUACACACGCACACUUCACAUUCUCCCUUUCCUUUAUCUUUGGAGCGGCCCUCGCCUAUUUGUUUUGAGCAUAUCUGCAAAAUGGUCCCCAGCGGUAGUACCGCUGGUUACAGCGGUAGUACCGCUGGACUGCUAGCGGUAGUACCGCUGCAGCCAGCGGUAGUACCGCUAGCUAGCGGUAGUACCGCCCCUGGUCAGCGGUAGUACCGCUCCAGGUGCUUUGUUCCAUCUACCUAGCGGUAGUUCGUGGACGGACCCUUUUGCGAAGACUUUCCCGGCGGUAGUAGUGUUUGUGCAGUACCAAGGGGCGAGCGGUAGUACCGCUGGUGUCAGCGGUAGUACCGCUGGAGGCCCAGCGGUAGUACCAUUGCAUCGAGCGGUAGUACCGCCAGGCAGCGGUAGUACCGCUCCUGUUCAGCGGUAGUACCGCUAGAGCUCGGGCAGAGAGUGGGAAAACGGUCUGAAUUUUCCCCCCACUAUAUAAAGGGUUCUUCUAGCUGAGGAACCCUAUCUCUUACCUCUCUAAGCUCCAUUGUUGCUCCCCAAGCUCAAAAGUGCCCGAUCUCUCUCCCUAGCCAAUCAAACUUGUUGAUUCUUUAGGGAUUGGUUGAGAAGGCCUAGAUCCACACUUCCACCAAGAGAAAAGUUGAUUCCCCCACCAAUCCCUUGCGGAUCUUGUUACUCUUGGGUGUUUGAGCAUCCUAGACGGUUGAGGUCACCUCGAAGCCAUAUUCCAUUGUGGUGAAGCUUCGUGGUUUAGUUGGGAGCCUCCAAGCUUUGUGUGUAGUUGCCCCAACCUUGUUUGUAAAGGUUCGGUCGCCGCCUUCAAGGGCACCUAUAGUGGAAUCACGGUACCUUGCAUCGUGCGAGGGCGUGAGGAGAAUACGGUGGCCUUAGUGGCUUUUUGGGGAGCAUUGUGCCUCCACACCGCUCCAACGGAGACGUACUUCCUGUCAAAGGGAAGGAACUUCGGUAACACAUCCUCGUCUCCAUCGGUUCCACUUGUGGUUAUCUCUAUCCUUUACUUUGUAUUUUCUUAUGCUUGUGACUAUAUCUUACUUGUCUUAAUAGCUCUCGUUGUUAGCUUCUAUAGGGUUCACCUCAUUGUCAUAUUAUUUGUGAACCCGUAUAGUGUUUACCUUAACUUGCUAAGAUUAAUUGAAAGUGGUCGUUGUCUAUUCACCCCCCCUCUAGCCAACCAUAUUGAUCCUUUUAGAAACAACAAGGUCCCAAACAACAAAUAACAUGCAAUUAGUAUUGUUAUUUCCUCUUGUUAGUACCUGAAAUAAUUUGCUAUUUCUCAUUAAGGAGGCAUGCAUCCUCCACUUACACCUUGGAUAUGCACAGUGAACUGUCAAUCUACGUGGCUCACUUUUGUCAAUUUUGAACUCACUUUGUGUCUUGAUUGAGAAAGUUGCUAGUGCAUUUCUACAUUCUAUCACAUCAGAGAAUAUAGUUUCUUCUGCCAAAGAAGGAUCAUCUCUGUUAAAUUGCACUUCUACCCUGUCCUCAUCAGAACUCUCAGAAUAAGCCAUGUCAUAAUCCUCCUCUCUCUCAUCUGAAUCUGUCUCUUCAAAUUGAGGGAGGGGAUAGAAUCUUCAUCUUAUGGAACUGCCUCUUUCCCCUUGGGCACUUUCCCAAUUACAAAUUCUGGAUGCAAGAUUUCAUCCUCAUCAUGUGUGGGAACAUCAUCAGGAGCUUCCUCUUCUAUGAUAGGAGCAGCAUCUGAUUGUUUGCUACUGCUAGGACCAGCUCCAGUUGGUUCAUGUACUGAACUAGCCUCUGAAUUUCCUGCAUUCCUACCACCAGAACUACCUCUGCCACCAAAACUACCUCUACCACCAGAACUACCUCUCCCUCUUGUCUGGCUGCACCUAGCUUGAGAACUAUUAGCUUGUGAUCUAGUAGUUCUCCUCUCAAUCUCUCCUCUGAUUCUUUGUAUUACAUUGAUUUCAAUCUCUGCUGACUUACUUUCUGCAUAUGUUCCAAACAUGAUAGCUAGCUCAUCAUCACACUAGACGGGCACCCAAGCAGUAUUUGCCAUGUCCCAAUACCUAAUUUCAACAACAUCAUAUAACCCCCAUGGAUAUUUCUCUGAUAUAGCACUUCUAAACUUGAUGUACAAUCAACAACCAAUGGGAAAGAAAACCCUGUGCGAGAUCCUUUGGUACCAGAACUUCCUAACACACUUGUUUCCAUUCUACAGUUCACAUGAAACACUCUAGCCGAGUCCAUCCUACGACAAAUAUUCAGAAAUAAAAAGCAAGUUCAUGAAUAGAGCACAAACAUGGGAGCCCUUGACGAAAUUACCCUAAACAAGCGCGCAUGCAAGAAAAUGAUGAGUGCGCAUAGAGACAUACCCUCUUGGAAUCGCUCUUGUAGUCGCCGCCGUGCCGUCCCUGCCGCUACCAUGAACAGCGGCCAUUCCGUCUGGUCGCCGCCGCUUCUACCACUUCUAAAGACCGACGAUGAGCGGGGCAAUCAGAUCCACCGCCUCCACAUCUGGAUCCACGAGCUCGCCCUCGGCAGUCGCCGCGAUAGGGGAAAUCGAUGAACUAGGGUUAGGGUUUGUGUCGCGAGAGAGAACAGAAGAGAAGAGAAGGGGGGAAAUGAGAUGGGGUUGGAGAGAUGCGUGCAGGUCCCACAUGUAAGAAGGAAGGGGCAAAGAUGUCCACAAUAACCACCUAACGUGGUCAAAGCACUUUGAUCAGACGGAAAGGGUAUGGAGGGGUAUUUUCAUUAGCGUCAUAUACGGAAGAGGGGUAUAGUUGAGCACCGUUUUAUUUUAGGGGUAAAGAUGAGGUCGGGGCGAAGUUAGGGAAAAAAUGUAAAUGUCCCUAUAUAAAAAGGUAGUAAAAUACAACUUUUGGUCGAAUAAAGUGAGAAGGAAGUUAAGGGCAUCUCCAAAGCAGGUCCUCAAACUGAGAUGUUCGAACAUAAUUUUCUAUCCAAAUUCGUCCUACAUCGGUCCAUGGACAAGUACGGGCAUUUGUUUUCCCACAAUUCGGAAGAAAACCAGGGGAAGCCUUUGUGGGAGUCUGGACCGUCGCCACACAGGACUCUGACAACCCCUGCCCACCCAAAACCCUGUUCGGGCCCCAUGUCUUCAUCCUCCCCUCUUUCUGUGCAUAUGAUAUACCUUCCUCGCCGCCGUCGCCACUUUACCACCCUAAUAUGUCUCCAACGUAUCUAUAUUUUCUAUUGUUCCAUGCUAUAAUAUUAUCAUUCUAGGAUGCCUUUUAGGCAUUUACUUGUUAUUUUAUAUUAUUUUUGAGCACUAACCUAUUAACCCAAUGCCAAGUACCAGUUGUUGUUUUGUGCAUGUUUUUGGCUUUUAAGGUUUACAGUAAUAAACGAUGUCCAAAUACCAUGAAACUUUUUUAUGAUUUUUCUAGACCAAAAGAAGACCUCGAAUCUUCAAGAGAAGAUCAGAGGCCACACAAGGGGCCCACACGCCAACAGGGCACGCCCAAGGGGGUGGCCGCGCCCUCAUGGCUUGUGACCGCCUCCCUCGGCCCCCGACGCCCCUCUUUGUCCUAUAAAUUCUAAUAAAUCCCCAAGACCCUAUAGAGCCUCCUUAAAUACUUUUUCCGCCGCCGCAAGUCUCCGUUCCGCCAUGUGCCCAUCUGGAGCCCUAGUGGAGGGGCUCGAUCACGAAGGGCCUCUACAUCAAUAUUGCUGCUCCCAUGGUGAUGUGUGAGUAGUUCACCACAGACCUAUGGUGUUGGGAAACGUAACAUGGGAAACAAAAAAAAUCCUACGCACACGCAAUACCUAUCCAUGGUGAUGAUCAUCUACGAGAGGGGAGGGUGAAUCUACAUACCCUUGUAGAUCGCUAAGCGAAAGCGUAUAUAACGCGGUUGAUGUAGUGGAACAUCUUCAUGAUCCAAAUCGCAGCCCGUCCCGCGAUCCCAUCACGAUCCAUCCCGAUCAAGUGCCGAACAAACGACACCUUCGUGUUCACCACACGUACAGCUCGAGGACGAUCCCCGCCUUCUUGAUCCAGCAAGAGGGGCGGAGAGGUAGAUGAGUUCUCCAGCACGGCAGCAUGGUGGUGGUGGUGAUGAACUAGUCAAGCAGGGCUUCGCCUAAGCACUGCCGAACUAGACUAGAGGAGAAACAAAUUUAAAGAGAAGUAGAGGGAGCACGUGGCAAUUAGGGUUAGCCCUCACCUCUAAAACCUCUAGUAUAUAUAGGAGGGAGGGAGGGGAGGAGUCAGCCUCAAACCCUCAAGGUUUGGCCGAAAUUGGAGGUGGAGGAGUCCUACUCCAAUCCUACCAGGAGUAGGACUCCUCCUCUCCACUUGGAAACCCUUUCCACCUUUUCCACCUCUGGGUUUCUUUCCUUCCCACCUCCAAUCCACCUUGGGCUUUAGUGAAUGCUUCGGCCAGCCCACUAAGGGCUGGUCUACAUCCUCCCACAGCCCAUGAGACCCUUUGGGGUGGGUGGGCCCACCUGGUGGACCCUCGGAACCCAUUCGUCACUCCUGGUACACUGCCGGAAAUGCCUGAAACUUUUCCGGAGUUCAAAACCCACGUUCCUAUAUAUCAGUCUUUACCUACGGACCAUUCCACAGCUCCUCGUGAUGUACGGGAUCUCAUCUAGGACUCCAAACAACUUUCGGUUACCAAACACGCAUAACUCAAUAAUACCGAAACGUCACUGAACCUUAAGUGUGCAGACCCUGCGGGUUCGAGAACUCUGCAGACAUGAUGUGAGACACUCCCCGGUCAAUAACCAAUAGCGGGACCUGGAUGUCCAUAUUGUCUCCCACAUAUUCUUCGAAGAUCUCUAUCGGUUGAACCUCUAUGUCAAGGAUUCAUUUAAUCCCGUAUGUUGUUCCCUUUGUCCUUCGGUAUGUUACUUGCCCGAGAUUCGAUCGUCGGUAUCUCCAUACCUAGUUCAAUCUCGUUACCGGCAAGUCUCUUUACUCGUUCCGUAGUGCAAGAUCCCGUAACUAACUCCUUAGUCACAUUGCUUGCAAGGCUUGUUGUGAUGCUGUAUUAUCGAGUGGGCCCCGAGAUACCUCUCCGUCAGACGGAGUGAUAAAUCCCAGUCUUGAUCCAUGCCAACCCAAUAGACACCUUUGGAGAUACCUGUAGAGCACCAUUAUAGUCACCUAGUAACGUUGCAACGUUUGAUACACACAAGGUAUUCCUCUGGUGUCCGGGAGUUGCAUGAUCUCAUGGUCAUAGGAACACAUACAUUGACAUGCAGAAAAUAGUAGGAACAAACUGACAUGAUCAUAUGCUACGUUUAUAGUUUGGGUCUUGUCCAUCAAAUCAUUCUCCUAAUGAUGUGAUCCCGUUAUCAAGUGACAACACUUGUCUAUGGCCAGGAAACGUUGACCAUCUUUGAUCAACGAGCUAGUCAACUAGAGGCUCACUAGGUACAAUGUGUUGUCUAUGAAUCCACACAUGUAUUUGAAUUUCCAAUCAAUACAAUUCUAGCAUGGAUAAUAAAUGAUUAUUAUGAACAAGGAAAUAUAAUAAUGACCAAUUAUUAUUGCCUCUAGUGCAUAUUUCCAACAGUCUCCGACUUGCACUAGAGUCAAUAAUCUAGUUCACAUCACUAUGUGAUUGUAAUGAAUCUAACACCCAUACAGUUCUGGGGUUCGAUCAUGUCUUGCUUGUGAGAGAGGUUUUUAGUCAACGGAUCUGAACCUUUGAGAUCCGUGUGUGCUUUACAAAUCUCUAUGUCAUCCUAUAGAUGCUGCUACUACGCGCCAUUUGGAACUAUUCCAAAUGAGUGCACCACUAUACGAAUUCGGUUUACUACUCAAAGUCAUCCGGAUUAGUGUCAAAGCUUGCAUCGACGUAACCCUGUACGACGAACUCUUUUAUCACCUCCAUAAUCGACAAAAAUUCCUUAGUCCACUACUAAGGAUAACUUUUGACCGCUGUCCAGUAAUCCAUUCCUGGAUCACUUUUGUACCCCUUGACAGUUUCAUGGCAAGGAACACAUUAGGUGCGGUACACAACAUAGCAUACUAUAGAGCCUAUGGCUAAAGCAUAUGGGAUGACCUUCGUCCUUUCUCUUUCUUCGGUCAUGGUCGGGUUUUGAGUCUUACUCAAAUUUACACCUUCACAGCCAAGAACUCCUUCUUUGUUGAUCUAUUUUGAACUCCGUCAAAAAACUUGUCAAGGCAUGCAUUUUGUUGAAAGCUCUAUUAAGCGCUUUGAUCUAUCUCCAUAGAUCUUGAUGCUCAAUAUUCAAGUAGCUUAAUCCAGGUUUUCCUUUGAAAAACUCCUUUCAAACAACCCUUUAUGCUUUCCAAAAAUUAUAUAUUAUUUUCGAUCAACAAUAUGUCAACCACAUAUACUCAUCAGAAAUUCUAUAGUGCUCCCACUCACUUCUUUGGAAAUACAUAUUUCUCACAAACCUUGUAUAAACCCAAAAACUUUGAUCACUCAUCAAAUUACUUAGUCCAACUCCAAGAUGCUUGCUCCAGUCCAUAGAAGGAUCACUGGAGCUUGCAUACUUGUCAGCAUCCUUAGGAUCGACAAAACCUUCUCGUUGUAUCACAUACAACCUUUACUCAAGGAAACCGUCGAGGAAACAAUGUUUUCACAUCCUAUCUGCAAGAUUUCAUAAAUAAUGCAGUAACUGCUAACAUAAUUCCAACAGACUUUUAGCAUCGCGAUGAGUGAGAAAUUCUAAUCAUAGUCAACUCUUUGAACUUGUCGGAAACAUCUUUGCGAUAAGUCGAGCUUUCUCAAUGGUGACUUUUCACCAUCAUCGUUUGUCUUCCUUUUAAAGAUCCAUCUGUACGUAACAGUCUUAUGACCAUAAAGUAGUUCUUCCAAAGUCUACACCUUUUUUCAUACAUGGAUCCUCUCUCAGAUUUCAUGGUCUCCAGCCAUUUGUCAGAAUCCGGGCCCACCAUGGCUUCUCCAUAGCUCGUAGGUUCAUUGUUGUCCAACAACAUGACCUCCAAGACAGGGUUACCGUACCACUCUGUAGCAGUACGUGACCUUUGUCGACCUACGAGGUUUGUAGUAACUUGAUCCGAAGUUACAUGAUCACUAUCAUUAGCUUCCACUUCAAUUGGUGUAGGUGCCAGACAAAGAACUUCUUGCACCCUGCUACACACUGGUUGAAGUGACGGUUCAAUAACCUCAUCAAGUUCCACCAUCCUCCCGCUCAAUUCUUUCGAGAGAAACUAUUUCUCGAGAAAGGACCCGUUUCUAGAAACAAACACUUUGCUUCCGGAUCUGAGAUAGGAGGUAUACCCAGCUAUUUUGGGUGUCCUAUGAAGAUGCAUUUAUCCGCUUUGGGUUCGAGCUUAUCAUGCUGAAACUUUUUCACACAAGCAUCGUAGCCCCAAACUUUUAAGAAAUGAUAGCUUAGGUUUCUCCAAACCAUAGUUCAUAUGGCGUCAUCUCAACGGAAUUACGUGGUGCCCUAUUUAAAGUGAAUGCGGUUGUCUCUAAUAUCUAACCAAAAAAACGAUAGUGAUAAUUCGAUAAGAAACAUCAUAGUAUGCACCAUAUCCAAUAGGGCGCAGCUAUGACGUUCGGACACACCAUCACACUAUGGUGUUCCAGGUGGCAUUAGUUGUGAAACAAUUUCAACAAUGUCUUAAUUGUGUACCAAACUCGCAACUCAGAUAUUCAUCUCUAUGAUCAUAUCAUAGACAUUUUAUCCUCUUGUCACGACGAUCUUCAACUUCACUCUGAAAUUACUUGAACCUUUCAAUAAUUCAGAUGUGUGUUUCAUCAAGUAAAUAUACUAGUAUCUACUCAAAUCAUCUGUGAAGUAAGAACAUAACAAUAUCCACAGCGUGCCCCAGCGCCCAUUGGACUGCACACAUCUAAAUGUAUUACUUCCAACAAGUUACUUUCUUGUUCCAUCUCACUGGAAAAUGAGGCCUUCAGUCAUCUUGCCCAUGUGGUAUGAUUUGCAUGUCUCAAGUGAUUCAAAAUCAAGUGAGUCCAAACAAUCCAUGUGCAUGGAGUUUCUUCAUGCGUUUAUACCAAUCUGACUCAAGCGGCAGUGCCACAAGUAAGUGGUACUACCAUUACUACUUUAUAUCUUUUGGCAUCAAUAUUAUGAACAUGUGUAUCACUAUGAUCGAGAUUCAAUAAACCAUUCAUUUUAGGUGCAAGACCAUUGAAGGUAUUAUUUAUUCAAAUAAACAGAGUAACCAUUAUUCUCUUUAAAUGAAUAACCGUAUUGUGAUAAACACAAUCUAGUCAUGUCUAUGCUCAACGCAAACACGAAAUAAAAAUUAUUUAGGUUUAGCACUAAUCCCGAUGGUAGAGGGAGCAUGCGAUGUUUGAUCACAUCAACCUUGGAAACACUUCCAACACACAUCGUCACAUCGCCUUUAGCUAGUCUUUAUUUAUUCCGUAGCUUUUAUUUCGAGUUACUAACAUUUAGCAACCGAACCGGUAUCUAAUACCCUGGUGCUACUGGGAGUACUAGUAAAGUACACAUCAAUAUAAUGUAUAUCCAAUAUACUUUUGUCGACUUUGCCAGCCUUCUCAUCUACCAAGUAUAUAGGGUAGUUCCGCUUCAGUGAUCGUCCCCCUCUUACAGAAGCACUUAGUCUCGGGUUUGGUUUCAACCUUGGGUUUCUUCACUAGAGCAGCAACUAGUUUGCCGUUUCAUGAAGUAUCCCUUCUUGCCCUUGCCCUUCUUGAAACUAGUGGUUUUACUAACCAUCAACAAUUGAUGCUCCUACUUGAUUUCUACUUUCGCGGAGUCAAACAUCGUGGAUAGCUCAAGGAUCAUCAUAUAUAUCCUUGAUAUGUUAUAGUUCAUCACGAAGCUCUAGUAGCUUGGUGGCAGUGACUUUGGAGAACCAUCACUAUCUUAUCUGGAAGAUCAACUCCCACUCGAUUCAAGUAAUUGUAGCACUCAGACAAUCUGAGCGCAUGCUCAACGAUUGAGAUUUUCUCCCUUACUUUGUAGAUAAAGAAUCCUUUCGGAGGUCUCAUACCUCUCAACAAGGGCACAAGCAUGAAAUCCCAAUUUCAUCUCUUGGAACAUCUCAUAUGUUCCGUGUCAUUCAAAACGUCUUCAGCGCCUCAAUUCUAAGUCGUUAAGCAUUACACACUGAACUAUCACGUAGUCAUCAAAAACGUGUAUGUCAGAUGUUCCCAACAUCUACAGACGACUCUCGAGGUUUAGCACACCGAGCGGUGCAUUAAGGACAUAAUCCUUCUGCGCAACAAUGAGGACAAUCCUUAGUUUACGGACCCAGUCCGCAUAAUUGCUACUAUCAUCUUUCAACUAAAUUUUCUCUAGGAACAUAUCAAAAAUAGCAGAGCUACAAUGCAAGGUACAACAUAAUUUGCAAAGACCUUUUAACUAUGUUCAUGAUAAUGAGUUCAAUUAAUCAUAUUACUUAAGAACUCCCACUCAAAUAGACAUCCCUCUAGUCAUUCGAGUGGCGCAUGAUCCAAAUCCACUAACUCAAGUCCGAUCAUCACGUGAGUUGAGAUUAGUUUCAAAGGUGAACAUCUCCAUGUUGAUCAUAUCAACUGUAUGAUUCAUGCUCGACCUUUCGGUCUCUUGUGUUCUGAGGCCAUGUCUGUACAUGCUAGGCUCGUCAAGUUUAACCCAAGUGUUCCGCGUGUGCAACUGUUUUGCACCUGUUGUAUGUGAACGUUGAGUCUAUCUCACCCGAUAAUCACAUGGUCUCUCGAAACGAUGAACUGUCGCAACGGUGCAUAGUCGGGGAGAACGCAAUUUUAUCUUGAAAUUUUAGUGAGGGAUCACCUUAUAAUGCUACUAUCGCUCUAAGCAAAAUAAGGUGCAUAAAAGGAUUAACAUCACAAUAAGUGACAUGAUAUGGCCAUGAACUUGUGCUUCUUGAUCUCCAUCACCAAAGCAUCGGCAUGAUCUCCAUCGUCACCGACGCAGCACCAUGAUCGCUAUCAUCAUGAUCUCCAUCAUCGUGCCGCCAUCGAGGUUGUCGCACUAUCUAUGCUAUUACUACUAAAGCUACAACCUAGCGAUGUAGUAAAAGCAUCUGCAAGCACAAACGUUAGUUUAAAGACAACCCUAUGGCUCAUGCCGGUUGCCGUAGCAUCGACGUGCAAGUCGAUAUUUAACUAUUACGACAUGAUCAUCUCAUGCAUCCAAUAUAUCAUAUCAUGUGUUUGGCCAUAUCACAUCACAUGCAUACCCUGCAAAAACAAGUUAGACGCCCUCUAAUUUGUUGUUGCAUGUUUUACAUGGCUGCUAUGGGUAUCUAGUAUGAUUGCAUCUUACUUACGCAAAGCCACAACAGUGAUAUGCAAAUUGCUAUUUAACCUUCUCCAAGGACCGCUUCGGUCAAAUCUGAUUCAACUAAAGUUGAAGAAACAGACAACCGCUAGUCAUCUUUAUGAAACAAGUUGCAUGUCAGUCGAUGAAACCGGUCUCUCGUAAGCGUACUAGUAAAUUGUUGGGGAACGUCGCAUGGGAAACAAAAAUUUUCCUACGCGCACNNNNNNNNNNNNNNNNNNNNNNNNNNNNNNNNNNNNNNNNNNNNNNNNNNNNNNNNNNNNNNNNNNNNNNNNNNNNNNNNNNNNNNNNNNNNNNNNNNNNCGCAAAGUCCUCAUGGACGGCGGCAGCGGGUUGAACAUCAUGUUCGCCGACACUCUCAAGGGAAUGGGCAUUCCGAUGUCCAAACUCAGCGAGAGCAGUAUGCAGUUCCACGGAGUCGUCCCUGGAUGGAAGGCCAAGUCACUCGGCCANNNNNNNNNNNNNNNNNNNNNNNNNNNNNNNNNNNNNNNNNNNNNNNNNNNNNNNNNNNNNNACAAGAACUUUCGCAAGGAGAAGCUCAUGUUUGAGGUGGUGGAUUUUCAGAGCGCUUACCACGCGAUUCUAGGCCGCCCAGCAUAUGUGAGCUUCAUGGCCCGUCCAUGCUACGUAUACUUGAAGCUGAAGAUGCCAGGCCCGAAAGGCGUGAUCACCAUCACGGGCAAUCGUCAGCGAGCCGAAGAGUGUCUGCAGCAGGGAUCAAGAAUCGCCGACCAGCAGAUGGCUGUUCUCGAGCUCGACGAGUACAAGAAGACAGUCGACCCUGCCGACCUGAUGCGCUCAAAGAAACCAGCUUCUGAGUCCGCAUUCCAGUCGGCGGGAGAGACGAAGAAGGUCAGCAUCCACCCGACGGACGACUCUGCUGCCCCGACGAACAUCUCCACCACCCUCGAUCCUAAAUAGGAAGCCGAGCUCACCCAAUUCCUCCGUGAGAACUGGGACAUCUUCGCAUGGAAACCCUCUGACAUGCCAGGUGUACCCAGGGAGUUGGCUGAGCACCGACUGCACGUGGAUCCCGUCGCUCGGCCUGUCCGAGAACGCCUGCGCCGGUCUGCCGCGCACAAGAGGCCUGCACCGGUCUGCCGCUCACAAGAGGAAGGCAAUCGGGGAAGAGGUGGCCAAGCUGCUGGCCGCCAACUUCAUUCGCGAGGUUCACCACUCCGAGUGGCUCGCCAAUGUUGUCAUGGUGCCCAAGAAGGACAAGUCGCUCCGAAUGUGCAUCGACUUCAAGCAUAUCAAUAAGGUCUGCCCGAAAGACCAUUUUCCGCUCCCCCGCAUAGAUCAAAUUGUCGAUUCGACUGCGGGAUGCGAGCGUUUGUNNNNNNNNNNNNNNNNNNNNNNNNNNNNNNNNNNNNNNNNNNNNNNNNNNNNNNNNNNNNNNNNNNNNNNNNNNNNNNNNNNNNNNNNNNNNNNNNNNNNUUCGUACCCUAUACAUCUACUGUCAGGCUUAUACCCACGACAGUUGGCGCCCACCGUGGGGCAGGCGUCUAAGCGACUUCCGGCGAGUUUGCGACUACUUCCUUUCGUCAUGUCGUCCGGUGGAGGUUCGAGCAUGGGUCACCAGAUCUUCUUCGGNNNNNNNNNNNNNNNNNNNNNNNNNNNNNNNNNNNNNNNNNNNNNNNNNNNNNNNNNNNNNNNNNNNNNNNNNNNNNNNNNNNNNNNNNNNNNNNNNNNNNNNNNNNNNNNNNNNNACACACUUCCGUGCCGGCGCUCGCGGCAUCCUUCUUCUCCAACAGUCGACUCCGGUGUCGACCUGCACCGCCGCCACGCGCCGCAACAAGCGGUCCCGCCAUCCGCGGCUCCAGCGUUGGGUACAGCAUGCCCAAGCGCGCCAGAACGCGUCUUCGCAAGUGGCAGUUCUUGAGUCCGUUGUGGUUGCCCCGCCGUCCCAGCACUCGGACUCGGUUCCGACUGAGUUUCCUUCCGAGUAUGCAGGUCGCGGGCCUGCAGCAGAAGUACACAUGGCCACCUCCCAUGAAGAUCCCCGUCAAGAUGGCCGAAGCGAGCGCGAGGUCGGUGAAGCAUUCGGUGCGCGCCGACCACCUCGCCGUUCUGCCAGUCGACACACUCGGCGGAGCAACGUGGAGUUGUUCCGCACGCCUCUCCUCAACUUGGCUGCGGCUGCCAAGAUUGCCGAUUCCCUCCAGCCGACUGAUUCAGAGGCAGAAAGGGGGAUCGAGCAGAUCCGAGCCCUGUUGCACACGGUGCAGCAGCAGAAUUCGGCGGUCUCCCAGUCACACAACCGGAUCUAUAAUAGUUCCGUCCACGCGAAUACGCAUCGGUCGGUUCACAGCCCUGGUUCCCAUCAGCGCCACAAGGGAGGCAGCCGUUCCAUGAUUCAUGAAGAUCGUCGUCGCUCACGCACCCCUCCGCGGGGUGGGCCCUAUGGGUCCCGACAUCAUGAUGAUCAGCGUUCAGUCGGCGACACUUACGACCCAAGACCUGACGGAAGAGGACGUAUCGCCCAACGAAGAGUCGACAGGGGUCGAGCCCACCGCGAUGGUCACGUAUGGACCGUCCGAGUGGAAGCAGGACCAUCGUGUACGGUCCCGAGUGUUUUAGUCGAGCCAUCCGGUCGGCUGACAUCCCGCCCAACUUCCGAUUGGCAGCGGGAAUCGGUAAAUUUACGGGAGAGUCCAAGCCAGAAACAUGGCUAGACGACUACCGAGUGGCAGUCCAGAUCGGAGGAGGGGACGACCACGUCGCCAUGAAGCACCUCCCUCUGAUGCUCGAUGGCUCGGCGCGAGCGUGGCUGAAUCAAUUAGCCCCCUCGAGCAUUUACAGUUGGGCGGAUCNNNNNNNNNNNNNNNNNNNNNNNNNNNNNNNNNNNNNNNNNNNNNNNNNNNNNNNNNNNNNNNNNNNNNNNNNNNNNNNNNNNNNNNNNNNNNNNNNNNNACCAGUCAUCAAAAUGCAUUGAGAUUAACUAACAUUGAGUGCAAGCAUGAGUAGGACACAAAUCACCAUGAACAUGAAUAUCAUAGAGGCUACGUUGAUUUUGUUUCAACUACAUGCGUGAACAUGCGCCAAGUCAAGCCACUUGAAUCAUUCAAAGGAGGAUACCAUCCUAUCAUACUACAAUCACAGUCAUCUCAACAUUCAUGUGGGCAUCCAAGACAAACCAUUAUAAGCUCCUAGCUAAGUAAGCAUGNNNNNNNNNNNNNNNNNNNNNNNNNCAUGGCAUAAGCAACUAUGAUUUCUAAGUUGUCAUUGCAAACAUGUUUCUCUCACAACAAAGCUGAACUAGGAAUAGUGAGCUAGUCAUAUUUACAAAAACAAAAUAGAUUGAGUUCAUACCGGCUUUUCCAGGCUUAGUCACUUCAUCAUAUAUCGUUAUUAUUGCCUUUCACUUGCACGACCGAAUGAUGUGAACAAUAAUAAGCGUGCUCAUGCAUUGACUAAAGCUGGAAUCUGCAGGCAAACACAAAGGAGAAGACAAAGUAAUAUGGCUCUUUGAAAGCUAAACAGGUAUGCAUGCGAGAGCCACUAAACAUUGUAACCAAUAUCUUCUACCUUGACCCAAAGAGAAAGAAAAGUAUUUACACGGGAAAGCUCCCAACAAGCAAAAGAAGAAAAGAAAAAUCUUUUUGGUUUUUCUCAAACUAGACAGACACACGAAAAGAAAACGAGAAAAAGUAAAUANNNNNNNNNNNNNNNNNNNNNNNNNNNNAAAACGAGAAAAAGUAAAUAAACUAGCAUGGAUGAUACAGUGGCAAAGUGUGAACACCGGCUAACAAAGUGAAAGCAUAAGCAAGAAUGUAAAGUCGGUGAGAACACGUAGUCCUGCAAGCUUAGGCUUUUGGCCUAAGUUGGUCUACUCCCAAGGAUGGUCUUGGCGAAACCCAAAAUCAUAAUGGGGGUUAUACGGGAGCGCUACAGCCACUGCCUGAAUAGCUGCCUCACGGAGACGAGCAACCUUUGACUCCCUCUCAUACUCCUCUGUCUCUCCUCUGGUUAUGUAAUAUCCCUGUUUUACCUGAAAGUCAAAGAAGGCAGGAGGAUGAAGGGUAAUAUGGAAAACAUGCUGCCAGUUAAAUAUCAAACAGUAUAGGAGGGAUUCNNNNNNNNNNNNNNNNNNNNNNNNNNNNNNNNNNNNNNNNNNNNNNNNNNNNNNNNNNNNNNNNNNNNNNNNNNNNNNNNNNNNNNNNNNNNNNNNNNNNUAAGGCGCCUGAUUCUCAGGUACAUUGAUCCAUACCUCCCAUCCCUGAGUUUUUGGAAGUUCUAUGUUAGUAUGGCAGUAUAACAUGUAAAUGUAUCUUGAAGCAUGAACUAGUUAUCCAUAUUAUUUGCAUGCACCCGCUUUUCACAGGAAAAAGGAACAAAUUUGCAUUUAAAAUUCAUCAUGCUACCACUAUUUUGUGUAUUAAAGUCAAUUUGGGCUGACUGCACUGAAAGUAUGAAAUCAGUAAUUUAACAUGAUCUGAUAGAGUGGCUUUUUUUUUUUUUUUUCUUUUUCCUCAGUUUGUCUAUUGUUUGUCCUUUCGCAUCAGUUGCAUCCACACUGCUCUGUGCAUCUCAGCGUGCAAGUUAUUUGGGCUUAAAAAUGCGACGCUGACAGUCAAGGGGACACUAGAUUAUCAGCACUGCAUUUUGUUUAGGUUUGUGUAGGGACCAGGGAACAGUUGCUGCGUAGAUACUUGGUACUAGCUAAGUUCAAUCCUGACAAUAUGGUUGGCUUGCUAGAUAAAUUUUUGUCGCAUAUCUUAUGUUUAUUUAUUUUUUGCUUCUCAAACAAAGAUUCCAUUGUAUCUUAGAGGACAUUUAUUUGUCCCAUGCAGUAGACACUGUUGAUUCUAUAUGUGGAGUGUUAACAUUCUUCGUUAUAUGCCGUCAGGUUUUAUUUUCUGUCGAGCAGUGUUAUUCUAUUUCCAUCCUGAGGCGCAUGGUGAACAUCUACCAACCUGCUUACCCAGUCUUCCUGAGUCGGUCUCUCCAAACGCCAAAGCCAUCAAGACUCCCAUCCUUCUGCUUGCAGAAAACCUUGUUGUCAGCAAUCGGUUUCAUUUCAGCAACAGGACAUGAUGAUCAAGUGCAAUAACACAGGCUUUCUGUAGAUACCUCCUUGGUAAAUAUGGUCCAGCUAUUUGUUGAUUGUUUAGCAUUUAUACAGCCAGCGAAGGAUGAGUCGGUCAGCGGGCUAUAGCCGUCUGCAGCCUGGGUGAGGUGAAUUAUGAUAAUAUGAUGAUUUUGUGUGCUGCUUCAUCUCCGUUGCGCUUGCGCAUCUGUAAAAGUGUGUUUUAGGUGUUUGCUUUGCUUUGCUCUGCUCUAGGUAGUGUAGGGUUUUUAUUUCCUUCUCUUUUGACUUGUGUCAGGAGAAGGCAGUUUGUAAGCUGGAAGANNNNNNNNNNNNNNNNNNNNNNNNNNNNNNNNNNNNNNNNNNNNNNNNNNNNNNNNNNNNNNNNNNNNNNNNNNNNNNNNNNNNNNNNNNNNNNNNNNNNAUAAAAGCGACCCUGCCCCUUUUGCAGUGCCUUGAUCUCUUCCCCGCAAAUAUGAGCGCGAAAGGGUGGUCACAGGAUGGCAAUUUAAAGGGGGACACACGCCCAUGUUUAUCCUAACUAAAGGCGGUCUCUGCCUCAUAAAAUGGUCGUCCUGAUGCGGUGGUGGGCUCGAGGAUGACCUCCGUCAUGGCGCACCGAUCCGUCCUGAUCUCCUUGCACCAAAGAGGAAAUGCUUUAGGACUUGCAUUUGGGGGAGACAAAUGUCGCUGCUCCCUUAUGAUCAGAAUGGAAACUGGGCUUGGUCACGUCCUGUUGUCCUUAUCGUGACAACGAGACGUCAUCCACNNNNNNNNNNNNNNNNNNCGAGACGUCAUCCACGUGAUGGGCACAGAGCCCCACAGAUGCCACCGUACGACUUGCUUCGUCAGGCGGCCUCGCGAAGAGGAGCCUCGCGAGGCGAUCUGGUGCUUGGCGGCCUCGACGGGCCUUGAUCUGGCGACGAGGGGCCUUGCGAGGCUUGCCUCUUGUGAGGCGGCUCCAACCCGAGCGGACGGAGUAGAGCCAUCUUUUAUGCGCCGGUCUAAUUGUCGUCGUGAGGGCCAGCGGCAUACGGGUCGUGGUACCACGUUUCCCACUUGGCCGAUAGUAGCCCCUAGGCUCGUGGCACACACAUUCCUGUUGGGGAACGUCGCAUGGGAAACAAAAAAUUUCUACGCACACGAAAACCUAUCAUGGUGAUGUCCAUCUACGAGUGGAGAUUAGAUCUACGUACCCUUGUAGAUCGCACAACGGGAAGCGCUAAGAAACGCGGUUGAUGUAGUGGAACNNNNNNNNNNNNNNNNNNNNNNNNNNNNNNNNNNNNNNNNNNNNNNNNNNNNNNNNNNNNNNNNNNNNNNNNNNNNNNNNNNNNNNNNNNNNNNNNNNNNNNNNNNNNNNNNNNNNNNNNNNNNNNNNGACACCUUCGCGUUCAGCACACGUACAACUCGAUGACGAUCUCGGCCUUCUUGAUCCAGCAAGCAAGACGUAGAAGUAGAUGAGUUCUCCAGCAGCGUGCCGGUGCUCCGGUGGUGGUGAUGAUCUACUCCUACAGGGCUCCGCCCGAGCUCCGCAGAAAUCCGAUCUAGAGGUGAAACUGUGUGGUAUGGGCUAGAGUUGCACGUGGCAAAGUUGUGUCUCAAAAAAGCCCUAAACCACCACNNNNNNNNNNNNNNNNNNNNNNNNNNNNNNNNNNNNNNNNNNNNNNNNNNNNNNNNNNNNNNNNNNNNNNNNNNNNNNNNNNNNNNNNNNNNNNNNNNNNCUGAUAAAUGGAUUUCAGCAAGGUAAUAACUGCAAGCACUGAAAGUAGCGGUAACAAGUGAUUGUGUAGCGAGGUGAAACAUAGCAAGCAAAGAGUAACAAGUAACAAGUAGUAGCAACGGUGCAGAAAGUGGCCCAAUCCCUUUUGUAGCAAGGGACAAGCCUGAACAAAGUCUUAUAGGAGGAAAAACGCUCCCGAGGACACACGGGAAUUUCUGUCAUGCUAGUUUCAUCAUGUUCAUAUGAUUCGCGUUCGUUACUUUGAUAGUUUGAUAUGUGGGUGGAGCGGCGCUUGGGUACUGCCCUUACUUGGACAAGCAUCCCACUUAUGAUUAACCCCUCUCGCAAGCAUCCGCAACUACGAAAGAAGAAUUAAGACAAAGUCUAACCAUAGCAUUAAACUAGUGGAUCCAAAUCAGCCCCUCACGAAGCAACGCAUAGACUGGGGUUUAAGCUUCUGUCACUCCAGCAACCCAUCAUCUACUUACUACUUCCCAAUGCAUUCCUCUAGGCCCAAAUAUGGCGAAGUGUUAUGUAGUCGACGUUCACAUAACACCACUAGAGGAAAAACAACACACANNNNNNNNNNNNNNNNNNNNNNNNNNNNNNNNNNNNNNNNNNNNNNNNNNNNNNNNAACGAAUAUCAAAUUCACAUGACUUUUAUCAGCAUGACUUAUCCCAUGUCCUCAGGAACAAAAGUAACUACUCACAAGACAUAAUCAUAAUCAUGAUCAGAGGUGUAAUGAAUAGCAUCAAGGAUCUGAACAUAAACUCUUCCACCAAGUAAUCCAACUAGCAUCAACUACAAAGAGUAAUCAACACUACUAGCUACCUUACAAGUACCAAUCGGAGUCGCGAGACGAAAAUUGGUUACAAGAGAUGAACUAGGGAUUGGAGAGGAGAUGGUGCUGAUGAAUAUGUUGAUGAAGAUGCCUCCCCUCCGACGAGAGGAGUGUUGUUGAUGACGAUGGCGACGAUUCCCCCUCCAGGACGAGAGGAGUGUUGGUGAUGACGAUGGCGACGGUUCCCCCCUCGAGGAGGGAAGUUUCCCCGAUAGGAUCGUCCUGUCGGAGCUCUAGAUUGGAUCUGCUCAAGUUCCGCCUCGUGGCGGUGGCGAAACCACGAAAAAGCUCCCUCUUGAUUUUUUUCUGGACCAGGAUGCUUCAUAUAGCAAAAGAGGGGGGCUAGUGGGCCGUCAGGGAGCCCACAAGCGCCCACUCCGCCACCAGGGGGUGGCGGUGUGAGGGCUUGGGGCGCCCUGGCAGCCCCCCUCCAGUAGUUCUUUCGCCCAGUAUUUUUUAUAUAAUCCAGAAAAAAUCCAUGUAACUUUUCAGGGCAUUUGGAUAUGUGCAGAAUAGUGGACUAGGAUUUGCUCCUUUUCCAGUCCAGAAUUCCAGCUGCCUGAAUUCUCCCUCUUCAAAUAAACCUUNNNNNNNNNNNNNNNNNNNNNNNNNNNNNNNNNNNNNNNNNNNNNNNNNNNNNNNNNNNNNNNNNNNNNNNNNNNNNNNNNNNNNNNNNNNNNNNNNNNNUCAAAUCCUCACGGAAGAACUGUCGAAUCCAUUUACUCUUUCUCUCUUCUUCCUCCAUCGUGUCGCUCGUCUUGGAGCUCCCCGUAAUUCCUAGCCUAUGCUCCGCCAGUGUCGGCAGAGCAGUCUUAUGUCCCGUCAUCUCCAGCCUGGAAGACGUCGCGGUACGUCCAUCAAGUCUCUAGCUCCGCCUUGUGCUGGAUGUGUUCGACACAUUGUCUGGCCGACAAGUGGAGCAUAUUCUCAAUUUUAAGGGCUGAGUCAAAGGGGGAAGCGUGAUCAAUCGGGAUAAAGUAUACAGAGAAAACUACUGCAAAAGGACAAUUUUGAGACGAACCCAACUUUCCCGGGUGAUCCAUGGUUUUAUCGCCGUUUUCGCAUGCAAAAACCAUUGUUUUGCAGACUGUGAACGUAGUGGAGGCGCAAUACGACUACUUCAAACUCACAAGGAAUUGUUGCGGUCAACUAUCUUUCUCUGCCAAGCAGAAGUGCACGGAUGCUCUAAGAAUGCUUGCACUUGGUGCAACCGCAGAUGUCGUUGGUGAGAUAGUCACGAAGGGGGAGAGCACAUGCCUGAAGACUACUGUCGAUUUUGCUCGCGUUGUGGUCGAGAUGUUUGGAGCAGAGUAUCUGAGAGAACCAAAUGCAGAGGAUACGAGAAGUUGUUGGCAUUGGAGAGGCUGGAGGGUUUCUAGGAAUACCUGGAUCAAUUGAUUGCAUGCAUUGCCAAUGGAAGAACCGCCCCAAAGGUUUGCAAGGAAUGUAUCAAGGUCACACGAGAGAGGCCACCAUCACACUAUAAGCAGUAGCAUCACAUGACGUAUGAAUUUGACAUGCUUUCUUUGGAAUGGCGUGUUCUCACAAUGACACCAACGUGCUGCAACAAUCUAUGGUGUUGAGGAGGUUUUGCAAUGGGGAAUCACCGCCGUGCAACUACACUGUUAACGGUCGAGACUACAACAUGGGAUACUAUCUUCUCGAUGGCAUCUAUCCUCAGUGGCUGCAUUUGUCGAGACCAUAUCCGAACCACAUGGCAACAAACAAAAGAAAUUCACAACAAUGCAGGAAGCAUCUAGGAAGGAUGUGAAGAGGGCAUCCUAUGAUGCCCCUACCUUGAACCUAUGCUAAACAUACACGCAAAUCCACACGAUCAGGAUCAAAGACUCUAGACACAAAUUAAAGUCAUACAAGCUUUAUAUUACANNNNNNNNNNNNNNNNNNNNNNNNNNNNNNNNNNNNNNNNNNNNNNNNNNNNNNNNNNNNNNNNNNNNNNNNNNNNNNNNNNNNNNNNNNNNNNNNNNNNAGGCAAGUUACAAGGAAGCUAGGUUACGACAGCAUCCAACACUCUGUCACCUCUCGAGUGCUAGCUUGCUUUGCACAAGUGGGCAAGCGUGUUGGCUGCUCGAUUACAAUGCUGAAUAUAAAACAAAGAAAAGAAAGCUACGAGCUCCCCUANNNNNNNNNNNNNNNNNNNNNNNNNNNNNNNNNNNNNNNNNUCCCCUAUUUCAUCCAAGAUAGGCGCCACAACACAGCGAGAAUUGUGAUGCAAAUGCCAUAGUUGGACCAGUUCCAAGCUAUCUGUCUCCAAAAUAACUUUCAAAAAUCCUCUCAACAGAGCAAAGAGAGCACCUUCCCGCAAUGCCAAGGUUUCUGCAACAAGGGAAUUAGUCACCCCGACGAAGGGUUUGCACCACGCAGCGAUAAAGCCAUGCUUUGAGCGAGCAACCCCUCCACCGCCACUUCUGCUACGCUGGAGCGCCACACUGCCAUCAGUGUUAAUCUUGAUAGUGUCAUUAUCUGGUGGCCUCCACCCAUGCGCAGGUAGGGUACCCGCCUGGUUCCGAGGAAUGUCCAACAUUGCUAGAGCAUCUCUCGUCAUAAUCAUCGACUGGCUUGGGCUAAGAGGGCCUCGGUCAUGAGUAAUAUUGUNNNNNNUCGGUCAUGAGUAAUAUUGUUGUGCGAAGUCCAGAUGGACCACAUGAUCGACACCAGCUUCGCCCUAUCAGCCUCCGAAUGCCUCUGAUCACAUAAAAUGUCAGUUUUCCAUGUUUGGGGUUGCACAUUUGGUCGAUGGACAUUUAACCAAUCUGGCGCUAUGUCCCAAAACUUCAUUGCGUGAGAACAAUCCACUAAAGCAUGCCCCAGAGUCUCAUCUGGGUUGAGACAAAGCUUACAUGCACUAUCAUUAGAUAUAUGGCAAUGCUUGAGAACAGAUUCAACAGGUAAAAUACCUCGCAAAACCCGCCACCAAAACACCCUCACCUUCGGGAGAACCUUGAGCUUCCAUAAUAUGGCGCACAUCUGUUGUUCUGACGAUGAAGUUUCUGUUACCAUCCCCUCUUCUAGAGCCUNNNNNNNNNNNNNNNNNNNNNNNNNNNNNNNNNNNNNNNUCAUAUUGGGUCAUCAGAGAGCGGUACGCUGUUUUGACAGAGUAAAUACCAGAUUUUUCGGGCGCCCAGGCCAGCACAUCCUCCCCUCCCUCCGAUCUGAGGGGGAUAUUCAAAAUUGCAUCCGCUUCGGCAGUAGGAAAAGCCUGCCUAACACGAUCGAUAUUCCAUGUGCUAGUGUAGUUAUCAAUCAACUCAGAAACCAGCUAGAACUGCGGGUAGUCCAGUCGAGCGGGUCUCAUUGCUGGUAAGGAGGGGAUCCAACUAUCAUCCCAGAUAGAGAUUGUAGACCCCGCCCCAACCCUUUUGAUCAGACCAAGUUGCAGAACUUGUCUACCUUCGAUGAUAGCGCGCCAAGUAGCAGAGGAACUUUUUGNNNNNNNNNNNNNNNNNNNNNNNNNNNNNNNNNNNNNNNNNNNNNNNNNNNNNNNNNNNNNNNNNNNNNNNNNNNNNNNNNNNNNNNNNNNNNNNNNNNNUUCUGAACUCCUCAGAGAACUGCACAUACCAAUUCCCUCAGAUGGGGCUGUGAAGCUUUAUGGUGAGCCUGAGCUGCCAAAUGGAAUGAUGGAAGUCCUCAUGAAGCCUUUGGCUGCAGGCAAAUCCUCAAGAACAACCUUCCUCGUCCACGAGCUCAAUUACACACCCCGGUCUAUCUACAGAAUCCUCUGCAGUGUGCUCACGCCAAUCAAAGGCCAUGACGAUGAGGAAGAUGUUGUAGGCCUCAUGAAGAAUAUCGUCUUCAACAUCAUUCACGGUAUUCCUAUCAAUAUCCAUGAUUUCUUCUUGAGGACUUUGGCCGACAAUGCCAUGUGCCCCUUUGAUCACAAGAUAUAUGCCCCGUGGAUCAUGAGAUUCAUCAGGACAAGGACAGGCAUCAACUUUCACGCUGAUUGUCAAAACCAUGUUGGUUAUAUGCCUCCUAUCCGGGUCAACAAGAAGAUUUUCGAGCCCAUUGAAGGAAAAGGAAAAUCUGUGAUUGAAGAAGGCAGCAGGCCCCUUGAUGGCCAGUUCAGAGAGCCAGAAGCAUAUUCUUCAUGGGACGAUACUGAGACUCGUCCAGCAAGCCCAGUUCCUCCUUGCGUACUGAACACCAGAGAGCUCCUCCUCAGUCUUCACCAGAAGGUGGAUCACAACCACAAAUGGGUCAAACACCAGUUUGGUGCCAUUGUGAAAACACUCACUGAAACACAUAACUCUAUGAAGAUUAACCAUCACUAUCUGCAUGAGGUUUUAGAUCGCACCUGGGCUACACUUGUACAUCUGAAGACUCAGACUGAGCUUGAAGAAAUGGACUUUGAGCGAGACUUUGACUGGUCGUGGCCUCCCAAGAAGAAGUUCAGGCCCAUUCCAGUGCCAGACCUUGAAGACAGCUCCUUUUCUUCAUUCCGCACUGCUGAAUCUGAUGAGGAACAACUCGACACACCAACCGGCCCAAGGAAGAAGACUACUCCCAAGAAGCAUCACGGCUCUUCCUCAACCGCCAAGAAAUGAAGUCUUCACGGGCGUUAGUCCUCAGUUUGUCCCUUUUUGUCACUUGAUGACAAAGGGGGAAAAACUCGAGAGUUAGUCUUCAAGCGGGCUAUUUUUGGGGCUUAUAAACUAUAUUUAAGUUACAAACUCUUGGCUCCUCUGAAGUUUUUAUGNNNNNNNNNNNNNNNNNNNNNNNNNNNNNNNNNNNNNNNNNNNNNNNNNNNNNNNNNNNNNNNNNNNNNNNNNNNNNNNNNNNNNNNNNNNNNNNNNNNNNNNGCUUUUGAACGUUUUUCUUCGCAUGCUUAUUCCUCAAGUUUUAAUGCACGCAUGCUGGAAUUCGUCAGAUACCAUUUGCCAUCAUGCAUCUUCAUUUUAUUCAUAUGAUAUGUUAUAUGUAUGCAUGAUUUACAAGACUCAGGGGGAGAUCUCCAUGAUAUAAAUCNNNNNNNNNNNNNNNNNNNNNNNNNNNNNNNNNNNNNNNNNNNNNNNNNNNNNNNNNNNNNNNNNNNNNNNNNNNNNNNNNNNNNNNNNNNNNNNNNNNNUCAUAUAAUCCCGUAUGUCAUUCCCUUUGUCCUUCGGUAUGUUACUUUCCCGAGAUUCGAUCGUCAGUAUCCAUAUACCUAUUUCAAUCUCGUUUACCGGCAAGUCUCUUUACUCGUUCUGUAAUACAAGACCCCGCAACUUACACUAAGUUACAUUGCUUGCAAGGCUUGUGUGUGAUGUUGUAUUACCGAGUGGGCCCCGAGAUACCUCUCCGUCACACGGAGUGACAAAUCCCAGUCUUGAUCCAUACUAACUCAACUAACACCUUCGGAGAUACCUGUAGAGCAUCUUUAUAGUCACCCAGUUACGUUGCGACGUUUGAUACACACAAAGCAUUCCUCCGGUGUCAGUGAGUUAUAUGAUCUCAUGGUCAUAGGAAUAAAUACUUGACACGCAGAAAACAGUAGCAACAAAAUGACACGAUCAACAUGCUACGUCUAUUAGUUUGGGUCUAGUCCAUCACGUGAUUCUCCUAAUGACGUGAUCCAGUUAUCAAGCAACAACACUUUGUUCAUAAUCAGAAGACACUNNNNNNNNNNNNNNNNNNNNNNNNNNNNNNNNNNNNNNNNNNNNNNNNNNNNNNNNNNNNNNNNNNNNNNNNNNNNNNNNNNNNNNNNNNNNNNNNNNNNCCCACACCCCCGCACCCACCAGAGACCCCAUCCCCCCACGACACCCCACCCACCUCGCUCGCCCCCUCUCCCUCUCGAUCCACCCUGGAUUGGGCCUGGGAGGCCGAGCCCCGCACCACGGGCGCCACCUCGCCGGUUGCCGUCUGCCUCCUACCAGCCUCCUCCUCUCUUCCGGACCCUCCUGCCCCGCCGUCACCCCGCUGCUGCACCGGCGUCCCCGUCCUUCCCCUCGAUGACCUCCCAAGGGUUCGACGCCCCAGCCCCCCAACAUCACCGGUGAGCCUCCCGGGGCUCCACCCUCUCUUCUUCUCCUCCCCCCAACUCCGAGCACGCCCCGCUCCAGCUCACUCCGGCAAGUCCCGGCGCCGUGCACCACGAACCCCGACGCCCGCUGGCCACCAUGGACUCACUUCUCCUCCCGCAUGGCGCCUGCACUGCCCCGCCAUGUGCUGCCGUGCUACCCCGUCCGUUGGCCCCGUCGCGGCCCCGUUAGCCCUGCCGCCGACAGCGCCCCCUCACCGGCCCUUCGGCCGCCGCAUUGCCCCACGCCGGCGCUGGCCUCGCCGGGGGGCUGCAGGCCACCUUUUGGCCACGCCCCCCCGUGCCUCUUGCUGUUAACAAGGGGGGUUAAUCCCCCCUGUGAGUAGUAAUUGGGGCAACCCCCUCCCCACCGUGUGCAUGACAAAGGGGGCCCAGGAACCCCCCUCUAAAAUGCGUAAAGAACACACACACAUAUAUAAAUAAUAAUCAAAAAAAUAAAAUAAAUAGGUAAUUAAAUAUUUAAAUUAAUUAAUUAAUUAAUUAGUGAAUUAAUUAAUUCGGUGAUUAAUUAGUUAAUAUGAUGUUUAAGGUUAAAUAGUUCAUUAGUUAAAAAUUAACCAGGCAAUGAUAGGUGGGUCCCACGCCCCUUAAUUAAUCCUGAUUAAUGCUAAUUAAAUUAAUUAAAAUCUUGUGUCAAUGACAUAUGGGACCCACUGGUCAUUUUGACGAGUCAACAACCCCUAUUGACUGCGGAUGNNNNNNNNNNNNNNNNNNNNNNNNNNNNNNNNNNNNNNNNNNNNNNNNNNNNNNNNNNNNNNNNNNNNNNNNNNNNNNNNNNNNNNNNNNNNNNNNNNNNCCCACCAGCCCACUAAGGGCUGGUGCGCCACCCUCAUGACCUAUGGGCUUCCCCGGGGUGGGUUGCCCCCCCGGUGAACUCCCGGAACCCAUUCGUCAUUCCCGGUACAUUCCCGGUAACUCCAAAAACCUUCCGGUAAUCAAAUGAGGUCAUCCUAUAUAUCAAUCUUCGUUUCCAGACCAUUCCGGAAACCCUCGUGACGUCCAUGAUCUCAUCCGGGACUCCGAACAACAUUCGGUAACCAACCAUAUAACUCAAAUACGCAUAAAACAACGUCGAACCUUAAGUGUGCAGACCCUGCGGGUUCGAGAACUAUGUAGACAUGACCCGAGAGACUCCUCGGUCAAUAUCCAAUAGCGGGACCUGGAUGCCCAUAUUGGAUCCUACAUAUUCUACGAAGAUCUUAUCGUUUGAACCUCAGUGCCAAGGAUUCAUAUAAUCCCGUAUGUCAUUCCCUUUGUCCUUCGGUAUGUUACUUGCCCGAGAUUCGAUCGUCAGUAUCCGUAUACCUAUUUCAGUCUCGUUUACCGGCAAGUCUCUUUACUCGUUCCAUAAUACAAGAUCCCGCAACUUACACUAAGUUACAUUGCUUGCAAGGCUUGUGUGUGAUGUUGUAUUACCGAGUGGGCCCCGAGAUACCUCUCCGUCACACGGAGUGACAAAUCCCAGUCUUGAUCCAUACUAACUCAACUAACACCUUCGGAGAUACCUGUAGAGCAUCUUUAUAGUCACCCAGUUACGUUGCGACGUUUGAUACACACAAAGUAUUGCUCCGGUGUCAGUGAGUUAUAUGCCGAUGUUUGAUACACACAAAGCAUUCCUUCGGUGUCAGUCAGUUAUAUGAUCUCAUGGUCAUAGGAAUAAAUACUUGACAUGCAGAAAACAGUAGCAACAAAAUGACACGAUCAACAUGCUACGUCUAUUAGUUUGGGUCUAGUCCAUCACGUGAUUCUCCUAAUGACGUGAUCUAGUUAUCAAGCAACAACACUUUGUUCAUAAUCAGGAGACACUGACUAUCUUUGAUCAACUGGCUAGCCAACUAGAGGCUUGCUAGGGACGAUGUUUUGUCUAUGUAUCCACACAUGUAAAUGAGUCUUCAUUCAAUACAAUUAUAGCAUGGAUAAUAAACGAUUAUCUUGAUACAGGAAUUAUAAUAAUAACUAUAUUUAUUAUUGCCUCUAGGGCAUAAUUCCAACAGGUGGGGGAGUUAAAACUUUACUUUUCUGUUUGGGAACCGCCUAUAGCAUGAAUAGCAUGGAAGAUAUUGAGAACUCUUAGUCAUUGCGUUGACAAUGAAAGCAUGCCACCCAAAAUUAUUAUCUCUGUUUUCAAAAGCUUGAGCUCUGGCACCUCUUCAAAUCAAUGCUUCCCUCUGCGAAGGGCCUGUCUAUUUAUUUUCCUGUUGAGUCAUCCUCUUCUUAUAUAAGCACCAAUUAGAGAGCACCUCUGUCAUUUUUAUGCUUUGCUUUUGAUUGAUAUUGAGUAUGACUAUGAAUUACAAUGUUUACAAUGUUUAGUCAGCCCUUGAUCUUUGAAAGUGCUCUGCAUUUAUGUUUUGCGGUCUCACAAAGAGCUAGCGAGAUACCACCUAUUCAUAUUGCUUCAUGCUUGUUUUCAUUGAAUUGUUGGUAUCUGAAACUCAUUAUUAUUUGCUUGCUAGCUGAUUAUGCCAUUGAUAUUAGUUUACUGUGAGACCUUUGUGUCACUUGCUUAUGUGGUUAACUUUUGAUCUUGCUGAAAUUUUGGUUAUGAGUUAGACAUAGUUGCAACAACAAGAUCAAACAGAGUUUGUCAAAGUUUUUCUUUCUCUUUCAGUUUGUGAACUGAGUUGCUUGAGGACAAGCAAGGUUUUAAGCUUGGGGGAGUUGAUACGUCUCCAUCGUAUCUACUUUUCCAAACUCUUUUUCCCUUGUUUUGGACUCUAAUUUGCAUGAUUUGAAUGGAACUAACCCGAAGUGACGCUGUUUUCAGCAGAAUUGCCAUGGUGUUGUUUUUUUGCAAAAAUGAAAGUUCUCGGAAUGUCCUAAAAAUUUACGGAGAAUAUUUCUAGAAAAUAUGAAAAAUACCUGCACAAAGAUCCACCGGAGGGGGUGAGCCAGUGGGCCACAAGCCCUGUGGCCGCGGCCACCCCCCAGGCUGCAGCGUUAGGGCUUGUGGGGCCCACGUGGCUCUGCCGCCCCCAAACUCAGCGCUAUUUAUUCCCUUUUGUCCCGAAAAAAAUAAAGAGAUAAGAUUUCAUCGCGUUUGCGACACGGAGGCGCCGCCACAUCCUGUUCUUCAUCUAGAGGGCAGAUCUGGAGUCCGUUUUGGGUUCCGGAUCAAGGAGAUCGUCGCCAUCGUCAUCAUCAACCUUCUUCCCUCUCCAAUUCCAUGAAGCUCUUCAUCGUUCGUGAGUAAUCUAUUCAUAGGCUCGCUGGGCGCUGAUGAGUAGGAUGAGAUCUAUCAUGUAAUCGAGUUAGUUUUGACGGGGAUUGAUCCCUAGUAUCCACUGUGUUCUGAGAUUGAUGUUGCUACUACUUUGCCAUGCUUAAUGCUUGUCACUAGGGCCCGUGUGGCAUGAUUUCAGAUCUGAAAUUAUUAUGUUGUCACCAAUAUAUGUGUGUUUUAGAUCCGAUCUUGCAAGUUGUAGUUACCUACUAUGUGUUAUGAUCCGGCAACCCCGGAGUGACAAUAACCGGAACCACUCCCGGUGAUGACCAUAGUUUGAGGAGUUCAUAUGUUCACCAAGUGCUAACGCGCUGGUCCGGUUCUUUAUUAAAAGGAGAACCUUAAUAUCCUGUAGUAUCCACUUGGACCCCGCUGCCACGGGAGGGAUGGACAAUAGAUGUCAUGCAAGUCCUUUUCCCUAAGCAUGUAUGACUACACACGGAAUGCAUGCCUACAUCACAUUGACGAACGGGAGCUAGCCACAUAUCUCUCCAUGUUAUAACUGUUGCAUGAUGAAUGUCAUCCGACAAAUCGCCGAUCCAUUGCCUACGAGUUUGUCCCACUACUGAUGUUACUUAUUUUGCUCUGCUGUUGUUACUACUGUUGCUGCUACUGUUACUUGCUACCACUGUUACUUGCUUUGUCAUGUUGCUGCUGCCACUACUGUUGCUACUACUGUUACUUCCUACUGCUGCUACUUGCUACUGCUGUCACUACUGUUGUUCCUUGCCACUGCCGUUACUCGUUACACUGCUGCUACCUGCUACAAUACUUUUCUGGCGCCAUUGAUACAACAGUUAGGAAUAGUCUGCCUCGUCAACAGAUCGUUUCUGGCACCGUUGCUAUGAUACUACAUGUGCUACUUAUAUCCUGCUUGCGGAUACUAAUAUUUCAGGUGUGGUUGAGCUGACACCUCAACUGCUAAUACUUGAGAAUAUUCUUUCACUUCCCGUCGUGCGAACUAAAAAAUUCGGUUGAAUACUCUACCCUCGAAAACUGCCGCGAUCCCACGCGCUNNNNNNNNNNNNNNNNNNNNNNNNNNNNNNNNNNNNNNNNNNNNNNNNNNNNNNNNNNNNNNNNNNNNNNNNNNNNNNNNNNNNNNNNNNNNNNNNNNNNGAAGAUUGAUAUAUAGGAUGACCUCAUUUGAUUACCGGAAGGUUUUCAGAGUUACCGGGAAUGUACCGGGAAUGACGAAUAGGUUCCGGGAGUUCACCGAGGGGGCAACCCACCCCGGGGAAGCCCAUAGGCCUUGAGGGUGGUGCACCAGCCCUUAGUGAGCUGGUGGGACAGCCCAAAAGGGCCCUAUGCGCAUUGGAAGGAAAAAUCAAAGAGAAAAAAAAAGAGGAGGUGGGAAGGGAAGGAAGGACUCCCACCCACCAAACCAAGUCCAACUCGGUUUGGGGGGGGGGGAGACCUUCCCCCUCGGCUCGGCGCACCCCNNNUCCAACCCGGUUGGGGGGGGGGGGAGACCUUCCCCCUUGGCUCGGCCGACCCCCUUGGGGCUCCUUGAGCCCCAAGGCAAGGCCCCCCCCUCUCCCACCUAUAUAUACGGAGGUUUUAGUGUUGGGGAACGUCGCACGGGAAACAAAAAAUUUCCUACGCGCACGAAGACCUAUCAUGGUGAUGUCCAUCUACGAGAGGGGAUGAGUGAUCUACGUACCCUUGUAGACCGUACAGCAGAAGCAUUAGAUAACGCGGUUGAUGUAGUGGAACGUCCACACGUCCCUCGAUCCGCCCCGCGAACAAUCCUGCGAUCAGUCCCACGAUCUAGUACCGAACGGACGACACCUCCGCGUUCAGCACACGUACAGCUCGACGAUGAUCUCGGCCUUCUUGAUCCAGCAAGAGAGACGGAGAGGUAGAAGAGUUCUCCGGCAGCGUGACGGUGCUCCGGAGGUUGGUGAUGACCUUGUCUCAGCAGGGCUCCGCCCGAGCUCCGCAGAAACGCGAUCUAGAGGAAAAACCGUGGAGGUAUGUGGUCGGGCUGCCGUGGAAAAGUCGUCUCAAAUCAGCCCUAAAACCUCCGUGUAUAUAGGUGGGAGGGAGGGGACCUUGCCUUGGGGCUCAAGGAGCCCCAAGGGGGUCGGCCGAGUCCAAGGGGGGAGGACUCCCCCCCCCAAACCGAGUUGGACUUGGGAGGACUCCCCCCCCCCCAAACCGAGUUGGACUUGGUUUGGUGGGAGGGAGUCCCCCUUCCUUCCCACCUCCUCCUUUUUUUUUCUUUCUCUUGAUUUUUAUCUCUAUGGCGCAUAGGGCACUUGUGGGCUGUCCCACCAGCCCACUAAGGGCUGGUGUGCCUCCCUCAAGGCCUAUGGGCUUCCCCGGGGUGGGUUGCCCCCCCCCCCCCCCCCNNNNNNNNNNNNNNNNNNNNNNNNNNNNNNNNNNNNNNNNNNNNNNNNNNNNNNNNNNNNNNNNNNNNNNNNNNNNNNNNNNNNNNNNNNNNNNNNNNNNAAUAAUAACUAUAUUUAUUAUUGCCUCUAGGGCAUAAUUCCAACAGGGUCAUCUUCGGAUGAACGCAGCUCUGGCACGACUCCGAGUAUUCCGACAACAACGGCACCUCGGGUUGACCGCACGAAUUCCGGAAGCAUGGACGCCGUGAAUGUUAAGGCAUUAGACGAGCUGCUUGGUCGAAUUCAGGCCAUGGGAGUAUCCCACGACCAACCGUCGAUCUACGAUCAAAUCGGGAUCAGACCCAAUGACAUGAAAAUCCAUAUCCCAUCUAUCACGCACUUAAUUGCCACUAUCGAUAAACCAGCGGAAGUUUCGCCCUCCCAAUCAUCGAAACUCAGAACCGUCGGUAUUCUGUAACCCAAACUCUCCAAGUAAUCCGGCAGUCGAGUUACGCUCCAAACUCAAUUCGGAGCGUGAGCAGUCGUGUCCGGCCAGCCAUCCACGCUGUGAACCCUACGCUCUGGACUCUUCAAUAGUGUCAGACACAAUUGGCAAUACCAAAGACACGUUUCUAUUGAAACAACAACUUUCUUCCCACCCGCCUCCCAAUCUAGGCGCCAUCUGAGCAUCUCAGAAAAGCCUAGCAUGCGGGACCUCCACCUCAUCUAGCAAAAGCCAGGGGAAACAGUCCAACACUUCUGGGCUAGAUUUCUCCUGACCAUAAACCAGAUACCGGACAACAGCGACCAAGAAGUUAUAGACAUAUUCCGGCAUAACUGCCACGAGGAGGGAAUCCUAAAUGCCCUCACCCGCCGCCGCGUACAAGGCCUUACCAAGCUUUCUACAUUGAUAUGCAAAUAUUGUGCUAUGGAAAGUACGUGGAAGUCUCAACAAUUGCAAUUGGAAUCAGUCCAUAUAGAGCAGUCCAGCGAAGCUCGGAGGAAGCGCGCGUCCCAACUACGAUCGAUUGAUCGCGGGCACUAAGGGAAGAAAAAAAAACUAUGGAUGGAUCCCCGACUGUACUUGAUAAACCAUUGGACAACCCAUGCCCUAUACAUUCCGCAUUACCCAACACUAACUCGACUCACGUCCUUUGAGCUUGUUGGGUCGUCAGCAAGUGGCCAAAAGAAGAGAGGUUAUCAUUGGGACCCAACCACUCCAAAAGCAUUCAUCCAAACUGCAACACACCAGUGUCAAUGUGCUCAUAAUUUACGAGACUUUCUCCUCAAACAAUCGAAGGAAAAGAGCUCUUCGAGAAACCGAACAUGUAUUCCGGGUGGCAGCAACAAACUCCUGGACAAACAUGCCUAUAACCAUUACUAAGGAGGAUAAGCCUGGAAUACAUUUUAACCGAACACCUGCCACACUAGUCAUCAAUCCCAUUAUAGAUGGUUUCAAACUAUCCAUGGUGCUAAUGGACGACGUCAACUGCUAAAACUUCAUUUAUGAGGAUACUUUCGAUAAAAUGCAGUUCAACAGAUCCCACGUCAAACGGAGCAGCACAACCUUUCGAGGAAUCAUCCACAGAAGAUAAGUGCGGUACACAUGCCGGGUCUGCCUUGAUGUUGUAUUAGGCACCUACGAGAAUUACAUGUACGAAGAACUCAUCUUUCAUAUUGUACCCUUUAAAAGUGGCUAUCAUGCUCUUUUGGGACGGGGGGCCUUCACAAGAUUCCAGGCCAUACCGCAUUAUGGGUACAUGAAACUCAAAAUUCCCAGGCCCAACGGUGUCAUUACCCUCACAUGUGAACCGGAUAGGGCUGUGCAGACCGAUAAUAAAACUACAAUGCUCGCUCUUAAGGCACUUUCGUAAACCUUUUCGGUGAAGGAUCUCACUGAACUGCGAUCGGUGGUCGACAAGGACGAUGUAACUCUUAGCAAGAGACCGAAGUCUACAUCCUUCAAGCCGCUCAUGAAAUAAAAAAAAUUCAAGUGCAUCCGACAGAUCCCAAUAAAACAACAUCCAUCGGAGCACAACUCGACCUUGCAGUCGAUGAAGCAUUGCGCACUUUCUUAUGAGAAAACUGGGAAUAUUCGCGUGGCACCCUUGAGACAUGCCAGGAAGCCCACGAAAUAUGGCCGAUCAUAGCUUAAAAAUAAUGGAUGGCUUCAAACCCGUUAAACAUACAUUACUUCGCUUCUCCGAGACCAAGGUCAAGCCGUGGGUACCGAACUAGCAAAAUUUCUCGAAGCCGGAUUCAUUCGAGAGAUCAAACACCCGAGUGGUUGGCAAAUUUGGUCAUGGUUCCGAAGAAGGACAAAUCCUGGCGGCAAUGCGUUGAUUUGAAAUAUCUCAAUAAAUCCUGCCUUAAGGAUCCACUUCCUUUACCUCGCAUAGACCAAAUCAUUGAUGCCACCGCCGAACAUGACUCAUUAUGUUUCCUUGACGCCUACUCCGGAUACCAUCAAAUAAAGAUGAAGGAAUCCGAUCAAGACACAACUGCUUUCAUCACUCCCUAAACCCAAUGCUCUUUGGGUUAAAAAUGCAGGUGCCACAUAUCAACGCAUGAUUCAAACAAGCCCAGAGAAGAAAAUCGACAAGACAAUCGAGGCAUACGUGGAUGACGUGGUCAUCAAGACUAAACAUGUGAUUCAGCUAGUGGACGACCUUCGACAAACCUUUGACAAUCUACGAAAAUAUGACAUACGACUCAAUCCGGAGAAGUGUGUCUUCGGCGUUCCCGAAUGCAAACUACUAAGUUUCAUCGUCUCCCAUAGAAGAAUAGAGGCCAAAUCAGCAAAAAUUCGAGCUCUAUCCCAGCUGGCGAUCCUGACAGAGUUAAAACACGUACAAAAACUAGCAAACUGUGUGGCAGCUUUAAGCCGUUUCAUUUCUCACCUCGGCGAAAAGGGACUACCACUGUAUCGACUGCUUAAGCAAACAAAAAACUUCGAACGGACCGAAGAAGCAACAACAACCCUAGAGGAAAUUAAAACAUUGCUAUCUAGUAAUCCAAUACUGACAGGACCUACCACAGGAGAACCAAUGCUAUCAUACAUAUCGACCACCAACCAGGUUGUCAGCGCAGUACUCGUGGUCGAACGAGAGGCUGUUGGCCAUAAACUCCGUAUACAGAAACUGGUUUACUAUGUGUCUAAAGUACCUACCUCGUGCAAAUCUCGCUAUCCACACUACCAAAAGAUAGCCUACACAUUUUUUAUGGCAUCUCGCAAGCUCCAAUACUACUUUCAAGAGUGUUCGGUCAUGAUAGCAUCUGAAGAACCCUUGAAUGAUAUAACCAAUAGCAAGGAUGCCACUAGACACAUAGACAAAUGGUCCAUAGAGCUCUUACCUUUUGAAAUCACGUACCGGCCACGUCGAGCUAUCAAGUCUCAUGUAUUGGUUGACUUUCUAGCCGAAUGGACUAGCCAAGCACGAACCCGUCCCUAAAAUACCUUUAUGGAAUGACUCUUCAAGCCUUUCGAGGUAUGGCAGGACGAAAAUGAGGACACUGGAGCCACGGGAAAGGAACAAGUCACCCCCUAUAGUUGAGCCAGGUGAUCAAAUCAUCAGCGGCUCUACACUGGAGGAAACACUUUCGUCUCACAAAAUGAUGGUUGUAACUGCGCCGUGGACCGAGCCCUUCGUGGAUUAUCUUCUCCACCAGGAACUCCCCAAUGACCAAACAGAAGCAAGACGGAUAGAUCAACGAUCCAAGUCUUAUAAGGUUCAUGAAGGGGAACUCUAUAAAAAAGCACUACCGGAGUCCUCCAGGGAUGCAUAUCCGAACAAGGUAAACAAGUUUUGGCUGAAAUACAUGCAGGUAUGGGCGAUCACCACACAACGGCUAGAGCUAUGGUAAGCAAAGCAUUUCGGGCUUGCUUCUUUUGGCCAACAACUUGAGAAGACGCUCAUACACUCGUCCAACAUUACGUCAGAUGUAAGCUUUUUGCAAAUCGAAGCCACAUGCAUGCAAUAUCUCUUCGAACAAUACCGAUCACUUGGCCGUUCGCGGUCUGGGGGCUGUACAUGGUCGGAGCUCUCAAAGGGGGAUCCAAUAAAAGGAAAUAUUUGCCGGUUAUGGUCGAUAAGUUCACUAAGUGGAUCGAAGCUAAACCAGUAACUUGCACCAAGUCCGGACCGGUCAUCAAUUUUAUAUCAGAUGUGGUGCGCCAAUAUGGUGUUCCUCGUAGUAUAAUAAUGGAUAACAGAUCCAAUUUCAAAGUCCAGGAAGUUAAGGACUAGUGUGUGAACUUGGGCAUUAAGCUGUACUUCGCUUCUGUGUAUUACCCGCAAACAAAUGGAGAGGUCGAACGAGCUAAUGGUAUCAUCAUGAGCGGAAUCAAGCCAUGUUAAGUCCAAUCUUUGAAAGAAUUUGAUUGCCAUUGAAUAGAGGAGUUCGACUCCAUAUUAUGUGGUUUAUUGACCACUUCGAAUGGAUCAACGAGUUAUAUGCCAUUUUCCAUGGUGUAUGGGGCGGAAGUAGUCCUCCCCUGUGAUAUCAUUGAUGAUGCACCUAGAGUGGGCAUGUACGAGGAAAAAGAAGCCUAGUUGGAUCGUCAGGAUGACUUGGAUGCACUAGAAGAAGAGCAUGAUAUAGCUCUGGCAUGUUCCACCUUCUAUCAAGAGCAGGCCCGAUGCUCGAGAGCAGGGAAGUUCGAGCGAAGACUUACAAUGUGGGCGAGCUUGUGCUACGUCUCCCUAAGAAGAAGAAGAAUAAACUUGCACUCAAAUGGGAGUGCCCUUUCAUAAUCGACGACGUACUUGCAGGAGGAGCGUGUCAUCUCCACAACGCGUCACAUAAUCGUCUUGAACCAAACCCAUGUAACGCGGCUCGUCUUUGGCGUUUCUAUAGCUAGACCCGUGCAGUCACGUUGAUUUAGUGCCUUUUACCUUUUCAGUUUUUAUCCCUUUUCUUUGUCCUCUUUCAAGUUGAUUGAUCAUAGUACAUUUGUGCCUGUAGUUCAUGAUGUGUUUAUCCUUCCUAUACUUAAGCCGUUAUAUGCACUAAUCUGACUUAUGAUUUUGCCAAGCUGGGUUUCCUGGCUUGUGUGUUUAUCCUCUAUGUUCCCGAUUGUUUGGCUAGAGGAUAAAGGGGCCACCUGUGCGGUUGUUACGACCGGGUAAUCCGGAUACGUACCUUAUACGUCCAUUUUGCAUCAUGAAUCUUUAUUUAUAUUUGUCUUAUUAUUGCACAUUAUUCCCAGUUAUUAUGUAAUUCUUAGUUCUUUUCUCUCUGAAUAUGCAAGGUACAUUACAAAGAGGGAAGUAUCCGGAAACUGGAAUUGUGGACCGAGAAACCGAGAAAAGGCAGAAAAAUCAAGUUGCUCCAAAUGACCUGAAACUUCACGGAGAUUUUUUCUGGAAUAUAUAAGAAUUAUUGGGCCAAAAAUACAUAGAAGAGGGGUAGCCACCUGGGCACAAGCCAACAUGGCACCCCCAGGCCGCACCGUGAUGGCUUGUGGGGCCCGUGUUGGUCCUUCGAAGCUUCUCUUAUCCGACAUGGUGUGUUUUACCCGAGAAGAAAAAUCAAGACAUAACUUUCGGGAUGAAUUGUCGAAAUUGAGGGAGUCCGGGAUUAGGGGGUCCUUGGGCCGUCUACCUAUCCUCAUCGGCCGGACUCUCUACCCUGUUCGACCAUCGAUAGAAGUAUUGGAUUCGAGAUGAACUCUACUGAAGACUUGGCGUGUAAUCCAAGGAGAUGCAGUAAACGAAAUAUUCCUUCUGUGUUGAAACCGACCUUGUGUAAACCGUGACACGCCUAGCGUCUAUAUAAGCCAGGGGUUCAUAGCUCAUAGGAUAUAUCAAGGUGAUUACGAUUAGGGACCACAACAAUGAUCUCGCAGUAGAUCAACUCUAUACUUUGUACUAUUCCAUCAAUAACAACAAGAGCGGGACGUAGGGUUUUACCUCCAUCAAGAGGCCCCGAACCUGGGUAAAACACCAUCUCCAUCGUCUCUUGUUACCCAUCAAACUUAGACCCACAAUUCGGACCCCCUACUUUAGAUCGGCCGGUUUUUACACCGACAUUGGUGCUUUCAUUGAGAGCUCUGUUGUGAGGUCGCAAAAAGGUUUGAUGGCUCGCUUGGUCACAAGCGUCACUGUCUAGUGUGGAGAUAUUUUCGUCUACGGUCAAUCCUCUUCUUUCAGCAGUUCCACCUCGCACUUCAAGGUGGCUCAUCAUCAGAUCGAUGGGGUCACCCUGGGUUAGGAAUUUAAGUUUGGUGAGUUGGAUUUCGUUGCCAACACCCACGGCGACCUGCUCCUUUCCGUUGUUUCGGCUAUGACCGAGAACCUCGAAAUAUCGAAAGCUUUAACUUUGAUCCCUAUUCUAGACUUCAAGUCCAGAAUAGAUUUAAACCUUGAUUCAACCUCGAGCCAAGAUUCGGCUAUGGAAUUCGGGGACAGGAGGGUCAUCUUGCCCGAACACACAUCCUAUGCCGAAACCUCGGAAUACAAUUCCGUCAGGUCUCCGAGCGCAAGUCCAGCAAAUCUCUCAUGGUCGAAUGAGACAAAGACCCAAGCCCAAACUGAUGACUAUUCGAACGAGCGGGCUCCGACCCAGGACCAUCCCGUCAAUGGAACUAGGUGUAGGNNNNNNNNNNNNNNNNNNNNNNNNNNNNUGUAGGGAACUUUAUUCCCCACCCACCACCCACUUUGUCGCCACCAUUGAAGAUCUAACUGUGUUGUUAGACUUCUCUUCUGAAGAAGCCAAAGAUAUGGACACAACUAUUCAAUCUCCAAACCCUCCCAUAACGGGACGAUGGGACGCCACCUCCACGUAUGAUGUCUACAUGGUGGACACCCCCAGGGAUGAAGGUGUUGGCGUUCUGGGAACGGGGGUACCCAGACCUGCUUGCCUGCGGCCUGAGGCUGGCCCACUUCACAACUAGGCAUGGCGCCACUCAUGAUAAGGCCCUCGCGAGGGCCCGAGCCUCGCGAGGAGGAGGAGCACCAAGACCAGCAGGGGGGCCCUUCAGGACCCCUCCAGAGCGGCGGAGAUUCCAGUGCAAGACUCGGCCUCAUGAGUCAAGGAUGAUGCAGGGAAGGACAUGCGAGCAGGGGACAGCAGGGCGGUGCAGUUUCCCCUUUCGUGCAAGAGGGGCAAUAACGUACACGGGUUCCCAAGGUGUAACAACCGAGAUGCUUUGUUUCCUUUUUUGUAAGCCUUACCAAUUAUGGCAACCUUGUUUACCUAUGUUAUGGAAGUGGUGAGGUGAUUAUCAUUUCAUGUGCAUCUCAUCCAUCAUGCAUAUCUUGUAUCUUCCUUGUGCUAGUCUUGUUCUUGUCUACCUUGGUGAUGUGAUUGCAUGUGGCUUGUGUUGUUAUUGUGAAGUGUGGUGUGGGUGCAACAAGGGCCUUCAAAAAUCUUAAUUGCACCAUAGACCAAACAAACCCCACCUCUCCUUUAUAUUUUGAGGCAGAAUUAAGUUUCUGUUUUGGGGCAUUAAAAAUGAUCAUCUUCUUUGGAAAUACUUUUAGAUAUUUGUGGGUGACAUCCCUCAUUUAAUUGAAGUUGUUUUCCUUUUUGUUUUAAUUUAAAACAGGGGCAGAUUUAAUUAAACAAGUAAAUUUACUUAGCUCUAAAAUGCCUCAUCUAUUUUUAUAAAUAGGAGGAGCAUUUUAGAGACUUAUAUUUAUAUUCAAUUUUAUUCAUUUUUAUUUUUUCCUUCCCUGGCUUUAUUCCAAAACUGGUUGAUUUAUUUUUAAAAAAGAGAAAACCAACAUGUGUUUUAAAAGAGUGUGAGGGAACAUAACGGGACCUGGCCCAUUGCCUUCUCUCUGGCGCUAGAGCCCAUUCCCCUUUCCUUCUACCUCCUCACGCCGUGUUCCUCUCUGUUCGCUUUCCGUCAAAGAGCUGCGAGAGAGAUAGAGAGCCACGUGGCGUGGCACGGACGCCAACGCCGUCAAGCCGUCCCAUCCGCGCCUAUUUAGAGCCCCCCUCGGCAUGCGUGCUUUAGGGUUCCCUCUCCCCGCCGCCAGCCUCUCUUCCUUCUUCUUUCCCCCUCUGUAGGUAAGGAUUCAGAGAGGGAUUUAGAGAGAGAGAGAGAGAGAGAGAGGUUUAGAGACAGUGCCGUUGCUCUCGCCAUCGUUCCCCCCUCAUCGUCGGUGCUUCUCCGUCAAGUCCAAGCGCGCACUUAGGAUGCUGGGUCCUCCCUUGACCCGUUCCAGUCGCUAGAGGGGUGGAUCCCUUCCUCUGCUGCCUCCUCCACGACGGCUUCAUCAGGAUCAGAGCGGAGCAGUGCCGUCGCCGUCGCCCCGCCUCUUCUUCCUUCCUCUCGGCGUCAAGCGCGUCUACGAGUCUCUCAGGGUGAGCCAUCGUGUCGCCUUCCCCUCUCCGCUUCCCCGUAGGGUCGCCGUAGCAUAGCUGUAGUUGCUGUCAUCGCCGCCGUGGCAGAGGAGGAGUAGCGCCGUCGAGCCGCCGUUGCGGGCUCUCCGUGGAGUUAGGCACGGGAAUGGAACCCCCUGAGGUUCCCGCAUCCCCGUCGGUCUCUCGUUGCUGUCACCAUUGCCGCAUCAUCGCCGGAGUCGACCUCAUCCUUCCCUGUUCUGGAGGUAGAAGAAGAUGUGGUGCUGUGUAAUUUAGCCUCUCUGGGGCAGAACCCCUUCUGGUUCAGACCCCCUCCUAGCCCAAUGGUUCCAGAGCUGCACCCCGACCAGGGGAUCGUGGGUUCGAAUCCCCCUCGCGUCUUGUGUUUUUCUGGUGUUUCUCCCCUGCGGUAGAAUCGGUAGCAGGUAGCUUAGCUGAUUUAUCUCCCCUGUUAGAACAACAACAGGGUGCUAGCCAUGUGGUAGCUGGUGAGGUGUGUAGCAGAGAGGUGGUGGGUUCGAAUCCCCCCUCUUGCACCUUUAUUUUGCUUAUGUUUGUGAGUUUGGGUGCUGUGUGUAUGACAGUGGGCCACUGUGAGGACCCACAUGUCAUCCUGUGAGGGCCACUGCCAGGUGGACCCCCUCACUAUAUUUUUUCCUAUGUUUGUUUUGUUGUUUGUGGAUGUAGUAAUAUUCCCUAAGUGUUGCAACUUAUGUUUUCUUGCCCUGUUUAGAGCCUCAUAAUAGGUAGAGUGAUGUUCUUUUGGGCUGCUUCAUAGAUAAAUAUGGUAGUGGGUGAACCCCUCUACAACUUGGUACAUAUAUUUUGCUCUUAGGAUUUUGCAUGUUCUUAUUACACCUUUUCAAAGUGGGCACUUGACUGAAAAUGACAGUUUUGAGAAAAACUGUGAAUUUCACUAAGUCUGGAAAUCUGGGGUUAUUUUCUUGCCGUGUUGUGUUGUUCAUAUUUGCUCCUCUGUUGGGAAUUAGCCCAAGCAACAAACUAUUUUUUGUUUUCUGGUAUGUUUGUCUAGCUCUCUAUCAAAUUUCAUGCCCAGAUACCUCAUGUAGAUAUCCUAUUGGAGGGUGCCAAAAUGAUUUAGAGCAUAAGCAGCUGGUGAAAAUCUGUAAUUUUUACUAAGUCCCAAUCUGUGAUAUUUUGCCAAGUUAGGGGCUGUAUAUCUGCUGAUGUGUAAUCUCUUUGCCUUAGAUACUUGUUGGAGGUGGUAAUGCAGUUGGAUGGCUUCAGUUUCAUGUCUUGUUUGAAUCAUUUAGAGGGCUAUAGCUGUUACAGAUAUUGUAGUCAAAGUGUUGCUGUUAGAAACAGAUUGUGUGUCAAACUGGUUUUUGAGCAUGUGUGAGUUAUGGGUGAUGGUUUUGUGUGUUCUCAAACACCGUUCCACUGGUAUUUUGGUGCUUUCUCAUUUGGCAACCUGGUUAGACCAGUGAGUGCCCACAUAAUUGUGUUUGUGGCUGUUUUGAAUCCGUAGACCUUCGUAACUUGUUUUGUAGUUUCUGGUUUAUCCGAGACUCCGUUCACGACUUCCGGUUGAUCCGAGACUCCGUUCAUGACAUGCUUUAUAGGUUUUUGCAUAGUUUUCUUGUGAUGCACAUGUUUAUGCCAUCUUCAUGCAUGUCAAGAUAAAUUGACAUGAGGUUUUGUCCAAAAUAUAAACAACUCAACUAAUGCAUGUGAAAGUGACUAGAAUAGUGAUGCAUGCCCUCUUCAUCACACAUGCAUCAUAUUUUUUUGUUGCAUUAUGUUUUGCUGGUGUUUAUUUGCUGUUAUCUUAUCUUUGGGUAGCAUCAGGAACGGAGAGCGAGUACGUGGAUUCUGGAGAGUUCGUGCAGGAAGAACAAGAGCAGUUCCAGUCUGAAGAAAUCACACGCAAGAUGACCGUGACCUUGACACCGUUUCUAGCUUUGUUAUGCUUAGAGUUACGUUUCCUUCGUUACAUGCCCGCUGCCUAUCACAUGAUAUAUAUGCCAUCCAUAUUUGCCAUCGAACCUCAAACACUUCCCUUCCUAGCAAAUAUUGUUUGGCUAAGUAGGCUUGCUCAACCACUAAUGGAUAGCAUUGCUAGUUGCAGGUGCUAGCUGGCCCAUGUGAUAGCAUGGGCAAUUUGAUAACAUCAUAUUAUCUGUUAUUUAAUUAAUGCACCUAUAUACUUGGUAAAUAACGGAAGGCAUAGCCUUUUGCCGGGUGAUUUGUUUCGUUGUUGCCGCCUUAGUUUCGGCUACCAGUGUUUGAUUCCAUAACUGAGCGCUCCUAACACGUUCGGGGUUGUUAUGGGGACCCCCUUGAUAAAUCGCAUAGUGUUAAGGCUUGUCUGGCACGACCCAACAUUGGUUUUAAUUGCUAGAACUUAAUAAUAAAAUGCAUAGAGAAUAGCUACCCCGAGGAAUUAAACAACAACCCGGGCCAGUGCUCCUCAUGGGUGUUGGUCCAAAUUGGGCAGACUGCGGGGCCACCACAAGGAAAGUUGAGGUCUGGUAUCCUGUAGGCUUUCCCAUCUGUCAUGUCCUGAGAUUGAGAUAUGCGGCUCUUAUCGGGGUCGUCGACACGUCGGGUGGUCUUGCUAGAUUUGUCUUACCUUAGCGAUAUAUCUUGCGCAUUGGGAUUCCGGUGAAACUUUGGGUUUCUCAGAGUUGAGGUUUUCCUCUAAGGAAUCCGACGCGAUCACGAGUUUCGUGGAAGAGGAUCACUAUGCGGCCUGUGGUAAUUUGUGAUGGACUAGUUGGAGCACCCCUGCAGGGUUUAAUCUUUCGCAAAGCCGUGCCCGCGGUUAUGUGGCAAACAUGGGUAUUUUAUUAGCAUCCGGUUCUAGACAACUUAAAGUAAUUCUAAAAAAACCGCCAACUGAGUGCGUAACUGUGACUGUCUCCUUGAGAGCCCCUUCUCUGAUCGAGAACACGGUGGGGUUAUGAUUGAUGUAAGUAGGUGUUUACGAUCACUUAGUGAUCAAUGUAGUCUUCGACCGACUUGCGUAGAGCACCAUAUGUUUACUUUGAUCAUCGUAAGGUAGCCACGAUAUAUGCUUAGUUUGCUGCAAACCCAUACACUUAACCUUCCUCACCCAUUAACCCGGCUAGAUUCGAUAUCAAGGUCAUUCGAUUGCUGAGUCCUCGUGGCUCACAGUUUACUACAAACACCCACAGGUACAGGUACGCCUGAUGCAGGAGAUCCCGAAGACAGCUAGCUGAAGUGGGAGUUCGAUGAGGACAGCGGAAGGCUGUACGUGACUUAUCCGGAGGACUAGAGGCCGUGGUCGUGAUCGUGGGGCCAGCAUGCGGGAUAUCAUAGCUUUAUCUAUUUUUAUCUUGUUCGUAGUUGGACCAUACCAUGUUUCGAAUAAAUGUAUUUGUAUGACUAUUUGACUAUGUUCUUAUCAGAUGGCAAGUGCAUGCCCUACUUGUCACUCUUUCAGUUAUGUAAUGUUAUGAUUAUAUCGUUUGUGAAACGUGUAGAUGCACCCCUUUCCCUUUUGAGGCCUCACCCCCAAAUAAGGAAAGGGCCGCAUCUUAGUCGUUACAAGUUGGUAUCAGAGCCUUAUGACCAUAGGAGCCUUUGCGUGAUCGAACUUAGCCGAGUCGAGUCUAGCAAAACUAUUUUAGUCUUAGUUAUAUCGGAGAGUAGGUUUCUUUUUUCUCCUCUUCUAUGCUUUGGUGAGGUUCACAACUUAGGAAAUCUUAAUUCUACUACUCUUCUCGCUCAAAUUUUUUUUAGGAUCACGCGGAUAUUUUCGAAUCUAUAUGAUGUCGAUGUGACGGAGUUCUGUCUUGGUGCCUCCCGUCUGACUUGAUUUCUUCUCGCGAGUUGAGCUCCAGGGGAUUCUUGAGCACAUCGCUGUCAUUCAGAUUUCUUAGUAUCUCAGGACGGAGGACAUUCGUAAUUGCUUCAAUACUAGUAGUGACGAGAGGAGUCUGGCUUCCCCAGUACUGGUGCAGAGAGUUCCAGAUGUAUCACCACACUUAGUAUCGUUGUGAUUACGAGGGUCUGUGAUAGAUGAAUUUCCAAGAUUCUGGUUAUGUGUUGACGGAUGUGAUACACUGGACGGGUUAGUAUAGGAGUUUAGUGACAUAUUACUCCUUGUAUCCGUGGACCAGAUUGCAUGACCAGAUAUUUCGGGAGUUCAUAGGUGGGAUAUUAGGUAGUGACUUAUAGGACAAUCUUCCUACAGAUGCAUGAUGUGAGGUUGGGAUUCGACAUUCAGUGGGUCCGUUUGUUCACGGUCGUCUUACAACGGUUCUCGUUGUGUCUUAUGAGUCCUUGUAGCUUGCUACGACUCGGGGACGCUUCAUAUGUCGUGUGCACUGCCUUGCACAGGAUGACUAGUGUAAGUUCGAGCCCGUGCGAUCAUAUCCACGAUAUAUCGGAUGAAAUCUCUGUCAUACGUUUGUUCCGAGCAAUCCUAGCUCAUACUUGGUUUGUGAGUGGCCUUUAAUCAGAUGUUGUCGGCAGUCACUUUGAGGAAGCAUUCUUACUAAUUAUUGUUCAAAUGCAAUUGCUAAGUAUUCUUGUUCGGAUAUUUGUGCCUAUUGAUUCAGCUUUCCCUUGAAUGUUAAUCUCUGGUCUAACGUGCUGUCCGUCUUCAGGAUGGCUCCACCAACUCGCCAGAAUCCGGGUCGCGAGGGUGCUGAUGCUCCGCCACCUCCUCCGCCUCGUCCUCCUCCAGAGGCAUGGCAAGCGGUGAUGGCUGCAACAAAUGCUAACACCCAGAUGUUACUUCAGCUGUUGCAAGAGAGGAACAAUCAACAUCAGGGCAAUUUCAACCAUGGUGGUCAUCAGUUUGCAUCUCUGAAUCAAUUCCUGGCGAACCAGCCGAAGUCCUUCACAUCUUGUGACCAGCCAUUCGACGUUGAGGACUGGAUUCGUGACAUGAAUAAACACUUUGAGUGCAGCAAUGUCCGACGAGAGGACUUCGUCAAGUUUGCAAUGUUUCAACUCAAGGGGCAGGCAACAGUAUGGUGGCAGCAGUUGAAGGACUCCAGGGAAGGCAGAAUGAUCAGUUCGGACAAUUUCUGCAAAGAUUUGAGGUCUCACUAUAUCCCGUCUAGCUUUGUGGAAUAGAUGCGUGAGAAGUUCAGACACUUGAAGCAAUGAGGAUCUUCUGUGUACAAGUACAACGUUGAGUUCCACGAGCUGGCUCGGUAUGCUAUAGAGUACAUCCCAGAUCAGAAGAGCAAGAUUUAUCAGUUCAGAGGUGGUCUGAGGGAAUACUUGCAGUUGGCCCUUGCCUUGCAAGAUCCCGAUGAGUUUGAUAAGUUUUAUAACUUGGCUCUCAGGGCUGAAGCGACUUUGCUCAAAGUGAAGAAUUCGAGGAAUCGUUUCAGAGACUCGAGUUCCUCGCCCUCAACUCAGGUGGUCCAGAAGCAACAGAAAUAUUGGGUGUCUUCUCCUCCUCGGCAGAUUCAGCAGUUCAAGCAGUCACGUGGUCGUGGUUCUUCCCAGCCACCCAACCUAGCCUUUCAGCAGAGGUUUCAGCAACAGAAGCAAGGGAAUCCUCAAGUGCAAUUCCGUCCGCUGUCAGAUGUCACUUGUCACAAGUGUGGGUAGAAGGGUCACUACUCCAAAAAGUGCACCUCUUAGCAGCGUCUUCUGCCCCCUCCUCCAGUGAAGCCUCCAGGCUAUGCUAUGGUGAAGUUCAAUCCCAGGUCUGCGAGAGUCAAUAUGGUGAAUGCAGCAGAAGCAAAAAACUCCUUAGACGUGAUAAUGGGUAAUCUUUCAGUUAAUGAUACUCCUGCAAAUGUUUUAUUUGAUUAUGGUGCUUCACAUUGUUUCAUAUCAUAUCCAUUUGCAUCCAAGCAUAAUCUGCAUCAGGAGUAGUUGCCUAAGCCGUUGGCAGUUGUUUCCCCUGGGAAGCAUAUGAAUUCUUGUUGGUGGUUCCUGAUGUCUCUGUCAAGAUGGGCGAUUAUGACUUUCUGGCUUCUCCUAUUGUCCUUGGCAACUCUGAUAUUGAUUUGAUCCUUGGGAUGUAUUGGUUGGCUAUGAACAAGGCGUCUAUUGAUUGUGAAGCUAAAGAAGUGAAGCUAACUCAUCCUUUGGAGGACGUGAUUAUCUUCGCGAUGCGUGAUGACACGGUCCGUCUGUUUUGUUUGAAUGAGAAGGGUGAGAUCUUUCCAAUUUCUUAAGUCCAAGUGGUCUCGGAGUAUGAAGAUGUCUUUCCGGAAGAGCUGACAGNNNNNNNNNNNNNNNNNNNNNNNNNNNNAGGAAUGCCUCCGCACCGGACAGUUGAGUUCAUAAUUGAGCUUGAACCGGGUACUGAACCAGUAUGCAAGCGGCCGUAUAAACUGGGUCCAGAAGAGCCGAAGGAGCUGAAGAAGUAGCUUGAUGAGCAAGAGCGUCUGGGUCUGAUUAGGCCAAGCUCAUCUCCUUGGGUUUGUGGAGUUCUUUUCGUCAAGAAGAAGGAUGGCACAGACCGACUCUGUGUCGAUUACCGCCCAUUGAAAAGAAGACGAUCAAAAACAAGUAUCCACUUCCCAACAUCAAUGAGUUGUUCAAGCAAUUGAAAGGAGCUAAGAUCUUAUCGAAGCUUGAUCUCAGGAUGGGCUAUCAUCAGAUUUACAUUCGUGAAGAGGACAUUCCCAAGACUGCCUUCAGGAUAGGCUUUGGCUCGUAUGAGUACACAGUGAUGUCUUUCGGUCUCGCCAAUGCUCCACCGACUUUCUGUCGGAUGAUGAAUUAUAUCUUCUCCCCAUUCAAGAAUGAAUUUGUCUUGUUGUAUCUUGCUGACAUUCUCGUAUUUUUUGAAACUGAGGAAGAGCAUGAAGAACAUCUCCGGCUUGUGCUUGAUAAGCUAAGAGAGCAUAAGUUCUAUGCUAAGUUUUCCAAAUGUGAGUUCUGACUGAAGGAAGUUGUGUACCUUGGGCAAAUCAUCUCUACUGUGGGCAUCAAACUUGAUCCAUCAAAGGUGCAGGCCAUUGUUGAGUUGGAACCUCCUCAGAAUGUGAAGCAGCUUCGAGGCUUUCUCGGGUUUGCAAGCUAUUGCAGAAGAUUCGUUGAGAAUUUCUCCAAGAUUGCUGAGCCUGUCUCAAGCCUUCUUCAGAAGAGUGUGAAGUUUCUCUGGUCUCGAGAUUGUCAGUUGGCCUUUGACACACUCAAAGAGAAGCUCACUUCUACUCCAGUCUUGAUUCCUCCUGAUGAUUCCAUGUCUUAUCAAGUGUUCUGUGAUGCCUCUCUACAAGGUCUUGGUGCAGUUCUGAUGCAAGAGAAGAAAGUGGUAGAUUAUACCUCGAGGUAGUUGAAGCCAAGUGAGAAGAAUUACCCCACUCAUGAUCUUGAGUUGGCGGCAGUGAUAUAUGCUGUGAGGACUUGGAGACAUCUCUUGUUGGGCAGACAGGUUGAGGUAUACACCGAUCACAAGAGUCUCAAAUACAUCUUCACCCAGCCUAAUCUCAAUCUUCGGCAAACUCGUUGGGUGGAAAUUCUCUAAGAUUACAAUCCUAGCGUUGACUACACUCCAGGAAAAGCUAAUGUCAUUCCAGAUGCUUUGAGCAGAAAGGCUUACUACAAUAGUCUCAUUCUGAAGCCUCUCCAGCCCGAUCUUUGUGAAUAUUUCCGGAAGCUCAACCUUCAGUUAGUACCUCAGGGAUUUCUUGCUAAUCUCUAGAUUUCUCCUACCUUGGAAGACCAAGUCCGACAAGCUCAACUUCUUGAUGCAAUGGUGAAGAAAGUUAAGAUUGGCUUGGCAAAGAUCAUUCCCAAAUAUAAGUGCUUCCGUGUUGAUGAUAGAGAUACCUUGUUCUUCGAGGACCGCCUUGUCGUUUCGAAAGGGGAGCUCAGGAAGGUUAUCAUGGAAGAAGCCCGUAAUUCCCUUCUCUCGAUACAUCCAGGAAGUUCCGAAAUGUAUCAGGAUCUGUAGCAGACCUUCUAGUGGACUCGCAUGAAGCAUGAAAUUGCUCAGUUCGUAAACGAGUGUGAUGUUUGUCGCAGAGUGAAAGCAGAGAAUCAACAUCCAGCAGGUCUUUUGCAUCACUUGCCCAUUCCCGAGAGGAAAUUCGAUCAUGUUGAGAUGGAUUUCGUCACUGGGUUUCCGAAGUCCAAGAAAGGCAACGAUGCCAUCUUCGUCGUCAUCGAAAAGUUGAGCAAAGUCGCUCAUUUCCUUCCAGUCAAGGAGUCUAUCUCGGCAGCUCAGCUUGCAGAGUUGUAUACGUCAAGGAUAGUCUACCACAUGGUGUUCCAAUGCUGAUAUCUUCGGAUCGCGGAAACAUCUUUACUUCCAAGUUCUGGGAUUCAUUUCAGUCUGCGAUGGGUACUAAGAUUUUCUUUAGUACAACUUUCCAUCCUCAGACAAGUGGGCAAGUUGAGAGAGUCAACCAGGUCCUCGAGGAUAUGCUAAGAGCCUGUGUGAUUUCGUUUGGCAUGAAGUGGGAAGACUGCCUACCUUUUGUUGAGUUCUCAUACAAGAACAGCUAUCAGGCAAGCUCAGGCAAGGCUCCAUUCGAGAUUCUUUAUGGCAGGAAGUGUCGUACCCCGCUCAAUUGGUCAGAGACUGGUGAGCGUCAGAUUCUUGGGAAUGACAUGAUUGCUGAAGUAUAAGAAAUGUGAUGUGUCAUUUGGGAUAAUCUCUAAGUAGCACAGUCCCGUCAGAAGAGUUACUAUGAUAGCAAGCAUCGUGACAUGACUUUUCAGCUCGAUGAUUUCAUGUAUCUCAAAGUGUCUCCCAUGAAGGGCACUCAGCGCUUCGGCAUCAAAGGGAAGCUUGCUCCUCGUUUUGUUGGUCCUUUCAGAAUUGUUGGCAAGAGAGGCGAUCUUGCAUAUCAAUUAGAGCUCCCUUCCAACUUCUCAAAUGUGCAUGACAUGUUUCAUGUCUCUCAGCUCCGGAGAUGCUUCAAGACUCCUGAGCACACAGUUGAUCUCCAGGAUAUCGACCUCUAGCCCGACCUAUCCUACCAUGAUCAUCCAAUUGCAGUUCUUGAAGUGAUUGAGCGCAAGACCCGCAAUAAGUCAAUCAAGUUUCUCAAAGUGCAAUGGUCACAUCAUUCCGAGAAAGAGGCCACUUGGGAGCGCGAGGAUCAUCUCCGUUCCGAAUUUCCAGAGUUCUUCCAGUCCUAGAUCUCGGGUCGAGAUUCCCUUGUAGUGUGGGAGAGUUGUAACAAUCCAGAUGCUUUCUUUCCUCUUUUGUAAGCCUUUGUAAUUGUGGCAACCUUGUUGAACCUAUGUUAUGGAAGUGGUGAGGUGAUUAUCAUUUCAUGUGGUUAUCAUUUCAUGUGCAUCUCAUGCAUCAUGCAUAUCUUGCAUCUUCCUUGUGCUAGUCUUGUUCUUGUCUACCUUGGUGAUGUGAUUGCAUGUGGCUUGUGUUGUUAUUGUGAAGUGUGGUGUGGGUGCAACAAGGGCCUUCAAAAAUCUUAGUUGCACCAUAGACCAAACAAACCCCCCUUCUCCUUUAUAUUUUGAGGCAGAAUUAAAUUUUUGUUUUGGGGAAUUAAAAAUGUUCAUCUUCUUUGGAAAUACUUUUAGAUAUUUGUGGGUGACAACCCUCAUUUAAUUGAAGUGGUUUUCCUUUUUGGUUUAGUUUAAAACAAGGGCAGAUUUAAUUAAACAAGUAAAUUUACUUAGCUCUAAAAUGCCUCAUCUAUUUUUAUAAAUAGGAGGAGCAUUUUAGAGACUUAUAUUUACGUUCAGUUUUAUUCCUUUUUAUUUUUCCCUUCCCUAGCUUUAUUCCAAAACUGGUUGAUUUAUUUUUCAAAAAGAGAAAACCAACAUGUGUUUUAAAAGAGUGUGAGGGAACAGAAUGAGCCGUGGCCCAUUGCCUUCUCUCUGGCGCUAGAGCCCAUUCCCCUUUCCUUCUUCCUCCUCACGCCGUGUUCCCCUCUAUUCGCUUUCCGUCAGAGAGCUGCAAGAGAGAGAGAGAGAGCCGCGUGGCGUGGCACGGACGCCAACACCGUCAAGCCAUCCCAUCCGCGCCUAUUUAGAGCCCCCCUCGGCGUGCGUGCUUUAGGGUUCCCUCUCCCCGUUGGCAGCCUCUCUUAUUCCUUCUUUUCCCCUUUGCAGGUAAGGAUUCAGAGAGGGAUUCAGAGAGAGAUUCAAAGAGAGAGAGAGAGAGAGAGAGAGAGACAGGUUCAGAGACAGUGCCGUCGUUGUCGCCGCCGUUCCCCCCUUGUCGCCGGUGCUUCUCUGUCGAGUCCAAGCGCGAAAGGAGGAUGUUGGGUCCUCCCUUGACCCGUUCCCGUCGCUAGAGGGGUGGAUCCCUUCCUCUUCUGCCUCCUCCACGACGGCUUCGUCAGGAUCGGAGCGGAGCAGUGCCGUCGCCGUCUCCCCGCCUCUUCUUCCUUCCUCUCGGUGUCAAGCGCGUCUCCGAGUCCCUCACGGUGAGCCAUCGUGUCGCCUUCCCCUCUCCGCUUCCCCGUAGGGUCACCGUAGCAUAGCUGUAGUUGCUGUCGUCGCCGCCGUGGCAGAGGAGCAGUAGCGCCGUCGAGCCGCCGUUGCGGGCUCUCUCCCGUGGAGUUAGGCAUGGGAAUGGACCCCCUGAGGUUCCCGCAUCCCCGUCAGUCUCUCGUUGCUGUCGCCUUUGCCGCAUCAUCGCCAGAGUCGAGCUCCUCCUUCCCUGUUCUGGAGGUAGAAGAAGAUGUGGUGCCGUGUAGUUUCGCCUAUCUGGGGCAGAACCCCUUGUGGUGCAGAACCCCCUCCUAGCCCAAUGGCUCCAGCGCUGUGCCCCAACCAGGGGAUCAUGGAUUCGAAUCCCCCUGGCGCCUUGUGUUUUUCCCCUACGGUAGAAUCGGUAGCUGGUAGCUUAGCUGACUUAUCUCCCUUGUUAGAGCAGCAACAGGGUGCUAGUCCAGUGGUAGCUGGUGAGGUGUGUAGCAGAGAGGUGUUUGGUUCGAAUCCAGCUCUUGCACCUUUAUUUUGCUUAUGUUUGUUAGUUUGGGUGUUAUGUGUAUGACAGUGGGCCACUGUGAGGACCACUGCCAGGUGGACCCCCUCAUUAUAUUUUUUUCCUAUGUUUGUUUUGUUGUUUGUGGAUGUAGUAAUAUUCCCUAAGUGUUGCAACUUAUCUUUUCUUGCCCUAUUUAGAGCCUCAUAAUAGGUAGAGUGAUGUUCGUUUGGGCUACUUCAUAGAUAAAUAUGGUAGUGGGUGAACCCCUCUACAACUUGGUACAUAUAUUUUGCUCUUAGGAUUUUGCAUGUUCUUAUUACACCUUGUCAAAGUGGGAACUUGACUGAAAAUGACAGUUUUGAGAAAACUGUGAAUUCACUAAGUCUGGAAAUCUGGGGUUAUUUUCUUGCCCUGUUGUGUUGUUCAUAUUUGCUCCUUUGUUGAGAAUUAGCCCAAGCAACAAACUAAUGUUUGUUUGCUGGUACGUUUGUCUAGAUCUCUGUCAAAUUUCAUGCCCAUAUACCUCGUGUAGAUAUCCUUUUGGAGGCUGCCAAAAUGAUUCAGAGCAUAAGCAGCUGGUGAAAAUCUGUAAUUUUCACUAAGUCCCAAUUUGUGAUUUUUUGUCCAAGUUAGGGGCUGUAUAUCUGCUGAUGUGUGAUCCCUUUGCCUUAGAUACUUGUUGGAGGUGGUAAUGUAGUUGGAUGGCUUCAGUUUCAUGUCUUGUUUGAUUCAUUUAGAGGGGUGUUGCUGUUAUAGAUAUUGUAGUCAAAGUGCUAUGUUGCUGUUAAAAACAGAUUGUGUGUCAAACUGGAUUUUGAGCUUGUGUGAGUUAUGGGUGAUGGUUUUGUGUGUUCUCAAACACCGUACCACUUGUAUUUUGGUGCUUGCUCAUUUGGCAACCUGGUUACACCAGUGAGUGCCCACAGAAUUGUGUUUGUGGCUGUUUUGAAUCCGUAGACCUUCGUAACUUGUUUUGUAGUUUCCGGUUGAUCCGAGACUCCGUUCACGACGUUCUUUAUAGGUUUUUGCACCAUUUUCUCGUGAUGCACAUGUUGUUCAUGCAUGUCAAGAUAAAUUAACAUGAGGUUCUAUCCAGAAUAUAAACAACUCAACUAAUGCAUGUGAAAGUGACUAGAAUAGUGAUGCAUGCCCUCUUCAUCACACAUGCAUCAUAUUGGUUGUUGCAUUAUGUUUUGCUGGUGUUUAUUUGUUGUUAUCUUAUAUUUGGGUAGCAUCGGGAACGGAGAGCGAGUACAUGGAUUCUAGAGAGUUCGUGCAGGAAGAACAAGAGCAUUUCUAGUCUGAAGAAAUCACAUUCAAGAUGAGCGUGACCUUGACACCGUUUCAUGCUUUGUUAUGCUUAGAGUUACGUUUCCUUCAUUACUUGCCCGCUGCCUACCACAUGAUAUAUAUGCCAUCCAUCUUUUCCAUGAAACCUCAAACACUUCCCUUCCUAGCAAAUAUUGUUUGGCUAAGUAGGCUUGCUCAACCACUAAUGGAUAGCGUUGCUAGUUGCAGGUGCCAGCUGGCCCAUGUGAUAGCAUGAGCAAUUUGAUAACAUCAUAUUAUCUGUUAUUUAAUUAAUGCACCUAUAUAUUUGGUAAAUAAUGGAAGGCCUAGCCUUUUGCCGGGUGAUUUGUCCUGUUGUUGCCGCCUUAGUUUCGGCUACGGGUGUUUGAUUCCAUAACUCAGCGCUCCUAACACGUUCGGGGUUGUUAUGGGGACCCCCUUGAUAAAUCGCAUAGUGUUAAGGCUUGUCUGGUAGGACCCAACAUUGGUUUUAAUUGCUAUAACUUAAUAAUAAAAUGCAUAGGGAAUAGCUACCCCGAGGAAUUAAUCAACAACCCGGGCCAGUGCUCCUCAUGAGUGUUGGUCGAACUUGGGCAGACUGCGGGGCCACCGCAAGGAAACUUGAGGUCUGGUAUCCUGGAGGCUUUCCCAUCCGUCGUGUCCUGAGACUGAGAUACGCGGCUCUUAUCGGGGUCGUCGACACGUCGGGCGGUCUUGCCAGAUUUGGCUUACCUUAGCGAUAUAUCUUGCGACAUUGGGAUUCUGGUGAAACUUUGGGGUUCUCAGAGUUGAGGUUUUCCUCUAAGGAAUCCGACGAUAUCACGAGUUUCGUGGGAGAGGAUUACUAUGCGGCUUGUGGUAAUUUGCAAUGGACUAGUUGGAGCACCCCUGCAGGGUUUAAUCUUUCGGAAAGCCGUGCCCACGGUUAUGUGGCAAACAUGGAUAUUUUGUUAACAUCCGGUUCUAGACAACUUAAAGUAAUUCUAAUAAAACUACCAUCUGAGUGCGUAAGCGUGUCUGUCUCCUUUAGAGAUCCUUCUCUGAUCGAGAACACGAUGGGGUUAUGAUUGACGUAAGUAGGUGUUCAGGAUCACUUAAUGAUCAAUCUAGUCUUCGACCGACUUGCGUAGACCACCAUAUGUUUACUCUGAUCAUUGUAAGGUAGCCACCAUAUAUGCUUAGGUUGCUGCAAACCCAUACACUUAACCUUCCUCACCCAUUAACUCGGCUAGAUUCGAUACCAAGGUCAUUCGAUUGCUUAGUCCUCGUGUCUCACGUUUUACUACAAACACCCACAAGUAUAGGUACGCCUGAUGGAGGAGAUCCCGAUGACAGCUAGUUGAAGUGGGAGUUCGAUGAGGACAGCGGCAGGUUGUACGUGACUUAUCCGGAGGACUAGAGGCCGUGGUCGUGAUCAUGGGGCCAACAUGUGGGAUAUCAUAGCUUUAUCUGUUUUUAUCUUGUCCGUAGUUGGACCAUACCAUGUUCUUAAUAAAUGUGUGUGUAUGACUAUUUGACUAUGUUCUUAUCAGAUGGCAAGUGUACGCCCUACUUGUCACUCUUUCAGUUAUGUAAUGUUAUGAUUAUCUCGCUUGCGAAACGUGUAGAUGCGCCCCUUUCCCUUUUGAGGCCUCGCCCCCAAAUAAGUAAAGGGCCGCAUCUUAGACGUUACACAAGGCAUCUCCCAAAGGUUUCCAUUCUGGUGCAACAAGGCCACAACCGCCCGCCUGCGGGCAGACGUCGCCGCUGAGCCCGUCCUUGCGGUGCCGACAGUAACUUUGCAGACAAAGACCACCUUUGGGCAGGGGGAGCAUGUUCCCCUGCCCCCUUCAAACUUGGCCGUUGUGGGAUCCCUUCCCGCCAUUGUGAUAAGGGAUGAGGACCCAGGGCCACCGUUAUAUAUAGAGGGUAGGUCACUUCGUAGAGGAGAGACCGAUUCAUUAGCUCACUUCCACCUCUGAUAAACCUCCAAGCCGCUGGGAGCCGGAGGCACAUCCCAAGGCCUCCGGAGGCUCCCGAAGCACUGUACUAGAUCAUCCACCCACCUCCACAAGAGGCAAUCCACCAAAGCAGGAGUAGGGUUUAACGUUUCGCAGCUGCCCGAACCUGGGUAAACUGUUGUGUUCGUUGUGUUCCUCACCAUCGUGUGAGUUCUUCACCAUAUCUAUCAAGUAUCGAGCUAGGGGAGGCGAGGCCGCGAGAUAUCUACGUACACGCCACUGAGUUCAAAUCUUAAGGGUUUUGCUGAGCCUGAAAUGCGACAUUUGGCGCACCAGGUGGGGGGCGUGACAAGAUCCUCUCCAAGCCUCGUCUUCCUAGAGCUUUGCGUCUCCUACGAGCCGGCGCGUCGCGUCGGCCGCCCGGCGGGCGAUACCCCGGAACAUCUUGGCGCGUUGGGAUUCCAUCAUCUUGGCGUACGACGCCUCGUCCCGGGCGGCCUGGACGGCGUCGGCCGCAUCCUGGAUCUGGGUCUACAGGGACGCCAACUCCGCUUUGGCCUCUGCUUUGCCUCGAAGGGCGUCCUGGAUGACGGACUCGGCGCUCGCCAGCUGGGCUCGCAGCCCCUCCACCUCCCGCUGAAGCUCGCCGAGCCGAAGCUUCUUGGCUGCGGGCGCUCUGGAGAAGAAGGAAGGAUCAUGCACAAGGCGGCAGACAGGUCGACUAAAGAAAGGAAGGACGGCAAGGGACUUACCGGCAGGUGAGGGCUCAACGACGACGACCCCGCGGCGACCGCGAGAGCCCCCGCCGCUGCCCCCAGGGGCGGGCAGAGAUGCUGGUGGAACCACGUGCUUCGCCCUGCCGGCGUCACCCCAGAGGACGCCAUCAAAGACAAGGAGGUGAGAGGGAAAGNNNNNNNNNNNNNNNNNNNNNNNNNNNNAAAGAGGGGUUUUCUCUCCGCGAAGCAAAGGGGGCGGGGAGAAGGGUGAAGAUUGCGGUGCCUCCACCGUGUCGAGGGCAGGGCAGAUAUAUAAGCAGGUUGCGGCCAUCAAGCGUCAUGGGAAGCAUGCGAGGUUGUUCAGCCAGUAUGCUGCCGCCCACGUCGCCUCACGUGUCAACUGAAGGAUCACAUCCGUGAAGCCGUCAGGCGUGGGCCUAGGACAUCGGUGCCAUUCAAGGAAAGGUAAUGAUGGUUGGCGCUGUGCUUGGGUGUCGCGCCAUCAUGGGUCGAAGCAUUUCAGACGUCUCGAGAAAUGGAGCGUCGCCACCUGGCUGUUCAGCACGUGUGCAGCCUGGCCCGCAACGCUCCGGGCCAUCCCAAGGCUUCGUCCAUAAGCCAACUCGAGCACGCUUCGGUACCGGGGGCUACAGUCGGCGUUCUGGGAACGGGGUUACCCAGACGUGCCUGUCUGCGACCCGAGGCUGGCCCACUUCACAACCAGGCACGACGCCACUCAUGACAAGGCCAUCGCGAGGGCCCGAGCCUCGCGAGGAGGAGCAGCACCAAGACCAACAGGGGCCCCCUUGAGGACCCCUCCAGAGCGGCGAAGAUUCCAGUGCAAGACCUGGCCUCAGGAGUCAAGGAUCAUGCAGGGAAGGACAGGCGAGUAGCGGGCAACAUGGCGGUGCAGUUUCCCCUUUCGUGCAAGAAGGGCAAGGACGUACGCGGGUUCCCAAUGCAUCUCCCAAAAGUUUCCAUUCUAGUGCAACAAGGCCACAACCGCCUGCAUGCGGGACGGACGUCACUUCUGAGCCCGUCCCUACGGCGGCGACAAUUACUUUGCACACGAAGACCACCUUUGGGCAGGGGAGCAUGUUUCCCUGCCCCCCUUCAAAAUUGACCGUUGUGUGAUCCCUUACCACCAUUGUGAUAAGGGAUGAGGACCCAGGGCCACCACUAUAUAUAUAGAGGGUAGGUCACUUCAUAGAGGAGAGACCAAUUCAUUAGCUCACUUCCACCUGUGAUAAACCGCCAAGCCGCUGGGAGCCGGAGGCACAUCCCAAGGCCUCUGGAGACUCCCGAAGCACUGUACUAGUUCAUCCACCCACCUCCACGAGAGGCAAUCCACCAAAGCAGGAGUAGGCUUUUACACUUCGCAGCGGCCCGAACCUGGGUAAACUGUUGUGUUCGUUGUGUUCCUCACCAUCGUGUGAGUUCUUCACCAUAUCUAUCGAGUAGAGAGCUAGGGUAUGCGAGGCCACGAGAGAUCUUCAUACACGCCCCUGAGUUUGAAUCUUAAGGGUUUUGCGGAACCCGAAAUCCAACAGAAGGUGAUAUGGGGAAAAGCGAGGAUGACACCCCAGUCAAAAACAGCGGCCAGGAAUCCAUCAAGCGCCGCCGCCAGCUCAAAAAUCCUAAAGCUUGUAAGGGCAAGGAAAGCAAUGCAGGAACAGGGGAAAACCCAUAUCCCGAGGAUAUGGAAAAUAUCGCCGAAUACCCAAAACCUUCAGACACCACAUACGACCCUGACUUACCAAGAUACAUGGAUACAGAUCAGCGUGCAGAUCUCGGUGACUCCAAAGACAACAACUACGUCCCUCCAAUCAAGGAGGACAAGAGUGUGGGGGCCAAAGAUUUUAUUGUCCCCGAAGACCCAUUGGAUCAGAAAGUGUUCAGGAAAUAGCUCAUUGCCACUGCUCGGAUCCUUAAGCUAAAGCAAAGACAUCUCAAAGCCAAACAAGACCCCAUCAAUGAAGAUGGACCAAAGUCUUGGCUACUGAAGAAGGGUAUGAACAUGAGCGACAGGGGCAAACCAAGAGUUACCCACGUCAACGCGUGUUACCAAAAUUCAAAGACGAGGCCUUAGAGCCCAUGAUACGUCUCCAACGUACCUAUAAUUUUUGAUUGUUCCAUACUAUUAUGUUAUCAUUUUAGAACACAUUUUUAGGCACUUAUCUACCAAUUUAUAUUAUUUUUGAGCACUAACCUAUUGACCCAGUGCCAUUGCCAGUUGCUCUUUUCUACAUGUUUUUCCACUUUCCGGGUUCCAAUACCUAACGAAUCCCAAUUGACCUAAAACUUUUGUGGAUUUUUUAUGUACCAGAAGAAGACCGUGGAGCAUCAAAAGAAGGUCGAGAGGCACACGAGGCCUCCACAAGCCAUCAGACCGUGGCCUAGGGGGUCUGAUCGCUUGUCCGGGUUCCAAUACCAAACAAAUCGCAAUUGACCUGAAACUUUUGUGGAUUUUUUAUGGACUAGAAGAAGACCGUGGAGCAUCAAAAGAAGCUCGAGAGGCACACGAGGCCUCCACAAGCCAUCAUACCGUGGCCUAGGGGGUCUGAUCGCUUGUGGCCACCUCGUGGCUCUCCCGACCCCAUUCUCGGGCUUAUAACUUCCUGUUUAUCCUAAAAACUCCAGAGAAGGCCCGAAACACUUUUUAUGCUGCUGGAGGUCUGUGUUCCGAGGGGAGGCCAUCUAGAGCUCCGUUCCGGCACCCUGCCACAGGGGGGAUUGAUCACGCAUCAACCUUGCUACUCUCAUAAUGAUGUGUGAGUAGUUCAUCAUAGAACUACGGGUCCAUGGCAGUACCUAGAUGGCAUAUAUCUCUCUCUUUGAUCUUCAUUACAAUGAUAAUCACAUCUUCACUUUGAUCCAUAUGAUGUAACUCCUUUGUACCAUGCGUUUGUUAGAAUCCGAUGAAUUGUGGGUUUAUGUUCAGAUUAUUCAUGAUAAAUAUUUGAGUUUACUCUAAUAUAUAAUAUGAUUCUUAUGUGCAUUAUUAUGAUAGCUUCGUAAUUCUCUCUGAUCUAUUGAAAUAGUUUGGCCGACUAGAUUGAUAUUUCUUCGAUGAGAGAAGUGCGUUGUAGUAGGUUCAACCUGGCGAGUUUCUAUAUCCCAGUGACAGAAGGGGACAAGUUGCAUCUUUGUGUUUCUGAUGCUAAGGGUAAAACGAUUGGGUUCAUUUAUAUUAGUUGAGUUUACAUUUUCUACAUCCACUCAUCUUACUCCAAGCAUUACUUCGUUCGUCAUGAACUUAGUACGUAGAGAGGCAAGCAUAGAAGCACUCUCGAAGUGAAGUAAUAAUAAUAGGUGUAGGCAGGAGUCGACCUAUUUUUUAAUGGAUGUGAUGCCUAUAUUUACAUGAUAAUUGCCGUGAAAAUCGUAUAACUAUCCACUCUUCUAUCAGUUGCCCAACGGUAAUUUGUUUACCCACCAUAUGCUUAUUUUCAUGAGAGAUGCCACUAGGGAAAGCUAUGGCCCCCGGGUCUAUUCACAACAUAUUACUAAAACCGCCAAUACCUUGCUGACAUUUUUUUUAUUUUUUUAGCAUUUUACAAUUAUCUACACAUCUUAUUCGCUUGCAAAUAACGAGACGAAGUGGAUUGACACCCUUCUUGCCUGCGUUGGGUGCAAGUUGUUUUUUAUUUUGUGUGCAACCGCUGAAGAUAGUUGUGGAUUGAUAUUACUAUUGGUUUGAUAAAUCUUGGUUUCAUAACUGAGAGAAAUACUUACCCACUUUGUUGUGCGAUUACCUGUUCCUCUUGAUGGAACUCCCAACGCAUAUCACGAGUAUCAGGAAGUAUUUCUAGCACCGUUACCGGGGAAUAUCAUCACCAAUUAUCAAGUAACUCCACAAAAAAUUUCAUUCACUUGUUCCACUUUUUAUUUUUUGGUAUAUUUAGUUUGUCUCAUAAAAAAAAUAAAAGUCACCAUGUCUCAAGAUACUACUAAGUUGUGUGGCUUUUCAAAUACUAAUAAUAAUGAUUUGAUUAGUACUCCUAUACCACCCGCCACUAGUGUGGAUGCUUCAAUGCUAAAUCUUGUCAUGAAAGAUCAAUUUUCGGGAAGUCCUAAUGAGGAUCCCGCUUCACACCUCAAUACUUUUGUGGAACUUUGUGAUAUGCAAAAUAAAAAUGACCUGGACAAUGACAUUGUGAAAUGAAAAUUAUUUCCUUUUUCACUUAGAGACAAAGCAAAAGCUUGGUUUUCAUCUUUGCCACAUAAUAGUAUUGGAACAUGGGAUAAGUGUAACGAUGCUUUCAUUGCCAAAUAUUUUACUCUUGCUAAGAUCACCUCCCUAAGGAAUCAAAUAAUGAAGUUUAAACAACAAGAACAUGAACAUGUUGCUCAAGCUUGGGAUAGAAUGAAGUUGAUGAAUUUCUUUGUCCAACUCAUGGUCUAAACUUAUGGAUGAUUAUCCAAAAUUUCUAUGCAGGACUAAACUUGUCAUCCAAAAAUCUUCUAGAUUCUGCCGCAGGUGGUACAUUCAUGGAGGUGACCCUAGGAGAGGCCACCAAACUUCUGGAAAACAUAAUGGUCACCUAUUUUCAAUGGCAUACUAAACGAGCUCCAACAGGUAAGAAGGUAAAUUAUGUUGAAGAAAUCGCUACUUUGAGUGAAAAAGUGGAUGCUCUUAUGAACUUGGUUGCCAAUAAAAAUGCUCAUGUUGAUCCCAAUGAUAUUCCUUUGUCUACCUUGAUUGAAUAAAAUAAUGAUGCUAUUGAUGUUAACUGUGUCUCUCGAAAUAAUUUUAACAACAAUGCUUAUAGAGGUAAUUUUUAUCCUAGGUCGUAUCCUGAUAAUUCUUCCAACAACUAUGGAAAUUCUUAUGAUCCUAUGGAAAGAAUUCGAAAAAUUCUAAUAGGAUACCCUAUGAUCUUGAGAACACAAUUAAAUAAUUCAUUAAUUCUCAAAAUGUUUUCAAUACUAUGGUAAAGGAAAAAUUGCAUGUUGUUAAUACUUUGGCUAAAAAUGUGGAUAGAAUUGCUCUUGAUGUAGAAACUCUUAAAAGUAAAACUUUGCCUCCUAAGCAUGAUUUAAACUAGACUAUUAAAUAUAUCCAAGUUUCAGUCAAUGAGAGUAAGGAGAGUAUCGCUAAAUUGAAAGCUAAGCGAGAAUUCCUAGAAAAGGCUCUUCCGCUCAGUUUUUACCAUAAUCGUGAUGAAGACCUUAAAAUGAUUCGUACUUCUCCUAUUGAAUCUUUGUUUAAUUCUCUGAAUACUAAUAAUAAAGGAACUAGAAUUGAGUCACGCUUAGUUAAGGAGCAUCCCAUUUGCUUGGAGGGUGAUGAUCCUAACGAUAAAAUUGAAAAAAGUGGGUUUGGAGAGGUCAAAACUGUAACUAGUGAUGUGCCCACUGUCUUGGACUACAAGGACUUUAAUUAUGAUAAUUUAUCUUUAAUAUAAUGUAUUUCAUUGUUGCAAUCCGUUAUUAGCUCACCCAAUGCUUAUGAACAAAAUAAAUCUUUUACUCAACAUAUAGUAGAAAUUAUGAUAAAAGCUUAUGAUGAGAAACUUGAGCUUGAAGUUUCUAUUCCUAGAAAAUUGCAUGAUGAGAGGGAACCUACUAUCAAAAUUAAGAUAAAUAAAUAUGAAUGCAAUGCUUUGUGUGACCUUGGUGCUAGUAUUUCAACCAUACCUAAAGCUUUAUGUGAUGUGCUUGGUCUCGAUAAUAUUGAAGAAUGUUCCCUUAACUUACAUCUUGCGGAUUCUACCAUUAAGAAACCUUUAGGUAGAAAUAAUGAUGUUCUUAUCAAUAAAAAAAAAUUAGGUGCGUGUAUGUUUUAUUGUGCUUGAAAUUGAUUGCAAUCCUACUUGUCCUAUUAUACUUGGAAGACCUUUCUUAGGAACUAUAGGUGCAAUCAUUGAUAUGAAAGAGGGAAACAUAAGGUUCCAAUUCCAAUUAAAGAAAGGAAUGGGACACUCACCUAUAAAGGGAAUCAAACCACCUUAUGAAUCUAUCAUGAGGGCUGCUUAUGGACUAAAUGUCAAGAUGACAACACUUGAAACUAUGCAUUAUGCCUAUGUAGGGGCAUAAAGCAAUAACGCUUGUUGGGAGGCAACCCAAUGGUUAUCUUAAAAUUUUGCUUUAUUUUUAUUAUUUAAGAGUGUGAUACCAUGAUUAUUUAUGCUGUAAUGAUUGUGUUUUUAUGUUUUAAUUAGUUUUUGUGCCAAGUAAAUCCUUUGGGAUGAUUUGCAUGAUGAGUAGAAUUGAUACAGUGCAAAAACAGAAACUUUGACGCCCAGUGAAGAAUUUCUCUGAUUUUACUCAAAAGUUUUGUAGUGCCCCAGAUGUAAACCUUCCCUAUUUGGAACCUAUCUCAUGUGGGUCCACCUUGUCAUGUUAUGAGAGAGCCCAUGCUCAUUAUUUCAUGUGAUGUCACCAUAUUAUUUUUUUCUCUUCCUUUGCAUGCAUGCAUUCCUUAUCAUGCAUUGUGUUCUUGUUGCUGCAUUGUGUUCUUGUGAUUUCAUGUGUUGCCUUGUGAUGAUGUUGCAUGUGGUGUAUAGCUUGUCUGGGGUGAUGCUUGUGAAAGUAUUUGCAUAGGUUUCAAACCAACUCCACCUGUCACGCCCAAGAUGCGACCCUAUCCUCAAUUUGGCACGAAGGCCUCGUCAGGGAUAGAAGCGCAUCUCGUCGUGUCGCAAGAAUGGAUAUCGUUACAAGUACAUGUACUGAAAAGAUGAGAUAUAAAUAGAAUUGGCUUACACUCGCCACAAGCUACAUCAGAGUCACAACAGUACAAUACAUAAUCAUCAAGAGUAAGAGCAGGGUCCGACUACGGACGAAAACAAACGACAAAAGAAGAACGACGUCCAUCCUUGCUAUCCCAGGCUGCCGGCCUGGAACCCAUCCUAGAUCGAUGAAGAAGAAGAAGAAGAAGCAACUCCAAAUGAACAAUCAACGCGCUCGCGUCAAGUAACCUUUACCUGAACCUGCAACUGGUGUUGUAGUAAGAUGUGAGCCACAGGGGACUCAACAAUCUCAUUUCCAAAGGUAUCAAGACUAGCAAAACUUAAUGGGUGAGGUAAGGUUAAGUAGUGAGGUUGCAGCAGCGGCUAAGCAUAUAUUUGGUGGCUAAGCUUACGAGUACAAGAAAUAAAGAGGGGAAAAUCUACGCAUAGCGGACGUGAACUACUGAUGAUCAAAUGAAUGAUCCUGAACACCUACCUACGUCAGACAUAACCCCACCGUGUCCUCGAUCGGAGAAGGAACUCACGAAUGAGACAAUCACGGUUACGCACACAGUUGGCAUAUUUUAAUUAGGUUAACUUCAAGUUAUCUAGAACCAGUGUUAAACAAAGUUUCCACGUUGCCAGAUAACCGCGGGCACGGCUUUCCGGAAGAUUUAACCCUGCAGGGGUGCUCCAACUAGUCCAUCACAAAUUACCACAAGCCGCAUAGAAAUCCUCAAUCACUAAGCUCGCGAUCUCGUCGGAUUCCCUAGUGGAAAACCUCAACUCUGAGAUUAUCCAAAGCAUCACCGGAAUCCCGAUGCACAAGAUAUCUCGUCAAAGGUAAAACUAAUCCAGCAAGGCCACCCGAUGUGUCGACGAACCCGAUAGGAGCCGCGUAUCUCGUUCUCAGGACACACCGUCUAUGCAAAGUGGACCGGAACCAAACCUCGAGUUGCCCCAUGGUGGCACCGCCGACUGCUAGGUGGGUGGACCAACACUCAUGAGGAGCACUGGCCCGGGGGUUGAUUAAAUAUCCUCGGGUUAGUUACUCCCUAUGCAGUUCAUUAGUUAUUAGGCAAAUGUAGUACCAAAGUUGGGCCCUGCCAGACCAGCUUUAAUCUAAAAGGAAUUAUCAAGGGGGUACCCAUAACAACCCCGAUCGUGUUAGGAGCGCUCGUUUAUGGAACAUAACACCGGUAGCCGGAAACUAAGGGGGCAAAGGUGGAACAAAACACCAGGCUAGAAAGGCUGAGCCUUCCACCUUUUACCAAGUAUAUAGGUGCAUUAAAUUAAAUAGCAUUUAAAUAGGGUGAUAAGACAAGGAACCCAUGUUAUCACAUGGAAGCAUCUGCACCUGCAACUAGCAACGCUAACAACAUGGUUAAGCAAGCAGUAACAUAGCCAAUCAGUGGUUUGCUAGGUCGAACAGGUUGAAGGUAAUCAUGGCAUUGUUGAGAGGCUGAUAUUUAACAUGUGGUAGGCAACGACACAUAAUCGAUAGAAGCGAUAAAACUAGCAUGGCAAUGAUAGUAAUGGUAUCUGGGGAAAUGGUCAUCUUGCCUGAGAUCCCGCUUGGAAGAAGAACAACUCCGAGAAGUCGGCGAGCCACAUAGUCGAACGGGUCCUCACAUUCCGACACGCUUGCGGAACUCUAUCGGAACGGAGCAAACCGGAAACAAACAUCAACACAAAUAUUCACCACAUGAUGCAUAGCCUACUAUGAUGCAUGAUCGGUUCAUUGAUGCAAGGGAUGGCAUGGCAAUUCACCUCACGCAAACAAUACACAUUAAAUGAAGCUCGAUAUGCAAUGGGUUGCAUAUCGACGAAACUCCACGUUUAAUUUUUAGUUCACUCCCGAUUAUUUAACACGCAAUAUUAAAUGUUGUUAACAUGGUAAUGUUGGGGAACGUCGCAUGGGAAACAAAAAUUUUCCUACGCGCACGANNNNNNNNNNNNNNNNNNNNNNNNNNNNNNNNNNNNNNNNNNNNNNNNNNNNNNNNNNNNNNNNNNNNNNNNNNNNNNNNNNNNNNNNNNNNNNNNNNNNCUUUGCGCGGUUCUAUCAAUUGCUCGACAGUAAUUUGUUCACCCACCAUCUACUUGCUUUCAUGAGAGAAGCCACUAGUAAACACUACGGCCCCCGUGUCCAUUCACACCUAUCGUUUCCACUUUCGCUUUUUACUUUGCUUUGUUACUUUGUUGCUUUCAGUUAUCACUUGGCAAACAAUCUAUAAGGGAUUGACAACCACUUCAUAGCGUUGGGAGCAAGCUUUUUGUGUUUGUGCAGGCUCUUGUGAUACUCCUUCACUGGAUCGAUACCUUGGUUCUCAAACUGAGGGAAAUACUUACCACCGCUGCGCUACAUCACCCUUUCCGCUUCGAGGGAACACCAACGCAAGGCUCCAAGGCCACGGGGAAAAUGCUUUACAUAUUUGCCUAGGAAGUCCCUUAAGGCGUAGCCAUAGGAAAUCCUUUGCAUAUUUGCCUAGGAAGUCCCUUAAGGCGUAGCCAUAGCAAAAGGAUUCCUGGUGUCGUCAACACACCUAUUUCUGGCGCCGUUGGAAGGUCUUUUGUUGCAGUAGCAGUAGCCCCCUUUCCAACUCCUUCGCCGAAGUUGAGUCCAGUAUUUGAAAAACUUACUAACUUUGAUGAUGUGGCUUACGGGCCCACAUCUCUAUCGGGUUGUAUUAGUAUCUGAUAGUCCUUUCCUAAACUCUGGGUUCUACUCUCUCUUCUCUUUCGGGUUAAAGAAUUUACUAAAUCUGACAUUAGGUUCUUGUAAUCACACCGAGCCGGAGAGGUGGACUAUCUACUAUUGUUAUUUUGAUAACAUGUUGCACACACUAUCAUUUGGCAUCCUUGAAUCUUCUCUUUCAGAUGCGUCCCGCAAGGCAGGUCGUACGCGUGAUUGUGGCUAUCGAUGCGACUCGGCUCCCGGCCAUUCUGGUCAACCUCUUGACCAGGCUGGGAUAUUGCUCGUACCCCGAGUAGAUGGUGUACGAGGACUUCCAUGAGUUCAACCAGUACCAGUACCAGGCGGAGGAUUGCAUCUUCAAUUGGUCAGAAACCUCCAUCCACGAGCUCCACACCUUCUGCGAUAUUGGGUUGACGGUCGAUAUGGCCGUCCAUGAUGCGGCCUAUAUCGCUAUCACCCGCCGCCGUGGAGCGUACCCUUGCCUGGAGGAGACUACUUCAGAUACAUCGAGUAUACUCCUGCUUGGGAUGAGAAUGGAUCUGAUGUCACUGCCUUCAGUGCUCGCGUUCGGGAGCGCAACAAACGGUCCUACAUCGCUAUCUGUACCCCCUACGUGAGUUGUCGCUACGACCCAUAGGUUCUGGUGCAGUACACUGAGGCACUGGAUCACGCCUUCCGAGAUUAGACUAUGGAGCUGUACGCCACGCAUACCCGUCUUUAAAAUGCGUUGACAGAACUGCAGCCAACAGUCCACCCAAGGAUCCACCCUGCGCACAUCCUCCAGCCGAGCUAGACAGAGCUACCACUAGGUCUUGAGUGGCCUGCUUUUGGAGGUCAUACCCGUGCACUUGGACCUCUACUCCCCAAUUCGAUGCGGUACGCGCACAUGAGUCACCAUGGGAUGCAGAAUCUUGCCCCGAGGUUCUCCUAUCAGUGUCACCGUCUGCUACCUGGAUUAGCCGUUCUCUCCGACGUUGAUGUAGCCUUAUCGCUAUGCCUCAUUGUUGUAUCCCUCCACCACGUGCCUGUGUGCUGCCUAGUGAGUCCAGGUUAUCGUCUAAUGCGUUCAGGUUAUCGCCAAAUUUUAAAUUUGUAAUCGAUGGUUUUUAAUGGAACUUAUGUAUGGGUCUGUAUGUCGAACUUAACUAUUAUGGAGUAUCUGUCAAAUUUCCCUUUUUGUCAUGCUUGAUUGCUUCAUGAAUGACCAUAGUACCCGCUGUAAUUUUCUUUACGGUAAACUACCCCUCUUAAAUUUUAGUAGAAUGGUUAGACUAGCUGGCCGACCACGUGGCCCCGCCAACGAUGCACCACCCCCGCCUCCUGAAUAUAUGAUGGGGGUGAUCCAACAGUUUGAACUUAACCGCCAAUUUAUGCAAGGGCUCAUGGACUUGUUACCAAGGCUGAACAUGAAUCAACAACAAGGCGUGACACUGUAAGACUUCUGCCGCCUCAACCCUGCGAUCUACCGUAGCUCAACUCAGCCCCUUGAUGUCGAUGACUGUCUCCGUUACAUUGCUUACGGGCUGGAGUCUGCUAAUGUGCCUCUGGCGAGAUAUGUCAACUUUCCAGCCUACUUCCUGAAGGGUCCCGCUGCUCAAUGGUGGGACUUCCACAUGUGUUCUCAGCCUGCUGGAGCUGUCAUCACUUGGGCGGAGUUCCAGGUUGCUUUCCAUGCCUGCUACAUUCCUCAGGGGAUCAUGGACCAGAAGAAGCAUGAGUUCCGCAACCUUGUUUAGGGCAACAAAACUGUGGAUGCUUAUCAUCGGGAAUUUCUAGACUUAUCUUGCUAUGCUGAAGAAGACAUUGCAACUGAUGCACGCAGACAGGAGAAGUUCCAUGAUGGCCUCCACCCUGACAUCAAGCUGGCCCUCUUUGUUCAGGACUAUGCUGUUUUUUCCACCCUGGUGAACAAGGCCAUUCAGGCUGACACUGGUCUGCAGGAAUACAAUGACAACAGCAAGCACAACCGUGACAUGGGCCCAUCUUCAGGCUCAUCUGCAUAGAAGCGUAAGAUCUGGAUUCCACACAACAUGUACCAUGCAGUUGCUCCUGCUCCUAGGACGUCGUAUGUUGCACCUCGUCUGCCUCCGCCACCACCUAGGCACCCGAGGCUCCCAGCUCCACCGGCUUGAGUUCCUCCUUCCCGUCCGGAGGACGAGCUAUGCUUCAAGUGUGGCCGUCCAGGUGACCGUGCUAGAGACUACAGGUAGAACCCGAAUCAGCUGACACUUCCCUCAGCUGGCAGUGUCAACAACCAGAACUGCAACAACAAUGCCAAGCCUGCUUAUGUUCAUGGUCAGGCCAACAACAUUGAGAUGGGUCAUGCUCAGGACCAGCCUGCUACCGUGAUGGGUACACUUCUCGCUAACUCAGUACCUGCUUCUGUAUUGUUUGAUACAGGAGAAUCACAUUCCUUUAUGUCAGAAAAUUUUCCAUACAUGCAUGACAUUAGAAGCGAAGAGAUGAACAUCCCGAUAGUGGUAAACACCCCCGGGGGAAAAUGUCGAACCUCUGUGGUUUGCCCCAAUGUUCCUGUUGAAAUAGAAGGACUGAAAUUGCUUGCCAACCCCAUCCUACUGAAGUCGUUCAACAUUGACCUUGUACUGGGAAUGGACUGGCUAAAAGCUCAUACGGCUUCGAUCGUUUAUGCCACCAAAACCGUCCACCUCUUAUAGCCUUCAGAUGAGUUAAUAAGCUACAAUGCUCAUCUCGUUUGAGAUGCUGAGGCAUGGCUAUAUGACUUGAAUGCACUAAAUGCGUCGCCUCUUGAAGGGAUCAAAAACAUUCCAAUCGUCCGGGAAUUCCAAGAUGUAUUUCUAGAAGAACUUUCAGGGAUUCCUUCUGUAUGGGCCGUCGAGUUUGUCAUCGACUUGGUACCUGGUACCACUCCUAUCGCCAAGCAUCCUUAUAAAAUGCCACCACAUGAACUCCUUAACUUAAGCAAGAAAUUGACAAUUUGCUUCAUCUGGGAUUCAUUUGUCCCAGUUCCUCUUCUUGGGGAGCACCUUCUCUCUUUGUUAAGAAGAAGGUUGGAACGAAUAAUUUGGUUCAAGACUACCAUCCUAUCAAUUAGGCCACUAUUCAAAACAAAUAUUCUCUUCCUUGGAUAAAUGGUCUGUACGAUCAACUUGCUGGUUCCUCAGUCUUCUCUAAACUCGACUUGAGGUUGGGUUACCACCAGUUCCGUGUUCGCAAGGAGGAUAUCCUAAAGACCACCUUUGUUACUCGCUAUGGAUCAUACGAGUACACCGUGAUGUCCUUCGGCUUAACCAAUGCCCCGACAACCUUCUCUCGAUUGAUGAAUUAUAUAUUCAUGGACUACCUCGACAAAUUUGUCGUGGUAUAUCUCAAUGAUAUUCUAGUAUUUUCGAAGAAUAAAGAAGAACAUGUGAACAUCUUCGUCUUGUACUUGAUAAGCUUCGGGAGCAUAAACUCUAUGCAAAGUAUUCCAAAUGUGAAUUCUGGCCGGACGAAUUGACUUACCUUGGUCAUGUGAUCUCCAAGGAUGGUACUGCAGUCAAGCCUGAACAAGUUCAAGCUAUUCUUGACUAGAAUCCCCCGAAUAAUAUCAAGUAAGCUAGAAGUUUUCUCGGACUCGCCAGCUAUUACCGUUGAUUCAUCGAGAACUUCUCCAAGAUUGCAAAGCCCUUAACUAAUCUGCUUCACAAAGGUGUUAAGUAUGAGUGGACUGAUAAAUGUCACGAAAGUUUCCAAGCACUCAGGGACAAACAGACAUCCGCUCCAGUACUUGCUCCUCCAGAUACAAAACGGUAUUUCGUCAUAUAUUGUGACGCUUCCCGUCAAGGGAUAGGCUGUAUUCUUAUGCAAGAUUUCAAGGUGAUUGCUUAUACCUCACGUCAGGUGCUGAUACGUCCCAAACGUAUCUAUAAUUUCUGCUUGUUCCACGAUCUUUUGGGUGACAUUGUUAUAUGUUUUGCUACACUUCUAUAUCAUUUUACACAUAUUUGGACUAACCUACUAACUCAGUGCACCGAGUGCUAGUUUCUCUCUACUGAUGUCUAUUUUGUAGGGGCUUUUGCCCAAUUUUCCAAAGUCCAAAAAAUUUCAAGAAAAAUAUAUAAAAAAUCAACAUAACGGAAGCUUCCAGAUCACCAAAGAUGGGCUAGAGGGGGGCCAGGGGCCUCCCAAGCGACCUGUGGGCGCGGCCUGACCCUAGGCCGCGCCAAGAGGCCACCUGGGUGGGGCCCAUGCCCUCCGGUGCCCUGCUUUCGCCUAUAUUUACUCCUCUGAGAGAAAACCCUUCCAUCACAUCUGGAAUCACGAAUUUCUCCAUCGUUCCAAACACGCAACGCUUCUGAGUCGGGAGCGUCAAGAGACCUCUUCCCGGCACCCCGUCGGAGGGAGGAUUGAACUCCGGGAGCUUCUCCACCGCCAUGGACGCUUCCUGGAUGUGCCAUGAGUAGUCCUCCUUGGACUAUGAGUCCAUGACUAGUAGCUAUGUCAUGUCUCCUCUCCGAUAUUGUGCUUCAAUGGUUAGUCCUGGUGAGCUGCCCUACAUUAUCAAGGCAUCUAUGUAAUUCUCUUGCUAUUGCUAUGCUUGGUUUGUUAGGAUCCGAUGGAUUAUGAGAUUAUGUUCAGAUUGUUAAGAGUUAAAUAUUUGAUUAUCCUUUUAUAUUAUGUUACUUAGUAAUUCAUGCAUGUUCUCCGUUGCUAUUUAUUGCUUUGGACGAGUAGUAGACUGCAACUCCAAGAGGGAGCGUUAUGCAUGAUUAUGGGUUCAUGCCCCUCGAUGUCUAGCUUGAAUGACAGAAACAUGAGACUAGGGGAUGUGCUGUUGCCACCAGGGAGAAAACAACGGUGCUUGUGACCACGGUUGCAAGGAUUGUUUACCUUACGCAUAGUUCGUUAAUGCAGUUGUCCGUUGCUUUGAGUUUACACUUUGGGUGGGGCUCGCUACUUAAUACCGGCGAGAUGUUCUGGAUAGAUAUCUCAAGGUGUAUGAUUAGUAAGUAGAUGCUGAUGAAUAAACGAUCUACUUGUCUUGGCGUACUGCCCAUUACUAUUGAGCCUGUAACUUUCAAGUAGCAUAAUUAGCAUUGCGUUGCGUUCAUAAUUCUGUCAAUUGCCCAUCUGUAAUUUUUUUACCCAAGCAUAGUUGUUUAUCGUCUUUUGGGAGAGAGACAUCACUAGUGAACAUCAUGUGACUCCGGACCAUAUCACCACCAUUGUUUACACCUCCAUCAUUUACUGCUUUCAUUUACUUUUCCGUUGCAAUCACCAUUUCUAUUCCCGCUUGUGUUUUGAUCCUUUGCAAACUACAAGGCCGGAGAGAUUGACAACCUCUCUGUACUCCUUGGGAGCAAAGUUUUUUAUUGUGUGUGCAGGUCCAUGUCUUCUGCUAGCGCCAGGGUGGGAGACACCUACUUGUUGAUCCUAGGAGUCCUCCUGGUUCGAUAAACCUUACAGUCUUCGUGUGAGGAAAACUUGUUGCUGACUACAUCUCAACCUUCUACUUGGGGUAACCAAUGAGGAGCGAGAAGUAUAUACAUCAUCUCGUCAUCAAGCAAAGUUUUCUGGUGCCGUUGCAGGGGACUCCAGUCUUUAAGAUAGGGGAGUUGCACGCUAUCUUUUACUUUUGCUUUUUAGUCUUGUUAGUUUCCACGCUAUCUUUUUAGUCUUGUUAGUUUGCACGCUAUCUUUUUAGUCUUGUUCCACUUGGGGUUCAUGCCCACUGAGUUAGUAACUUGCAAUAGUUUUGAUGUAUUGAGUGGGGCCCUAUCUUGAAGUAUUUAAGUAUAGUAGUAACUAACAAGACUAAAAAUCAAAGGUAAAAUAUAGCGUGGAACUCUCCUAUCUUGAAGACUGGAGUCCCUAGAAACGGCGCCAGAAAACUUUUCUUGAUGACGAGAUGAUGUAUAUACUUCUCGCACCUCGUUGGUUACCCCAAGUGGAAGGUUGAGAUGUAGUCAACAGCAUGUUUUCCCUCACACAAGGACUGUAAGGUUUAUCGAACCAGGAGGACUCCUAGGACCAACAAGUAGGUGUCUCCCACCCUGGCGCUAGCAGAAGACGUGGACCUGCACACACAACAAAUAACUUUGCUCCCAACGAGUACAAAGAGGUUGUCAAUCUGUCCGGCCUUGUAGUUUGCAAAGGAUCAAAACACGAGCGGGAAUAGUAAUAGCGAUUGCAAUGGAAAAGUAAAUGAAAACGGUAAAUGAUGGAGGUGUAACCAAUGGUGGUGAUAUGGACCGGAGUCACAUGAUGUUCACUAGUGAUGUCUCUCUCCCAAAAGACAAUAAACAACUAUGCUUGGGGUAAAGAAAUUACAGCUAGGCAAUUGACAGAAUUAUGAAUGCACCGCAAUGUUAAUUAUACUACUUGAAAGUUAGAGGCUCAAUAGUAAUGGGCAGUACGCCAAGACAAGUAGACCGUUUAUUCAUCAGCAUCUACUUACUAAUCAUCCACCUUGAGAUAUCGAUCCACAACAUCUCGCCGGUAUUAAGUUGCGAGCCCCACCCAAAGUGUAAACUCAAAGCAACGGACAAGUGCAUUAACGAACUAUGCGUAAGGUAAACAAUCCUUGCAACCAUGGUCACAAGCACCGUUGUUAUCUCCCUGCGGCAACAUCACAUCCCCUAGUCUCAUGUUUCUGUCAGUCAAGCUAGAUAUCGAGGGGCAUGAACCCACAAUCAUGCAUAACGCUCCCUCUUGGAGUUACAAUCUACUACUCGACCAAAGCAAUAAAUAGCAAUGGAGAAUAUGCAUGAAUGACUAAGGAACAUAAUAUAAAAGGAUAAUCAAAUAUAUAACUCAUAACAAUCUGAACAUAAUCUCAUAAUCCAUCGGAUCCCAACAAACCGAGCAUAGCAAUAGCAAGAUAAUUACAUAGAUGCCUUGAUCAUGUAGGGCAGCUCACAAGGGCUAAUCAUGGAAGCACAAGAUUGGAGAGGAGACAUCACAUAGCUACUGGUCAUGGACUCAUGGUCCAAGGAGGACUACUCAUGGCACGUCUAGGAAGCGUCCAUAGCGGUGGAGAAGCUCCCGGAGGUCAAGCCUCCCUCCGGUAGGGUGCCGGGAAGAGGUCUCGUGACGCUCCAGAUCUCGGAAGCGCUGCGGCGGUGAAACGAAGGAGAAAUUCGCGAUUCUGGAUGUGAUUGAAGGGUUUUCUCGCGGAUGAGUAAAUAUAGGCGAAAGGAGGGCACCGGAGGGCGUGGGCCCCACCGAGGCGGCCUCUUGGCGCGGCAUAGGGCCAGGCCGCGCCCACAGGUCGCUUGGGAGGCCCGUGGGCCCCCUGUGGCCUAUCUUGAGUGAUUUGGAAGCUUCUAUUACACUGAUUUUUUAUAUAUUUUUCUUGGAAUUUUUCGGGCUUCGAAAAAUUGGAUAAAAGCCCCUGCAAAAUAGGCAUCAACAGAUAGAAACUGGCACUGGGUGCACUGAGUUAGUUGGUUAGUCCAAAUAUGUGUAAAAUGAUCUAAAGUGUAGCAAAACAUAUAACGAUGUCACCCAAAAGAUCAUGGAACAAGCCUUGCCUCCAGCAAGGUAUGUACCUCGAAGGCACAACUUUGCACUCGAGAUACCAUGGGCAACUAUGAGGAUUAAUAGUACAAGGCUUGUUCGGAUAUACUGAAUCAUGGUCAGUACUGUCUUCAGACAUAUAUAUGUACCCUUAAUAACCAAUCUGUGCGUCAAGCACACGUACACAUCGGUGGUUUCUCAAGACCGGCAUUGACCACAAGAGUUAUUUAUUGAAGUUCUCCCGUGUUCAAGGAAUAUUCUCCAAUGAGUAAAGGCGCAGACGUGCAACAUGGUGCUUAUAGGAACAUCAAGCUAGUCAUGCCCAACCCCGCGUGAACCUCUACACUGUACUCUUUUAUUCAUCCAACCAUAUACAACUCCUUAUGAAGUUCGAAUUAUACAAUUCAUAAUUCUUCGGAAGUAUGAAUGCUCUUUUUUAUUUAUGAGCUUUGCAAUAGUUUUUUGCUUCCUACUUUUCCUGAACAGUUUCUUGAACACUUAUACAAGCUUGGUUUUAUGAACAUAUCGGCUGAAUUAACGAGGGGUUUGGUCAUCACAACCACUCCUUUCGAACUGUUACAUUUCUAUUUGGCAUUUCUCGAGUGCGGCGUCUUGGAUUUGUGUUAUAUGCAUCAGUUUCGAAUUAUGUCUUUGGUCAAAUGUUGGGUUUCCCCGCUCCUGUGUUUACCCAUUUAAGUUGCACUAGUUCGGGUAAAAGGGUAAAGGGAGAACCACUACGAUUGUAUUUCCAGCUAGUCUGGUUAAGUACCUAAGUGGAGAAGCCGAAAACUGACCGACAUGAUGAGCAAGAGUUGGUAUGCGAUCCAAAACAAGUGUUAAACUACAGAACCAUUAGGGGUUGCUCGCAUUCCGUGAAACGUUUGAAAUCAUUUAGACCAAGUGAUUAUAUGUUUUUACACCAUGACAGAAGCCGAAUAUCACUUAUUUUAAAGGGUUUUACUUAGCACCCAUGGUCAAGCUCUUAUGGUAAAUGAAAGCAUUAAAGCCAAGUAGUAUGAUUGCAUGGUUUUAUUCCACAUUAUCAUCUUAAGGGUGACAAGACGUUGGCUAAGGGUAACUAUGUGGAAGCCAAAAACACCCUCUCUACAAUCUAGUAGGGGCUCUGAAGCUGAGAACUAGAAACUCUCAGUAUCAAAACAACCUAAACAAGAGUUGCAAUUUAAAGACAUGGUCUACCAUGCAAAAAUGAGAAGGCAUUGUAUUAUACAACCACUUUUACAGGAUUGUAUCUUUAAAUCAAAGACUAUGUCCUUAGAGCAUAGUGCCUCUAUAUCUCGGGCACCUUCCAUAGAAGUGGAGAAAUACAGUUCGGGGCGCUUGUGCUCCUUCCCACGUGGCGGAUGUGCGGUGGCCAUCUUCGAGGGCUCUAACUUCCGAAAGUGUGUCAUUCAUUUAUCAAAGUCCAUACGAGCUCCUUCAAUGCAUAUCGAACGCUUCAAGACGAUGAUUUGAGGCGAAGCAGCAAUCAACUUUUGAACCAAGCCGAAGUAGCUUCUGGGCAAUGGUUUAGAUGGCCACAACUUGAUGCACAAGUCCAACAUGGCAGGUUUAGUCAUCUUGUGCGGCUCCAUCAACUGCAUCAACUGAUCAUAUGCCAGCUGAGGAUGCUCCGUAUUCUGUAAUUGUGUUGAGAACAGCCUUUGCUGCGCCAUGCCCUCCUGAGAAGCAUAGUAAUUCUCAGCCUCUUCCGCACUCUUCGGCAAAUCGGCAAUCAUACCUGGAGAACUCAAUAUUCGAUUAAGAGAUACAAAUCUUCACCCGCCAAAGGUACACUGUAAUAAAUAGCGCUUACCAGCUGUGAUUUUCUUGAUCUGAUGGACAUCUUUCCGAAGAUCUUGUGCCUCCUUCUGUGCUUCUUGGAGUGCGGCGGUGACCGACAUCAGUUCGGUCGAUUUUUCUCUUUGUUUCUCCUCAAGGGCCUGUGGGGACCCCGACUUAUAAGUUGAGGUCACCGAAUGCACGUGUAAAGUGAUCCCGCAGAUCAAUCCUCACUGAACACACAUAAGAUGAAUACAAGAGUUUAACAUAAAUACAUACCGUCUGAUACAAAUAGAGACCAUUAAGGUCAAGUCUUACAUAGAUAGGGACUCAAAGGACGAAACACCAACAUAACUAGCAGUAGAUAACUUGAUCAAAAGCGUGAACCCGAGCCAUCUGCCUUAAGCCUACAUGCAUUCUGACUGGGAAGUGUCCUAGUUCGCGUGCUCAUCCUCAAUGAACUCUUCUCCAUAUUCCCGCUCUUCNNNNNNNNNNNNNNNNNNNNNNNNNNNNNNNNNNNNNNNNNNNNNNNNNNNNNNNNNNNNNNNNNNNNNNNNNNNNNNNNNNNNNNNNNNNNNNNNNNNNAGAGGAUUGUUCAUAUUGAAUCUUGAUAGCGAUACGCAUAUACAUAAAAUUGAGACCAAAAGAGUUAAAGUUAACAAUGAUAGCGCCAUAUUUUUGUGGCACUGCCGAUUAGGUCAUAUUGGUGUAAAGCGCAUGACGAAACUCCAUGCUGAUGGACUUUUGGAGUCACUUGACUUUGAUUCACUUGACACGUGCGAACCAUGCCUCAUGGGCAAGAUGACUAAGACUCCGUUCUCCGGAACUAUGGAGCGUGCAAGUGACUUGUUGGAAAUCAUACAUACCGAUGUGUGUGGUCCGACGAGCGUAGAGGCGCGCGGCGAAUAUCGUUAUUUUCUCACCUUCACUGACGAUUUGAGUAGAUAUGGUUAUGUCUACUUGAUGAAGCACAAGUAUGAAACAUUUGAAAAGUUCAAGCAAUUUCAGAGUGAAGUGGAAAAUCAUCGUAACAAGAAGAUCAAGUUCCUACGGUCUGAUCGUGGGGGUGAAUAUCUGAGUUUCGAGUUUGGUGCUCACUUAAGACAAUGUGGAAUUGUUUCACAGUUAACACCGCCUGGAACACCACAGCGUAAUGGUGUGUCCGAACGUCGUAAUCGUACUUUAUUAGAGAUGGUGCGAUCUAUGAUGUCUCUUACCGAUUUGCCGUUAUCAUUUUGGGGUUAUGCAUUAGAAACAACUGCAUUCACUUUAAAUAGGGCACCAUCAAAAUCCGUUGAGACGACACCAUACAAACUGUGGUUUGGCAAAAGGCCAAAGUUGUCGUUUCUUAAAGUUUGGGGAUGUGAUGCUUAUGUCAAAAAGCUUCAGCCUGAAAAACUAGAACCCAAAGCGGAAAGGUGCGUCUUCAUAGGUUACCCAAAAGAGACAGUUGGGUACACCUUCUAUCUCAAAUCCGAAGGCAAAGUGUUUGUUGCUAAAAACGGAGCUUUUUUCGAGAAGGAGUUUCUCUCGAGAGAAUUGAGUGGGAGGAAGAUAGAACUUGACGAGGUUGUCGAACCUCUCAUCCCUCUAGAUGGUGGCGCAGGGCAAGGGGAAACUUCGAACCUCUCAUCCCUCUGGAUGGUGGCGCAGGGCAAGGGGAAACCUCUGUCAUUGCGACGUCGAUUGAGGAGGAAGUUAAUGAUGAUGAUCAUGAAACUCCGGUUCAAGUUUCUAUCGAACCACGCAGGUCGACGAGACCACGUACUGCUCUAGAUCCCGUCUUAUCAAUCAUGUUGUUAGACAACAAUGAACGUGCAAAUUAUGAAGAAGCAAUGGUGGGCCCAGAUUCCAACAAAUGGCUAGAAGCCAUGAAGUCCGAGAUAGGAUCCAUGUAUGAGAACAAAGUGUGGACUUUGGAGGUACUACCUGAGGGCCGCAAGGCUAUUCAGAACAAAUGGAUCUUUAAGAGGAAGACGGACGCUGACGGCAAUGUGACCGUUUAUAAAGCUCGACUUGUGGCAAAGGGUUUUUCACAAGUUCAAGGAGUUGACUACGAUGAGACAUUCUCACCCGUAGCGAUGCUUAAGUCUGUCAGAAUCAUGUUAGGAAUAGCUGCAUUUUUCGAUUAUGAAAUCUGGCAGAUGGAUGUCGAAACGGCGUUCCUUAACGGUUUCCUUAAGGAAGAGUUGUAUAUGAUANNNNNNNNNNNNNNNNNNNNNNNNNNNNNNNNNNNNNNNNNNNNNNNNNNNNNNNNNNNNNNNNNNNNNNNNNNNNNNNNNNNNNNNNNNNNNNNNNNNNGUCGACACAUCAUAAACUAUGACCUGACAUAUCUCUAAACCGCCGUGUCACUCAAGUAAGGAAACUUCCCGGCGAGUCUUCCUCUUCUUGGGCCUUGAGUCACCAUAUGGGCUCUUGGGCUGAGCCGGCUCUCUGAUGGAGAUCACCUCAUGCCUUUUGUGUCCUGGGUCUAAUCCCAUCUUGAAUCAUGAACGUUGAGUCGCCAUGAACCUGACCCAUCCCAAUAGGGAGGGUCAUAUAGAGGGUAAUAUCCCCAACACUUCCUCAAGGUAUCGCUGGACAGACAGGUUGCCGGUGCAAAAGAGAGUCGAGAAACACGACGGUUUGAAUAGAGAACUGAUGACCCACAAGUAUAAGGGAGCAAUCGUAGUCCUUUCGAUAAGUAAGAGUGUCGAACCCAACGAGGAUCAGAAGGUUCUGAUAAGCGGUUUUCAGCAAGGUAAUAACUGCAAGCACUGAAAGUGGCGGUAACAAGUGAUUGCGUAGCGAGGUGAAACGUAGCAAGCAAAAAGUAACAAGUAACAAGUAGUAGCACCGGUGCAGCAAGUAGCCCAAUCCCUUUUGUAGCAAAGGACAAGCCUGAACAAAGUCUUAUAGGAGGAAAAACGCUCCCGAGGACACACGGGAAUUUCUGUCAUGCUAGUUUCAUCAUGUUCAUAUGAUUUGCGUUCGUUACUUUGAUAGUUUGAUAUAUGGGUGGACCGGCGCUUGGGUACUGCCCUUACUUGGACAAGCAUCCCACUUACGAUUAACAUCUCUCGCAAGCAUCCGCAACUACAAAAUAAGAAUUAAUACAAAGUCUAACCAUAUCAUUAAACUAGUGGAUCCAAAUUAGCCCCUCACGAAGCAACGCAUAGACUGGGGUUUAAGCUUCUGUCACUCCAGCAACCCAUCAUCUACUUACUACUUCCCAAUGCCUUCCUCUAGGCCCAAAUAUGGUGAAGUGUUAUGUAGUCGACGUUCACAUAACACCACUAGAGGAAAAGAUAACAUACAACAUAUCAAAAUACCGAACGAAUAUCAAAUUCACAUGACUAUUGUCAGCAUGACUUAUCCCAUGCCUCAGGAACAAAAGUAACUACUCACAAAACAUAAUCAUAAUGAUGAUCAGAGGUGUAAUGAAUAGCAUCAAGGAUAUGAACAUAAACUCUUCCACCAAGUAAUCCAACUAGCAUCAACUACAAAGAGUAAUGAACACUACUAGUAACCUUACAAGUACCAAUCGGAGUUGCGAGACGAAGAUUGGUUACAAGAGAUGAACUAGGGAUUGGAGAGCAGAUGGUGCUGAUGAAGAUGUUGAUGAAGAUGCCUCCCCUCCGACGAGAGGAGUGUUGGUGAUGACGAUGGCGACGAUUUCCCCCUCCGGGAGGGAAGUUUCCCUGGCAGGAUCGUCCUGCCGGAGCUCUAGAUUGGAUCUGCUCAAGUUCCGCCUCGUGGCGGCAGCGAAACCACGAAAAAUCUCCCGUCUAAUUUUUUCUGGACCAAGAUGCUUCAUAUAGCAAAAGAGGGGGGCUAGUGGGCCGUCAGGGAGCCCACAAGCCCCCACUCCUCCACGAGGGGGGUGGCGGUGUCAGGGCUUGUGGCGCCCUGGCAGCCCCCCUCCGGUAGUUCUUUCGCCCAAUAUUUUUUAUAUAAUCCCAAAAAAACCACGUAACUUUUCAGGGCAUUUGGAGAUGUGCAGGAUAGUGGACUAGGAUUUGCUCCUUUUCCAGUCCAGAAUUCCAGCUGCCUGAAUUCUCCCUCUUCAAAUAAACCUUGCAAAAUAAGAGAGAAAAGGCAUAAAUAUGGUAACACAAGUAAUAUAACAGCCCAAAAAGCAAUAAAUAUCAACAUGAAAGCAUGAUGCAAAAUGGACGUAUCAACUCCCCCAAGCUUAGACCUCGCUUGUCCUCAAGCAAAAACCAAGUUCCAUAAACAUGUCCACAUGUUGAGGGACGAAGGUGUCGAUAAAACAUAAUACGGACAUGAGGGCAUCAUGAUCACACAUAGAACAACAAUACAUCAUAAAAAUUCUUAUGGGAAAGUAACAAUUCCUUCACAAAGCAAAGCAUGAAGCAGAAACCUUACCGAGAAGUAACCAACAAUAAACCAUAGUCAUUGAAGCAAUUGCAAUUUAUCAAAAGAUCAGAAAUAGUCAAGUAAGAGCUUGUAAGGCAAAUCCACAUACUCAAUCAUCUCUUUUGUUUUCCACAAUUGUUACAACUCACGUGGUACUCAUUGUGUCAAAGUUUCAGCUGGACACAGAGGAAGAUAGGGGCUUAUAGUUUUGCUUCCCAACCAUUUACCUCAAAGGUAAAGUCAACAACAAUAAAGCAUAAGUACUCAACUCCAAGUUGAUAUAUGAAUAUAGAUCAUCCCCAAGCAUGUGACGGUAGCUAAGACAACGGCAAAAAUAGGGAAUUGGUGAUGAUCACCAUGACUCUUACAAGGGAAAAAAGGAAAGGUACAAGAUAGGCCCUUCACAGAGGGAAGCAGAGGUUGUCAUGCGCUUUUGAGGUUUGAAUGCGUGUCCUCUUAGUGCGGAGGAACGUCACUUUAUAUUGCCUCCUGUGAUAAAGAACUUUAUUAUGCAGUGUGUCGCUUGUAUGUCUUCCUCAUCACAGGUUCAUACAAAGUUUAUUUUCCACACACUAAUAGAUCAUACAUAUUAGAGAGCAAUUUUUAUUGCUUGCACCGAUGACAACUUACUUGAGGGAUCUUAUUCAAUCCAUAGGUAGGUAUGGUGGACACUCAUGGCAAAACUGGGUUGAAGGUUUAUGGAUGCAUAAGUAGUAUCUCUACUUGGUGCGGGAGUUUUGGCUAAUAUGAGGUGGAAGCAAUCGUCACAUGCUAAGGGAUCUCUAAUCAUAUAACAUUGUUUGGAACCAAGCAAACACAAUUCAUUAUGUUGUCUUCCUUGUCCAACAUCUACUCCUAGGCAUGUAAUAGUUUGGUGAGUGCUCACAAUUGUAAAAAGUGUCUAAGAAGAUAUAUUUAUAUGUGAACCUCUCUUUCCUUAUUACUUCUUAUUAAUUGCAACAAUGACUGAGGUCUAUGUUGAUUUAUUCUCAACAAGUUUCAAUCAUCAUACGUGUCAUACGUGAAGUCAUCACUUUCCAUACGAUCAUCUCAUGAUCUUUCAUGCUAUCGUUAUUUUCAUACUUUUGACGAUGGCACAAAGCAAAGCCCUUGACUAAGACACUCUUUAUUAUAUAGCUCGCGAGCUCGAAUACAUCGGGGGAGAGACAAAGCAAAAGACUCCAACUAAAAACUAAAGACUUAUUCCUCUAAGAGAAGAAAUAAAAACUGAAAAGGAAAGAACUAAAACAAAGGUAAAAGCAAAAGAUAUAAAGGUGAUACGAUACCAGGGCAACUCCCCCAAGCUUGGCAGAAGCCAAGGGGAUUGCCCAUACCAAUGCUUAGUUGCCUUCCUUCGGUGGUGAUGGUGGUGGAGUUGUUGGAGUAGUGUGAUCCUCCGUCUUCCAAGGCAUAGGUGCUCCAUCAUGGCAGGAUGAACGAGUCGCCGGAAUCCUCAAAUAUGCAGCCAACCUUAUUGAUUUAUAUAUGUACUCAUACUCAUAGUUUUGGUUCUACAGGUCAUAGAUCUGGCCCUGAAGUUGAUCAACCCUGUCAUAGAGCCUGGAGAGGUGUUUCCCAAUAUCAAUGGCAUCCAUCUUGUGAUUGCUAGUGAACUCCGUGAUCAUCGUGUGGUCGGCGUUGAGUCCACGCUCCACCAUCCCUAGGCACUUGAAGACUUGUGCUCCAUUGCUUCGAGCCUCGUCUCCACGCUUCCGAUCUUCUUAGGCCCCUCAACAUCACGGAUGUGCAACCUCCCCUCGCUCAUCUUGAUAGAUUGAGGGUGUUUCAGCACUUCUGUGAGGUAGGUAUUGAUGACCUUCUCGAAGAUCUUGUCCUUAGGAGCGUUUGGGGAAGUCAUGAUGAUCUAGAUCUGUCACAGAAACAGGCUCGAAACAAAAACAGAGGAAAACUACGCGAUACGGAGAUCAAAACCUUCGGGCGACUAUAUAUUGAUUUUUUCUGGGCCACAGGGAGUCCUCCGCAAGCAAACAAAGUCUGGGAGGCACACGAGGUGCCCACAAGCUUGCCCUCCGCCACCAGGGGGUAGUGGGCGGUGGCAGGGCUUGUGGCCACCUCGUUCGCUCUCCGGACUGCUUUUUAUUUUUCUAAUUUUCCAAAAAUUCCAAAACGGAAGAAAUUUCCUAUUGGAAAAGCAUCGGAGUCCAAUUUCUUACCGAAACAGAUACAUCUUCGUUUUCAAGGUCUGAAACAGGCUGAUAAACAUCCCUUAUGUACUCCUUUGGAGUUAUGACAUUGAUGAUAUUGGUCUCAACAUUUAUGGGAGUACUAGAGAUGUAAUGCUUGAUUCUUUGCCCAUUUACCACUCUAGGAAAAUUUCCUUCCAUGUUAUUGAUUUUGAUAGCACCAGAACGAUAUACUUCCUCGAUAACAUAGGGACCUUCCCAUUUAGAGAGAAGCUUGCCUGCAAUGAAUGUCAAACGAGAAUUGUAUAGCAAGACAUAAUCACCUACAUUGAACUCUCGUUUCUGUAUUCGUUUGUCGUGCCAUCUCUUAACCUUUUCCUUCAACAACUUGGCAUUCUCGUAUGCUUGGGUUCUCCAUUCAACUAACGAGCUGAUAUCAAACAACCGCUUCUUGCCGGCAAGUUUGAAAUCAAAGUUGAGCUCUUUGAUUGCCCAAUAAGCUUUGUGUUCCAGCUCAAGAGGUAAAUGACAGGCUUUACCGUAAACCAUUUUAUACGGUGACAUGCCCAUGUGAUUCUUAUAAGCAGUCCUAUAAGCCCAUAGUGCAUCGUCAAGUUUGCUAGACCAGUUCUUUCGAGAUCUAUUGACGGUCUUUUGUAGGAUCAACUUGAUCUCCCUAUUACUCAACUCCACUUGACCACUAGACUGAGGAUGAUAAGGAGAUGCAACUCUAUGGUUGACAUCAUACUUAGCUAGCAUCUUGCGAAAAACACCAUGAAUGAAGUGUGAACCACCAUCAGUCAUCAAGUAUCUAGGGACUCCAAAUCUUGGGAAUAUGACUUCUUUAAGCAUCUUAAUAGAGGCGUGGUGAUCAGCAUUUUUUGUGGGGAUAGCCUCUACCCACUUAGUAACGUAAUCCACAAAUACUAAGAUGUGAGUGUACCCAUUGGAAGUUGGGAAGGGUCCCAUAUAAUCAAAGCCCCAGACAUCAAAUGGUUCAAUGACAAGUGAAUAGUUCAUAAGCAUUUCCUAAUGCUUACUGAUGUUCCCUAUUGUUUGGCAUUCUUCACAAGACAAUACAAACUUACGGGCAUCCUUGAAGAGAGUGGGCAAAUAGAAACCUGAUUGCAAUACCUUAUGGGCAGUUCUAUCUCCAGCAUGGUGUCCUCCGUAGGCUUCGGAAUGACACUUCUGCAAGAUCUGUCCCUGUUCAUAUUCAGGCACACAACGUCUAAUAACACCAUCUAAUCCUUCCUUAUAAAGGUGAGGAUCAUCCCAAAAGUAAUGUCUCAAAUCAAAGAAGAAUUUCUUCUUUUGCUAAUAGGUGAAACUAGGUGGUAUGUAUUUGGCUACGAUAUAGUUUGCAUAAUCUGCAUACCACGGAGCACUAUGUGAAGUGCGGAUGACAUUUAAUUGCUCAUCAAGAAAGCUAUCAUCAAUAGGUAGUGGGUCAUCAAGGACAUUCUCUAGCCUAGACAAGUUAUCUGCUACAGGGUUAUCAGCACCCUUUCGGUCAACGACGUGCAAAUCAAAUUCCUGUAGCAGGAGAACCCAUCUGAUCAGCCUAGGCUUAGCAUCCUUCUUCUCCAUGAGGUACUUAAUAGCAGCAUGAUCAGAGUGAAUAGUGACUUUGGAGUCAACUAUGUAAGAUCUGAACUUUUCACAUGCAAACACAACCGCUAAAAUUUCCUUCUCCGUAGUGGCAUAGUUUCUUUGGGCACUGUCUAGAGUUUUACUAGCGUAGUGAAUGACAUUCAACUUCUUUUCAACUCUUUGUCCUAGAACAGCACCAACAGCAUAAUCACUAGCGUCUCACAUGAUUUCAAAGGUAAAGUUCCAGUCAGGUGGUUGAACAUUAGGUGCGGUUAUCAAAGCCUUCUUAAGUAUUUCGAAGGAUUCCUCACAAUCCUCAUCAAAAACAAAAGGAACAUCCUUCUGCAAGAGGUUGGUAAGAGGCCUAGAAAUCUUAGAGAAGUCUUUAAUGAACCUUCUAUAGAAACCAACAUGACCUAGGAAACUUCGUAUACCUCUGAUAUCUGUGGGGCAAGGCAUUUUCUCAAUUGCAUCAACCUUAGCCUUAUCAACUUCAAUGCCACUUUCAAAGAUUUUGUGUCCUAAGACGAUACCUUCAUUAACCAUAAAGUGGCACUUCUCCCAAUUCAAGACGAGGUUGGUUUCUUUGCAUCUCUGUAAGACUCGAUCAAGGUUGCUGAGGAAAUCAUUAAAGGAAGACCCGUAAACGGAGAAGUCAUCCAUGAAAACCUCGAUAAUCUUUUCAUAGAAGUCAGAGAAUAUAGCCAUCAUACAUCUUUGGAAGGUGGCAGGUGCAUUGCAUAAGCCAAAAGGCAUACGUCUAUAAGCAAAGGUACCGAUGGGACAGGUGAAAGUGGUUUUCUCCUGAUCAGAUUGUGCAACAGGUAUUUGCGAGAAACCUGAAUAACCGUCUAGAAAGCAGAAGUGUGUGUGCUUUGAUAGCCUUUCUAGCAUUUGGUCGAUAAACGACAAAGGAUAAUGAUCUUUCCUGGAUGCCUUGUUCAGUUUCCGAAAGUCUAUCACCAUCCUAUAGCCAGUAAUAAUCCUUUGUGGGAUUAGUUCAUCCUUAUCAUUAGGAAGGACGGUGAUACCUCCCUUCUUAGGUACGCAAUGUACUGGACUUACCCAAUCACUAUGAGCAACAGGAUAAAUAAUUCCUGCUUCCAGAAGCUUUAAUAUUUCUUUUCUAACGACCUCUUUCAUCUUAGGAUUUAAUCUCCUUUGAUGAUCAACAACUGGUUUAAAGCCAGGAUCGGUUUUAAUCUUGUGUUGACAUAGAGUAGGACUAAUACCCUUAAGAUCAUCAAGAGUAUAUCCAAUAGCAGCGUGGUGCUUCCUCAGAGUUUUUAGUAACUUCUUCUCUUCGUGCUCUGAAAGGAGGGCACUAAUAAUGAUAGGAUAUAUCUCCUUCUCAUGAAGAUAGGCAUACUUAAGAGUAUCAGGCAACUGUUUAAGCUCGAACACUGGAUCACCCUUUGGUGGGGGAGGAUCCCCAAGCAGUUCAACAGGCAGAUUAUUCUUGAGAAUAGGAUAUUGUUCUAAGACAAUCUAUUAUAUACUUAAAACAAUAGAAAAGGAACGGCAAAGAUUUACCGUUCAUAAGUUAAGAAAAAUAAACGAACUAGAUUUACCCAGCUCCCCGUAGAAAAAGAAGGAAACCUUGACAACGAGAAUAUGAAUCGGAAUUAUGCCCAUGUAUGAGUCCACCGGGCAUCAUAUUGACAUCAGCAGGCCAUUAUCUUUCUACUUAAAAAUGAUGGAUGUUGUACCAACUUUGACUGCCCAGCCAGGCAAAUAUGUGACGUCACACACACAAUGUCAAAUUUUGCACAUGUUAAAUAGGCCAGCUUGCACUGUGCAUGUCAUGUAUACCUGAUAGAAAGCCUGAUAAAAUCUGUCACGUGUAUAUACACGAUGAAAAAAACAGACAUAUAAGAGUUCUAUUACAAUACGGGACAACCCCUUCUAUAGAGAUUGUCAAAAAGCAAAACGACCCCCAUCUAGCUACUUUUUUUAGCAGUUAGUCUAUCUACUUAUCACGUGAAUAAGUCAUAUGUUUAUAAGAUGUAUUUGUUUUAUCCUGCCAUGAAUAAAAAUAGUGUCCCACCCCAGUAUUCCGGUAUGCACUAAUUAUAAUGGCCAGAAUCUGAACGCAUCCAAAUAAAUUAAGUCUGAAAAAAGAAAUAGAGAAAGAAAAACAUAUAUUUAGUGUUUUUAUCGGGAAUAUAAAUUUAGUAUUCGGAACUUCUUUGCUAAAAAAAAUUAGUAUUUGUAUCUGUAAAUUGCACAACGUAUCACCAUGUUGUUGUUGUCUAGCUACCUAUCACAAAAGAAUUGCAUUUUAUUUGGUGGGUGAUAUCGACAAAGAAUAAUAAGUGCCUUAAUGGAAAAGAAUGUGCGUACCAGAACCUAUAUAAAAUUAGCAAUAAAGGUAUAAAUUAUUAAAAAAAUUAGUUANNNNNNNNNNNNNNNNNNNNNNNNNNNNNNNNNNNNNNNNNNNNNNNNNNNNNNNNNNNNNNNNNNNNNNNNNNNNNNNNNNNNNNNNNNNNNNNNNNNNNNNNNNNNNNNNNNNNNNNNNNNNNNNNNNNNNNNNNNNNNNNNNNNNNNNNNNNNNNNNNNNNNNNNNNNNNNNNNNNNNNNNNNNNNNNNNNNNNNNNNNNNNNNNNNNNNNNNNNNNNNNNNNNNNNNNNNNNNNNNNNNNNNNNNNNNNNNNNNNNNNNNNNNNNNNNNNNNNNNNNNNNNNNNNNNNNNNNNNNNNNNNNNNNNNNNNNNNNNNNNNNNNNNNNNNNNNNNNNNNNNNNNNNNNNNNNNNNNNNNNNNNNNNNNNNNNNUUAAAUGUGAAAUUUAAAACCUAACUGUAAUAACAUUAACGAUUUUGCUUUUGUAUAAAUAAUGUCUCCGAACCUCAAUACCCAAUUUCAGAUAAAUUAUGAACAAUAGUAAUUAUUACAUGGAUCCAUAAUGCAUCUAUUUUACAUACAAUUCUUUUCAUGCAAUAAAAAGGAAAGGAACACAUUUCCCCUAAAUAUAUGCAUGCGUGGUCCUUAGAUAUCCAAUUUAAGUCUAUAUAUUAUCGCAAGCAUUUUAAUUGGUGGAUAAACGACAAUUAUAUUCAUAUAUAAAUAAUUAGCAAAGUUUUGCGUCUGAAAGCAUGUCAAAAUUGUUGAAAUUUCAGAUGACGGUGUUUGUGGGACAUGUAUAUAAUCUAGCCGCGCAAAUGCGCGGGUCAUCCUGCUAGUUUUAUCUAUCUCAUCUCUCGCCUCCAUAUGCAUAUCAUUUUCAUGCUCAAGAAGAUAUUGCUCUAAAGGAUCCGUAGGAGGUACGGAAAUAGGGGCAAGAGCAAUGGUUUCAUCCCUACCAGAUGACUCUCUUUCAUGGGGUUGUCUUCCAAACUUGGAGAAGUUAAAUUCAUGAGACACACCCUCGAAACUUACUGUGAUAGUCUGCUUAAUGCAAUCAAUGUGAGCAUUGAUAGUGUUGAGAAAGGGUCUACCGAAUAUGAUGGGACAAAAGCUAUCUUGUGUAGUACCAAGGACGAGGAAAUUAGUAGGAUACUUCGUCUUACCACACAGGACUUCUACGUCUCUCACAAUUCCCAUAGGGCAAAUAGUGUCUCUAUUAGCUAGCGUAAUAGUGACAUCAAUGGGUUCUAACUCAGCAGGUGCAAUCUAAUCUUCGAUUUCAUCAUAUAGAGAACGGGGUAUUGCACUAACACUAGCUCCCAUAUCACAUAAACCAUGGUAACAGUGAUCUCCUAUCUUGACAGAAACAACGGGCAGACCAACUAUAGGUCUGUGUUUGUCUUUCGCCUGAGGUUUAGCAAUUCUAGUGGAGUCCUCAUAGAAUUUGAUAACAUGCCCAUCUAUGUCUUCGGCUAAGAGAUCUUUGAUAAUAGCAACACUAGGUUCAACUCUAAUCUCUUCAGGGGGUGCAAGUGGUCUAAUGUAACCCCUACGUAUCACAGUUGGAGAUUUAGAAUAAUCCUUUAUCCUAGCAGGGUAUGGUGGUUUCUCAGUGUAAGCACAAGGAACAACAGGAUCACUAAAAGCAAUGACUUUCUCCUCAACUAGAUUGGUUUUGGCUAUGUUGCUUUCUACAGGAGGAUGAUAUUUAAACCACUUCUCUUUGGGAAGAUCAACAUGAGCAGCAAAAGAUUCACAUAGAGAAGCUACUAUCUUAGAGUCAAGUCCAUACUUAGCGCUAAAAUCUCCAGAAGUGUUUGUCUCAACAAAAGAUUUAACGCAAUCAAACUGGAAAUUCAUACCUAACUCCUUACCUUCCUCCAGCUCCCAAUCUUCAGAGUUGCGUUUGAUUCUCUCCAAUAAAUUCCACUUGUGAUCAAUAUCCUUGUUCAUAAAAGAAUCGGUAUAAGAAGUGUCAAGCAUGGUACGAUCUUCAUGAGAAAGCCGAGCAUAAAAGUUUUGAGUGAUGAUUUCUCUCGAGAGCUCAUGAUUGGGGCAUGAAUAUAGCAUUGAUUUAAGCCUCCCCCAAGCUUGAGCUAUGCUUUCCCUGUCACGAGGACAAAAGUUAUAAAUAAAGUUCUGAUCACGAUGUACUAAAUGCAUAGGAUAGAACUUUUGAUGAAAUUCGAAUUUGAACCGAUUGUAGCCCCAUGAUCCAGUAUCAUCACAUAGCCUAUACCAUGUCGACGCCUUAUCCUUCAAAGAUAAAGGAAGGAAUUUCUUCUUUACCUCAGCGUCAGGCAAACCUGCAAGCUUAAACAAACCACAAUCUUCAUCUACAUAGAUUAGAUGCAAGUCUGGAUGUGAAGAUCCAUCUCCUGUGAAAGGAUUAGCCAGCAGUUUCUCAAGCAUACCCAAAGGAAUUUCAUAGAAGAUAUUUUCAGUAGGUACCUCAGGUUGAGGAACAACUCCUCGUGCUUGCGUUCAUGGUGAAUAUACCCUGAACAAACUCCUCAAAGGAACAGUUUCCAUAGUGACAAGUCACAAUAAAUUUCAGCACGGUAUGUAAAAGUUUCCUUACCAAUUUCCACUUACCAAGGGCGCUUCACUCCCCGGCAACGGCGCCAGAAAAGAGUCUUGAUGACCCACAAGUAUAGGGGAUCCAUCGUAGUCCUUUAUAUACGGGUCGAGGCCCUAGGUUUACAAAGUCCAGACCACAUCAUAAACUAUGACCUGACAUAUCUCUAAACCGCCGUGUCACUCAAGUAAGGAAACUUCCCGGCGAGUCUUCCUCUUCUUGGGCCUUGAGUCACCAUAUGGGCUCUUGGGCUGAGCCGGCUCUCUGAUGGAGAUCACCUCAUGCCUUUUGUGUCCUGGGUCUAAUCCCAUCUUGAAUCAUGAGCGUUGAGUCGCCAUGCAUCUGACCCAUCCCAAUAGGGUGGCUCAUAUAGAGGGUAAUAUCCCCAACACUUCCUCAAGGUAUCGCUGGACAGAAAGGUUGCCGGUGCAAAAGAAAGUCGAGCAACACGACGGUUUGAAUAGAGAACUGAUGACCCACAAGUAUAGGGGAUCAAUCAUAGUCCUUUCGAUAAUUAAGAGUGUCGAACCAAACGAGGAGCAGAAGGCUCUGAUAAACGGAUUUCAGCAAGGUAAUAACUGCAAGCACUGAAAGUAGUGGUAACAAGUGAUUGUGUAGUGAGGUGAAACGUAGCAAGCAAAGAGUAACAAGUGACAAGUAGUAGCAACGGUGCAACAAGUGUCCCAAUCCCUUUUGUAGCAAGGGACAAGCCUCAACAAAGUCUUAUAGGAGGAAAAACGCUCCCGAGGACACACGGGAAUUUCUGUCAUGCUAGUUUCAUCAUGUUCAUAUGAUUUGCGUUCGUUACUUUGAUAGUUUGAUAUGUGGGUGGACCGGCGCUUGGGUACUGCCCUUACUUGGACAAGCAUCCCACUUAUGAUUAACCUCUCUCGCAAGCAUCCGCAACUACAAAAGAAGAAUUAAGACAAAGUCUAACCAUAUCAUUAAACUAGUGGAUCCAAAUCAGCCCCUCACGAAGCAACUCAUAGACUGGGGUUAAGCUUCUGUCACUCCAGCAACCCAUCAUCUACUUACUACUUCCCAAUGCUUUCCUCUAGGCCCGAAUAUGGUGAAGUGUUAUGUAGUCAACGUUCACAUAACACCACUAGAGGAAAAGACAACAUACAACAUAUCAAAAUACCGAACGAGUAUCAAAUUCACAUGACUAUUAUCAGCAUGACUUAUCCCAUGUCCUCAAGAACAAAAGUAACUACUCACAAAAGAUAAUCAUAAUCAUGAUCAGAGGUGUAAUGAAUAGCAUCAAGGAUCUGAACAUAAACUCUUCCACCAAGUAAUCAACUACAAAGAGUAAUCAACACUACUAGCAACCUUACAAGUACCAAUCGGAGUUGCGAGACGAAGAUUGGUUACAAGAGAUGAACUAGGGAUUGGAGAGCAGAUGGUGCUGAUGAACUAGGGAUUGGAGAGGAGAUGGUGCUGAUGAAGAUGUUGAUGAAGAUGCCUCCCCUCCGAUGAGAGGAGUCUUGGUGAUGACGAUGGCGAUGAUUUCCCGCUCCGGGAGGGAAGUUUCCCCGGCAAGAUCGUCCUGCCGGAGCUCUAGAUUGAAUCUUCUCAAGUUCCGCCUUGUGGCAGCGGUGAAACCACGAAAAAGCUCCCGUCUGAUUUUUUUUCUGGACCAAGACGCUUCAUAUAGCAAAAGAGGGGGGCUAGUGGGCCGUCAGGGAGCCCACAAGCCCCCACUCCGCCACCAGGGGAUGGCGGUGUCAGGGCUUGUGGCGCCCUGGCAGCCCCCCUCCGGUAGUUCUUUCGCCCAGUAUUUUUUUAUAUAUUCCAGAAAAAAUCACCGUAACUUUUCAGGGCAUUUGGAGAUGUGCAGAAUAGUGGACUAGGAUUUGCUCCUUUUCCAGUGCAGAAUUCCAACUGCCUGAAUUCUCCCUCUUCAAAUAAACCUUGCAAAAUAAGAGAGAAAAGGCGUAAAUAUGGUACCACAAGUAAUAUAACAGCCCAAAAAGCAAUAAAUAUCAACAUGAAAGCAUGAUGCAAAAUGGACGUAUCACUCCUUCAACUUCAGCCCAGAAGAACCUGCCAAUUUGAGGAUGGAAUGUCGAGGUGCUGAUAGAUUUGUGAGUGAAGCAUGCUAGAUUUCUAGUGCCGUAGCCUGAGAGAGUACGCAUGGCUUCGUCUCCUAUUCUGUGUCUCCUUUUUCACACUAAGGGUGUUAUGAUCCCACUUCCUCAAUACUCAAUUCAACUCAGAUUACAAGGUUCACAGCAGAAAUCUAGGGUUCGAAGGGAAGAACAAAGUAUGAUACAGAGGGAAUAGGUCAAGGGGAUCGCCGUUCCCACCGGGUUCUCAUCACUACCUGCCUCACAUAGGAGGUGGAUGGUUGCUACAUAACCCCCUUCACGUCGCGGUGGUAUCCUACACUUAGGCCGAGUAGUGGCUGCUGGGCUUCACAUGACAUCGUGGUCGUUCCUGGGCCACGUCGGUUGGCUCCGUUGGGCCGCCAGGGAUGCAUGUAGUUGGGGGCCCAAUGGUAGGUGGCGUAACACUCCCUCCUCCUUGAGACACAGCUUGCCCCCAAGCUGGUGCCGCCGGGAAGUGUUGCCGAAGCUCGAUGUUGUCCUCCCAGGUCGCAAACUCCGCAGGUUGGUCCGUCUAGCGCACCAAUAUUUGUGGAACUUCCUUGUUCUGCUACUUGCAAAGACGUAGGCGUUGAGCACCAGUGCCUCCAUCUGCACGUGGUCCAUCAGCCAUUCGGACAGGUCUGAAGAGGUGCAUGUGACGGGAUCCACAAUCCUGAAGAACCGCGGUGCAUGGUCGUACCACACCUCGAACGGAGUUGUCCCUAGAGCAGAGUGAGGCGGCGUGUUGUACCCAAACUCUGCAAGAGGCAUCCAAGUGCUCCAUUUUCUCGGGCAGGAGUUGACGAAGCAUCACAGAAAGGUCUCCAUGCACUGAUUCACCCACUCCGUCUGGCCAUCUGUCUGUGGGUGUCGGGCAGUACUCAUGCGCAACUUGUUGUGAGUAAGGUGAAUCAGCUCCUGCCACAGGGUGCUGGUGAAGAUAGGGUCAUUGUCGGAGAUGAUUGAUUCCGGCAGGCCGUGCAACUUGUAGAUGUUUGCAAGAAAAUCAUGCGCCACUUGGAAAGCUGUGAAGGGAUGUGACAAGGAGAUAAAGUGAGCAUACCGCGAGAACUUGUCGACCACCACUAAGAUGGAGUUGGAACCUGAGGAAUGUGGUAGGCCCUCGACAAAGUCCAUGGAGAUCAUUUGCCAAGCGUGCGUAGGAACACGCAGAGGCUCUAGUAACCCGGGGUGACAAACUUGCUCCGGCUUUGCUUGCUUGCAAGUCUAGCAAGAGUCCAUGAACUACUUCAAGUGGUGCUUGAGCUCGGGCCAGGUGAACAAACGAUGGACUUGGCGAUACUUGGUGUUGAACACAGAGUGCCCGCCAAUGGCGCCAGUGUGAAGGGCACUAAGAACCUGUUUCUGGAGGUCCACAUUGUCUCCCAGCAAGACACACCCAUGUUGUUUGAUAACUCCAUCUUGAAGCUGAAAUCCGUCUGUGUUGUUGGGUUAAGCAGGAAGCUGGGUAAGCAGGCACUGAGCUCAAGGGUCAUCCAGGUAGCCCUUUUGAACAUCCGCUAACCACGCAUGCAUGACUGUGGUGAUAGUGGCCAGAUCACCUUGUGUUGGUCCAGGCUGCCGGGAUAGAGCAUCAGCCGCCCUGUUAUCUACCCAUUUCUUAUAGACAAUGUAAUAACAAAGCCCGAGAAGCUUUGUCAUAAUCUUUUGCUAUCACGGAGUAGCCAGCUGCUGGUCUUCAAGAUGGAUUAGGCUACGCUGAUCUGUAUGCACCACAAACUCAUCGUUCUGAAGAUAGGCGUGCCAGUGAUCGACCGCGAAUAGGCUAGCCAAGCCCUCUUUCUCAUAAGUGGACAAUAGGCGGUUGCGUAGUCCAAGAGCACGGCUCAUGAAACCAACGGGGUGGUUGUCCUGAGAGAGAACAACCCCGAUGUCGUAAUCACACGCAUCGGUUUCGAGCUCAAACAUCUUGGUGAAGUCUGAAGGAGCAAGUACCGGCACAGUGAUGAGGGUCUGUUGUAAGGCAUGGAAAGAGGCUUCGUCUAAGUCUGUCCAACGAGACACCACAUUCUUUUUGAGGAGAUCGGUGAGGGGGCGGCAGAUGACUGCGAAACCCUUGACAAAUUUGCGAUAGUAGCCAGCCAACCACAAAAAACCACAAACUGCUUUGGCUGUAGUGGGCACUUGCCAGUUUUGCACUAUUGCGAUAUUCCUGUUGUCCGUACGAACAACGGAACCGCUAAUUUCAUGGCCCAAGUACAACAGUGUCGGGCUAGCAAAGGUGCACUUGCUGCGAUUCAGCUUGAGGUUGUGGUCACAGAGCAACUGAAACACUUGGUUCAACAGGGUAUGGUGAGUUUCUUCAUCGGCGUUGUGGACCAGGAUGUCGUCAAUAAACACCAAGAACCCACGACGAAGCAAUGGUGCCACCAUAGUGUUCAUACCACCCUGGAAAGUGGACGGACCCCCAGUCACACCAUAUGGCAUCACUUUGAACUCGUAGUGCCCGUGGUGGGUUUUGAAAGCUGUCUUGUGCUCAUCCUCGGGUUGCAUGCGGAUUUGGUGGUAACUGACACGCAUAUCCAAACUGGUAAAGAGGCGUGAACCCGCUAAUUCAUCCAGUAGUUCCUCAAUGAUUGGGAGAGGGUACCGAUUCUUGAUUGUGAUGGCAUUGAGGUGCCAGUAGUCAAUGCAAAACCUCCAUGUCAUGUCUUUCUUCUGCACAAGGAGAACUUGAGAGGCAAACGGGCUGGUGCUUGGCUGAACGAUGCCCUGAGCUAAUAUAGCUGCCAGUUGGCACUCAACUUCGUAUUUCUAAGCUCGGUUCUGUUUGUAAGGGCGAAUAUUGAGAGGUCGGGCCCCAGGCACCAGGGGAAUGGUGUGAUCAAAGGAGCGUUGCGACGGUAGCUCUUAGGGUUCUUCAAACAACACUCAGUAUUGCUCAACCAAGUCUGCGAUAGCCGGUGGAUUUUGGUCGGAACUGACUGAACAUAGUUGUACCACAUGCACCACUGCAGUCUGUUGAGCCCUCAGAAGUGAACUUGCUUCCCUUCGUGCUCGAAAUCCAUGGUUUUCUCCAGCCAAUGCACAUUCAUUGGGCUAUGGCGAGCCAACCAGUCAAUACCCAGGAUAAUAUCAUAACUGCAUAAUGGUAGGAUUUUGAGGUCAGUUGUAAACUGUUUGCCGUGAGACUACCACUGAUAGACCAGAAUCUCUUGGGUACUAUGGAGAACACCCCCAUCAGCCAUGCGGACCGUGAGAGCGCUACGAGGUGGCUGCACACCACUCAGAUGAACUGCUAGAGCCUGACUGACAAAACUAUGCGAAGAGCCACAGUCAAUCAACAUCAGAACCUCCCUUCCUUGUACCCAACCGUGCAAACGCAUUGCAGUAGGUGAUUUUGCUCCUUCCAGGGCUGCUUUGGACAGAAAACAACAGUCAUCUUCGCCCACGAAAACCUCGUCGGCCUCAGCUUGUUGUGGAGGCGGCUGCAGCAUCUCGAGGAGCUCCUCCACCACGUGAAGCUGAAUGGUGGGGGCACAUCGGUAGUCGCGGCUCCAUCGUUCGCCACAGGUGAAGCACAAGACCUUGGCACGUCGGUAACCGUGCAACGCGCCGAGCUUGUCGUCGGUUGCCGCAGAGCGCGAACCUUUCGAAGGAGCAUGUCGAUCAUCUUGCCAAGGCAUGAGCAUGGUACCACUGGCCUUGGCAGGUGGUGGCGGUGGCAACGGAAAAGCCACGCGAGGAAGCGCCUUCGGCCCCGAUGAAGAUGAUACUCCCCAGGUGGGUUUGUCGUUGCGUCGAAGGGCCUCCACCACCUCUUCCUGCAAAAAAGCCAAAUCCACAACAAUAUCCAGAGUGUGGGAUGAUGUAGUACAACAGCAUCACAAAUAUCAUGAUGCAACCCUUCCAUAAACCGUGUGACAAAAAAUGGAGGGUCCCAAGAGCUAUGGUGUGCUAGGAGAUUAUGUGUCAUCUGCAUGAACUGAUCUGUAUAUUGAGUAACCAUGCCCGAUUUCUUGAGUCGGUUAAACUAUCGCAGCAGAUUUUGAAAUUCCUCCCUACCAAACUGGGAACAAAUCGCUGUUGCAAAUUCCCCCACUAUGGAUAGUGCAAGUGAGCCUGCAACGAUUGUAACCAGGAUAGUGCACCGUCGGUGAAGUACAUAGAAACACAGCUAACCCAUGUAUCUGGGCUGAGAGUACACACGCGGAAGUACGCCUUGCAUUUGAGCCGCCAUGCACGAGGGUUCGCCCCAUCAAACAAAGGGAAAUGAAAAAGAGGUGGUGGAGGCAGUCGAUGAUACCCACAAUCCGCAAAAUAAGAAUGAUCGUCGGGAUGAGGGAAGUCAGACUUACCAUGAGCCGGAGGCAACCACGGGGUGCAGAUCUCGUCGAAUGAUUUCCCCCGUAGGUCUUGAUGAACACCGUGGCCAGCGGGCCCGUGACCUGAUUCACCCUGGGUCGACGCAUCCUCGACACGAGGGCGGAGCGCGUCCACCGCUUGGGGAAGCAGUGGCGGCAGAUCAGCCAACCGUAGAGGCGGGGGAGGCGGUAGCUCCUUGCCUCAAUCUGUCGGCGUCGUCUCUGUAACCUUGCUGAGCUGUGCCCGCAAUGUGCCCACCUAGAAUCGUAGCUCCUCCACAGACUGCUCGAUCGACGGUCGCCACCCGUGCAGCUCGAGGAGGACCGGGUGGAUGUCGUCGAUCUUGGUGGUGAGUGCCGCGAUCACUGUGGUGAGAUCGAAUAACGCCUUGGCUUGCGCUUCCAUCUCAGUUGCCUUGCCCCGACGCAUCUGGAUAAUUGACGGAAAUUGGUCGGCCAGGGUCGGGGAAAAUUUUUUGGGGUGGAUUUGGUGGAUCUGGCAUCGGAUUUGGUGGUGGGUUUGGUGGAUUUGAGGUCUCUGAAUACCAAUUGUUAUGAUCCCACUUCCUCAAUACUCAACUCAAUUCAGAUUACAAGGUUCACAACAGAAAUCUAGGAUUCGGAGGGAAGAACAGAGUAGGAUAAAGAGGGAAAUAGGGGAAGGGGAUAGCCACCGCCGCCGUGUUCUCAUCACUGCCUGUCUUCUGUAGGAGGUGGAUGAUUGCUACUUAACCACCUUCGCGUUGCGGUGGUAUCUCACAGUUGGACCGAGUAGCGGCUGCUGGGCUUCACAUAACGUCGCAGCCGUUCCAUGGCCGCGUCGGUUGGCGCUGCUAGGUCGCGAGGGAUGCCCGUAGUUGGGGGCCCAGCGGUAGGUGUCGUAACAAAGGGCCUCUUUAGUUCAUAGGAUAAGUAGAGGAAAACUAUAGGAAUAUGAUAUUUUCCUAUUUAAUUCAUCCAUUUAAUUCAAAGGAAUGCACCAUAGGAAAUGGAGGAUUUUCCCCCCUUUGGAUUGAGAUCCAUAGGAAAAACAAAGAAAUUAUACAAUCGUGGUAAGUGAACUUCCGUUUUGCAUCUCCUUUUCUCAUACUAAUUGAUCAAGUGUUUCUUUUCCUAUUUGUAGGUUGUUGAUUGUUCUGCAAUAUGCGCUUGUUGGUGCCAGUUUUACUGACAGCAGUGGAAGUGAAAGCGCAGCUCCGGUUCCUAGAGGAAAUGAAACCCCAAAAGUUAUCUCUCAAGACCAAGCGACGACAAUGCCGCCAGUGACAGAGACGGUACCGAUUUCCCUCUGGACCUAGCUAGUUGUGUUCAGAUUUCACUGGGAAUUGAAUAUGCAAUGUGUUUUGUACUCUAUGACCAUGCUUUGAAAUUCUAUAUUUUAUGUCUCUACACUGCGAAGCACUUUAACAACCAAUGAACCAAUUCAUACUUAGCUUGUACUAAUCCAUUUGAAGUGAUAGCCUGAUGUAGACCAUAUUAACUCUGUUUAGACAUGUGUGGCACUACACUGUACAAUUACUUUAUGCAGGCAUGAAAUGGAGGAAGCGAAGUUUUACUGCCUGGAAUUAAGCUCCUAAAUCAUAAAUCUUACUCCCUCUGCCCCAUAAUGUAAGAUGUUAUUAGAACCAAUAUAUUCGUAUAUUGGUUGUAAUAACAUCUUACAUCAUGGGACACACCGAGUAUUUAACUAUUGGAUGCAGUUUGAAACCUGUUCUUGAUUCGUUUGUUAUCUGUAUUUCACUUUAAUAUACAUAACUUUGUGAAUCAAUUGAUGCAAAGGCUAUGCCAGAUAGUCCUAUAUAUAUCUGAAACGAAUGUUAUCUGGAUCAAUAUGGUGUAGACCAGGUAGCUAUGACCUCCCAUUUGAGUGGCAAGUGUAACAGUAAGAACUAUACAUUUAUAUUUAUAAAUAAUUUUGUGUAAAGCAUAACAUGUUAUCCUCUUGUUAGCGGGACGCUCACUGGUUGUUACCGGGCUCUCAACUUUGUUAAGUUCUUUUUUCUGAGAUUUUGGGGAACUACUUGGUCAAUUUAUUAAUGCGGAUAUCCUAGUUAGAGAUAUCUUAUGUUUUGAUGUGAUCUCAGCCGUGGAGCUGUACGGGGAAGUGUUAAACAUGUUUGUGCGUAUGUAGGUCCGGGUUUGUAUGUUGUACCUGUAGUGUCUGUCUCCUCUCUGUAUUUACCUCUUUCUUGGGAGACAAGACACCGGUCGCACCCCUUGUACCUAUAUAUGUGCCUAUUACACGAUCAAUGAGAAUUAUCGAUGCACAAUUCCUUCUCUUCAAAACUAACAUGGUAUCAUUCACCGUAUCGAUCCUACCCUAGCUUGUGCAAGCCUAGUCGCCGCAUCGGGCCUCCGCCGCCGCCUGCCGCCCUCGCCGCCCUACGCCGCCGCCAUCUACCCUAGCCGCUUCCUCGGGCCGCUGCCGCUACCAUGUGUUGUCGCCGCCGCCGCCCCAAGCCGCCACCAUCUACCCUAGCCGCCGCCUCGGGCCGCCGCCGCCACCAUUUGUUGCCGCUGCAACCGCCCCACGCCGCCGCCAUCUUCCCCAUCCCACGCGUCGUGUCGCAUCUGCCAUGCCACCUCUCCCAGCCGCCGCGCUCCUCCACUACGCACCGCCACCAUUCUCUCCCUCCAGCGCCGUCAUCAUGUCCAUCUCCUCGUCCCGCACCAACCCUUUCGCCGGCCCUGAUCCCGCCGCUAUCCGCGAUAUCAACAUCAAGGACCGCGUCCCAGUCAUCCUCGACGCCACCAAUUCAAUGUACUACACGUGGAAGACCUACUUUCGCUUCUCUUGCAUGAGGAGAACCUUGUGGAUCACAUCGACGACACCCUCGACUCACACGCCAUGGGAGAUGAUCCCGAGUGGACCGCGAUCGAAGCCACGCUCAUCCGGUGGUUCUUCACUACCAUCCCCAAGGACCUGUUCUACACGGUUGUGAGUGAUGGUGAUGACGCUCGCACCGUGUGGGGAAAGCUCAACGGACUCUUCACCGACAACAAGCUUCAACGCCGUCUUUUCCUGCAGCCAGAAUUCUUUUCCUGUCAUCAGGAUGACCAGUCCAUCGAAGAUUACUGUCGCCAUCUCAAACAACUUUCUGAUGAGCUCCGCGACAUUGGUGCCAAGGUCGAUGAUGAUCUCCUUCUCAGCACGCUCACCGCCGGCCUUAGCGAGGACUUCGGCAACGCUGCCGGUAACCUCACCUUGAUGCUGGAUCCCUCCUUCCCCAAGUUGGUCGCAUACUUGAAGUUGGAGGAACGCCGGAUGAAGGGCGUGAAGAAGCGGGUGGAGCACCAGGCUCUCGCCGCUGGCACCACCCGUGGCACAACGCCGCAUCCCGCCCCUUCCAUGUCGCGCCAACAGCCGCCCCACCCACCUCCAGGGUUCUACCCUGCGGAUCCCCCCCCCGCUGUUCCACAAUAGCACUAGUGUAGUGGGCAGCGCAGCAACCGCCGAGGUGGCGGCCGCAAGCAGCAGCAGCAGCCUGGAGCCGGUUCAGUGUCCGGGGGCGCCUCGUCAGCAUCAACCCUCUCCGCCCUGGACCUACGACACAAACCCAUGGACAGGCGUUGUGCACGCAUACUCCAUGGCGGUUCCGCAGGCCCCUACUCCGAGCCUCCUCGGGCCUCCUCCACCGAGCCAUCAGGCCUACCUCGCCGGACCAGGCGCCACCCCUCCUGCCGCGUCGUAGGCGCUGCACCUACUGACCACGCGAGUAGUCGUUGUGAUGUAGAUGAACAUGGGAUUUAUUUUAGCCAGCGCGGCCAAGACGGGUGUGCUGGAGAUCACACGCUUGAGGUUGUGGAAGGCUUCUUCGCUGAUCAUUCCACUUGAACUUGGUGUCUUCUACAUCAGCUGGUAGAGUGGAAGCGCCUUCUUGCCCAGUCGGCUAACGAUCCGACUGAGGGAGGCUAAGCAGCUGGUGAGCUUCUGGACAUCGAGGUGUCAAGUCAGCUUGGCCAUGCGCACGAUGGUUCUGAUCUUCUCUGGGUUGGCCUUGAUGUCGUGCACCGACACGAAAAAGCCCAGGAGCUUGCCGGCUGGACCUCCAAAGACACACUUUUCCUGGUUGAGCUCGAUCUUGUACUCGCACAGGUUAGAGUAGUUCUCCCACAAAUCAUCAAGGAGACUGAAAUUCUUCUUGGUCUUGACAAAGAUGUCGUCGACGUAGACGUGUAUGUUCCUGCCAAUCUACGGCAGGAGGCAUUGCUCCAUGCAGCGCUCGAAGGUUGUGCCUGCAUUCUUCAGGCCGAACGUCAUUGUCGUCCAGCAGUAGGCUCCAAAGGGGGUGAUGAAAGAGGUCUUGAGCUGGUCAGCCGGAUCCAACUUGAUCUAGUGGUAACCGGAAUAGGCGUCCAGAAAAGACAACAAAUCGCAACCGGGCGUGGAGUCAAUCACUUGAUCUAUUUGUGGCAGGGCAAAAGGGUCCUUGGGACAUGCCUUAUUCAGACUUGUGUUGUUGAUACACACGCGCCAUGUCUUGUUCUUCUUUAGCACCAAGACUGGGUUGGCCAGCCAAUCCGGGUGGAAAACUUCCAUGAUGAAGCCAGCUGCGAACAACUGGGCAAUCUCUUCUCUGAUCUUGCGCCGCUUCCCCUAAGCGAAGCGGUGCAAAGGUUGCUUGACCGGCUUUGCAUCGGGCCGCACAUGAAGCUUGUGCUCAGCGUACUUCCUCGGGACUCCAGGCAUGUCCUUGGGGGACCAUGCAAAGAUGCCUCGAUUCUCACAGAGGAAGUCGACGAGCUCGCCUUCCUAUUUGGGGCUGAGGUUGGCGCCGAUGGUGACGCACUGCUUGGGGUUGGCCGGGUUGAGAGGCACCUGCUUUGUGUCCUUGGCCGGCUCGACCGAGGCCUUGCUGACCGGGUAGGAUGGGGGAGUCGGCAUGGCCGGUUGCUCGGUAUCCUAAGCCACGAGCUAGUCGAGUUGCCUCUUCUCCUCCGCAAUCACUAGUGCUUCAGCCAGCCGGCUGAUGUCGCGCGCGCACUCGAUCGACUUCUUAUGGUCGCCAACAACGGUGAUUAUGCCCUUGGGCCGAGGCAUCUUCAUCUUGAGGUAGGCAUAGUGAGGGAUCAACAUGAACUUUGCUAGCGCCUACUUGCCUAGUAGCGCGUGGUAGGGGUUGGCGAGGUCCACCACCUCGAACCAGAUUGGCUCACCUUCGGAAGUGGGCCUUGUCACCAAAGAGGGCGUCCAGCUGGAUCUCGCCGAUGGGAGAGCAAGACUGCCCCGACACGAUGCCAUGGAAGACAGUCCUAGACGGCUAUAGAUCCUUCUCCUUGAGCCCUAGCUUGAGCAGGGUGUCGUGUUAGAGGAUGUUGAUGCUGCUACCGCCAUCGACCAACACCCGCGAGAACCGGAAGGUGAGUCUCUUGGAAGUAAUGGUGGGGUCGAGGACGAGCGCAUAGGUGCCGGGAUUUGGCAUCACUAUCGGAUGGUCAGCCCAGCUCCAUGUAACUGGCUUUUCAAACCAGUGCACGUAUUGGGGAACCGAGGGGACCGUGGCAUUCACCUCAUGUCGGAGCUGGCAUUUGAUGUGCUUGUCACUUCCUUCGCUAGUGAAGAUGACGUAGGCCCCGUCCUAGUCGGGGAACUGAUCAUGGAGAGGGCCUUCAUUAGGAGGCGGCGGAGCGGGAGCCGGAGCCAGCGCAUGAGACGAAGCUCUUGGAGCCGGCGGUGGAGGAGCCGACAAACCCUCGCCCCACGCCAGGCCCUGCGAGAAGAUGCACUUCCAAAGUGUGUGUGUAGCUGGCUUCGAACCUAUGUGCAUCUUGUAGGGUGCAUCGAUCUUCUGCUCGAAGGUGAGCUUGGGCUGCCAAGCGGUCUUACGGGUUCGCUCGUGUUGGGCGCCGGCUUGAGCAGCCGGCUGCUCUUCUUCGAUGGUUGCAACCUUCUUGCUCCCAGGCUGCGGGUUCGGCUGAUCAGCCCUGCGCUUGUUCCUGCGGUUGUCGCAAGCCGGCUUCAUCUUAGCCGGCGGCGUGACGGGCUUGUCCGUUGUGCUGACCAUGAUCCGCAUCGUCGAGUCGGCAAUGGCGUAGUUGUCCGCCUUGGCCACAAGUGCCGCGAAAGAAGUAGGCUCGGAGCACAUGAGCUUGUGCUUGAGAAGGGUGCCGUCUCGGCAGCCUUCACUGAUGUACUGAAUGACCUGAACCUCAUGCGCUCCUUCACAUGAGUUGUGCAGCUCAGUCCAGCGCGCGACAUAGUCGCGGAGGGGCUCAUCGGGCUUGUGGGCGCACAUGGCCAGCUCGUGGGGGCGACCAUGGCGUUUGAAGUUGCGGAAGAAGGCCUCCUUGAAGUCGACCAAGGUGUUGAUGCUGCCGGCUGGCAGGAUGUUAAGCCAUGUCCGGGCCGAGCCAGUCAGCAUAAGUGGCACGUAGUAGACGGCUACAUGCUUGUUGCCCUUGGCGAUGCUGCAUGUGGUGGUGUAGUCGAUCAACCUGUCCUCCAUCUUGGCGGAGCCGUUGUACUUGGGAGUAUCACGAGGAACGGUGAAGCCGAAAGGAAAUGGCUCCCCGCGGAUCCGGGGGCCGAAGCACGCCGGACCGAUGGGACUCUCCUCCUCCAGGAGGGCUGACUGCGCCUGCCGGUCGAGGCGAGUGCGAGCGUCAUUCUCGUUGCGAGGGACGUGCGGACCCACCCGAGCCAAGAUUUCGGACAGACGGGAGGCGCAGGCGUGCCGGCCCUCUCCCGCCGCGGAGGCGGCGGGAUGGUGCGGACCGACUGGUCAUCUGCUCCAACCAGCUUGCGGAGACGGCAGGAAACCGCCGGAUGCUCGCGCCAGCGCUGGGAGUGCUGACCGUUACUCCCUUCAGCCCUCCGACCAAAGCCGUGAGGGGAGGAAGAGUGUUGGGCCGGCUAACAACCUUUGGAUAUCUGGUAACCCUCGAGGUCGAAACCAGGCGAUAUAGAGAAAGCAUUGUUCGGGUCAAGGCGACCAUGGUGUUCAUUGGCAACAACGAGGAGGUCCUUAAUGUGCCUUUCCUGCCUCGCGCGCUCCUCACCCUCCAGGGCGGUCAUCUCCUCAAGGGCCACCUGGGUGGCCCGCAUGUUGUCCGUAGGAGUGUCGUAGAUGGACAACUUUCCGCCUAGGAUGUCGGCAACAACCCGACCAUGACUGUGAACUUCGCCAUGCCGGCUAGGUCUGUCGGCGGCUGGAGUGAAGCCAUAAGCAGAGUUAUACUCGCGCUAAUGGCCUCCAUCUGACACUUAGUAUCCGUGAGGGUAGAUCCCUUCGCGAGCAGCUGCAUGCGCGCCUCCUCAAGCUCAGCCCUAGUUGAAGCCGGAUUGGUGGUCCGCACGAUGGGGGUGCUCAACCCCUCGAUGGUGGCGCGAAGUGGAUCAAAAGGACCCGGACGUGCCGCGACAUUGUCUGACGCGACCUUUGCAUGACCCGAGCUAGUGCUGGAGCCAGCAACCUUCAUCUCCAUGAGGGCGGGGGAGCUGGCGACGCCGCACAUGGCCACAGACCCCGCGAACGUUGGAGGGUCGCUUCAGUCGAGUACGUCACUAGGAUACUCAUCGGGAGCGGGCAUGUCCUCGACACUGAGCUCACCAAAGAGCGUGCAGAGAGAGUCGAUGUCGACAUCCUCGCCAAGGUGGCGAGGUCCCUCGUCGAGGCGCAGGCGAUCGAAGAGGACGCAGAGGUGAUCGACGUAAGGAACGGCGUCAUCGCAGCAUGGCUUGCCAAUGGGUUCAGCGAUGGAUCCUAUGGAGUAGGUGGAGCCGACGAUCACCACUGCGGAAGCCUCCACGGGGGCAAGCUCCAUGGGCAUGCCGAUCAACCCAGAUGCGAGGCAGCCAGUGGCAUUGGCAAGGGGUCCCGCCCGGAGCAUAACUCUGACCGGUGCUGCGGACGGCCCCAAGGUGGGUGCCAACUGUCGUCGUUUUCUCACGAUAGAUGCGAUGUGUAGGCUAAUCGAGAGUGGUGAAGACCUAAAGGACACCGGCGGGCUCCGGGAACGGGAUUGAUAACUAGAGAUGCAAGGUUCACGAUGUACCCAGGUUCAAGGCCCUCCCUGGGAGGUAAUACCCCUAGUCCCGCCGGAUUGGUUGAUGAACCAAUAGAGUUACAGUAUGCUCCUUGAGCUGUUUGACGGAGGAGGAAGAAGGAGCAGCUGGCUCGUGUUCUACCUCUCCUGUAUGGGUGUGUGUGAGUGUGGGAAUGGCCGACCCUCUGCAUGGAGGGGGGCGGGGGGUUUAAUAGACAGACCCCGGCCUACAAUGUGGAUGUAAAGUAUUAAAGGGGGCCCAGCAGGCAGCCUCUCCGGCUAGCGAGUGGGCCCGUCGUUGAGCAGUCUUGUCUUCUACGGGGCCCGUCAGCUGCAGGGUCCCAUCAGGCUCUGGGACCUGCCGGCUGGGCAAUGAAUGCAGUGCAUGCUCCCCACGCGAGGGAUGGGUAAUACAGUAACCGCCGACUUGUGGGAUUCGGCAACGGUCAGCGGUAGGGCCGCCUCCACUGUAGCCACGCCCCGCCAGUAAUGGAGUGGGUGGUGGCGUGAGGACACUAUACAUGGUUGACAGGUCAUAGCCGACAUCGGUCAGCGGGAUGGCCGCCACCACUGUAGCCACACGUAGCCUUCUCCAUCAUACCUGGGCUGACAUACCUUCACCUUUAAGCGAAGAUUCUUGUUGUGUCCAAGGGGUCAAUGCGGCGGGCGCUCCCCAGCAGGUUGGCCGGCUAGCCAUCCAGCCGGAGAGCCGACAACGAUGCCCCUAGCUGGCACGGGUUGCAUAGACGGCGAGGAGGAGCCGGCGUAUGCGAAUGCUUUCUCCCUAAGUUAUGCUGAAGGGCCAUGGAGUAGGCUUGAUGACCCUACCCCAGGGUUAUCCCCCCGUCAGUAGCACUAAUGAACAUGACAAAUGAACAAAUAAAUCUAGUAUCAGCUUGUUAGGAAGAAAAAAAAUCAUACCAUAAAAUAUUUAUUCCACUAUUGUACACAUCAAGAGAUAUGAGAUUGAUACUGAACAUAAUGGAAUAAGAAUAGUAAUUAGUGAAAUCAUAACAAUAGGCGCGAGCGGGAAAAAACACCUCAUCAUGUUCAAGUAUAUUAGUGAAACUCAUACUGUACAUAUACACAUCACUAACAUUUUUAGGUUUAGACUGCCCGAGCUUUAUAACUGAAACAUGAGGCAGAUGAUGCUAUUGCCUGAGAGGACCUCGAAAAAUUCAGGGCAGCCAUGGGCACCCAGAAGGACGGGGUAAUGCCAAACAUGUGUAAAUACUACUCACAAAGCAUCUUCCACAAGUUUGGAUUCUCUCGUGCGAAUUGAGGAAAAGAGAAGGAUGGGUGCAUUUGCCCGAAACUACUACUUGUAAAGUGCGUUGAGAUUUUACCCAAGAGGAGGGGAAAUGCAACACAGUAGAGAUAAGUAUUUCUCUCUGUGAUAACCAAGGUUAUCGAACCAAUAAAAGAACCACACAAUUUUCCGUCUUCCACACCUACAUACACAUAAUCAAACACUUGCACCCAACGUGGGCGAGAUGGUUGCCAAACCCCUUGAACUCGUUACUUGCAAGGAUUAAAUAAUGAUAGUUGGAUGGAUAUAAAUGGAAAACCAAAAUAAAAUAAAUAAUGGUAGGAUAUUUUUGGAUUUUUUGUAAUAAUAUUCGUGGAGACCUGGGGGCCAUAGUUUUUGCUAGAGGCUUCUCUCUCAAAGAAAGCAUAUAGUGGGUAGUCAAAUUACUGUUGGGCAAUUGAUAGAAAAUCAUAUAGUCUUAAAAUAUUUAUUCACGAGAGUGAUCAUGUAUAUAGGCAUCACAUCCAUAAGAAAGGACCAACUCCUGCCUGCACCUACUACUAUUUUCUCCACCCAUCGACUGGUGUCCAACAUGCAUCUAUAGUAUUAAGUAAAAACAGAGUAAUUCUUGGAUCAAGACGACGUAAUGUAGACAAAGUAAACCCAAUUAAUAUGAAUAAAACCCAUCAUUUUACCCUUAAUGGCAGCAAUACAAUACGUGCCAUGCCCCAUUCUAUCACUGGGAUUGUGCACCACAAGAUUGAACCCAUCAUAAUGCACCACUCCCAUUGAAGAUCAAUCAAUAUAGUUGGACAUACCAAACUGAUAUAUCACAGAGAAAUACAAAGCUAUAAUAAUCAUACAUAUAAUAAUUCAGAGAAGCCUCAAAUAUUAUUCGUGAAUGACCUGAUCAUAAACCCCCAAUUCACUGGAUCCCAACAAACACACUGCAAAGAAGAUUACAUCGAAUAGAUCACGCGGGAAUCAUGGUGAACUUUGUAUUGAAGAUCAUAGAGAGAGAGAGAGAGAGAGAGAGAGAGAUCCAUCUAGGUACUAGCUAUGGACCCGUAGGUUUGUGGUGAACUACUCACACAUUACCAUGGGAGCAAAAAGGUUGAUGUAGAGGCCCUCCGUGAUAGGUCCCCCUCCGUCAGGGCACGGGAAUAGGGCUCCAGAUGGGCAUACGACGUAACAGAAACUUGCGGCAGCAAAAAAAGUAAUUUGGGAGGAUCUCUAAGGUUUUCCCAAUAUAUGUAAAUUUAUACCAAAGAGAUUAGGUUGGGAGGCAUGGGAGGUGGCCCGAAGCCAUCAGGGCGCGACCACCUUCCUGGGUGCGCCUUGUUGGCUUGGUGCUACCACGUGUGGCCUUUGGUCUCCCUCCGAAGCUUCCAGGUCUUAUUUUUGUGCAUAAAAAUAUCAAAAAAAUUUGUAGCAUUUGGACUUCAUUUGAUACAAUAUUCCUAAAAGUCCAAAAACAAGUAGAAAACAUCAAGUGAUACUCGGCACCGGGUUAAUAGAUUGGCUAUAAAAUAUAAUAUAAAAUAGUGUAUAAAUGCAUAUUAAUAUCCUAGAAUGAUAAUAUAAUAGCAUGGAACAAUAAAAAAUAUUGAUACAUUGGAGACGUAUCAACAUCCCCAAGCUUAAUUCUUGCUCGUCCUCGAGUAGGUAAAUGAUAAAAACAGAAUUUUUGAUGCGACAUCCACCAAACAUGUAAUAUCUUUUAGGUAUGAUCAUAGAUAAACGACGAACUAAUAAACAUCAACAUACUAAUAUCCAUGAACAUAAACAUCAUGAUCAUUAACUUUCAAAAUGUAAGAUCCUUAAAGAACGUUACACCCCACUCAUUUUAUCAUAUUAGCAUGGUCGUCUUCACCACAUAAGUACAAAUCAUGAGCACCACGAUGUCUAGUCAGGUAAUUGGAUCAUACUUCUAACGUGCUUAAGCAUUUUCAACCUCACUCAAUACAUGAGCGUGAACCAUGGCCAUAUCAUAUGGGUGGAAUAGAGUAUGGUGGUAGAGAUCCAAAGGAGUCAAAGUGGAAAGAAAGUCUCGCAUCAACUUGGCGGAUCAAACAGCUAUGAAGAUGUCCAUCAAUCGAUAUCAAUGCGAGGAGUAGAGAUUGUCAUGCAAUAGAUGCACUGGAGCUAUAAGCGUAUGAAGGCUCAAUGGAAGCUAAGUGGGUGUGCAUCCAACUUGCUUGCUCAUGAAGACCUCGGGCAUUUGAGGAAUCCCGUCAUCAGAAUAUACAAGCCAAGUUUUAUAAUGAAAAAUUCGCACUAGCAUAGGAUAAUGACAAUUCAUGAGACUAUAUAUGAAUAACAUAUGCUACUUUGAAGAAUAACUAUGGUAAAGGAUAGUAGCAAAGUCCCUUCUCUCUUUUUCUCAUUUUUUCAUGCUGGGCUUCUUUUUUCUUCUUUUUUUGCCUCCCCCAUUUAUUUUAUCUUUUUUCCCUUAUUUAUUUUAUUUUUCUUCCGUAGUCUCAUCCCGACUUGUGGGGGAAUCAUCAUCUCCAUCAUCCUUUUCUCACAUGGAUAAUGCUCUAAUAAUGAUGAUCAUCACACUUUUAUUUACUUACAACUCGAUAAAACAACUCAAUGAAGAAAAAUAAAUGACUAUGCGAAUGCCUCUGGCAGUGUACCAGGAUGUGCAAUGAUCUAGCGUAACAUGUAAUCAAUGAUAAAUGGUGGUUUUGCCACAAAUAUUGAUCAUGCAAAGCAAUAUGAUGAUGAACACACAAGUUAUGUGAUGUAACGGUGGAAAUUGUAUGGAAAUAUAUCUUCGAAUGGCUAUAAAAUGCCAUGGUAUGUAGGUGUGGUGGCUAUUUUGAGGAAGAUAUAAGGUGGCUUAUGUGUGAUAGAGCGUAUCAUAUCACGAGGUUUGGAUGCACCCGCGAAAGCUGCAUCGAUCCUCGAGGUGAGAAUGGGCAAUGCAAGGUACCGAAGAGGAUAGCAUAAUAUGGAAAUGUGAGUGUGCGUACGUCCAUGUAUUCACAUUAGUCAUAAAAACUCAUAUACUUGUUGUAAAGCCUUAUUAUGUCUCUCAAAGAAAAGUACUACAUCAUGCUCAUAGGGAGGAGGUUGGUAGGAGUUAACCAUCAUGCGCACCCGACUAGAACGACACUAGGAUUUCAACGAGGAAUAAGAAUGAUCACUCAUCAUCAUCAUGCCAUAACCAAUAUUUAUAUGAGUGACAAAUAACGGCUUUAACCACAAAUAUUUCUAUUAACAAACAAUCAUGCGCUCAUGCCCUUUCAUAUUACUACAUCAAUAUCAUGAACCCAUAACUUCUCUUAUAAGGUGAGCUACAUGAAGGUUUUGAUUAUGCACUCCUUAAAUACCUAUUAUUUCUGGACCAAUCUUAUAACCCAUGCAAAUCACCAUUAGUAUUUAUUGGACUCUCAAACAAAUUUAAGUGAAGCACGAGAGUUCAACUAUUUCUAUAAAAUCUAUAUGCCACCAUGCUCUAAAAUAUAUAAGUGAAGCACUAGAGCAACUACUUAGCUCAAAAGAUAUAAGUGAAGCACAUAGAGUAUUCUAACAAAUCAUGGUGAACAUGUGUCUCUCUCAAGUGGGUGUGUCUAGCAAACAAUGAUUGUGGAAAAUUAGGAAUAAAGCAAACUAUAAUGCACAACGCUCCAAGAAAAACACAUAUCAUAUUAUGAAAAAAUAUAGCUUCAAGUGACAUAUCGAUGGAAUGGAAACAAAAGAGAGGAUGCCUUUCGGGCAUCCCCAAGCUUAGAAGCUUGUGUCUUCCUAGAAUUUUACCUUGUGGUGCCUUGGGCAUCCCCAAGCUGAGGCUCUUGCCAGUCCUUAUUCCUUCAUCCAUUGUGAUCGCACCCAAAACUUGAAAGCUUUAGCACACAAAACUCAACAAAACCUCGUGAGAUCUGUUAGUAUCAUCAACUUCUCCAUCACUAUAGGAAACAUGAAAUUUGCCGACGGUAUCGGUCUUUGCCAUCAGCAUUUCAUCGGGGCACACGACAAAGACAAAUUUCGCCGGAAAUAGCUGACUGCAAAGAACGGCAGUCGACAAAGACAUAUUUUGCCGUUUGUAGAAAAAAUAAAAAUGACAAAGAGUUUUUGCCGAGUGCAAUUUUGUUUUACAAACGACAAAGAGCUUAUUUUGCCAUCUGUUAAAUAGAACCAGACAUCAAAGAGUAGAAAGAUCCGGAGACGGUAAAAUGUGCUCUUUGCGUUCGUACAAAUAAUGAUAGGCGACAAAGAGAAAACACAUCACACUGAUCGAUCCCUGAUACAUCUCCAACAUAUCUAUAAUUUUCGAUUGUUCCAUGCUAUUAUGUUAUCAUUCUAGGAUACUUUUGGGUAUAUAUACACCAAUUUAUAUUUUUGAGCAUUAACCUAUUGACCCAGUGCCUUGUGCUAGUUGUUGUUUCCUGCUUAUUUUUGGCUUUUUAGGUUUAUAGUAGCAAACGAAGUCCAAUUGCCACAGAACUUUUUGGUGAUUUUUCUAGACCAACCUAAGACGUGGAAGCUUCGGAAGGAGGCCAAAGGCCCCAUGAGAGGAGCUACAUACAACGGGGCACGCCCAGGGGGUGGUCGUGCCCUGUUGCCUCAUGAUCCCCUUGAGCGCUUCCUGGCAUACCUCUUCGUCCUAUAAAUUCAUACUAAUCCCAAAAACCCUAGGGGCAUCCCGAAACACUUUUUCUACCGCCGCAAGUCUCUGUUCAGCCGUGAGGCCAUCUAUAGCCCUUUUUUGGUAUCCAGCCGAAGGGUGGAUCAAUCACGGAGGACCUCUACAUCAACCUUGCUGCUCCCAUGGUGAUGUCGGAGUAGUUCACCAUUGACAAAUGGGUCCGUAGUUAGUACCUAGAUGGCUAUCUCCCUCUCUCUUGAUAUUCAAUACAAUGAUCAUCACAUAUUUGCUUUGAUCUAUCCGAUGUAAUUCUUUUGUCCGGUGCAUUUGUUGGGAUCCAUUGAAUUGUGGGUUUAUGUUCAUAUUAUUCAUGAUAAAUAUUUGAGUCUUCUAUCAGUUCUAAAUAUGAUUCUUAUGUGCAUGAUCAUCAUUUACGGGGAUAUAGCCCUAGGGUAGGGUCAUAGGCCUGACCUAUAAGUCCUACCGAAGGGCACCUCAUUAUUAGCUUAAGGACUACUGAAGACCUUCCGACGGGAUGAAGACAAUAUCUUAUCCACUCGGUAAAAAACCACUCAGACGAUCCUUUGUUCACUCUACGACUCACUUCCACUCGGUGAAGGCCAGAAGCCAGUCGACACUGAAGACCAGAAGCCACCCCAGGGAGGCCAACGAACAGACAUUAGACUCGCCGUAGUUAUUAUCAUUUAUGGCAUACGUUACUAGUAACGUACACAUUUAACCCCACUUAUCGCACCUUUGCAUGUCGGACACAUAUGAGAGGCAGUGCACUCUAUAUAAGCCACCCCUCCCCUCUGGCAUAGGGGUUCGCAUUCUGUAACACUCAUAUUUCUACUCGACACUAAGCUCCAAGAGCACUGAGACGUAGGGCUAUUACCUCCACGCAGAGGGGCCUGAACUCAUACAACCUUGCCGUAGCUAGGACUCUGCCCUCUACUUUCGUACCCUACUCAUUUACUGUCAGGUUUACUCCCAUGACAGUUGGCGCCCACCGUGCGGCAGGCAUCUAGGCGACUUCCGGGAAGUUUGCAUUUUCGUUCCUUCACCACGCGGAGCGCCCGAGGUUGGCCGCGGGGUGGCGCCAAUUUGAGGCCUCUACUAAGGAGGUCCGAGGCGAUGCCCAGGCCUUUGCGAGGAGGAUCAGCAGGAGGCCGCCAAGGCGAAGGCUGCCCAUGCAAGCGCCCAUGCCGAGAAGGAGGUGCUCGCCAAGCGUUGCGUACAAGAGGAGGCCGACUCCAACGCGCAUCAGGAAGCCAACAAGGCCCGCGAGGUAAAGCUUGCAGAUCGUGACACUAAACUAGCGAAGGUGGUGGCUGAAUAGGUCCUGGAGAAUGGGUACCCGGGAGGAGGAUAUCCUGGCUGUUGCUGAUGUGCAGGCCGCAGCGGACCAUUCCACGCACUCCUUGUGGAACUCAUGGCCCGCCAGGCAUCGAGAUCUAUAUGCAAGCUAGGACUCGACUCUCCCUUCAUCCCUCCGUACACUGGCUAUGCCAAGUUUUCCUUCGAUCUCGUGAAGGAACUCGAGGGUGCGGCAAAGAAGGUGGACAAUAUCCUUGAGGAGGAGUGUCGCGACCUUUUCUACUUGUUGGUGACCCGUGUCUUCAUCCAUCUCCUCCUUCGUGAUCCCCACUUUGAGUUUGAAGAGUUGAUGGGCCUCGUGCCCGAGGAGUGCCACGGCGACUUGUUGACCGUUGUAGAAGGCCACGUGAACAUGUUGCUGGAGAAGUUCUUCUACGAUGAUGGCAAGGAGCACAACGAGGAGCCCCCUGCCUUGCCCUAAAACAAAUUACCCUUGCCUCGUGGAGGCGUGAGACAACAUCUUUAUUGUAUGGAACCAUUUGAAUUUUGUAAUAACUUUUUGUGGUUCGUGAUUUCUCUUUCCAUGCUUGGUUUUCCUCUUGCUCGUCUUUGCGCUCUGCAUCAGCAGGGCCCAACCCUGCGCAUAUCUCAGCCGCCACUAGAUGACCAGGAGGUGAGAGGCUACAUGACUAGUGAGGGUCCUGAGUCACGAUGCUCAGGAACCCCCCUUGACGCGCAAGCGACUCCCUUGAGGAACUUUGCGUUCAACUUUGGGAUCCUUUGUGCUCUGUGUCGGCAGGGCCCAACCCUGCACAUAUCUCAACCGCCACUUGGUCACGAGGGGUGAGAGUCUACACGACUAGUGAAGGUCGCAAGCCGCGAUGCUCAGGAACCCCCUUUGACGUGCAAGCAGCUCCCUCGAGGGCCCUAGUACUCAAUGUUAGGAGCCUUUGCACUUUGUGUUGGCAGAGCCCAGCCCUACGUGUAUCUCAACCGCCAUUGGGUCAUGAGGGGGUGAGAGGCUACACGACUAGUGAAGGUCUUGAGUCGCGAUGCUCAGGAACCCCCGUUUGAUGGGCCAGCAGCUCGUGUUUCGUGAUGAGGCCUUGUCCUCUAUGUCGGUAGGGCCCAACACUACGCGUAUCUCAACCGCCAUUGGGUCACCAUGCGGUGAGAGGCUACAGGACUGGUGAAGGUCCUGAGUCAUGAUGCUCAGGAAACCCCCUUGAUGCGCAAGCGGCUCCCAUACAGACGAAUUGGUCAGACUGCCAUGCGCCCGCCUGCUUACGCUUGGGUGCUGCGUAGGGAAUAAACACCAGGGACCCCAGUAGGUGAUGUGUCUAGGGGUGAGCCCGCGAGACAGAGCUCGAUCACUUGGAUUUUUAGUGUUGUAGGGAUGAACCCGAGCGUAGGCACCGUGCCCUAGCCCCUACCCGUGCAAGGUGCAACAGGAAGCUGGUGAGCGUGGAGCUCAAACGAUUGGCCCCAUGACGAUACAUGGGGCUUCCACUUGGGCAUGGGCAUAGUCGCGGUUCGACAGUAAUUCCGCCAGCACGGGGCAUGGGGACUUUAACUUGGGCAUGGGCGGGAGCCCCCUUCCGAGGUCACGACGCGGCUCGUCAUGGGCUUCAACUUGGGAGGCUUCGGGCAUGUACAACCCCAAACUCAUUAUUACAUCAGAGUGUCACGGGAGACUAGUCGGAUACCCGAGGCACAAGGCUCACGUGCUCCUAGCCUUAGUCUUCAGGCAGGUUGCGCCUCAUUCCUAGUGCAUCAGCGCACUUACGGGACCGGUAACGUGGGGGCGAUACGCGUCGGGUAAUCAUCACGAGGCCACCACAUGAAGAUGUUUGGCUUCAAGGACCCGAGGAGGUGACUAUACGGGGGUAAGCCCUUCAUUCAGAGCUCAGUCACUCAGAUUUAGCGACACCACAGGGACGAACCCGAGCACAGAUGCCAUGCCAGGUUGCUUCACAGAAUGAUCAAGCAAAAAAUCACACGCCGCAUAGCGCCCGAGGCAACGAAGCGCCAAACCAGCAGUGAUGCAUUUCAAGAGAAAAACGUAAGAAAGCGAGAACUUCAUGAGGGCAGGCCCUCACACCUCAGGAUAACGCAGCCCGAAGGGUGCCCUCGGUCUCGAACAAAGCAGAACUUCACCUAGCGAUCGUGUUGUCAUUGGAGCUUCAGGUAGCUUGAUGAAGCACAUCGCAAAGGUCGGAUCCUUAGGGGUUAGCUGACUCCCGCAACCCCGGGGGCUGGCGCGGCCCCAGCGCCGUGCAAGGCGCCCAUGCAAGACGUGCCAACAUUUCGAAGGUAGUGGCGGCAUUCUCCAGGCCUAAGGGCAUGUGAAUACGAUCGGCGGUGGCGCCCCAGCCUAGCCCCAUGCACGAAGGCCAAAAGGAGCUUCGGGAAGCAACCCCAUUGAGGCUCGCGACAUCACAUGCGCACCUCAACGGUCAUCCCGGGAGCGAUGAUCCUCCUAAAGAAGCACUCCGGCGGUACCCGCCACGCGUGGCGCGUGCCUUCCGCAGCUUGUCGAUCUCUUGGGCGAUGAACUCCUGAGCCCCCGGUGCCUAUCAUCGCGCACCUUGCUCACGAGGGCACGUGUUGAGGUGCACCUCUAGGUGGUGCCCGACCACCUCUCUCGAUGUAGCGGUCAGGUCAGAUGCCUUCAAGGUGGAAGCCCCCGAGCCCGACCCGAGGGAGGUACCAAGCGCACCUUCCUAUGUCGAAAGGGGAAAAGCACCCACAACACGCAUAGGGUUUUUGAUGCCGGCCUCGGCCACAGUACCCUUUGCCUUGAAGGAUCCAAAGGAGGGCAUCGCUUCCUUCUUCCUCGGGGGAGCAGCCUCACGUGGCACAUCACCCCCAGAAUCGUCGGAACGCUCUGCUGAAGUGGCCCUAUAGGAACGCUUAAGGGAGUAGACCGUGUCCCGCUCGUUUUAGGCGAUGAUGAUUAUGCCACUGCAACCCGGCAUCUUGGGGACGUUGUAGCCGUGGUGGGUUGCCGCCAUGAACUUGGCCAGCGCCGGGUAGCCCAAGAUGGCAUUGUAAGGUGGGCCGAUGUGCACCACGUGUAAGUCAACAUGCUCGGUGUAUAGUUGUCACGCGUGCCGAAGGUGACCAGAAGGCAGACCUGCCCCAGCGGAGUGGUGGAACCUUUGGUCACCCAAGAGAAUGGCUUGGUCGGCAUUAGCUGGUCGUCCAACACCUGAAGCGUGUCGAAGGUUUUGACAUAGAGCAUGUCAAGGCUCGCGCCUCCAUCAAGGAGAGUUUUGGUGACCGCCAUGUUACUGAUGGUGGGACUGCACAUCAUGGGGAGCAUGCCCGCAAUGGUCGCAGACUUGAGGUUCUCCCUGGUGUCGAAGGUGAUGGUGUAUUGGGAUCACUUGAUGGAAUUCGUAGCUCCCGGCCUUGGGAGGACGGCGUUCACCUCGCUAGGAAGCUGCUUGAAAUGGUGGUUCGAUGAGGGGUAUAGGCACCACCAACAAUGCAAGCCACGGUGCGAGUCUCCUGAUUGGCCCCGACCUCCUCGUCAUGUUGGUAGUUCGCGUUCCUCCUCGGCGGCAGCGGUGGCAGCACAGAGAGCACUACGUUGUCUCAAGGGAACACCUCAUCCCAGAGGACCAUGGCCUCUUGGCAGUCUUUGGUGUUGUAGGUGUGCAUGUCGUGGUAGAUGCAGAAUGGGCGGUGUUCCUUCUCGGGCAUGCCCCCUCGCUACAACACAUCUUCUCGGGUUCAGCUGCCAGCAUGGCAGGUCCGUUGCGUUUUACCUCCUUGUCCUUAGCCUUAGCGGCCUCACGCGCAUCGUCAUGGUUGUUGUCGGCGAAUAGACGGCCCUCCUUGGCCUUGGCGCACUUGUUGGCCAGGUUGAACAACUCCAUGGCCGUGCUCAGCGUGUCAUUGAUGGAGAGCUUUCCGCACAUCUUGAGGUCCUUUACACCAUUGGUUAACACCAUGAUGACUGCCUCGUUCGUAGCGCACGAGAUCUUGUUGCGCACCUGGCUGAACUACUGGAUGUACUUGCGGAGGGUCUUACCAAGGCACUGCUUCACGCGGUGUAGGUCGUCGACGAAGAGGGGACAGUCAUGCGUUCCCUUGAAGUUGAUGAUGAACAUCUCGCAGAGGUUGCUUUAUGAAGAGACCAAGUCCUCGGGCAGGUUCACGAGCGAGGACCGUGCACCGUCUUUGAGCAUCAUCAAAAUCCAGUUCGCCAUGACCUUGUCAUCAUCGCCCGCCGCUUCGACACUCAUGGCGUAGAGUUGGAGGAACUCUACGGGGUGAAGGGAGCCAUCGUAGCACGGGGGCAGGUCAGGCUUGAACUUGGCCGGCCGAACCACCCUUCACACGUCGUGGGUGAAGGCGCGACAACCAACGGUGCUCGAGUGGCCGCCGUGUGCAAGGCCGGCGCAGUUCUGGCGCUCGGCUGGCACGACAUCCUCGACGACCCGGUCCAGGCGCACACACUACUGCUCGAGGACCGCGCGCACAUCAAGCGAAACCUCGUGUCAGACGAUUUGGCAGCUGUCUCCUUAUUCUUGGGCGCGCGGUGGUGGUUCAUGAGGUGGGUUCCCUGGGCGCUCAUCGUGCCUGAGCUCGGCCUGGUCGCCAUGCGUGGGAGAAGGCAGUAGUGCACUCUGAGCCUCCUCUCCAUCGUGAGAUAGAGGGGGCGAAGUGAGCGAGAGGGCGCCUAGGCCUCUCCAGCGGCGGUGGCGAGAUGGGUGAUGCGGGCCAGCCAUGCAUCAUAGCCGGCAUCCACCGGGCAGUAGCGAAGGAGCCCGCAUGCCAUGAUUAGCGCUGCUUGCGGUCACCCGCUCGAGACAGGCGUGGGAGGAGGAAGCCAUGGUGAUGUGGCCCUCCCAUUGCAUGAAAGGGUGCACAGAUGAAGCUUGUUGCUCAUGGGCGGCGGGGUCGGUGGCCGCGACCUCAGCCCCGGUGGAGUGACAGCAGGCGCCAGGGCCCAGAGGCGUGGUCACCAUGACCCGCGCAGCUCUAUGCUCAGCACGCACACGAAGAGCGUUGGCCAUGGGGUCAGUCAAGCCGAGAGCAAAAUUGGAACUGAAAAACAGAUCGGAACCCCUACCUGGAAUGCCAAAUGUUGGAAUUAGGGCACCACAAACAAAACAAGGUUCGAACUCUCGAGUGUGCUCGCUCUCCUACCCUGUUCUAUAUAUCAAGUUCACUGCGACUCAUCCAAUGGCUCGAGCUAAGGAAAGAAAACAAGAACACGGGAGUAUUUUACCCAGGUUUAGGCUACCUUGCGGUGUAAAACGCUACUCCUGCUUGUCUUGAUUGCUCGAGGUGGAAGACAAGUACAAAGGCGUUUUUGCCCUGGUGGGGAUAAUGGGGUUCUGGUGGUUCAGGCCCUCCUAUAGAGGUCGGGCCUGUCUUUUAUACUGGCCUUGGUCCUCUUUCUCGAAAACACACUUGACGGGAUGGGUCGCCACAACGGCCAUUUUGAAAGGGGGCACAACUGCAGCCUGCCGUGACAAAGGUGGUCUUCACCUGCAAAAGCCCUUCACCAUGACGUGUUGGUGGGCUUUGGGUUGACCUCUUCCCCACCAAGCCACUAGCCUUGGACCUCUUGCACCGAUCGGGAAACCUUUGGGGGUUUCUUUGCGAACUCGUGGGCCAACUCGGCUCCCUUAACAUCAAAUGGGGAAAGCUUCUCUAUUUGUUCCUGCUGGCACCCACCCUCGCACCACGCAGCGUGGCUCACGUGACCCACAUGAGAAGGUUGGACCAUGCGACCCCGGCAGGCCGCCCUUGGUAAGUCCGCCCCAUGGGGGAGGAUCGUCAAGGGGCAGCUUCUUGGUGUGGGCCUUGAGGGGAACAACAUCGAGGGGGACUCUGCAGGUCCCUAGCAAACUACAACAAUCAGCUCCUUGCGAGGAUGGGCCUUUGUGAGGCUUGGACUCCUGGGCCUUGGUAGGGAUCUGCAUUAGCCUCAGCCCCCAACUCUCUAUAGUUGGAGGAAAUGAACGAGACUCUAAAAGUUUCCAAAGCGGAGCUGGAUCGCAUCAACAAGCGUUUUGGAGACGCUCAAUGACCAGGGGAUAACCCCGGGGUAGGCACAUCAGGCCUACUCCUUUGUACUCCGGCACGGACGGGAAGCACCAACUUCCUCCAUCGCCAGGUCCCCUUGGCAGGCUACAAAGCACCCUCCUGCUAGGGGCGAGACAGCAGCUCUGUGGCCGGCUGGCCAGGCCGCCAGCCGGCUAGAGGGCACCUGUCGCAUCCAAUCCUAGGUUGUGAUGGGGGCCUAUGAUUAAAGGCAAAGGUAUGUCAGCACGGGUACGAUGGAGAAGCACAGGUCUGGCUACGGUGUCAGCGGCCAUGCCGCUGACCUAUGCCGGCUCCGAUCCGUCAACCAUGCACAGUACCCGCACGCCAGCACCCACUCCAUUACGAUGUCCGGCGUGGCUAAGUGGAGGCGGUCGUACACGCGACCCACGCCGAAUCUCACAAGACGACUAUGGACGUACCGCACGCGUCCUGCGUGGGCAUCAUGCAUGAGCUCCAUUGGCUGGCCGACGGGUCCCAUAGCCAGAUGGGACCUUGCAGUCGGCGGGCCCCUCAGGCGACAAGACUCAACCGUGGCGGGCCCGAUGGCCGGCUCGAGAGGCUGCCAGCUGGCCCCCGCCUUAUGUACUUAUAUCCAUUUUGUAGGUCGGUGGGUUCACCUAUAAAAUCCCCCAAUCCCCCUCCAUGCAGAUGGUCGGCCAACCUUACACCCACAUACAUUCACUCAUACAGGAGAGGGAGAACUCGAGCUGGCUACUCCUUCUUCCUCCUCUGUCGAACAGCUCAAGGAGCAUACUAUAAACACUUUGGUUCAUCAACCACUCCGGCAGAACUAGGGAUAUUAUCUCCCACGGAGAGCCCUCAACCUGGGUACAUCGUGCGUCUUGCUUGCUUGUAUCAAUCUCGUCCCCGAAGCCCAUCGGUGUCCUUUCGGCUCCAACCACUAUCGAUUAGCCUACCCAUGGCUACUGUUGUGAGGAAACGACAAUAGUUGGCGCCCACCGUGGUGCCGUUGGUGACACCGGUCGGAGUUACGCUCCGGGCGGGACGCUUCGCCAACAACACUAGAUACCUCGCGCCCGGAAUGAUCAGCAUGCCCGUGGAGCCUGCCCCCACGGAGGUUUCCGCGAUACCGAUCGACGACCGAGACCGCCCCGCGGACUCCGCUGAGGAGUUCGCCAGCGAGCCGCUGCCUAGUGACGUCGUCGCCGACAUUGCUAACCUCUGUGUCCUCUUUGGCAACCUGCGCCUUGACGAGGAACCUCGCCACCUCAGCGAGGACAUCUACAUCGACGCGCUUUGCACAAGCUUCAGCAGGCUCACCCUUGAGGAUGUGCCUUACGAGUACGCUAGCGAUGUACUCGACUACAGUGAUCCACCAUCGUUUACGGGGUGCCUCGUCCCGCACGACGUCGCCAUCAGCUCUGACAUCAUGGAGGUGAUAGUUGUUGGCGCUAGCACCAGUUCGGGUCACAGCAAGGCCUCGGCGGAUGUAGCCGACCCCUCUGCAGGUCUUGUCCAUCCGCUUCAUGCCACCCUUGUCGGGCUGAACACGCCCAUCGCCAUGACGACAAACACAACAGAUGCUAGGGCGGCACUGGAGGAGUCCCGCAAACAGCUCCUGGAAGAGGGCACCGCCCUUGCCACCGCCAAGCGUCGGAUGGAGGCCGUGCGGCGCGAGUAUAACGCGCGCGCAGCCGGGUCGUCGCUGAAAUCCUAGGUGGAAAGCUGCCCAUCUAUGACACUCCUGUAGCCAACAUGCGGGCUGCCCAGGCGGCUAUGGCGGAAAUGAAUGGCUUGGAGGGCGAGAAGCGCGCCCGCCAAGAAAAACGCGUCAAGGAUUUCCUUGAUUCAGCCAACGAGCAGCAGACUCGCCUGGACCCGAACCAGGUGUAGUCGAUGUCUCCGGUAACCGGUCCCGAGGUUCUCCGCGUUCCCAGCAGUCGUCAUCCAGCUUAAAGUUCCUAAGCCCUUCGCACUUCUGCCCGGAGGGUUGAGGGAAGCCAAGACCGGCGCUCCCAGCGCUAGAGCGAACCAGUUUCCAGUCGAUGCCGCAAGGCGGCCGGUGAUGACGAUGAUUCGGUCCACGAAGUUCCCCCACUAAUGCAUCGGGAAAAGGCCAAGACACCUGAGCCCCCGGUCGCUCCUGGGAUCUCGGCUCGGAUCGGCCCUCGCGUCCCUCACAGCGACAACGAUGCUCGCAUCUGCAUCAACCUUCUGGUGCAGUCGGCCCUUCUAGAGGAGGAGGGUCCCAUUGGUCCGGCGUGCUUCGGCCCCCGGAUCCGAGGGGAGUCCUUCUGUACCGGCUUCACUCUCCCCCGUGACACUCCAAAGUACAAAGGUUCUGCCAAGCCGAAGGACAGGCUGAGCGACUACACCACUGCAGUUGGCAUCUCCUAGGGCAACAAGCGCUUAGCCGUCCGCUACCUGCGUCUCAUGCUGACCGCCUCGGCAAGGACUUGGCUUAAUAGCCUGCCAGCCGGCAUCGUCAACUCUUGGGUUGACAUUGAGGAGGCGUUCAUCCGCAAUUCGGCACCUACAAGCACCCUGGUGACCUCGCGAGCUGGCCAUGUGCAUUCAGAAGCCCCACGAACCCCUUCGUGACUACGUCACACGCUCGAAGGAGUUGCGCAACUCCUGUGAAGGAGUGCAUGAGGUACAAGCUAUUCAGUACUUCAUCAACGGCUACCGAGACAGCACCCUUCUAAAGCACAAGCUCAUGUGCUCCGAGCCGACCUCUUUGGCGGUUCUCAUGGCUAAGGCGGACAAGUACGCCACGGCCGACUCCACCAUGAGGGUCAAGGUCAGCGCAACGGACAAGCCUAUCCCCGCGCCCACUACAACCAAGCCAGCUGGCGAGAAUCGAGGCGGCCAGAACAACAAGCCCAAGGCGGAUCAACUUGAUUCACACUCUGGAAGCAAGCAGGUGGCCAACAUGGAGGAAGAGGCGCCGUGUCACGCCCAAGAUGUGACCCUAUCCUCAAUUUGGCACGAGGGCCUCGUCAGGGAUAGAAGCGCAUCUCGUCGUGUCGCAAGAAUGGAUAUCGUUACAAGUACAUGUACUGAAAAGAAAAGAUAUAUAAAGAGUUGGCUUACACUCGCCACAAGCUACAUCAGAGUCACGUUAGUACAUUACAUAGUCAUCAAGAGUAAGAGCAGGGUCCGACUACGGACGAAAACAAACGACAAAAGAAGAACGACGUCCAUCCUUGCUAUCCCAGGAUGCCGGCCUGGAACCCAUCCUAGAUCGAUGAAGAAGAAGAAGAAGAAGAAGAAGCAACUCCAAAUGAACAAUCAACGCGCUCGCGUCAAGUACCCUUUACCUGUACCUGCAACUGGUGUUGUAGUAAUCUGUGAGCCACAGGGGACUCAGCAAUCUCAUUUCCAAAGGUAUCAAGACUAACAAAGCUUAAUGGGUGAGGUAUGGUUAAGUGGUGAGGUUGCAGCAGCGGCUACGCAUAUAUUUGGUGGCUAACUUACGAGUACAAGAAGUAGAGGGGGAAGAUCUACGCAUAGCGGACGUGAACUACAGGUGAUCAAAUGAAUGAUCCUGAACACCUACCUACGUCAGACAUAACCCCACCGUGUCCUCGAUCGGAGAAGGAACUCACGAAAGAGACAUUCACGGUUACGCACACAGUUGGCACGUUUUAAUUAAGUUAACUUCAAGUUAUCUAGAACCAGUGUUAAACAAAGUUUCCACGUUGCCACAUAACCGCGGGCACGACUUUCCGAAAGAUUUAACCCUGCAGGGGUGCUCCAACUAGUCCGUCACAAAUUACCACAAGCCGCAAAGAAAUCCUCAAUCACGAAGCUCGCAAUCUCGUCGGAUUCCCUAGUGGAAAACCUCAACUCUGAGAUUACCCAAAGCAUCACCGGACUCCCGAUGCACAAGAUAUCUCAUCAAAGGUAAAACUAAUCCAGCAAGGCCGCCCGACGUGUCGACGUACCUGAUAGUAGCCGCGUAUCUCGUUCUCAGGACACGACGGAUGGAACUAGCUACAGGUGCCAAACCUCGGGUUUCCCCGCGGUGGCCCCGCAGGCAGACCGUUUGGGACCAACACCAUUAGCACUGGCCCCCCUGUUUAUGUAAAAUUACUCCUCGGGUAGCGCUAACUCCCUAUGCAUUUCAAUAUUAUCAAGUUAUUAUGUUGGGCAAAAGUAGAACCAAAGUUGGGCCUUGCUAGACCAGCUUUAAUCUAAAACGAAUUAUCAAGGGGGUCCCCAUAACAACCCCGAUCGUGUUAGGAGCGCUCGUUUAUGGAACAUAACACCGGUAGCCGAAAACUAAGGGGGCAAAGGUGGAACAAAACACCAGGCUAGAAAGGUCGAGCCUUCCACCUUUUACCAAGUAUAUAGGUGCAUUAAAUUAAAUAGCAUUUUAAUAUGGUGAUAUGACAAGGAACCCAUGCUUUCACAUGGAAGCAACUGCACCUGCAACUAGCAACGCUAUCAACAGGGUUAAGCAAGCGGUAACAUAGCCAAACAGUGGUUUGCUAGGUCGAACAGGUUGAAGGUCUUCAUGGCAUUGCUGAGAGGCUAAUAUUUAACAUGUGGUAGGCAACGAGACAUUGUCGAUAGAAGUGGUAAAACUAGCAUGGCAAUGAUAGUAAUGGUAUCUGGGGAAAUGAUCAUCUUGCCUGAGAUCCCGCUUAGAAGAAGAAUGCCUCCGUGAAGCAGACGAACCGACGUAGUCGAAUGGGUCCUCACAUCCGACACGCUUGCGGAACUCUAUCGAGACGGGGAAACCGGGAACAAGCAUCAACACACGAUAUUCACCACACGAUGCACAACACAAAUGAUGCAUGAGCUACUGAAUACAUGCAAGUCACGGCAUGACAAAUCACACAAUCAAACACUACACAUUAAGUGAAGUUCAAUAUGCAACGGGUUGCAUAUUGACGAAACUCCACGUUUAAUUAUUUAGUUCACUCCCGGUUAUUUACACGGCAACAUUAAUGUUUUCAAACAUGCAAGAGGUGAAGCGGAAAUUAAACUACCUAUCUAGACAUUUUAAAUGAGGUCGGAAAUGUCAUACAGCACCUCUGAAACGACCUCACAUGGUAAUUUUCAAUUCUGUCCAGAUCUGAAUUAACGCAUUUAAUUAGUUGUUAAACAGAAAAACAAAUAGGUUCUCGUGAUUCUACGCGUCAAGUCAAGCAAUCUACACAUAAAGCACACCUCCAACGGAACUACGGAUCAAAAGUUACAAGCACCGCAAGAUAUGAUGGCAUGAAUGCAAUACGCGUGCAACGACGGUCACGAGCACUUCAAAACAUACUAACAGCAAGAGAAAAUGAAACUACACAAGAUUCUAAGCAAGUUUCAUGUAGGUCACGAUCAAAACGGAGCUACGGUUCGAAAACUACGAGCAAAACAAGAAGACACUACAAUCUGCCAAAAUCAGCCACAUAGCAUAUUCUACGCCCCACAACUACGGCUACACAACUCCGAUAUGCUCUAGCAAGGCAUGGCACGGAAGAGGGAAAAAGGCACUACUACAAACAACUAGCAUGGCAGCAAGGGCUCCNNNNNNNNNNNNNNNNNNNNNNNNNNNNNNNNNNNNNNNNNNNNNNGGAAAGAAGUCACAAAACGGCUUCCCACACACUAUUUCAGACUUAGUGAAAAUUACACCUCGAGAAAGUGCAGUUUUCAGUCUGAAGCAAUAUUGACAGCAGCAAAACCUAUAGCUACAGGACUCCAAAUGGCAUGAAAAUUCACAGAAUGCUAGAGAAACAUAAGGGGUACAACUAACUCCAUUGGACCAACCUCAAAAGAGCUACAGAUCACAAGAUGCAAGCAAGACAAGACAGCAACAAAAUAUAACAGAUUCCAGACUUAGAAAUAUUUCAGCUCCUCUAAAACAGCACUAUUUCUAGCAACUUGAGGGCAAGCAAACCACAACUAAACAUGCAUUUCUAUUGCAACUAAAAAUACCAGGGGCUAAAGAAAACAUCCGAGAUCAACUCCCUAGUUGACAACUAAUUCAAACGAGGCCCGGAAUAAAUCCUACGAAUUAAACAAAAGGGCAACAUAGCAAAAUAUCUCGCGAACUAACUUACUCGAAAGCUAAAACUAAUUCCACAGAAAAAUCCAUGGGAUUUUUCUACCCCGGAAACAUAUAAAAUAUGUGGGGUUUGCAACACCAAAUAAAGCCACACAAUAAUGCGGGAGAAUAACCUAUAUACGGGAAAAUCAACUACCGGCAAUCNNNNNNNNNNNNNNNNNNNNNNNNNNNNNNNNNNNNNNNNNNNNNNNNNAAUGCAAUUGACCGCUCUAAAAUGCAUGCAAAAAUGAUUCCUAAAACGUGGGCAUUUCUAUCAUGGCAUUCGAGCAAUUCAAACACACGUGGAAAUAACUACGGGCAAUAAACCUAUCGAGACAGCACGUAAAACUAGGCAUUUGGCGCGUUAAACUAGCUCAAAUAACUGUGCAAGUUUUAUAAACGGGUUCUACACGAGAAACUACACGAAAAGCAUAUAAAAAUCAUCGCGAUCCAACUUACGGAUUAAAAGUUACGGGGGUUUGAAAUAUAGCCUAUUUACUGGAAUUUAAAAUAAUUACAAAAACCUAACGAUGCUACACGGGCCGAAAUCAACCUAGUGGGCUACACCACAGCGAGCAUCACACAUCUAUUCGGCGCUACGGGCACUGGUUAGUGGGCAGACUUACCUUGGGCCGAAAGGAGCUGGAGAGGGGCUGUCGGGCCGGCUCGGCAAAGGAGGUCGAUUCCUGGGCCUCAGGGCACCGGCUGGCGCGGCCUAGGGAGGUCAACGCGGGGGCAAGGCCUCGUCCUCCCGUGCUCCACGGGAGCACGAGGACCUGACCAUGGCGGCGGCUUCAGGGCUCGGCAGCGAAGGGGCUCCGGCUAGCGGGAUGAGGUGCACGGGCGAGGCACCGGCGGGGCCGGCCGGAUCUGGAACUGCGCUACGCUGCGGCGGCCGGGGACCUGCUGUGGCGGCGGGAUCUGGCGAGACGCCGGCGCGGGGCGAGCUUCUCUGACGCGCCUGGAGGUGACGCAAGCAGGGAACGCGGCGGCGGGGCUGGCUCCGAGCGGCAGCGGGGAACGGCACGGGGGCGCAGGCAGGGGCUGGCAUGGGCGGCGGGAGCUCGCCGGACGGCGACUGCCGGCUUGCAGGAGGCGGCGCGACGCGCGGCGCGAGGAAGGCGGCGCUCGGGGAGCCCGGGGCGGCGCGGGUACGGGAACCGUAUGGGCGGCGGCGGCGGUUCGGGCUCCGGCGGGCCUGCGAUGGGCUUCGGCGGGCCCUGCGUGCUGGGGCUGGGGAGAGAGAGGAGAGGCUGUGGCGGCUAGAGUUUGGUGGGGUGGCGUGGAAAACGAGGAGGGAUUAGGGGGAGGCUGUCUAAAAAUUAGAAGGGGUCUAUAUAUAGACAAACGGGGGGGCUCGGUUAACCGAAAUCGCGCUCCGGAUCCAACCGCGGGGUCGGAUUCGGACGAUUCCGAACGCGGGUAUGGGUACGCGGCCGUGUAGAGGGAAUAUCCGGAGACGAGAGGGAGAACGGGCAGCGCGGCAACAAUUUUAAAACACCGACAGACGUCCGACGGUAGACCGAAUACGGUGCCCCUACGGUCGACCGUUCGGGUACCAGACGGUCUCCGAUCGCGACGAAAUUCGACAGGCGGCCUCGCUAUAACUAAUCACAACCACACGUCAAAUCUCAACCCGAUCAGAGAAAGUUUUACACACACUUUGAAAACAGGGUUUCGACGAUGCCGCAGGCGCGUGCGUGUGCAGUCGGACUCAGAACGGACAACGGCGAGAACCGACAACUACUAACGGAUGCAAGUUUUGAAAACUGGCGGCAACGGAGAUGCCGAUGCAAUGCUGAUGAUGUGCAUGAUGCGAUGAUGAUGCGAAAAAUAAAAAAAUAGAUACACGACGAAAACGGAAAGAGAGGGGAAUCUUCUGGAACGUCGGCAUCGGGCUGUCACACGCCGGCUCCUCAAGCCAGCACUCAUCAACAACGAACCGACAAGAACACGUGGCAGCCCAAGCUCACCUUAGAGCAGAUGCUUGACGCGCCUUGCACGAUGCAUACCGGGGCAAAGCCGGCCACCCAACACUCCGGCAGUGCAAGUUUGCACAACGACUGUCUCGGGGUGAGGGUCUACCGGCUCCCCCGGCGGCGGCGCCUCGAGCUCCGGCUCCUGGGCCGGCUCCGGCUCCAGCACUGCCGCCUCCCAAUGACGGCCGUCUCCACGACCAGUUCCUCGAACAGGACGGGGCCUAUGUCGUCUUCACCAGCGAGGAUGAAGACAAGCACAGCCAGCGUCAACGUCGGCGCGAGGUAAAUGCCAUGGUCCCCUCGGUUGCAUUGGUCUGAAAAGCCAAUUACAUGGAGCGGGACGGACCAUAUUGCGGUGAUGCCGAACCCUGGCACAUACACGCCCUUCCUCGACCCCACUCUUGCGUUCAAGAGACUUACCUGUCGGUUCUCACAGGUGUUGGUCGAUGGCUGCAGCAGCAUCAACAUCCUCUACGAGACACCUUGCUCAAGCUCGGGUUGAAGGAGAAGGACCUCCAACCGACCAGGACUGUCUUCCACGACAUUGUACCGGGGCAGUCCGGCUCGCCGAUCGGCAAAAUUCAGUUGGACGUCCUCUUCGAUGACAAGGCACAUUUCCUCCGCGAGUCGAUAUGGUUCGAGGUGGUGGACCUCAACAGCCCAUACCAUGCAUUGCUGGGAAGUCCGACUCUGGCCAAGUUCAUGGCGAUCCCCCAUUAAGCCUUAUCAAGAUGAAGAUGUCGGGUCUCAAAGGCAUCAUCACCGUUGCCGGCGACUACAAGAAGUCGCUCGAAUGCGCGCACGGCGGCAGUUGGCUGUCCGAGGCUCUCGUGAUUGCUGAGGAGAAGAGCCAGAUUGACCGGCUCAUGGCUUAGUCUACCGAGCAGCCGGAAAUCCCUUCUCCUCCAUCCCAGUCGGUCAACGAGGGCUUAUUCGAGCCAGACAAAGAAACCAAGCAAGUGCCGCUUGACCCGGCCAACCCCAAGCAGUGCGUCACCAUUGGCGCCAACCUGAGCCCCAAAUAGGAAGGCAAGCUCAUCGACUUCCUCCGUAAGAAUCGGGAUAUCUUCGCAUGGUCUCCAAAGGACAUGCCAGGAGUUCCGAGGAAGUACACCAAGCAAAAGCUUCAUGUGUGGCCGGAUGCCAAGCCGGUCAAAUAACCUCUACGCCGCUUCGCCGAGGGGAAGUGAUGCACUAUAGAAGAAGAAAUCACCCGGCUGCUCGCAACCGGCUUCAUCAUGGAUGUUUUACACCCGGACUGGCUGGCCAACCCAGUCCUGGUGCUGAAGAAGAACAAGACAUGGCGCAUGUGUAUUGAUUACACAAGCCUAAAUAAGGUGUGCCCGAAAGACCCAUUCGCCCUGCCACACAUAGAUCAAGUGAUCGACUCCACAGCCGGCUGCGAAUUGCUGUCCUUUCUGGAUGCUUAUUCUGGCUACGACCAGAUCAAGCUAGACCCAACCGACCGGGCCAGCUCAAGACCUUUCGGGCCAACUGCUACACCACCAUGACGUUCGGCUUGAAGAACGCCGGUGCCACCUUUCAGCGCUGCAUGCAACAAUGCCUCCUGCCGCACAUCGGUAGGAACAUGCACAUCUACAUCGAUGACAUCAUUGUCAAGACCAAGAAGCAUUUCAGACUCCUUGAAGACCUAAGGGAGACCUUCGCCAAUCUGCACGAGUACAAGAUCCGGCUCAAUCCGGAGAUGUGCGUCUUUGGAGUUCCAGGCGACAAGCUCUUGGGUUUCUUCGUGUCGGCUCGCGACAUUGAAGCUAACCCUGAGAAGAUUAGAACCAUCGAGUGCAUGGAAAAGCCUGCUCGAAUCCUUGACGUCCAGAAGUUUGCCGGCUGCCUGGCAUACCUCAGCCAGUUCAUCAGCUGGCUGGGCGAGAAGGCGCUACCACUCUAUCAACUGAUGAAGAAGACAACCAAGUUUGGGUGGAAUGACCACACAGGCGAAGCCUUCCGCAACCUCAAGCGCGUCAUCUCAAGCGCAUGGAGGAGGGCAAGGUGCUGCUGGUACAGCGCCCUGUCUACUACCUGAGCGAAGUCUUGUCCGCCUCCAAGCAAAACUACCCCCACUAUCAAAAGAUGUGCUACGGCGUGUACUUUUCCGCCAAAAAGCUGAAGCAAUACUUCUAGGAGCACGCCAUCACUAUGGUGAGCAAAAAUCCACUCUCAUAAAUCAUGGGCAACCGUGAUGCCACGGGACGGAUCGCCAAGUGGUCCAUCUCCAUGGCCGACCAUGGCAUCCGCUACGAGCCACGCACUGCCAUCAAGUCUCAGGUGGUGGCCGACUCCCUCGUCGAUUGGGACGAGACCCAAUUCGUGUCACCGCCUCCCGACUCCACACAUUGACGGCUCGAAGAUGCGAACUGGUCUAGGAGCUGGCAUUGUCUUGACGUCUCCGAAAAGGGACCAACUCAAAUAUGCUCUCCACAUAUAUUUUGCUCCCUCACACGGCCUCCGGCUCGCCAGAGAAAUUCGCAUCCGACGAAUCCUUUGCUUCGGCGACUCUGACCUUGUGGUGCAGCAAGUCUCUCGUGAAUGGGACGCCAGGGACGCCAACAUGGCGAGCUACCGCUUCCUCAUCCACCAGNNNNNNNNNNNNNNNNNNNNNNNNNNNNNNNNNNNNNNNNNNNNNNNNNNNNCCGAGGGCUGCAAGUUCCAUCAUGUCCCCUGAGCGAACAACGAGGAAGUCGAUAAAUUGGCGAAAAUUGGCUCCGGAAGGCAAGCAAUCCUAGCCGGCGUCUCCCUCGAGCAGCUGCACAAGCCAUCCAUCAAGCCGUCUCUGGAGUCGGCAUCAAUCUUUGUGCCGGCGGACCCUUUCGUCCCGACGACGUUGGUUUCGGAGAAACCGCCGGCUACAACUGCUCUGCCAGCUACGACUGCUUUGCCGACUCCAACAACAAUGUCGGCUACGCCAAACCUCGAAUCAUGUCGGCUCAACACCCAGUGGGUGGCUGGCAUGGAGGUAGACGACACGCCGGCUGCCACGACGGCACCAGAGAUAGAAGUUCUCGAACCCACGACCACAACAAUAGACUUGGGGGCUUUAGAAGCCCCUGACCUUCAGGCCGAGCUGGAGCCAGCUCUCGUGUCGACUCCCUCGUGAGCACAACCCAUCCUGGCUUUCAUUCUUUGCGGCGAACUUCCCCAAGACGAGGCGGAAGCAAGGUAUAUUUAGCGUCGAUCUCCUGCAUACGCCAUCAUCAACCUCGAGCUGGUUCGACGUAGCAUAACCGGCGUGUUGCAACCCUGCGUCGAGUCAGAGAAAGGGCAAGAAAUCCUCAAGGAAAUACAUUAGGGUGAGUGCGGGCACCAUGUCGCCUCUAGAACCCUGGUGGCCAAGGCAUUCCGCCAUGGAUUCUACUGGCCCAUAGCUCUUGAGGAGGCCCCAUACUUGGUCGACAAGUGCGAAGGCUACCAGCGCUUCAGCACGCAGAGCCAUCUGUCGGCCUUGGCUCUCAACACCAUCCCCUGUCAUGGCCUUUUGCCGUCUGGGGCUGGAUAUGGUGGGACCAUUGAAGACCGCUCGAGGCUGCAUGACACAUCUUCUGGUAGUUGUUGAGAAGUUCACCAGGUGGAUGGAGGCUAGGACAAUCAAGAAGCUUGACGGUCCCAUGGACGUCAGGUUCAUCAAGGACAUUGUUGUCCGCUACGGUGUCCCCCAUAGCAUCAUCACCGAUAACGGCACCAACUUCGGCAAAGGUGCAAUGGCACUCUUCUGUGCCAAAGAGGACAUCCGGCUCGACUUGGCGUCGGUGGCGCACCCGUAGUCCAACGGCCAGGAGGAAAGGGAAAACGGCUUAAUCCUAGCCGACAUCAAGCCAAGACUGGUGGCGCCACUAGUCAGGUCAGCCGGCUGCUGAAUCGAAGAGUUGUCGGCUGUAUUGUGGAGCCUCCGUGCUACUUCUUGAGCUUGCGUUGGUUUUUCCCUUAAAGAGGAAAGGGUAAUGCAUCAAAGUAGAGAUAAGUAUUUCCCUCAGUUUGAGAACCAACGUGUCAAUCCAGUAGGAGUAUCAAGAUGAGGCACCAAUGCACCUGCGCAAAAACAAACAUACUUGCACCCAACGCGAUAAAGGGGUUGUCAAUCCCUUUACGAUUACUUGCAAGGUGAGAUCUGAUAGUUAUAAUAGGUAAAUAUAAAUAAAUAAAUAAAAGUGCAGCAAGGUAUUUUUGGUAUUUUUGUAUGUAAAUCUGAAUAUAUAAUGUGUAAAAUAGACCCGGGGGCCAUAGUGUUCACUAGAGGCUUCUCUCGUGAUAGCAAGUAUUAUAGUGGGUGAACAAAUUACUGUUGAGCAAUUGAUAGAAUCGCGCAAAGUCAUGACGAUAUCUAAGGCAAUGAUCAUACAUAUAGGCAUCACGUCCGAGACAAGUAGACCGAUACUUUUUGCAUCUACUACUAUUACUCCACACAUCGACUGCUAUCCAACAUGCAUCUAGUGUAUUAAGUUCAUAACAAAACAGAGUAACGCCUUAAGCAAGAUGACAUGAUGUAGAGGGAUAAAUUCAUGCAAUAUAAUAUAAACCCCAUAUUUUUACCCUUGAUGGCAACAACACGAUGCGUGCCUCGCUACCCCUUCUGUCACUAGGUAAGGAUACCGCACGGUACGAACCCAAAACCAAGCACUUCUCCCAUUGCAAGAAUUAUAGAUCAAGUUGGCCAAACGAAACCCAUAACUCGAAGACAAUUACAAGGAUACGAAAUCAUGCAUAUAAGAAAUCAGAGGAGACUCAAAUUAUAUUCAUAGAUAAUCAGAUCAUAAAUCCACAAUUCAUCGGAUCUCGACAAACACACCGCAAAAGAAAGUUAGAUUGGAUACAUGUCCAUGAAGAUCAUGGAGAACUUUGUAUUGAAGAUCCAAGAGAGAGAAGAAGCCAUCUAGCUACGAGCUAUGGACCCGAAGGUCUGUGGUGAACUACUCACGCAUCAUCGGAGAGGCAAUGGUAUUGAUGAAGAAGCCCUCCGUGUCUGAAUCCCCAUCCGGCAGGGCACCAGAACGGUCCCCGGAUGGGAUCUCGCGGAAACAGAAGCUUUCGGCGGCAGAAAAGUAUUUUCGUGGCUCUCCCUGUUGGUUUUGGGAUUUUAGGGAAUUUAUAGGCGAAAGAGGUAGGGCAAAGGAGGCAAGGGGGGCCCAUGAGCCUGCUAGGGCCCCCCUGGGGCGCGCCUAGGGGGAUCGUGACCUCCCACGAGACCCCCUGUCUUGGUUCUCAAGUCUUCUGGGUAUCUUCUGUUUUGGAAAAAAUCAUCCCGCAGGUUUUAUUCCGUUUGGACUCCGUUUAUUAUUCUUAUCUGAUAAAGGUCAAAAACACGGAAAAACCAGAAACUGGCACUAGGCACUGAGUUAAUAGGUCUGUCCCAAAAAUGAUAUAAAAUAACAUAUAAAUGCAUAUAAGCAUCCCAAGUUGAUAAUAUGAUAGCAUGGAACAGUCAAAAAUUAUAGAUACAUUGGAGACGUAUCAAGCAUCCCCAAGCUUAACUCCUGCUCGUCCUCGAGUAGGGAAGUGAUAAAGACCGUAUUUUGGAUGUGGAAUGCUAUCUAACAUAUUUGUUCUUUGUAACUUCUUUAUUGUGGCAUGAAUGUUCAGAUCCAUAAGAUUCAAAACAAUAGUUUAAUAUUGACAUGAGAAAAAUAAUACUUCAAGCAUACUAGCAAAGUAAUCAUGAACUUUUGAAAUAACAAGGCCAAAGAAAGUUAUCCCUACAAAAUCAUAUAGUCUGGCUAUGCUCCAUCAUCCCCACACAAAGAAUUUAAAUCAUGCACAACCCCAGUAUUGGCCAAGUAAUUGUUUUCGCACUCUUACUUUCUCAAACUUUUUCCACUCUCACGCAAUACAUGAGCGUGAGCCAUGGAUAUAGCACUAUAGGUGAAAUAGAGUGUGGUGGAGGUUGUGAGGCAAAAAGGAGGAGAUGGUCACAUCGACUCGGCGUAUCAACGGGCUAUGGAGAUGCCCAUCAAUAGAUAUCAAUGUGCAUGAGUAGGGAUUGCCAUGCAACGUAUGCACUAGAGCUAUAAGUGUAUGAAAGCUCAAAAAGAAAACUAGUGGGUGUGCACCCAACUUGCUUGCUCACGAAGACCUAGGGCAAUUUUGAGGAAGCCCAUCAUUGGAAUAAACAAGCCAAGUUAUAUAAUAAAAAUUCCCACUAUUAUAUGAAAGUGACAAAACAAGAGACUCUCUAUCAUGAAGAACACGGUGCUACUUUGAAGCAAAAGUGUGGAAAAAGAUACUAGCAUUGUCCCUUCUCUCUUUUUCUCUCAUCAUUUUUUUGGGACCUUUGCCUCUCUUUUUUUCAUUUCAUUUUUUUCUAUUUUUUGGUGAGCAUAUUUGGCCUUUUUUUUAUUUCCUCACAUGGGACAAUGCUCUAAUAAAGAUGAUCAUCACACUUUUAAUUACUUACAACUCAAUAAUUGGAACAAUAAUGACUCUAUAUGAAAUGCCUCCGGCAGUGUACCGGGAUGUGCAAUGAUCUAGCUUAGUGUAUGACGUUGAAACAUCUCGCUAGCUAUCUUACGAUCAUGCAAUGGCAAAAUGAAAAUGAUGGCACAUGUCAUGAGACGGAACGGUGGAAGUUGCAUGGAAAUAUAUCUCGGAAUGGCUAUGAAAGUGCCAUAAUAGGUAGGUAUGGUGGCUGUUUUGAGGAAGGUAUAUGUUGGGUUUGUGCACCGGAGAAAGUUGCGCGGCACUAGAGAGGCUAGCAAUGGUGGAAGGUGAGAGUGCAUCUAUACCAUGGACUCACAUUAGUCAUGAAGAACUCAUAUACUUAUUGCGAAAGUUUUAUUAGUAAUCGAAACAAAGUGUUAAACGCAUACUCCUAGGGGAAGGGUUGGUAGGAGUUAACCAUCACGCGAUCCUGACCGCCACACAAAGGAUGACAAUCAAUAAACCAAUUAUGCUCCGACUUCCUAACAUAGCGGUUCACCAUACGUGCAUGCUACAAGAAUCACUAACCUCAACACAAGUAUUUCUAGAUUCACAACACCCUACUAACAUGACUCUAAUAUUCCAUAUCCAUAUCUCAAAACUAAUUGUGAGGAAUCGAACUUCUCUUACUGAUCAAUGCACUUGAAUAUGAAAGUUUUUAUUAUAUCCUCUUUGGAUGCCUAUCAUAUUUAGGACUAAUUUCAUAGCACACGCCAAUUACCAAGCUACUUAGAGAGAGCACUCUCAAAAUGAUAUAAGUGAAGAUCGAGAGUUUUUAUUUGUACAAAAUAUGACACCGCCGUGCUCUACAAAAUAUGACAUCUCCCAAGAUUGUGCAACAUGUUCAUGAUCUAGUUGCUUAAAAUUCAUGAUAUCAUUACGAGAGAGAUAAUCUUAGCAGGUGGAAAAUACUUGGAAAUAAAGGCAACUUUACACUUGUUCCAUGAAUCAAUACUAUUUUUGGGUAAAGCCGAAAAGCAAGUUUUUGCUCGAUCUCGUAAUGAUAACGGAAAUAGUAUCAAUUUAAUCAUAUCAUNNNNNNNNNNNNNNNNNNNNNNNNNNNNNNNNNNNNNNNNNNNNNNNNNNNNNNNNNNNNNNNNNNNNNNNNNNNNNNNNNNNNNNNNNNNNNNNNNNNNNNNNNNNNNNNNNNNNNNNNNNNNNNNNNNNNNNNNNNNNNNNNNNNNNNNNNNNNNNNNNNNNNNNNNNNNNNNNNNNNNNNNNNNNNNNNNNNNNNNNNNNNNNNNNNNNNNNNNNNNNNNNNNNNNNNNNNNNNNNNNNNNNNNNNNNNNNNNNNNNNNNNNNNNNNNNNNNNNNNNNNNNNNNNNNNNNNNNNNNNNNNNNNNNNNNNNNNNNNNNNNNNNNNNNNNNNNNNNNNNNNNNNNNNNNNNNNNNNNNNNNNNNNNNNNNNNNNNNNNNNNNNNNNNNNNNNNNNNNNNNNNNNNNNNNNNNNNNNNNNNNNNNNNNNNNNNNNNNNNNNNNNNNNNNNNNNNNNNNNNNNNNNNNNNNNNNNNNNNNNNNNNNNNNNNNNNNNNNNNNNNNNNNNNNNNNNNNNNNNNNNNNNNNNNNNNNNNNNNNNNNNNNNNNNNNNNNNNNNNNNNNNNNNNNNNNNNNNNNNNNNNNNNNNNNNNNNNNNNNNNNNNNNNNNNNNNNNNNNNNNNNNNNNNNNNNNNNNNNNNNNNNNNNNNNNNNNNNNNNNNNNNNNNNNNNNNNNNNNNNNNNNNNNNNNNNNNNNNNNNNNNNNNNNNNNNNNNNNNNNNNNNNNNNNNNNNNNNNNNNNNNNNNNNNNNNNNNNNNNNNNNNNNNNNNNNNNNNNNNNNNNNNNNNNNNNNNNNNNNNNNNNNNNNNNNNNNNNNNNNNNNNNNNNNNNNNNNNNNNNNNNNNNNNNNNNNNNNNNNNNNNNNNNNNNNNNNNNNNNNNNNNNNNNNNNNNNNNNNNNNNNNNNNNNNNNNNNNNNNNNNNNNNNNNNNNNNNNNNNNNNNNNNNNNNNNNNNNNNNNNNNNNNNNNNNNNNNNNNNNNNNNNNNNNNNNNNNNNNNNNNNNNNNNNNNNNNNNNNNNNNNNNNNNNNNNNNNNNNNNNNNNNNNNNNNNNNNNNNNNNNNNNNNNNNNNNNNNNNNNNNNNNNNNNNNNNNNNNNNNNNNNNNNNNNNNNNNNNNNNNNNNNNNNNNNNNNNNNNNNNNNNNNNNNNNNNNNNNNNNNNNNNNNNNNNNNNNNNNNNNNNNNNNNNNNNNNNNNNNNNNNNNNNNNNNNNNNNNNNNNNNNNNNNNNNNNNNNNNNNNNNNNNNNNNNNNNNNNNNNNNNNNNNNNNNNNNNNNNNNNNNNNNNNNNNNNNNNNNNNNNNNNNNNNNNNNNNNNNNNNNNNNNNNNNNNNNNNNNNNNNNNNNNNNNNNNNNNNNNNNNNNNNNNNNNNNNNNNNNNNNNNNNNNNNNNNNNNNNNNNNNNNNNNNNNNNNNNNNNNNNNNNNNNNNNNNNNNNNNNNNNNNNNNNNNNNNNNNNNNNNNNNNNNNNNNNNNNNNNNNNNNNNNNNNNNNNNNNNNNNNNNNNNNNNNNNNNNNNNNNNNNNNNNNNNNNNNNNNNNNNNNNNNNNNNNNNNNNNNNNNNNNNNNNNNNNNNNNNNNNNNNNNNNNNNNNNNNNNNNNNNNNNNNNNNNNNNNNNNNNNNNNNNNNNNNNNNUCAUCCCGCAAGUUUUAUUCCGUUUGGACUCCGUUUAAUAUUCUUAUCUGAAAAAGUUCAAAAACACGGAAAAAACAGAAACUGGCACUGGGCACUAAGUUAAUAGGUUAGUCCCAAAAAUGAUAUAAAAUAGCAUAUAAAUGCAUAUAAGACAUCCCAAGUUGAUAAUAUAAUAGCAUGGAACAGUAAAAAAUGAUAGAUACGUUGGAGACGUAUCACUCCGCACCACGCCGAACCGGUCAACCGGCUUCACACCGUUCUUCCUUGUAUAUGGGUCCGAGGCAAUCAUCCUUACAGAUGUCGAGUUCGACUCCCCUCGGGUCACCCUAUACAUGGAGGUGGAAGAAAAAGAGGCAAGAGAAGACGGCAUCGAUCUGCUCGAGGAGGCACGUGAGUUAGCCUUGAGCCGGACGGCCAUUUAUCAGCAGAAGCUGAGGCAUUACCACAGCAAGAAGAUCAGGCCCCUCUCCUUUCGGGAGGGGGACUUGGUACUUAGAAGAAUCCAGCGAACAGUCGGCCAGCACAAGCUCUCCUCCCCAUGGGAGGGACCCUUCAUCAUCAGCGGGGCUUUGCAUAACAAUGCAUAUUAUCUGAUAGAUGCCCAGAAGCCACGGGAGAGCAAGAGAGACGACUCCGGCCAGGAAAAGGACCGUCCAUAGAAUGCGGCAUUGUUUCUCCCAUUCUACUACUAAGAGCAAGAGAGAAAAGCAUGUACGUAUGUAUCCUCCACCCUUUUUGAGAUUUCAAUGAAUGCAAUGGGUGUUUCAAGCUGGUGCUUGAGGCAUACCUUUUUCAGAUUCAUAAAAAUAGUUGUCCAUUCAAGAGUGGGCUCCCUGGUCCGGCUCCACGGGCUCGGGGGCUCGCUAGCCGGCCCGAACUGUUUGAAAUAUGCCCUAGAGGCAAUGAUAGAUAGUUAUUAUUAUAUUUCCUGUUACAAGAUAAUCGUUUAUUAUCCAUGCUAUAAUUGUAUUGAAUGAAAACAUAGAUACAUGUGUGGAUACAUAGACAAAACAAUGUCCCUAGCAAGCCUCUAGUUGGCUAGCCAGUUGAUCAAGGAUAGUCAAGGUUUUCUAGCUAUGUGCAAGUGUUGUCACUUGAUAACUGGAUCACAUCAUUAGGAGAAUCAUGUGAUGGACUACACCCAAACUAUGAACGUAGCAUAUUGAUCGUGUCAUUUUAUUGCUAUUGUUUUCUGCGUGUCAAGUAUUUAUUCCUAUGACCAUGAGAUCAUAUAAGUCACUGAUACCGGAGGAAUACCUUGUGUGUAUCAAACGUCACAACGUAACUAGGUGACUGUAAAGGUGCUCUACAGGUAUCUCCGAAGGUGUCCGUUGAGUUUGUAUGGAUCAAGACUGGGAUUUGUCACUCCGUGUGACGGAGAGGUAUCUCAGGGCCCACUCGGUAAUACAACAUCGCACACAAGCCUUGCAAGCAAUGUGACUAAGUGUAAGUCACGAGAUCUUGUAUUACGGAACGAGUAAAGAGACUUGCUGGUAACGAGAUUGAAAUAGGUAUGCGGAUAGCGAUGAUCGAAUCUCGGGCAAGUAGCAUACCGAAGGACAAAGGGAAUGACAUACGGGAUUAUAUGAAUCCUUGACACUGAGGUUCAACCUAUAAGAUCUUCAGAGAAUAUGUAGGAUCCAAUAUGGGCAUCCAGGUGCCGCUAUUGGAUAUUGACCGAGGAGUGUCUCGGGUCAUGUCUACAUGGUUCUCGAACCCGCAGGGUCUACACACUUAAGGUUCGAUGAUGUUUUAGUAUAGUUGAGUUAUAUGUGUGGUUACCUAAUGUUGUUAGGAGUCCCAGAUGAGAUCACAGACGUCAUGAGGGUUUCCGGAAUGGUUCGGGAACAAAGAUUGGUAUAUAUGAUGGUUUUGUUUGGUCAGCGGAAAGUUUCGGGCAUUACUGGGAGUGACGAAUGGGUUCCAGUUGUUCACCGGGAGGGGCCCACCCGCUCGGGAGUGAGCCCAAGGCCCUAGGGUGGCGCACCAAGUCCUUAGUGGGCUAGUGGAUUCAACCCAAGAUGGCUAUGGUGCCACAUAUAACAUACCAAAGGAAAAGAAGAAGAAAAGGAAAGAGGGAGGUGGGAAGGAAGAGGAGGACUCCUCCUUCCCAAACCGAAUUGGAGGAGGAGUCCUCCUCCUCCCUGGUGGCCGGCGCACCCUUGGGGCCCUUGUUCCCCAAGGCUAGCCCCUCCCAUCCUCCUAUAUAUAUUGGUGGUUUAGGGCUUUUUGAGACACAACUUUGCCACGUGCAACUCUAGCCUAUUCCACAUAGUUGUACCUCUAGAUCGGAUUGCUGCGGAGCUCGGGCGGAGCCCUGCAGGAGUAGAUCAUCUCCACCACCUGAGCACCGUCACGCUGCCGGAGAACUCAUCUACUUAUCUAUAUUGCUUACUAGAUCAAGAAGGCCGAGAUCGUCAUCGAGUUGUACGUGUGUUAAACGCGAAGGUGUCAUUCGUUCGGCGCUAGAUCGGGAUGGAUCGUGGGACGGAACGCGAGACGGUUCGUGGGACGGAUCAUGGGACGGUUCGAGGGACGGAUCAUGAAGACAUACCACUACAUCAACCACGUUUCUUAACGCUACCCGCUGAGUGAUCUAUAAGGGUACGUAGAUCUAAUCUCCUCUUGUAGAUGGACAUCACCAUGAUAGGUCUUCGUGUGCGUAGGAAAUUUUUUGUUUCCCAUGCAAGUUCCCCAACAGUGGCAUCAUGAGCAAGUUCCCCAACAGUAGAUGUUAUCUCGAGUAGAACACAAAAGGUUUUGAGGACGGUGAUGUUCGAUUUUCUGCCCUCCUUAGUCUUUUCUCGAUUCGGCGGUAUUGUUGGAUUGAAGCGGCCCAAACCGAGAUAACUCGUACACUUAUGAGAGACUGGUUUCAUCGAUUGACAUGCAACCUCGUUGCAUAAAGAUGACUGGCGGGGGCCUGUUUCUUCAACUUUAGUUUUUUUGGCCGGCUACUGUNNNNNNNNNNNNNNNNNNNNNNNNNNNNNNNNNNNNNNNNAAACCCCCCAUAGCCUUUUUUCUUUUAUUCCCAUAUAUAAGAGCAGUAUGUACAAGAAGAAAUUAGAAUGUACAAAUGGGAUGGGAAGCUAAGGCUACAAACCUCAAGGAGGCAAAAGGUUCUUCAACUUUAGUUGAAUUGGUUUUGACCGAGGCGGUCCUUGGAGAGAGGUUAAAUAGAAAUUUGCACAUCUCUGUUGUGGUUUUUGCGUAAGUAAGAUGCGAUCAUACUAGAUACGCAUAGCAGCCACGUAAAACAUGCAACAACAAAUUAGAGGACGUCUAACUUGUUUUUGCAGGGUAUGCUUGUGUCGUGAUGUGAUAUAUUGGAUGUAUGAGAUGAUCAUGUUGUAAUAGUUAAUAUUAACUUGCACGUCGAUGCUAUGGCAACCGGCAGGAGCCAUAGGGUUGUCUCUAAACUAAUGUUUGUGUUUGAAGAUGCAUUUACUAUAUUGCUAGGUUGUAGCUUUAGUAGUAAUAGCAUAGAUAGCAUGACAACCUCGAUGGCGACACGUUGAUGGAGAUCAUGGUGUGGCGCCGGUGACAAGAAGAUCAUGGCGGUGCUUUGGUGAUGGAGAUCAAGAAGCACAAAAUGAUGGCCAUAUAAUGUCACUUAUGAAUUGCAUGUGAUGUUAAUCCUUUUAUGCACCUUAUUUUUCUUAGAACGACGGUAGCAUUAUGAGGUGAUCUCUCACUAACAUUUCAAGAUGAAAUUGUGUUCUCCCCGAUUGUGCACCAUUGCGACAGUUCGUCGUUUUGAGACACCACGUGAUGAUUGGGUGUGAUAGACUCAACGUUCACAUACAACGGGUGCAAAACAGUUGUACACGUGGAACACUCGGGUUAAACUUGACGAGCCUAGCAUGUGCAGACAUGGCCUCGGAACACAUGACACCGAAAGGUCGAGCAUGAAUCGUAUAGUUGAUAUGAUUAGCAUAGAGAUGCUUACCACUGAAACUAUUCUCAACUCACGUGAUGAUCGGACUUGAGUUAGUGAAUUUGGAUCAUGUACCACUCAAAUGACUAGAGAGAUGUACUUUUCGAGUGGGAGUUUAUCAGUAAUUUGAUUAGUUAAACUCUAAUUAUCUUAAACAUAGUCUAAGUCCACUUUGCAAAAUUUUGUGUUGUAGAUCAAUGGCUCACACGAUAGUCACCCUGAAUUUUAAUACGUUCCUAGAGAAAGCUAAGUUGAAAGAUGAACCACCCACUACGGCUGACCAAGAUGUUAAGAACGCCUGGUUAACACGUAAGGAGGACUACUCAGUAGUUCAAUGUGCAGUCUUGUAUGGCAUAGAGCCGGGACUUCAACGUCGCUUUGAGCGUCAUGGAGCAUAUGAGAUGUUCCAGGAGUUGAAGUUUAUCUUUUAGAAGAAAGCCCGGAUCGAGAGGUAUGAAAUCUCCGAUAAAUUCUAUGCUUGCAAGAUGGAGGAGAGUUCGUUUGUCAGUGAACAUGUGCUCAAAAUGUAUGGGUACUCAAACCGUUUAGCUGAGCUGGGUAUUGAACUCCCGCAAGAGGCUAUCACUGACAGAAUUCUUCAAUCACUACCACCUAGCUAUAAGAGCUUUGUGUUGAACUAUAACAUGCAAGGGAUGAACAAGUCACCCGGCGAGUUAUACGCGAUGCUGAAAGUCGCAGAGUCAGAACUCCGGAAAGAGCAUCAAGUGUUGAUGGUCAAUAAGACCACUAGUUUCAAGAGAAACGGCAAAGGCAAGAAGGGUAACUCCAAGAAGAGCGGCAAGCCUGUUGCCAAUCCGACGAAGAAACCCAAGGCUGGGCCUAAGCCUGAAACGGAGUAUUAUUAUUGCAAGGAACUAGGUCACUGGAAGCGCAAGUGCCCCAAGUAUUUGGCUGAUAAGAAGGCGGCCAAGGAAAAAUCUGGUAUAUUUGAUAUACAUGUUAUUGAUGUGUACUUAACCAACUCUCGUAGUAGUGCCUAGGUAUUUGAUACCGGUUCUAUUGCUCUUAUUUGCAACUGGAAGCAGGAACUGUGGAAUAAACGAAGGCUGGCGAAGGAUGAAGUGACGAUGCGCAUGGGAAAUAGUUCCAAGGUUGAUGCAAUCGCAGUCGGCACAGUUUCACUUCAAUUACCAUCAAGAUUAGUUAUGAACUUAAAUAAUUGCUAUUCAGUGCCUACUUUGAGCAUGAACAUUAUAUCUGGAUCGUGUUUAUUGCGAGACGGAUACUCGUUUAAGUCAGAGAAUAACGGUUGUUCUAUUUCUAUGAGUAAUAUGUUUUAUGGUCAUGCACCCAAUGUGAGAGGAUUGUUCAUAUUGAAUCUUGAUAGCGAUGAUACAUAUAUACAUAACAUUGAGACCAAAAGAUGUAGAGUUAACAAUGAUAGCGCCAUGUUUUUGUGGCACUACCGCUUAGGUCAUAUUGGUGUAAAGCGCAUGAAGAAACUCCAAUCCGAUGGACUUUUGGAGUCACUUGACUUUGAAUCACUUGACAGGUGCGAACCAUGCCUCAUGGGCAAGAUGACUAAGACUUCAUUCUCCGGAACAAUGGAGCAUGCAAGUGACUUGUUGGAAAUCAUACAUACCGAUGUAUGCGGUCCGAUGAGUGUGGGGGCAUGCGGCGGAUAUCGUUAUUUUCUCACCUUCACUGACGAUUUGAGUAGGUAUGGAUAUAUCUACUUGAUGAAGCACAAGUCUGAAAUGUUUGAGAAGUUCAAGCAAUUUCAGAGUGAUGUUGAAAAUCAUCGUAACAAGAAGAUCAAGUUCCUACAGUCUGAUUGCGAGGGUGAAUAUCUGAGUUUCGAGUUUGGUGCUCACUUAAGACAAUGUGGAAUUAUUUCACAGUUAGCACCGCGUGGAACACCACAGCGUAAUGGUGUGUCCGAACGUCGUAAUCGUACUUUGUUAGAAAUGGUGCGAUCUAUGAUGCCACUUAUCGAUUUGCCAUUAUCGUUUUGGGGCAAUGCAUUAGAGACAGCUGCAUUCACUUUAAAUAGGACACCAUAAAAAUCCGUUGAGACAACACCAUACGAACUGUGGUAUGGCAAAAGACCGAAAUUGUCGUUUCUUAAAGUUUGGCGAUGUGAUGCUUAUGUCAAAAAGCUUCAGCAUGAAAAGCUGGAACCCAAAGCGGAAAAGUGCAUCUUCAUAGGUUACCCAAAAGACACAGUUGGGUACACCUUCUAUAUCAAAUCCGAGGACAAAGUAUUUGUUGCUAAGAACAGAGCUUUUCUUGAGAAGGAGUUUCUCUCGAAAGAAUUGAGUGGGAGGCAGAUAGAAUUUGAUGAGGUUGUCGAACCUCUAGUCCCUCUAGAUGGUGGCACAGGGCAAGGGGAAACCCCUGUCAUUGCGACGCCGGUUGAGGAGGAAGUUGAUGAUGAUGAUCAUGAAACUUCGGAUCAAGUUCCUAUCGGACCUCGCAUGCCGACAAGAUCACGUACUACUCCUGAGUGGUACGGUAAUCCUGUCUUAUCAAUUAUGUUGUUGGACAACAAUGAACCUGCGAAUUGUAAAGAAGCAAUGGUGGGCCCGAAUUCCAACAAAUGGCUGGAGGCCAUGAAGUCCGAGAUAGGAUCUAUGUAUGAAAACAAAGUGUGGACUUUGGAAGUAUUACCUGAAGGUCGGAAGGCUAUUCAGAACAAAUGGAUCUUUAAGAAGAAGACGGACGCGGACGGUAAUGUGACCGUUUAUAAUGCUCGACUUGUGGCAAAGGGUUUUUCACAAGUUCAAGGGGUGGACUACGAUGAGACAUUCUCACCGGUAGCGAUGCUUAAGUCCGUCUGAAUCAUGUUAGCAAUAGCUGCAUUUUUCGAUUAUGAAAUCUGGCAGAUGGAUGUCAAAACGACGUUCCUUAACGGUUUUCUUAAGGAAGAGUUGUAUAUGAUGCAACCCGAAGGUUUUGUCGAUCCAAAGAAUGCUAACAAAGUAUGCAAGCUCCAGCGAUCCAUUUAUGGACUGGUGCAAGCAUCUCGGAGUUGGAACAAGCGCUUUGAUGAGGUGAUCAGAGCAUUUGGGUUUAUACAAGUGGUUGAAGAAUCUUGUAUUUACAAGAAAGUGAGUGGGAGCUCUUUGGCAUUUCUAAUAUUAUAUGUGGAUGACAUAUUGCUGAUUGGAAACAACGUGGAGUUUUUGGAGAGCAUAAAGGAUUACUUGAAUAAAAGUUUCUCUAUGAAGUACCUAGGAGAAGCUGCUUACAUUCUAGGCAUUAAAAUCUAUAGGGAUAGAUCGAGACGCCUGAUAGGACAUUCACAAAGCACACACCUUGAUAAAGUUUUGAAGAAGUUCAAAAUGGAACAGUCCAAGAAAGGGUUCUUGUCAGUGUUACAAUGUAUAAAAUUGAGUAAGACUCAGUGCCCAGCAACUGCGGAAGAUAGAGAAAAAAUGAGUUCCGUCCCCUAUGCUUUAGCCAUAGUUUCUAUCAUGUAUGCAAUGUUGUGCACUAGACUAGAUGUCAGCUUGGACAUCAGCAUGGCAGGCAGGUUUCAGAGUAAUCCAGGAGUGGAUCACUGGACGGCGGUCAAGAAUAUUCUGAAGUACCUGAAAAGGACUAAGGAAAUGUUUCUCUUUUACGAAGGUGACGAAGAGCUCGUCGUAAAGGGUUACGUCGACGCAAGCUUUGACACCGAUCCAGAUGACUCUAAGUAGGAAACCGGAUACGUAUUUAUUCUUAAUGGGUUGCGGUAAGCUGGUGCAGUUCCAAGCAAAGCAUCGUAGAAGAUUCUACAUGUGAAGCAGAGUACAUGGCUGCCUCAGAGGCAGCUAAGGAGGGUGUCUGGAUGAAGCAGUUCAUGACGGAUCUUGGAGUUGUGUCGAGCGCACUAAAUCCAAUAACUCUGUUCUAUGACAACACUGUUGCCAUUGCUUUAGCAAAGGAACCAAGGUUUCACAAGAAGACCAGGCACAUCAAACGACGCUUCAACCUCAUCCGCGACUAUGUCGAAGGAGAGGACGUGAAUAUUUCCAAAGUGCACACGGAUCUGAAUGUAGCAGACCCGCUGACUAAACCUCUUCCACGGGCAAAACAUGAUCAACACUAGAACUGUACGGGUGUUAGAUUUAUUACAAUGUAAAUAGCAUGGCGAUGUGACGACUAGAUUAUUGACUCUAGUGCAAGUGGGAGACUGUUGGAAAUAUGCCCUAGAGGCAAUGAUAAAUAGUUAUUAUUAUAUUUCAUGUUACAAGAUAAUCGUUUAUUAUCCAUGCUAUAAUUGUAUUGAAUGAAAACAUAGAUACAUGUGUGAAUACAUAGACAAAACAAUGUCUCUAGCAAGCCUCUAGUUGGCUAGCCAUUUGAUCAAGGAUAGUCAAGGUUUUCUGUCUAGGUGCAAGUGUUGUCACUUGAUAACUCGAUCACAUCAUUAGGAGAAUCAUGUGAUGGACUAGACCCAAACUAUGAAUGUAGCAUAUUGAUCGUGUCAUGUUAUUACUAUUGUUUUCUGCGUGUCAAGUAUUCAUUCCUAUGACCAUGAGAUCAUAUAAGUCACUGAUACUGGAGGAAUACCUUGUGUGUAUCAAACGACGCAAUGUAACUGGGUGACUAUAAAGGUGCUCUACAGGUAUCUCCGAAGGUGUCCGUUGAGUUAGUAUGGAUCAAGACUGGGAUUUGUCACUCCGUGUGACGGAGAGGUAUCUCGGGGCCCACUCGGUAAUACAACAUCGCACACAAGCCUUGCAAGCAAUGUGACUAAGUGUAAGUCACGGGAUCUUGUAUUACGGAACGAGUAAAGAGACUUGCCGGUAACGAGAUUGAAAUAGGUAUGCGGAUACGGACGAUCGAAUCUCGGGCAAGUAACAUACCGAAGGACAAAGGGAAUGACAUACGGGAUUAUAUGAAUCCUUGACACUGAGGUUCAACCGAUAAGAUCUUCGGAGAAUAUGUAGGAUCAAAUAUGGGCAUCCAUGUCCCGCUAUUAGAUAUUGACCGAGCAGUGUCUCAGGUCAUGUCUACAUAGUUCUCGAACCCGCGGGGUCUCCACACUUAAGGUUCGAUGAUGUUUUAGUAUAGUUGAGUUAUAUGUGUGGUUAAUGAAUGUUGUUCGAAGUCCCGGAUGAGAUCACGGGUGUCACGAGGGUUUCCGGAAUGGUCCGAAAACAAAGAUUGAUAUAUUGGAUGGUUUCAUUUAGUCACCGGAAAGUUUCGGGCAUUACCGGCAGUGUACCGGAAGUGACUAAUGGGUUUCGGGUGUUUACCGGGAGGGGCCCACCCACUCGGGAGUGAGCCCAAGGCCCUAGGGUGGCGCACCAAGUUCUUAGUGGGCUGGUGGAGUCAGCCCAAGAGGGCUAGGGUGCCACAUAUAAAAUAGCAAAGGAAAUGAAGAAAAAAAAGGAAAGAGGGAGGUGGGAAGGAAGGGGAGGACUCCUCCUUCCCAAACCGAAUUGGAGGAGGAGUCCUCCUCCUCCCUGGUGGCCGGCGCACCCUUGGGGAUUGGGCUUGCAUUGGUUUUUCCCUUGAAGAGGAAAGGUUGAUGCAGCAAAGGAGCAGUAAGUAUUUCCCUCAGUUUGAGAACCAAUGUAUCAAUCCAGUAGGAGAAUCUCGUCAAGUCCACAGUACCUGCGCAAACACAAAAGAGCUUGCACCCAACGCUUAAAAGGGGUUGUCAAUCUCUUCAAGAUUGAUUGCAAAGUGAGAUCUGAAGGCAGAAAGUGCAACGAAGUAAAAAGUGUAAGGCUAAAAAUAUGGUGUGGAGUAGACCCGGGGGCCAUAGUGUUCACUAGAGGCUUCUCUCAAAAUAGCAAGUAUUACGGUGGGUGAACAAAUUACUGUCGAGCAAUUGAUAGAACCGCGCAAAGUCAUGACGAUAUCUAAGGCAAUGAUCAUACAUACAGGCAUCAUGUCCGAGACAAGUAGACCGAUACUUUCUGCAUCUUCCACUAUUACUCCACACAUCGACCGCUAUCCAGCAUGCAUCUAGUGUAUUGAGUUCAUGACGAACAGAGUAACGCCUUAAGCAAGAUGACAUGAUGUAGAGGGAUAAUCUCAAACCAAUGAUGAAAACCCCAUCUUUUUUUCCCUUGAUGGCAACAACAUGAUGCGUGCCUCCCUACCCCUUAUGUCACUGGGUGAGGUCAUCGCACGGUAUGAAGCCAAAACCAAGCACUUCUCCCAUUGCAAGAAUCAUAGAUCUAGUUGGCCAGACAAAACCCACAACUCGAACAGAAUUCCAAGGAUAUGAAAUCAUGCAUAAGAGAGAUCAGAAGAAACUCAAAUAAGAUUCAUAGAUAAUCUGAUCAUAAAUCCACAAUUCAUUGGAUCUCGACAAACACACCGCAAAACAAGAUUACAUCGGAUAGAUCUCCACGAAGAUCAUGGAGAACUUUGUAUUGAAGAUCCAAGAGAGAGAAGAAGUCAUCUAGCUACUAGCUAUGGACCCGUAGGUCUAUGGUGAACUACUCACGCAUCAUCGGAGAGGUCAUGAUGUGGAUGAAGAAGCCCUUCGUAUACGAAUCCCCCCUCCGGCAGGGCACCAUAACGUGCCCCAGAUGGGAUCUUGCGGAGACAGAAGCUUGCGGCAGUGGAAAAGUACUUUCGAUGAUCUCCUAAUUUUUCUGGGAUUUUAGGGAAUAUAUAGGCGCGAAACCUAGGGCAGAGGUUGCCCAAGGAGCCCACAAGCCAGGGUGGCAUGGGCCCCCCUGGCCGCGCCAGGAGGGCUUGUGGGGUCCCUGCACGCCCCUGCCCUGAUUCUCCGGCUUCCCGAUCUUUUUCUGUUUCGGAAAAAAUCUUUUUGGCUGUUUCAUUCCGUUUGGACUCCGUUCAAAAUCCUCCUCUGAAAGGGGUCAAAAACAUGGAAAAACAGGAACUGACACUUGGCACUGAGUUAAUAAUUUAGUCCCAAAAUAUAUAUAUAAGGCAUACAAAACAUCCAAAGUUUGACAAGAUAAUAGCAUGAAACCAUCAAAAAUUAUAGAUACAUUGGAGACGUAUCAAUCAUCACCACCACCGGAGCACGGUCACGCUACCGGAGAACUCGUCUACUUGUCCGUCUUGCUUGCUGGAUCAAGAAGGCCGAGAUCGUCAUCGAGCUGUACGUGUGUUGAACGCGGAGGUGCCGUUCGUUCGGCGCUAGAUCGGGACAGAUCGUGGGAUCGAUCGCGAGACGGUUCGUGGGACGGAUCGUGGGAUGGUUCGAGGGACGGAUCGUGAAGACGUACCACUACAUCAACCGCGUUUCUGAAUGCUUCUUGCUGAGGGAUCUACAAGGGUACGUAGAUCUAAUAUCCUCUUGUAAAUGGACAUCACCAUGAUAGGUCUUCGUGUGCGUAGGAAAUUUUUUGUUUCCCAUGCAACGUUCCCCAACACGAACUACUUCCUUAGUCAUAGUCGAAUGUAUAGUGUAUGUCAAGACUGAAACCCUUACCACCCUUCACAAGCUACAAACUAGCUCCCGGCUGUCUGGCUAACGGGACCGUGGGAGGGAAGGCCAGCUACAUGAAAAAUUCGGCUACAAAAGGGGUUGCCGGCUCGGGCUGGUUUGAUCGCUUCCGAUCUUAUUUUCUAGCCGGCCUCUACCGGCUCGCUCCAAGUCUAAGUAUCUUGACGGCUUCAAAAAAUCCAGGACUAACGCUUUCAAAGGUAGAAGCCAUGUCCUAGCCACAGACCGGCUCCAGGCUGUCGGGCUAGCGGGGUGGAUGCUGGAAAAGCAAAGUUGUUGGAUAAACAGAAGCCAAAGAGAAACAAAAGACGGAAAAGUGAGCUGGCAAGCACAACGUUUACAGCUACAAUGCAGAUAGAUAAACAUAUAUCACAUUCAAAAGCAUUCAAAGGCCCACGGUCGGAGUUCACUACAUAAAACACCCCCGGUGGGUGGAACUGUUGGACUAAUAAAAAGUGUAGGAAAAAACAAAAAAAGCUUCAGUUGGUGGCGGCUCCACCCACGGUUCCGGCAUCACCGGCAGCACCUGAGGCGACGGCGUCGGCAUUGCCGGCCCCGCCAGAGCUAGAGGCGCCAUCGCCUGAGCUCGAGUCGGCGACCUCUUCUUUAUAGGCCGUCUCGUCAGAGUUGUCGUCGGCGUCGUAAGGAUGCAGCUCGAACAGAUCCUCCGGGAUCACGUUGUCAUCUGCAUCACGCUCCAGGUCGGACUCGUCCCAGGUGGCGAAGACCGCGAUGCCACUGGCUCGCACCUGUAGAUCGUCCUCGAUGGCUGCAAGCUCCUCCUCUGCGCCGGCGCGUAGCACCGCGAGCUUGCCCAAGUUUAUGUUCGUGUACCAGGACUUGGCCAAGCGGAGCGCCAUGUAUGCUCCAGCGUCCACGCGUGAGCUUCCGGCUUCAAGUCAGCGGGACAGCCGGCUCAUCGACGCCGGUUCAUUGACGUCGGCUCCACUGCAUCAGGCCAAAGGGCCUUCACCAUAGCCAGACCGGCGCCCUAGAGCUGGUCCUGAGAGUGUGCCAGCUCGCACAUACGGGCCUUGGCGGCGGUGUCUAUCUCCUCCACAGACCAGUCGGUGUUGGCUGGCCUCCACGGAUGCUUCCGCCGCCUCCCGUGUCCCCGGGAAGAGAUCUGAGGAAUGAUACGUCUCCAUCGUAUCUACUUUUCCAAACUCUUUUGCCCUUGUUUUGGACUCUAAUUUGCAUGAUUUGAAUGGAACUAACCUGGACUGACGUUGUUUUCAGCAGAAUUGCCUUGGUGUUAUUUUUGUGCACAAAUCAAAGUUCUCCAAACGUCCUGAAAAUUUACGGGGAGCAGUUUUGGAAAAUAUCAAAAGUAUCUGCGCCAAGUUCCACCUCAGGGGGUGGACCAGUGGGCCACAAGCCCCUGCUCCACCACCACCCCCCUGGUGGUGGUGGGCAGGCUUGUGGGGCCCACAGGCACCUGCCGCCCCCAAAUCGAGCUCUAUAAGUUGCCUUUCGUCCGAGAAAAAAAUAAAAAGAGCAGUUUUCGUCGCGUUUUCGAUACGGAGGCGCCGCCACCACCUGUUCUUCAUCUCGAGGGCAGAUCUGGAGUCCGUCUUGGGCUCCUGAGAGGGGAAAUCGUCGCCAUCGUCAUCAUCAACCUUCUUCCCUCUCCAAUUCCAUGAAGCUCUUCGUCGUUCGUGAGUAAUCUAUUCGUAGGCUCGCUGGGCGGUGAUGAGUAGGAUGAGAUCUAUCAUGUAAUCGAGUUAGUUUUGAUGGGGAUUGAUCCCUAGUAUCCACUAUGUUCUGAGAUUGAUGUUGCUACUACUUUGCCAUGCUUAAUGCUUGUCACUAGGGCCUGAGUGCCAUGAUUUCAGAUCUGAAAUUAUUAUGUUGUCACCAAUAUAUGUGUGUUUUAGAUCCGAUCUUGCAAGUUGUAGUUACCUACUAUGUGUUAUGAUCCGGCAACCCCGGAGUGACAAUAACCGGAACCACUCCAGGUGAUGGCCAUAGUUUGAGGCGUUCAUGUGUUCACCAAGUGCUAAUGCGUUGGUCCGAUUCUUUAUUAAAAGGAGAACCUUAAUAUCCCGUAGUUUGCUUUUGGACCCCGCUGCCACGGGAGGGAUGGACAAUAGAUGUCAUGCAAGUUCUUUUCCCUAAGCACAUAUGACGACACACGGAAUGCAUGCCUACAUCACAUUGACGAACGGGAGCUAGCCACUUAUCUCUCCGUGUUAUAGCUGUCGCAUGAUGAAUAUCAUCCAAACAAAUCACCGACACAUUGCCUACGAGUUUGUCAUACUACUGUUGUGACUUGUUUUGCACUUUUGCUGCUAUACUGUUGCUACUGCUAUUACUUGUUUUGCUCUGCUGCUGCUACUACUGUUGCUACUGCUGUUAUUUGUCUUGCUCUACUACUGCUGCUACUACUGCUACUAUUGUCACUUGCUACUGUUGCUACUUGCUACGGCUGUCACUACUGUUGUUCCUUGCCACUGCUAUUGCUUGUUACACUGCUGCUACCUGUUACACUAUUGAUUCACCUACCGUUGACUGGAAUUAACAACUUCCGUCAAUGCGGCAACAAAGGCGCCAUUGAUACAAUCGUUAGGAAUAGUCUGCCGUCAGCAGAUCGUUUCUGACACCGUUGUUAUCAUACUACUUUGCUACUGAUACUUUGCCUGCAGAUACUAAUCUUUCAGGUGCGGUUGAAUCAGACAAAUUCAGCUGCUAAUACUCGAGAGUAUUCUCUCACCUCCUGUCUGGCGUACCAACAAAUUUUGGUCAAAUACUCUACCCUCGAAAACUACUGCGAACCCACGCGCUGGUGGGCCAUCAACAACAUUCUUCCAGUUUCAUUGCCGGGGAGUGCUGGCAGCAUUCUUCUGGUGUCGUUGCAGGAGAAGGUUCGUUGUCAUAAGCAUUCGUCUAGUUAACACUAGAGAUUGCAGGAUCAUCACUUUUCUGGCGCCACUGCCAGGGAAGCACAGCUGACGUGUUUAACUACUAAUACAAGUUCCUUGAGAGAGAUCAUGGAUCCCUCCUAUACUGCUUGAUAUUUAACCGGGAGCGUGUUUUCCAUAUUACCCUUCCUGCUCCUGCUUUCUUUGACUUUCAGGUAAAACGAAGAUACUACAUAACCAUAGGAGAGGCAGAGGAGUAUGAGAGGGAGGCGACUGCUGCUCGACUUCGUGAGGCAGCUAUUCAGGUAGUGGCUGCAGCACUCCCGUAUAACACCCAUUAUGACUUUGGGCUUCGCCAGGAUCAUCCAUGGGAGUAGACCAAGCUAGGCCAAAAGCCUAAGCUUGGGGGAGUACGUGUUCUCACCGACUUUACAUUCAUGCUUAUGCUUUCACUUUGUUAGCCGGUGUUUACACUUUGCCAUUGUAUUAUCCAUGCUAGUUUCUUUUCAUUUUCUUGUUUUCUUGUUUUGUGUCCUUUUGAGAAAACCCAAAAAGAUUUUUCUUCCUUCUUUUGCUUGUUGGGAGCUUUCCCGUGUAAAUAGCUGUCUUUUUUCUUUGUGUGAAGGUAGAAGAUAUUGGUUACAAUCCUUAGUGGUUCUUGCAUGCUUACCUGUUUAGCUUUCAAAGAGCCAUAUUAUUUUGUCUUCUCCUUUGUGUUUGCCUGCAGAUUCAGCUUAGUCCAAUGCGCUUAUUAUCGUUCUCAACGUUCGGUCGUGCAAAUGAAAGGCAACAAUGAUGAUAUAUGAUGAAGUGACUGAGACUGAAAAGCUGGUAUGAACUCUAUCUAUUUUGUUUUUGUAAAUAUGACUAGCUUGUCGACCCAGAUUUAGCUUUGUUGUGAGAGAACCACGUUUGCAAUGACAACUUAGAGAUCUUAGUUUCUGAUGCCAUGCUUAUUCAGCUGAGAGCUUAUAAUGGUUUGUCUUGAUUGCCAACAUAGAUUUUGAGAUGACUAUGAUGUAGUAUGAUAGGAUGGUAUUCUCCUUUGAAUGUUACAAGUGGCUUGACUUGGCGCAUGUUCAUGCAUGUAGUUGAAACAAAAUCAACAUAGCCUCUAUGAUGUUCAUGUUCAUGGUGAUUUAUAUCCUGUUCAUGCUUGCAUUCAAUGUUAGUCAAACUCAUUGCAUCUUGAUGACUGUUGUCGCUCUCUAGUUGGUCGCUUCCCAGUCUUUUGCUAGCCUUCACUUGUACUAAGCGGGAAUACUGCUUGUGCAUCCACUUCCAUAAACCCAAAAGUUUUUCCAUGAGAGUCCACCAUACCUACCUAUUUGCGGUAUCUACCUGCCAUUCCAAGUAAAUCUGCAUGUGCCACUCUCUAAACCUUCAAGAAAUAAAUCUGUUUUGCUUGCCCGAACCGCUCAUGUGGUGACAGAGGACUAUUGGUAUCUUCCAUGCUACGAGUGUUAUCCUCGACAUGUGUUUAUUUACAGUCAUUCACGAGAAAGGGGCCGGUAUUUGGGAUGCCCAGUUCCACGCUUAAAUCGAAAACAUAACUGUAAAACAAGACUCCCCCCGGAUUGAUGUUAGUAUGGACGGUACCCGAGGAUUUGGCUAGCCGUGGAGUGUGGUUGAUUGGUGGUGGGGGAGUUAAAACUUUACUUUUCUAUUUGGGAACCGCCUAUAGCAUGAGUAGCAUGGAAGAUAUUGAGAACUCUUGGUCAUUGCGUUGACAAUGAAAGCAUGCCACCCAAAAUUAUUAUGGCUGUUUUCAAAGCUUGAGCUCUGGCACCUCUGCAAAUCAAUGCUUCCCUCUGCGAAGGGCAUGUCUAUUUAUUUUCCUGUUGAGUUAUCCUCUUCUUAUUUAAGCACCAAUUAGAGAGCACCUCUGUCAUUUUUAUGCUUUGCUUUUGAUUGAUAUUGAGAAUGACUAUGACUAGAUCUUCGUUGUUAUGAACUACAAUGUUUAGUCAGCCCUUAAUAUUUGAAAGUGCUCUGCAUUUAUGUUUUGCGGUCUCAGAAAGAGCUAGCGAGAUACCACCUAUUCAUAUUGUUUCAUGCUUGUUUUGAUUGAAGUGUUGGUAUUUGAAACUCAUUAUUAUUUUCUCGUUAGCUGAUUAUGCCAUUGAUAUUAGUUUACCGUGAGACCUUUGUGUCAUUUGCUUAUGUGGUUAACUUGUGAUCUUACUGAAAUUCUGGUUAUGAGUUAGACAUAGUUGCAACAACAAGAUCAAAUAGAGUUUGUCAAAGUUUUUCUUUCUCUCUCAGUUUGUCAACUGAGUUGCUUGAGGACAAGCAAGGAUUUAAGCUUGGGGGAGUUGAUAUGUCUCCAUCGUAUCUACUUUUCCAAACUCUUUUGCCCUUGUUUUGGACUCUAAUUUGCAUGAUUUGAAUGGAACUAACCUGGACUGACGCUGUUUUCAGCAGAAUUGCCUUGGUGUUAUUUUUGUGCAGAAAUCAAAGUUCUCCAACCGUCCUAAAAAUUUACGGGGAGCAGUUUUGGAAAAUAUCAAAAAUAUCUGCGCCAAGUUCCACCUCAGAAGGUGGGCCAGUGGGCCACAAGCCCCUGCUACCCACCACCCCCCUGGUGGCGAUGGGCAGGCUUGUGGCACCCACAGGCACCUGUCGCCCCCAACUCCAGCUCUAUAAGUUGCCUUUCAUCCCAAAAAAUAUAAAAAGAGAAGUUUCCGUCACGUUUUCGAUAUGGAGGCGCCGCCACCACCUGUUCUUCAUCUGGAGGGCAGAUCUGGAGUCCAUCUUGGGCUCCGGAGAGGGGAAAUCGUCGCCAUCGUCAUCAUCAACCUUCUUCCCUCUCCAAUUCCAUGAAGCUCUUCGUCGUUCGCAAGUAAUCUAUUCAUAGGCUCGCUGGGCGGUGAUGAGUAGGAUGAGAUCUAUCAUGUAAUCGAGUUAGUUUUGAUGGGGAUUGAUCCCUAGUAUCCACUAUGUUCUGAGAUUGAUGUUGCUACUACUUUGCCAUGCUUAAUGCUUGUCACUAGGGCCCGAGUGCCAUGAUUUCAGAUCUGAAAUUAUUAUGUUGUCACCAAUAUAUGUGUGUUUUAGAUCCGAUCUUGCAAGUUGUAGUUACCUACUAUGUGUUAUGAUCCGGCAACCCCGGAGUGACAAUAACCGGAACCACUCCCGGUGAUGACCAUAGUUUGAGGAGUUCAUGUGUUCACCAAGUGCUAAUGCGUUGGUCCGAUUCUUUAUUAAAAGGAGAACCUUAAUAUCCCGUAGUUUCCUUUUGGACCCCGCUGCCACGGGAGGGAUGGACAAUAGAUGUCAUGCAAGUUCUUUUCCCUAAGCACAUAUGACGACACACGGAAUGCAUGCCUACAUCACAUUGACGAACGGGAGCUAGCCACUUAUCUCUCCGUGUUAUAGCUGUUGCAUGAUGAAUAUCACCCAAACAAAUCACCGACCCAUUGCCUGCGAGUUUGUCCUACUACUGUUGUUACUUGUUUUGCUCUGCUGCUGCUGAUACUGUUGCUACUGAUGUUACUUGUUUUGCUCUGCUGCCGCUACUACUGUUGUUACUCCUAUUACUUGUCUUGCUAUGCUACUGCUGCUACUAUUGCUACUAUUGUCGCUUGCUACUGUUGCUACUUGCUACUGCUGUCACUACUGUUGUUCCUUGCCACUUCUAUUGCUUGUUACACUGCUGCUACCUGUUACACUGUUGAUUCACCUACCGUUGACGGGAAUUGAUACAAUCGUUAGGAAUAGUCUGUCGUCAACAGAUCGUUUCUGACACCGUUGUUAUCAUACUACUUUGCUACUGAUACUUUGCUAGCAGAUACUAAUCUUUCAGGUGCGGUUGAAUUAGACAAAUUCAGCUCCUAAUACUCGAGAGUAUUCUCUCACCUCCUGUCUCGCGUACCAACAAAUUUGGGUCGAAUACUCUACCCUCGAAAAGUGCUGCGAACCCACGCGCUGGUGGGCCAUCAACAACAUUCUUCCAGUUUCAUUGCCGGGGAGUGCUGGUAGCAUUCUUCUGGUGCCGUUGCAGGAGAAGGUUCGUUGUCAUAAACAUUCGUCUAGCUAACACUAGAGAUUGCAGGAUCAGCACUUUUCUGGCGCCACUGCCAGGGAAGCACAGCUGAUGUCAAGGAACAGGAAUGGGGGCGUGGCGCGAGCAGUAAGAGAGAGGUAAAGCCAACGACGAUGAAAAUAAACACAAGGCAGAGAAGACUUACGGUUGAGGCAAAUGUUAACCUCGGCCGCCUCCUCCAGAGCUUCGCGGUCACGAACUGUGUUCUCUUGAGCCAGGCGGGUGAUAUCGCUCUGGAGGGCCUGGGCCGCCUCGGUCUCCUUUGCCAGCUGGUUCUGCGCUUCCUUCAGGGCGGCAUCCUUUUCCUUCAGGGUGGCAUCCUUCUGCGUCGUCUCGUCAAGGCGCGCCUUCUCGAGGUGUUUUCGGUCGGCGGCAAGGGACGUCUCCUUCUCCUUCAGGGUGGUGCGCAGCUGCUCCAACUCCCGCACGAUGGGCUGUGCGCAGCUGCUCUAGCUCCGUCCGAUGGGCCGCCUCACGGUCCACAGAAGUUCCACCUCCUGGCGGAGCCGGCCGUCUUCAUCAUGCAAGGCGUCGCGCUCCGAGACGGUUGUGUCCAGCCGGCCCUGAAGGUCGCCGGUUCGGCUCUCGGCCUCUUGAAUCCGGCCAACAGCGCAUUAUAAGACUGCGCCUGGCGGUUAUGAAGCUCCUACAACCAACACAAGCAAAGCAAGAAUAAGAUUUGGCCCGGCUAACUCUCAGCCGGCCCGAUUCUCGGGGGCUACACCCAGUUGGUGCGCUAGCUCGCCGCCACUGAAAGAGAAAUAAGAUAGACAAGCAAGGCAAGAAUGAGAUUCGGCCCGGCUAACUAUCAGUCGGCCUGACUCUCGGGGGCUACACCCAGUGGGGGCGCGCCAGCGCCCCCACUGAUGCAAAGAAGAAGAAAAUUCUCAAACCAAACCAACCAAGAGGUGCGAGAAUUGGAGAUUUACUGCAGUUUGCUCCUCGAGGCGUUCCAGGUCACACUUUGCCACUAAGGCCGCCUGUGCCACCUUCUCACGGCUGCGGGAGAACACCUCCACCAACGUCGGGACGCCACUCAGCAUGGUGCCAGGAGGCAGGGUUGCGUGUUCAGCAUUGGCCACAUUCCAUGUCUUCAUGGGCCAGCUCUCGAAAAAGGGGGCCGGCUCCAGAGGCGGACGGGCCAUGGCCGGAUACGACCCUGGUGUCGUCUCCUGGCGGUGCGCUCUUGGUCGGCUCCUCCGACACAUCAGUCUGGUGAGGUGCUUGCGGACCCUUGGUCUGCACAGUCUUAUCCUUCAUCACCAACGCUGUCUACGCGUCACGCGGUGGGCUCUCCGCUACCGGCGCAUCCAUCGUCAUCUCCGGCACGCUGUCCACUCCGGCGUGAGGCUCUUCGGGUGCCACAUCAAAGUCCACCUGCACAAAGGUGGGAUCCGGCUUGACAGUCUUGGUGGCCUCGGCUGCGUUCAUGCAGUCUCGAGCCGGCUCGCUGAUCGAGGUCUCCGCACUCACCCGCGAGGCAGGGUCAUGUUUCGACUUGGACCGUCUCUCCUUGGUGGCCGGCUUCUCGGCCCAGCCGGGUUGGUCCUGGUCCGUGGCCGCCUGUUGGAAAUAUGCCCUAGAGGCAAUAAUAAAAUGCUUAUUAUCAUAUUUCCUUGUUCAUGAUAAUCGUCUAUUUUUCAUGCUAUAAUUGUAUUAAGAGGAAACAGUAAUGCAUGUGUGAAUAAAUAGAUCACAAUGUGUCCCUAGCAAGCCUCUAGUUGGCUAGCUCGUUGAUCAAUAGAUGAUCAUGGUUUCCUGAUCAUGGUCAUUAGAUGUCAUUGAUAACGGGAUCACAUCAUUGGGAGAAUGAUGUGAUGGACAAGACCCAAUCCUACGCAUAGCACUAGAUCGUAUUGUUCGUAUGCUAAAGCUUUAAUAAAUUUCAAGUGUCUUUUCCUUCGACCGUGAGAUUGUGCAACUCCCGAAUACCGUAGGAGUGCUUUUGGUGUAUCAAACGUCACAACGUAACUGGGUGACUAUAAAGGUUCAAUACAGGUACCUCUGAAAGUGUCUGUUGGGUUGGUACGAAUCGAGAUCGGGAUUUGUCACUCCGCGUGACGGAGAGGUAUCUCUGGGCCCACUCGAUAGAACAUCAUCAUGAGCUCAAUGUGACUAAGGAGUUGGUCACACGAUGACAUGCUAAGGAACGAGUAAAGAGACUUACCAGUAACGAGAUUGAACAAGGUAUAGGUAUACCGAUGAUUGAAUCUCGGGCAAGUUCUAUACCGACAGACAAAGGGAAUUGUAUACGGGAUUGGUUGAAUCCUUGACAUCGUGGUUCAUCCAAUGAGAUCAUCGUGGAGCAAGUGGGAGCCACCAUGGGUAUCCAGACCCCGUUGAUGGUUAUUGGCCGAAGAGGUGUCUCGGUCAUGUCUGCUUGUCUCCCAAACCCGUAGGGUCUACACACUUAAGGUUCGAUGACGCUAGGGUUAUAGGGAAUUGUUAUACGAGGUUACCGAAAGUUGUUCGGAGUCCUGGAUGAGAUCCCGGACGUCACGAGGAGCUCCGGAAUGGUCCGGAGGUAAAGAUUGCUAUAUAGGAUGGAUGGUUUUGGACACCGGAAAUGUUUCGGGCGUCACCGGUAAUGUACCGGGACCACCGGUAAUGGUCCCGGGGGUCCACCGGGAGGGGCCACCAGCCCCAAGAGGUAGCAUGGGCCAAAAUAGGGAGGGCAACCAGCCCAAAGUGGGCUGGUGCGCCUCCCACAAGGAGGCCCAAGGCGCAGGAGGUGGAGAGGGGGGGAAACCCUAGGCGCUGGUGGGCCUAAGGCCCACCUAGGGGUGCGCCACCCCCUCCCCCUGACCUGGCCGCCGCACCUCCCAUCUGGGGGGGCUGCCGCACCACCUAGGGUGGGAACCCUAGGGGUGGUACCCCCCUCCCGUCCUCCUAUGUAUAGUGGGGGUUUGGGGGCUGUUUUGCACACAGUUUUCUAUCUCCCUCGGCGCAGCCUUGCGCCCCCUUCUUCCUCCUCUCCCACGGUGCUUGGCGAAGCCUUGCCGGGAGACCUCGUCUCUCCAUCGACACCACGCCAUCGUUCUGCUGGAGAUCUUCCCCAACCUCUCCCUCCUCCUUGCUGGAUCAAGGUGCGGGAGACGUCCCCGGGCUGCACGUGUGUUGAACGCCGAGGUGUCGUGAUUCGGCACUAGAUCGGAAUCACGCCGCGAUCUGAAUCGCUGGGAGUACGACUCCAUCAACCGUGUUCUAGCAACGCUUCCGCUUAGCGAUCUUCAAAGGUAUGAAGAUGCACUCACCCCUCUCUCGUUGCUAGUCUCUCCAUAGGAAGAUCUUCCGGGACGCUUCCUCCUAAGGGCGCUUCUGCAGCUCGAUCAACGCCUUCUUGGUGGCAUUGGAUCGGCCCAGGCGGCCCGCUCUACGGCGGCUGCAUCAUCCUCCUCUGCCGUUUCAGCGAUCCUGCCAGCAGCAAACCAGUAAGGGGAGACCCCUCAUCCAAAAAUCAAGAAAGGGGGGAAGAAAGGAGAAAAGCGUUCUCUUACCCUUCAACGACAAGAACUGGCUUCCUGCCGUCUCUGGCCUGCUGCUUCCUCGGGUCGCCGCCUCGGCUUCCAACUAAGGGCCGUGUUGUGGCUCACUUGGGAGCCGGCUUGGUGGUAGCAACCUUCUUGCCUUUCCGUCGUGCUCCUUCGCCCUACAAUACCGGCUCGCCGGCGGCUCGACGAAGCUGUGUCAGGGGAGGGCUGGAGACCUCCUCUAACUCUUCUAGGUCCUCCUCAUCGGCUGCACCAUGCAAGGGAGACGAUGUGUCGUCAUCAUCCAUCAAAUCAAGCAGAGCGGAUGUUAAAAUCUCACCAGGCGGCUCGGUGCCCUCCGACUCCGCCACCCCUUCCAUGUCUUCGGAUGCGGUGGCUUGAGGCUCCACCACGCCCUCAUCCUUGAUCUCGAUGGGUUCCGACACCUCCACGUCGGCAGCCAGCGGCCGAUAGGCUUGCGGGAGCUCGAAUAGCUAGGGGUGGUGCCGGUGUCCGGCGUCAGAUGACGGAAAGAAGACAAAGACGAACAAGAAACAUAUUCAGAGAAAGAACUUACCAUCGGAGCUGGACGGCUUCGGUCCUAGGGGGACAUGCCCCACUCCCAACUUCCACCUUCAUCCAUGGAGGCGGAUGAGAUCAAAUUAACCUGCCUGCCAACCAUGCGGCUCAAAAAUUCUUCAUCUAGAGCCAGCAUGGAUCGUGCCGGCCACCCAUCUAGCAGAUCGGGUGUGGCCGGCUCUGCAGAGGCAGGACUCAGCGGGUCGCCAUGUUAUAAAUCAAAUCGCGUGCCAGGAGGCCCUGGGCCUUCAGAAUGUCGUGGUGGGCGCAUAUCAGCUUCACCUCCGGGAUGGUCUUCGGAAGCAUUCUCUUGCAGUUCAGCUUCGCAGUCGGCGGAGCAAUGUCAAAUGGGGGGAGGUUGAUGCAGUAUCGAGAGGGGUUCACAUUCUUCACAUAGAAGAAUCCCCUCUGCCACUUCUUCACUAACUCCAGCAGAGGCAGCUUAGGGAAGUCGUAUGUAAUCCGGUGGUGAACCAGCGCGGCACCGCAAGGGGUCGUCCUCUUCACGUCAGGCUUAUCGGUCGGUGCUGACUGCUGCUUGAAGACAAACAGCUUGCACCACAAUUCCAAGCGGGGUUCGAUCCCCACGAAUCCUUUGCCUUGGACGACAACGGCCGCAAGCUGGAGUACGUCAUUGGGCGCCAGAUGAUGCGGCUGCAAGCAGAAGAAUGUCAAGAAUCACAUGAAGAACUCACUAGCGGGGAGCUCGAAUCCGCGGUAGAAGUGCUCCAUGAAGACCACCACCUCGCCGUCGGGAGGGUUCGGAAACCCUUCGCCUUCAGGGAUGCACACCGCCACGUGCUCUUCCGNNNNNNNNNNNNNNNNNNNNNNNNNNNNNNNAAGGCAGCAGUCGGCGAUGGAGAAGCACCUCAAUGAGCUCGGCAUAGACGUUGCUGCCCUCCCAUGAACCUAUGAACUACCCCUUCUUGGCGGAGCGGUGAGACAUGGCGGGGCGACGGGGUGAGGUUUGACGGAGUGCUUGCGGCGGACGGCGGCGAUGGCGCAAGCGGUUUCUCCUUCUCUCUCUGGCUCUGGGAGGGAAGUGGCACUGGUGCGGGGCAAGAAGGGGACGAAUAGCCUCUUCGUUGCCCCCUCCCUUAUAUUUAAACCACCAACGAGAUCGUGAGGGUGGGAUCCGGCGCGUACGAUCCCCACCCCCGUUGAUCGGUGCAAGGGCAUUAAUGCGUCCCGAAACUCCAACCGUCGUGAUGCAAUCCGCAGAGGAUCGUCGCGCACGGGACAAGGCGUCGUGGCUGGCCCCAGGGCACAGGCUCGGUCCCGUCACACGCACAGCUAAUCAUGACGUUGGGCCCGAAGCCUGGCAUGUGGCACAUCGGGACUGCGUGCAACGAAGCCGAGGCGUCCGCUGGAAGCCAUCCGGCUACUGGCUCGGUGCCUCCCAUACAAACGAGUCUCAAGGUUCGCUGGUAGGGUAUUCAAGCCGGCCAGGCCCUUCACCUCGCACUACAAGGAAUAUGCUAAUACACGNNNNNNNNNNNNNNNNNNNNNNNNNCACGACGCUAUUUUUUCGUCGUUACAUCGUCACGGUUUUUAAUUUACGAUGAUGUCACGACGAAAAACUAAGCGUCGAAAACGGAGCGUCAAUAAUGAACAGAAGUGACGUUUUGAUCAAAAUCAUCGUAACUUUUACGACGAUUCCUGGAUUGUCGUAACCUUUACGACGAUCCUAAAUCGUCGUUGGCAAUCAAACCCAGUCCUAUGUGGCAGUCCUACGUGGCAAAAUUACAACAAAAUCAAAACGUCAUGGUCAAAAUCAGUCCAACCCAUUUCAAUUGAUCACUUGUGCUGGUUUUAUUUUUUUGGGUUUUUUCUUAUUGGUCCUUAGCCUAUUUACAACCACUUCUAGUGUUUUUUUUGAAUUUAUUUUUAUCAUCAUAAUAUGGGCCCUGGCCUUUUAGUGCAUAAAUACAUUUGAUCCAGUUUCAGUUUUGGCCUUUUUUCAUUUUUGAAUUCAGCAACUUUUUGUUCCAGAACUUGGUUUCAUUUCUAUUUGUUGAGCCUUUUCAACCCAAUUAUUUGUCCAACAUUAAAUCCAACACUAUUUCAUAUUCAAAUCAAGAAAACUCCAAAUCGAAUUAAAAUCAUCCAUCAUAUAACAUCACAUAAUACAUCUCCGAGGUUUACAUAAUACAAUAACUCAUCUCAUGAAUACAUUUCCUUACACAUGAAUAUAGCAAGAACGGAUAGAAUUGCACAGUAAAACAAUGGCAUAUCUGCUACUAUCCCAACAUUACAAUGGGCUUCAUUCCACUCUCCUAUGAGACAUGCUCGAGAUGCGAGAACUUGUCAACUUAUAGGAGCAUUACACUGCACAUGAAUCAAUCAAAAGGAAAUAAAUAUAAAAAAUAUUAGAAAUAAAAAAGAUUCGUGUUCAUCCUGAAGAUGAUGUUAAAAGAAAUGUGAACGAAGGUGAGAGAGACAUGCACUUAGUUUUGCACUUUCCUAUGUCUCGAGAUCAACUAUGUUAUACACAAUCACAUACUCCCUCCUUAAAAAUAUAAGAGCGUUUAGAUCACUAAAGUGGUGAUCUAAACGCUCUUAUAUUUCUUUACAGAGUACAUUCUAACACGGCAUGCGUUGGUAUGAAUAUUAAAUAGUAAUAUCUUAUUUGCAUAUUGUUGAUUUUGUGGGGGCCUAAUACAAUUGUGGUGUACGCACUGCCUUGUNNNNNNNNNNNNNNNNNNNNNNNNNNNNNNNNNNNNNNNNNNNNNNNNNNNNNNNNNNNNNNNNNNNNNNNNNNNNNNNNNNNNNNNNNNNNNNNNNNNNNNNNNNNNNNNNNNNNNNNNNNNNNNNNNNNNNNNNNNNNNNNNNNNNNNNNNNNNNNNNNNNNNNNNNNNNNNNNNNNNNNNNNNNNNNNNNNNNNNNNNNNNNNNNNNNNNNNNNNNNNNNNNNNNCUCUUGUUCCAACGCGCUCAAGAGAUGGUUGUUCAACAUAGCAAAUUCUCCCCGCCAUUUGCCCGAGAUUCCGUAUCUACUACUAAAUCAUCCCCAAGCACCCCAAGAUUUUAAUAGUUUGAAACUUUAAAACAUCUUUUUGUACUGACAACUAUGGGACUCAAACUAGUACAAUGGUUCACGAGUGUUCUACUAGAGUAAUACUAGUCUUUGACGAAACAAAGUUGGAACCUACAAUUUUUUUCACUUGCAUCAAAAGUGCAAAAUAUGCCAUCGCAUACCAAAUAGAGUAGUACAGUACAAGACUCAAUUAGCACAAGCCUAGACACCUAAAUCUUGAACAAUAUCGAUUAAUCACAACAAUUAAUUGGUGCUGUACUGCUUCAUCAAUUGAUGUAGAACAGAGCGACGGCCUGCACUGUACCGCCGUCCCUAAGCCUAACUUAUUCAGACCCAAACAGAGAGCCAACUGUAAACUGUCUGCAUCCGUGGUUGUAAACUCAAUGAUGAUGCCUAGCCUAGACUACCCUGCCAAGGGGCAUUUUCUUCAUUGGUUAUUGCAGAACAAGUUGGUAUGCCAUGUCCUUUGUUCGGCUCUGGGAGUAAAUUAAACAAAGACCAGGUGUUAAAACCUAGGUUUCCUUUUCGACAAUUCCAACAAUCAGAGGCUACGUACAAACAAGCAAGUAAACCUGUAUGCAUCUGUGGUGUUGUAUUGAAUAAUGUCUGGACUAUACAGAGAGGCCAUUAUUGUAUUGUUUAGUGCGGAACGGGCCUGGACCUAGGCCACACCGUACGUUAUUCAGACAGACAAGCUGUUAAAACUUAAAACCUUACUAGCUUAUUAUUUCCCCGCUGCAAUUCCAGCAUACAGAGAGGCUAGCUGCAGCAGCUAACAGAAAAAAUGGUGCUAGCCAACAAGAGGGGCAGCUAGCGCAAGCUGGGGCCGGCAACGCAAUCGAGACGAGUAGGUGACAGAAAUUAAUUAUGAGAGACACCUGGUCCAGACAGCCCAGCCAAGCUAGCUAGAGCCAAUGCUAUCUCGCUCACUUAACGGUAUUCUGUGAGUGUCCCAGCAAUGCAAUGCAACGCAACACAACGCAAAAGAAGAAGAGGAAAAAGAAGAAAAGAAAUACGGUUGCUACCUUCUUGCAUCCAUGUGCCUCCAUGACUUGGAGGAGGAUGAUUGUGCCGAUGUGCUGCAAUGACUCUGGAAUCCCUGCAGCACAACCAAAAGAUGUAUUUAGGCACACCCUAUGGGAAGGAGAAACAGUGGUAAUUUUUUAUGUGGUUAAAAGACAAACCUUCAAGCUUGUUGGAUGUCUCCUCGUCAAUCUCACACCCGAAUCCAAAGUAGCGCUCACACGAGACGUUGUAAAUCUUCUUCUUGGCCUCUUCCUCGCUGCAACACAUCAGGGGACAGAACAAUAUCAGAUCAUCAGGCUUACAUGAACCUCACUUGACAGAACAACAAGAAGCAAGCUUGCUGACACUACGUACUUCACACCCAAGGAUUGUUGUAAAAUGGAGAUAGUGAUAAGAUAAUACAAGCCCGCAGCGAAUUCAACAGGAUCGAGACUGGAUGGAUGGGUACCUUCCGAGGACCUCGGCGAGGGUGUGGAUUUAGCAGUCGAUCAUCUGAUGCUUGGGGGCACCCGCGCCGUCGGGCUUGUCCAUGAUGAUAUGUGCACAUUGAGUAAACUGGAUAUGGCGAUUUCCUGGAGCUCUUUCUGGGCAUAGAAGGCUUCCAUUCCUAACUUGUAGCUACUUCCAAAGGUUGUGUAUGAUAUGAUAUCUGUUGUUGCGUACCUCCUCGACAGAUUUGUCGAACACACCGAACGUGCUUUGGGCGCAAGACACCAUCGUUUUCGUCAUCACCUAACAUUCAAGGUGAAAACAAUAUGAGUACUAAUUGCAUACAAAAUUAAACCAUGCCUAUGUUGUAUUUUCAUUCACUUAUGAUUUGGUUCUUUUUUGAACAGGUCACUGAUUUGACACUCUGUAUAUGAUCGUUAUUCUUCUCACUUGAAACUAGUACAAGGCGGGCAGUUAUCCAUAUUAAAAUUCAGCUCGCUGUUCACGGAGAUGGUGCCAAACCUGUGAGGAAAUUUAGGAACUGUGGGAUGCGUAAAUGGAACUCAAUCUAACAGCCAACAUCCAGCAAUGUCAUUGUAUCCUAAAGCACAUCUGGAACUCAAUUACUGAAUUAACCUUGCACUGUCGUACAAAAAGCCAACGGUAUUUCUAUCUAGCUGGGAUGAUUAAGCUUGGGCAAUAGCAGCAGAUGAUGUUGCCCCACACCACGCCGUUGGGGUUGUACUGGUAGAACAGGUGGUACCAUCCCUUGUAGUAGAGCGGCCUUGUUCAUUGUUUCAUGAAGCGCUUUUUAUAACAUUGUUGGGUUGGGUACAUAAUGGUUUUACAAAACAAAUGCACUUGAACAUGGCAGGUGAGAUAAAAAAUAAAAACUGCAAUUGAUUUCUGUCCAAUUGUUCGUGAUACGGCAGAGAGCACAUCAUGGAUCGCUUAUCUUCCCUUGUGAAGUCUUGUGCUAGUACCUAUGUUUUUUCAUAAAGAUAACGUCUAAAAAAUGUUUUAGUUAUCCUCGACAGUUUAAUCUUCAUACACAUUAGAAUCACUACUAAUCAAGCACGACUAUAAAACUAACAGAAACUUAGUUGGACUCAUCAAAUAAACUGAUGUAUGGACCAAGCGUUAACUUGUGUAGUUCAACACACCUAUACGUCUCAUAGAAAAUAUUCUGACCGAAUGUAUUAACAUGGAUGCAGCACAUGUUUCUCUCCUGACGCUGCAACUGAGGAUGGGCUAUGGUGGAGCCGCAUGGCCCAUGGCACAAGCUUCUAUGAAACAUCGUGCAACUCAAAAUCAUAAAUCUCACACUCAUACAAAAUGCAGGAGACUACAGAGUGAACAGGUUCUUACUAGCAGAGUCGAUGUUUUAUUGACUACUGGAAUGUUUGCCAAAUGUAUUUUAACAAACACUUGGUAAAGUAACCAGCCUAAACCAGGUGGCGAGAAAAGCACCCGGUAUAGGAGAACACUCGACAUAACCUCCGCUUUUUUGAGUAUCCAACAAAAUACACUCGGUAAAGUGGUGGACACAUGUCCCUACUCGCCGCGGUUGAUUGCGAGGUGAUGGUGUUUCCACCUAUACCUAGUAAGAUACAGUAUAACCGAGUAAGUUUUCUAUUUGCUGAAUCAGCUUUAGUUGUUAAUUUGAAUGUGCUGAUUUGAAUGACUAGACUGGUUCCCCUAUUGGAUCCAAGAAAAUAACUCGUCUGCUACUACAAUUCGUUCUUUUAAGCUAAUCACAUGGCUUCCAAUCCACCGGGACCUCUCACGAGAAAUAACGCAUCACUUUUUACCUGAUUUGAUUCAGGAGAAAUUCCUGGUUCCUCUCACGCCACAACCGUUACAGCACUGGACCAAAACUACACGAUCAUAUCUACCCCGUUUUGCCUCUCCGAAGGGCCCUCCAUCACGCAGCCAAGAACAUAAAUGGUCACGGCUGGCUGACCAGCAUGGCUACUACUACUACUAAGUCUGACCAGAAACCGAAUACUCCAAACUUUGCUUGCGUUUGAAGCUGCCAAGUUGGCGCACCUCACUGGGCAUCAACUAACCACUCGUGGGUUCGGCACCCACCCAGCCAGAGCCAGGUGUUACUGCUCUUGGUGACCGCCAGGUACUUCUUAAUUCACCAGCUCGGCAAGGUAGGACCGCCAACUAGCCAGCCAGCCUUUGUUUGGACGUACGGCUUGUAAUCUAAAUGAACAAUCCAUUACUAAUUACUCCAUUCAGGGACGAGGGGAGAAAUUUAGGGGGGCGAUACUACCUUGAAGGAGACCUCCGAGAAGCGGCGGGCGACGACCUUGGUGAUGAGGUAGACCUAGUCGGUGUCGGGCGCCAUGGAGAGGCGCACGAUCCACCACUGCAGGUCGUGCUCGGCGAGGAAGUCGAGGUUCAGCAUGGUCACCUCCCUGCAUGCACGAACGCGCCCGCACAAAACGAAUCCAUGUCAACGGAAAAUUCGACUAGAGAAGUUAAGAACGGCAGAGAUAGAACAACGAUGAAAAAGGAUCCUACCGUGCCAUUGGGCGACUUGAAGCCGCCGUCCUUCUCCUCCCGCGACUGCGGGGGCGACCGGUCCGUGAACAGCGGCAGCGGCGAGAACCCCGUGCCGCCGCUCUCCUCACCGCCGAGGCCCUGCCGCUGGAGGUCGAUGAGCUGCAGCAUCACCAGGUUCUCUCCGCCGAUCUGGUGCUGCCGGAGCCUGGACACGAGCAGCGCCGACUCGUCGAAGGCGUCGAGGUCCUCGACGCCCACCGCGAUCUCCCAUGGCGACUUCCCGCCGGCGCCAAGGUCGCCCAGGCAGAGGGAUGCGUCGACAGGAUCUAUUCAAAGAAGUCAUCUUACGCGCCGUCGCCCCCGUCGUCGUCACUGCCUGCCAUCGGUCUCGCACGGGGCUGCGUCCCCGGGCUGUGCAGCUACGAGCUGGCAGGUAAAUGCGGUUGCGGAACGGGGACGAGGGAGGAUUAGAUCGGGAGGGAGGCGGGGACGGGGAGUAGGUAACGGCGGCGAGGAGAUGGGGAGGAGGGAGGGGUCUGAGCUAGGGUUUGGGCUGCGGGUGGGGUUAUGUUUUUUUCUGUAGAUACAUGGAUGGAUGGAUGGAUGGAUGUGAGAUGGUGAGAUAGAUGGAUGGAUGGAUGGAUGUGAGAUGGUGAGAUAGAUGGAUGGAUGGAUGGGCGCCAUAUCAUCGAUCCGUGGGAAGAGUUUUGAUUGGUUUGAAAAAUCAGUGGUUUAAAAUACUUUCCAAGUACUCCCUCCGUCCGGAAAUACUUGUCCUAAAAAUGCAUAUAAUGAAUGUAUCUAUAAUUAAAAUAAGAAUAGAUACAUUCAUCUUUAGGACAAGUAUUUCCGGACGGAGGUAGUACUAAAAAUAGAGAAAUUUUGUGAAACAUUUAUUGAAAAUAUUUUGUAAAAGGGCAUCACGCAAAUUUUUACUAGAGUUAGACCACAUUUUAUGGAUGAGGACAAAUUUAUAUCAAUUUUUCAUCUUUCUAGCUAUUUUUAAUCAUUUCCCGAGUGGCAAAAAUGGGUUUUGUGUGAAGAACCUACCAAAUAUUUGUUGCAAAAUUGGACUCCAUCAUUUUUCAAGAAUUUUUGGAAUGACAAAAUAGUAGGUUUCUUCACACACUAGACGGGUUUGGCGCGUGACAUAGAAUGGACCCACGACUGACAUGUCAACAUAGUUAGAACAUGUUACGACAUUUUUAUAACCGUCAUAAAAGUUAUGACGAUCUUAUCUUAUGCGGUUACGACGUUUUUAACUCACAUCAUCGUAAUUUAUAUGUAGAUUUGAUCCCCUCAAACGGUUUACGACAAUCUCGGAUGAAAUCAUCAUAGAUUUAUGAUGAAUUCAUCAACGACGUCUUAAAAACAUCAUGUAUGAGCAUAUUUCUUGUAGUGUCGAGACUACUGACGGGGGGAUAACCCCGGGGUAGGCUCAUCAGGCCUACUCCUUUGUACUCCGGCACGGAUGGGAAGCACUAACUUCCUCUAUCGCGAGCUCCCUGGCCGGCUAUGAAGCACCCGCCGGCUAGGGGCGAGACGGCAGCUCUGUGUCCGGCUGGCCAGGCCGCCAGCCGGCUAGAGGGAACAUGUUGCAUCCAAUCCUAGGUUGUGACGGGGGCCUAUGAUUAAAGGCAAAGGUAUGUUAGCACGGGUACGAUGGAGAAGCGCACGUCUGGCUACAGUGUCAGCGGCCAUGCGGGUGACCUACAACGGCUCUGAUCUAUCAACCAUGCACACUACCUCCAUGCCAGCACCCACUCCAUUACCGAGUCUGGCAUUGCUCGGGUGGAAACGGCCGUACCGGCGACCCAUGCCAAAUCUCACAAGACGACGCAGAACAUACCACACGCGUCUUGCGUGGGCAUCACGCAUGAGCCCCAUUGGCUGGCCUAUGGGUCACAUGGCCAGAUGGGACCUCGCAGUCGGCGGGGCCCUCAGGCGACAAGACUCAACAGUGGCGGGGCCCCUGGCCGGCUGGAGAGGCUACCAGCUGAGCCCCCUUAUGUACUUAUAUCCAUUUUGUAGGUCGGUGGGUUCCCCUAUAAAAACCCCGACCCCCCUCCAUGCAGAGGGUAGGCCAACCUUACACCCACACACACUCACUCAUACAUGAGAGGGAGAACACGAGCCGGCUACUCCUUCUUUCUCCUCCGUCGAACAGCUCAAGGAGCAUACUGUAAACACUCUGGUUCAUCAACCACUCCGGCAGGACUAGGGGUAUUAUCUCCCACGGAGAGCCUCGAACCUGGGUACAUCGUGCGUCUUGCUUGCUUGUAUCAAUCUCGUCCCCGAAGCCCGUCGGUGUCCUUUCGGCUCCAACCACUCUUGAUUAGCCUACACAUGGAUACUGUCGUGAGGAAACAACGACACUCAAAGUAAGUGUGCCAGCCUAAGCUCUCUUAUUCAAUUAUUUGUAAUAUUUCUCUCUAAAAGCGUGUUUUGAAAAUGACUGUCACAAUUGUUGUUGCGGACGUCGAUCGGCUCAAAGCCGAACUAGGCCAAGCCAAGCAAGAGCCCGCCGAAGAGAGGGGAGAGAUCGUACAGGCCAAAGCUGUUAGCGAUAAAUCCGAUGCUCGGAUCAGUGAAAUUCAGCAAGAACAUAAGGAGACUACCACAAAUAAUGAGGCCCUGUCACACCCUGUGUUUGUACCACUUUGUCACAUUAUGUUUUUGCAAAAUUUGGAGCCAAUUAAAACUUUUUGAGUGCAUGUGAUGGUUGUUUCCAUUGCAACAUACGUCUGUGAUUGUUUGUGUGCUAAUUCACCAAAGUCAUUCUUCUCUCCAAAGACUUCCUCUCCUUGAUCCAAACCCUUGCCCAAUGACCAUACCAUAUGUAUAGAACCAAAAACUACUUUUAUAAAAUUGUUAUCUCAACAAAAGGGCAUUUAUUUAUUUGGAAAUUUCAAAACCCCUGAAUUCGGAUUUGCAGUACAAGUCCUUAAUUUAGGAAGGAUGUUUUACCCCAAAGCUUUUAUUUUGACUCUAUUGUCAAAAUGACUUCCCAAAAUCACAAACAAAUUAUUUUAAAAGUUACUUUCUAUUUUAUUUAAACACCCUUUUCUGAGGCCAAAAAUGGUUUUUCAUAGGGAUAAUUUAUUUUUUGCCUUAAAAAUAUUUGAGAAAAUUUAGGGAAACUCACUGGACAUAUUUUUUUCAUACAUAUGAGUUUCAACACAUGGUCAUGUUCAAAAUAUUGAACAAAACCCCUCAAACCCUUUGCGCCUAUUUCAAGCUUUUGAAAUAUUUCCAAAGGAAAUAUUCUCAAUAAAUUCCAAGAAACUUCUAGUAAGUCACCCAUGGUAUAUGUGGUGACCGUGCAAAAUUUCAUCUCAAUCCAAGUUGAUUUGGUGUACCUAAGAACCCCACAAUCCUUCCUGUCCAGAACCAAACUUGAGCAACAUUACAUUGCCAAGUUUAUCCAAAAGAUAUCUAAUUUUGCAGAGGUGAUCUAGGCCCCAAAUAAGGAUGCUACACCAAGGUGUGCAUUUGUGGGACUUGUUUUCUUCACCAAAGUCUUCAAGAAUCUGAUUCUGUUAAUUCUUGGGCAUUUUCAAGUUUGCAUUGCCAACUUUGCUCAAAUGACCUAGAACUUGGUGAACACUCUUGUUUUUUACCAUAAUGCAAUCAUGUUAACUUUCACAACAAUUGGGUAAAGGUAACUUUGACAAACAAUCAUCAAACACCUUCUGGUAGUUCGAUAAAGUUGUUGUUUUCACCACCUUUACUCAUCUCCUUCACUUCAUUUUUCUACCAUGGCUUCUCCUUGUGAUGCUUCUUACCCCAGUAACUUUCCCAUGGCCUUAGCUCAAUUAUUGGUGUGGUAAAACCCCCAAAUCCCCUCCUGGACAGCAAGAUCUCACCUCUCUCUCCACUCCUCUCUCUCUUGAAUCUUCAAAGCAUCCAAGUCCUCUGCCAACUUGUUUAUUCCCCCCCUUGACCCCCUCGACAAACUUGGCCGCGCAAAAGUCAUCGUUGGCAUACUUGGCAUGCAAUUUGGGCGCUCUGGAGAGUGCUACGGUGCCCAGCUGCACUGUAACUGCCCUCUGCCCAACGUUGCCAACCGCCUCGAGCCUCACCCUCGCACUAGUCAAUGCGCGUGGGCAUCCACAGCCUUCUCCUCUAUCGUCCCCCUCCUCUCUCCUUCUCCAACAGCCUCCCCAACGUGUGUCCGACACUGCCCAUUUCGGCCAAUAGCAGGCCUCGCACGCGCAGGCCACCCCGCUCCCCCUCUUCCCUUCCCUCGCCCUGGACUAACCCCAGGAACACCCCAUACCAGCCCCAUCUCACUCUCGAGCCUCCUGGCCUCGACCCCGAGCUUGCCAGCGCACCAAACGUUUGUUGCACCAUGACCACACCUGUUUAAAGGCCCCCGAACCUCCCUCUCCUUCCCCUCCGCUCUCACCCAACGACAAUCACCCCACUGCACCACUCCAAAUCCAUUUACCCCUCUCGGUGCUCGGAAUAGGGCUCGACGUCGCCGCUUCAGUCCGCCGUCGAUUCCCAUGCUAGUUGGCAUCUCCUGUCAUUCUCUCUCUACCUUUGGAACUGCAGCGAUUUGCUGAUGUUUUCCCCCCAUUUCCCGUGCUUUUUGCAGCCCCGAACAUGAACUCUGAUCACCUCCCGAGGCUCCUCCACCACAGGACCUCGUCGCCGGUGAUCCCCUCCACUCUUGCGGCUCCCGUGGCCACCCCCAGAUCAACUACAGCCUCCUAGUUCCAUUCCUGCCUUCGGUUGCUCUCGCCAUCGCCGGAAUUGUCGCCGGUGAGCAUCGAUGCCUCCCUAGAAAGAGGUUGGCGACGACGUGCUACUGGGUCCCGGUCAUCAGCAUGUGCCCUGCCUCUCCUUGCUCCCGCCUCUCCCCCUGUCUGUCAAUGGCCGCUCGGCCCCAUGAGUCGAGUUUAAACCUGGCAGCGCGUGCAUAGCGCCUUGCCUAGGCUGGCUUCCCUAGCUAGGCCUGAUUGGCAAGCCGCCUCCGGCCCAAUAGGGCACAGGGUCAUUUUUUCGUUUCUUUUUUCAUUAUGUUUUGGAAAAACUCCAUAGAAGCCUACAUGCCUCCAAAUGCAUUUAUUUUUCACCACAAAUAUUUCAAAAAUGUGUAGUAUUUAACAAAAUCACUUGUGUAAUAUUUAUAGAAACUUUUAUACACAGUUUUAUUUUAAAACCUACUUUUAAACAUUUUUACCUUCUGUUAAAAUAUUAUUCACAACAUUUUACAACUCAAAAAUGAAACCUAGCUAUUUUUACAUUGCCUACAAUCACCCUAGUACUUUACAAAAAUAGGGUGACAUUUUUCUAAACAGAUUAUUUUCCUAUUUUGUGGUGUGGUUAUUUUUGCGUGUUAUUAUUGCGACGAUAGAUUGCGUUUCUAACGAAGGUCUUGGACCCGAAGAUUUUGAAGACCCCGGACACUUUGUUGAGGAAAGCAAGCAACCCUUCGACCAUGUCUAAGAAACCAAUUAUUUUUGCAUGACAUGUGGCACUAUAUUUCGUUGCAUUUGAUUCAUGAUGAGUCGGUCACCACCUUGGUGUGUUAUCCCCAAGAAAACCCUUGUUGAUACUUUCAUAUGAGUAUGACCCUACCAUCUAUGAGGGUUGUGCGGCUGGGGAGUAGCUAGGAUGUUAGUAGUUGCUACACAAAUGGGGUGGAUCUAUGCAUAGUGGCCAUGAGAGAAAUGAUUUUGAAGGCUUUUUCGAAAACCCUGAUGGGUGACACUGAUGCCCUAGGGAGAUGGUGAUGAGGUGGGUGACCACUUGAGAAAGAAGUGGGUCACCGAGAAAAGUUUUGUGCGUGUGGUUUCGGAAAUAGAUUGGUGUAAGUUGCGACCGUUACUCCAAUCUUACAUGUGCGACCACGAUACGCCUUAUGGGACGGGGCUUUGUUGAUUACCUUGGUCGGUGUUAACAGAGAGCCUGCAUUACUAGUGGCAGGAGUGGUGUGCUCACUCUCGCGACAGUGUCGUGCCUGGUCGGGCGACCAUGAGUUAUUUUCAGAAGCACCGGGCACACCAUUUGUACCUACAUGGAUGAUACGAUCUAGAGUGAGGCUUGUAUGAUGUACAUCAUGUGGGCUGGGUACCAAUCGAGUGGACUCUUCGUUUAGCAUCAUCUGGGGGAAGGCAUUGUUCGGGUGCUUACCUCGGGUAUGUGAUAUACCGCGAGUCAUGGAUGACACAUUAGCUCCCUGAAUCUUGUGGGUACAGCGCGCAACCUCUGCAAAGUGUAAAACUAUUCGAGUAGCCAUGUCCACGGUCAAGGACAGUUGGAUGACCGCUCUUGGGCUACGUCCAGAUGUUUUCGCAUAAACCAAAUGUGUGUGUGUAUGUGGGAACGAUGAUGAUAUGAGAAAGAUGGUACUUGAGCUAAGUCUGAUGACUUGGGAUGGGAUUGAACGUGGGACAUUCUCCCCGGCUUAUGAUGAUAACCACAACUCGUUCAUAUGAAUAUCUAUGACAAGUUGAUGCAUUCUUUUACAAGAUUGAUCAUGUCAUUGCACUCAAAGAUUAGCUUUCCGCAAAAUUACCUACUUAGUGCUAUGUCAUGCAUUAUUAUUACCUUGUUCCACAUCAUGGGUUGCUUGCGAGUACAUUCAAUGUACUCAUUAUUUAAGUGGCUAGGCAUGGAAGAGCAGGAAUAUGGAGAAGAAUCCAUCAAGGAUGAUCACGCAAACAAGGAUGCUUCCCAGUCAGAGUGCCUAUAGAAUUAAGGCUGAUGGCUUGGUUCACGCUUCCGAUCAAGUUAUCCGCUGCUAGUUAUGUUGGUGUUUCGGCCUUCGAGGCCCUAUCUAUCUAAGACUUGACCAUAAUGGUCUCUAUUUGUAUCAGACGGUGUGUAUGGAUGUAAGACUUUGGUAUUCAACUUCUGUGUGUUCAGUGAGCAUUAAUCUUUGGGAUCACUGUACAUGUGCAUUCGAUGACCUCGACUUAUAAGUCGGCGUCCCCACAGAGCUGGUAUCAGAGCCAUCGUGACUGUAGGAAGCCUUAGUUAGCAUGGACGUCAGAUAGGAUAAACCCCCUUUUCCCAGACUAUACCAAAUACCUAUACAUAGGAAUUUCUGCACUUCUUGUGUCUUCCACCCUACUUUCAAAAGCAUACUGAUACCCUCUCCUUCAAACUUUGUAGAUGGUUGUCUUACCCAAAAGCCUCCUAACAUACGGCUUUCCCCUACUCCUUAAGGACAGCGUGAAGAAGUGCCAGCUCCACCGAUCACCCAUUUUCCUCUAUCACGAGCACUAGGUCGAUGCCACCACGAAGGAGUACCACAUUGAUGUGGUCGUCAAGGCAAACGACUCCCCGACGAGUUUGUUUUUUGAAGUACCACUGAUGGAAACCUUGGCCCUAGGAGUUGAGACACUUGCAAGGAAGGAACUCAUCCACCUUUGAGACAUCAUUCCAGAGAUGGCUGAUGAGCCGGCUACUUGCCACUUCCCGUUCCGAAAGGAUGAUAUUGAUGAGAGGUGGACAUUGACCCCAUCCCCAGAGGAUGGAACACCACUCAUAUUCCAGACCUAUUUCAGCCUCUCCGUCGACAAUAUAGCGCACAGUCGGAUUAAGGAGUACGUGAGGCUUCGUGAGGAACUUCACCACACUCGUGAGCUAGUUCGACUAGCCAAGGCGAAGACAGACAAUAUCAAGAAGGAUGGAUCCCCCGAGGGAUGACCAGAAAUCGCAUACAGAGGAGGAGUACCCCCAGGAAGAGAUGCACCCGCACAGCAUCAUGCAUGAGCGCGAAGGAGUAUCAUGGGCUCUUCACCGUUCCAUCGGCAAAGCAUCAUCGGGAUGAACCUCAUCGUCCUCCGACCCCUUCAACGGGAGAUGAUGCAUGUACAGAGAGUGACCAGGAGGAAGACCCACAAAAACAUGACUACAAGACCGAGCACUCCACCACUUGAAUCCGAGAAUCCCUAGGGUAGGAUAAGCCAUGCAAAGUCGAGUCCGUGUAAUGGUUCAUAUGAAACCGUGUGUGCAUGUUGUUGUUUGUUUUAUUGUUUGUGUAUCGAUGCAAGUCGCGCUUUUGCAUUAGGCAACGUGUAAGUGACCACAUCUCCUAUCUUAUAUUAAUGGUAUGAGUUUGGUAUUCUUGACCUUUGUUUGUCACACUUGCACUUUAUCAACCCCAUUAGGUGCGCAUUUUCUCUUGUUACCUUAUCUUGACUAUAUCAGUUGUUUGACUCUACUGCUCCAAAUAGGAUUGUGACUGCAAAUCGCACCAGCACUUUUGGCAACCCUAGCACCGGCGGCACUAGCCAACAGCCGGAGGCCAGAGGGUCUGCUCAAGCUGGAGGUCGCCAGGAGCGGCCACAAGGCGACAUUCCCCCGCCACCACCUCCACCGGAGAACAUGACCAUAUCUCAGUUUCUCCAAGUUCUCUGGGAGGAGCGCCAAGCUAAGGCUGUCACUAUGCACCCGUUGACCUAGACUCUUGUGAACAACCAGCAGCAAAGCAGGAANNNNNNNNNNNNNNNNNNNNNNNNNNNNNAAUGGCAAUGGCAGCAAUACUUUGUCAGAGUUCAUGAGGAAUUCGCCGCCAACCUUCACUGAGACUGCACAGCCUUUGGAUGCUGAUGACUGGAUCCGCACCAUCAAGGACCUCCUUGCGUUGGUCAACUACAAUGAGGAUCAUGAGAAGGUUCUUUAUGCCUCUCACUGCCUUGGAGGUGCCGACAGAGCUUGGUGGGAUCGGUUCAAGGUCAUGCAAGGCGACCAUGUGAUCACUUGGGAUGAUUUCAAGCAAGGGUUCCGCACCGCUCGCAUCCCUUCUAGGAUUAUGGCAAUCAAGAAACGGGAAUUUCGAGCACUGAAGCAAGGAAGUGGCUCAGUCAAGGAAUACCUGUAGAAGUUCAAUCUUAUGUCAAGGUAUGCACGUGAAGACGUGAGCACUAAAACAGCCAAGAUAGAACGCUCCAUGGAAGGGCUCGAGCAAGCCCUGCAGUAUCAACUUGUUGUCUGUGCCUGUCGGGCCUUCUUUGACCUGGUGAACAAGGCUCUUGUGCUCGAAGACAAGCGUCAUGCCAUGGAAGACACUCGCAAACGCAAUAUGAUCAACAAGGGAGGCUCAAACAAGAGAAGCCUCGCCCUUGGCAGCCGGCCCCAGCAAAACCAACUUAUCAGCCUCAGCAAGUCACGCCCCCUACUCCUCGUCCGAGCUACCAGCCUCGGUAGUAUGCCAACCCCAGGCGGGCAUACAACAAGCCCAACAACAGUGGUGCCAAAAACAUAAACUCAGGACAAGUCACCUGUUUUGGAUGUGGACAGCCUAUGCACUUCUCGAGGACGUGCCCCAAACAAGAAGCCCGAUGCACGGUGCCCCAAUGCGCCAAAUCAAGGACAAGGUCGUGGAGCGCCACCCAUGAACCACGCUCCCCGCAACCAGCCCAACUAUGGCAAGGUUCGUGUGAACCACGUCACCUCCGAGGAAGCCCAGGAAGACCAGAUGUUACACUGGGUACGUACCUUGUCAACUCAACCCCAGCAAUAGUAUCGUUUGAUUGUGGUGCUUCGGAUUCUUUUGUUGCUCAUAAGUUUGCACAAAAGAGUGGUAUGGAUCCUACACCUUUGGUUAGUCUGGUGAUGGUACAAACCUCAGGUGUGGUAUUAAGUUCUAAGGUAGGAUGUAAAUGAGUUGGGAUUAGUAUCAACGGGGUAGCCUUCCUGACAGAUGUUAUCAUCCUGAGGUCGCAAGGCUUAGAUGUAAUCCUUGGCAUGGAUUGGUUGACCAAGCAUCAAGGCUUGUUGGACUUUUCCAAGAGGGCCGUCACCAUGACCAAUAGUUAGGGAGUUGAAGUUAAGUAUGUUCCCAACCCCGCCUCCUCUCAAGCCCCCAGGUUAAUUGCCUUUCAGGAAUUGAGUUGGACCAAGUGCUAGUGGUAUGUGAAUACCCGGAUGUCUUUCCUGAUGAACUGCUCGGGAUGCCUCCUGACAGAGAAAUCAAGUUCAUUAUUGAUCUAAUGCCCAUAUCAAGACCCAUCUAUAAGAAGCCCUAUAGGAUGGGGGUCCGAAGAAUAGGCUGAGUUGAAGAGACAACUUGCCGAGCAGCUCAGGAAAGGAUUUAUUCGCCCUAGUGCCUCUCCUUCGGGAUCACUUGUUCUAUUUGUGUCCAAGAAGGACGGAACUAUCAGACUCUGUGUGGACUACCGUUCCCUCAACAAAGUUACGAUAAAGAACAAGUAUCCACUCCCCAAGAUUGAAGACUCGUUCGAUAAUUUGAAUGGUGCCAAACUGUUCUCCAAGAUUGAUCUCAGGUCUGGGUACUACCAACUGAAGAUUAGACCCGAAGAUAUUCCGAAGACGGCAUUCGUAACCCGGUAUGGCCUGUACGAGUGCACGGUCAUGUCAUUUGGGUUAACCAAUGCACCAGCCUACUUCAUGUAUCUCAUGAACAAGGUCUUCAUGGAGUAUUUGGACAAGUUUGUCGUUGUCUUCAUUGACGACAUACUCGUCUUCUCCAAGUCUGAAGAAGAACAUGAGUAACACUUGAGUAUGGUCCUCGACAAGCAUCGAGAGCACCAGCUUUAUGCCAAAUUCAGCAAGUGUGAAUUCUGGUUGCAUGAAGUUGGAUUCUUGGGUCAUGUAAUGAUAGUAGAAGGAUUGUCAGUUGAUCCUACCAAGAUUGAAGUUGUGAUGAAAUGGCAAUCUUCGACUAAUGUGAAGGAAGUCAGAAGCUUCCUCGAACUCGUGGGAUAUUACCGCAAGUUCAUCGGAGGGUUCUCAAGCAUCGCCAUACCAAUGACGUAGCUCUUGAAAAAGGACAGGAAGUUCAAUUAAACACCAAAGUGUGAAGAGUGCUUCCAGGAGCUCAAGAAGAGGUUGACAAUGUCCCCAAUUUUGGCCACCCCCAGUAUUCACAAGGAAUUUGUGAUAUAUUGUGACGCAUCAAGGACCAGGGUUGGUGGUGUCCUGAUGCAAGAAGGCAGAGUAGUAGCCUAUCUUUCCAGACAGCUGCACCCUCACGAAGAGAACUACGCCACUCAUGAUCUAGAGAUGGCAGUAGUAGUUCACGCCUUGAAGACAUGGCGACAUUACCUUAUGGGUAAAAGAUGUGAGAUAUACACAGGCCACAAAAGUAUGAAGUAUAUUUUCACUCGAAAGGAAUUCAACAUGAGGCAUCAAAGAUGGUUGGAGCUGAACAAAGAUUACGACCUCAGUGUCCAAUACCACCCCGUAAAGUCCAAUGUGGUAGCUGAUGCCUUGAGCAGAAAGGCUUGUUCUUUGAAUGCCAUGGUCAAGGAAAGGCUACCCACCUUGUAUUAAGAGCUUAAAAGCUUCAGACUGGAGCUAGUCGCACCAGGAUUUAUGGCCAACCUCUAAGCAAAGCCUACACUGGUGGACGACAUCAAGGAAGCUCAGAAGGGACACGAGAGCAUUGAAGGCAUCAAGUGGAACAUCAAGGAAUGCAAAGUCCCAGGAUUCUCAGUGCAAAAGGAAGGAGUUGUACGUUUGGGGAAUCGCAUUUGCAUACCCAACAAGGCUGAUCUCAAGAACCUAAUCUUGCAAGAAGCACACGACACUCUGUAUACCAUCCAUCCUGGAGGAACCAAGAUGUACCAAGACCUCAAGGCAAGGUUCUGGUGGCAUGGCUUGAAGAGGGAAAUAGCUUCUUAUGUCAAUAAGUGUGAUAUAUGCGAGAGGGUCAAAACUGAGCAUCAGCGACCCGCUGGGUUGUUACAUCCCCUCAAGGUGCCAGAGUGGAAGUGGGACAAGGUCGGGAUGGACUUCAUCACCGGUCUGCCCAGAUCAAACUAGGGACAUGGUUACAUUUGGCUCACUGUCGAUCACCUGACCAAGGUAGCCCACUUCAUCCCCGUCAAGAUGACCUACAAAGGCAAUUAGCUAGUCAACCUCUACAUCAACCGGAUUGUGAGUCUUCACGGAGUUCUUAAGGAGAUCGUAUUAGACCGAGGGACCCAGUUUACCUCCAGAUUCUGGAACAGGUUCCAAGAAGCCUUGGGAACUAAGCUCUCCUUCAGCACUGCUUUUCACCCUCACACAGGCGGACAGACAGAACGAUUAAAUCAGAUACUCGAGUAUAGGCUUUGUGCCUGCAUCCUGGCAUACAAAGCCAAGUGGGAAGAUUGUUUGCCCUUGCCGAGUUCUCCUACAACAACAGCUACGAGUACAGUCUGCAGAUGGCACCAUUUGAGGUGUUGAGACCAGAGAAGGAUUAAUCUUUGGACUAGAUAUUCUCCGUGAAGCCGCAGAGCAAGUUCAACUCGUCCUAGGGACCGCCAAGUCAAGACAGAAGAGCUACGCCGGCUCACAUCGCCAAGACAUGAGUUUCCAUGUUGGGAAAUAUGUCUAUCUCCGAGUCACGCCUCUCAAGGGAACGAAGCGCUUCAACUUCAAGGGAAAUCUGACACCAAGAUACAUUUACCCUUUCAAGAUCUCCGAUGGGCAAGGAGAAGUAGCCUACCAGCUAGAGCUACCAUCCGAGCUUUCGGAUGUGCACAACGUCUUCCAUGUGUCAGAACUCUGGAAGUGCCUCCAAGUUCCCAACCGUCUGGACCUCUACAAGGACACCCGACCAUCACGCCAUCUACCUUCAGCUAGACCUCACUUAUCGUGCGAUACGAAUAUGAAUCUUAGACGAAGCCAAGCGUAAAACCAGAAGCCGCACCAUCAAGUACUUCAAGGUCCAGUGGAGCAACCACUCCGAAGCAGAAGCAACAUGGGAGCGUGAAGACUACCUUAGAUAUGAGUUCCCUUAUCUUUUUAGUGCUUAGCCUAGGAAUCUCGGGGACGAUAUUCUUGUAAGGGAGUAGGUCUGUCACACUGUGUGUUUGUACCACUUCUCCACAUUAUGUUUUUGAAAAAAUUGGAGCCAAUUAAAUCUUUUUGAGUGCAUGUGAUGGUUGUUUUGAUUGCAACAUGCUUGUGUGAUUGUUUGUGUGCUAAGCACCAUGGUCAUUCUUCUCUCCGAAGACUUCCUAUCCUUGAUCCAAACCCUUGCCCAAUAACCAUGCCAUGUGUACAGAACCAGAAACUACUUUCAUAAAAAUGUUAUCUCAACAAAAGGGCACUUAUUUAUUUUGAAGUUUCAAAACCACUGAAUUGGGAUUUGCACUACAAGUCCUUAAUUUAGGAAGGUUGUUUCACCCCAAAGCUUUUAGUUUGAUUCUAUUAUCAAAAUGACUUCCCAAAAUCACAAAAUAAUUAUUUUAAAAGUUACUUUCCUAUUUUAUUUAAAAACCCUUUUCUGAGGCAAGAAAUGAUAUUUCAUAGUGAAAAAUUAUUUUCUUACCUUAAAAAUAUUUGUGAAAAUUUAGGGAAACUGAGUGGUCAUAUAUUUUUCCAUACAUAUGAGUUUCAACACAUGGUCAUGUAAACAAUAUUGGAAAAAACCUGCAAACCCUUUCUGCCUAUUUCAAGCUUUUGAAAUAUUUCCAAAGUAAAUAUUCUGAAUAAAUUCCAGGAAAAUUAUAGAAAGUCACCCAUGGUAUAUGUGGUGACCCUGAAAAUUUUCAUAUCAAUCCAAGUCGAUUUGGUUCACCUAAGAACCCCAAAACCCUUAUUGUCGAGAACCAAACUUGAGCAACCUUACAUUGCCAAGUUUAUUCAAAUGGUAUCGAAUUUUGUAGAGGUGAUCUAGGCCCGAAAUAAGGAUGAUACACCAAGUCAUGCAUUUGCAGGACUUGUUUUGGUCACCAAAGUCAUCAAGAAUCUUAUUCUAUCAAUUCUUGGGUAUCUUCAAGUUCGCAUUGUCAACUUUGCUCAAAUGAGCUGAAACUUGGUGAACACUCUUGAUUUUUACCACAAUGCAAUCAUGUUAACUUACACAACAAUUGGGUAAAGGUAACUUGCCCAAACAAUCAUCAAAAACCUUCUAGUAGUUUGGUAAAGUUUUUGUUUUCUCCUCCUUUACUCGUCUCCUUUAAUUCAUUUUUCUACCACCGCUUCUCGUGAUGAUGCUUCUUACCCCAUUAACUUUCCUAUGGCAUUAGUUUAAUUAUUGGUGGGGUAAAACCCCCAAAUCCCCUCCUGGACAGAAAGAUCUCACCUCCCUCUCCGCUCCUCUCUCUCUCUCUGUGUGUCAAAUCUCCAGAGCAUCCAAGGCCUUUGCCCACUUGUUUAUUCCCCCCUUGACCCACUGGACACGCUUGGCCAUGCAAAAGUUGUCGUUGGCAUUCUUGGCAUGCAAUUUGGCCACUGUGGAGCAUGCUAUAAUGCAUGGCCGCACUGUGUCCUCCCUCUUCUCGACGCUGUCGACAGCCUCGAGCCUCCCCCUCAUGCUAGUCGAUGCGCGUGGGCAUCUGUGACCUUCUCCUCUGUUGUCCCCCUUCUCUCUCCCUCUCCAAUGGCCUCCCCAGCGUGUGUCUGAUGCCGCCCAUUGUCGGUGAAUACUCACAACAUAUGCCAUGGGUAGGCUAAAGAUGGUAGGAACCGAAGUGGCACCGGAGGGCCCUGGGACGAGGUUGGUACAAGCAUGGAACACACGAUGUACCCAGGUUCAGGGCUCUCCGGAGAGAUAAUACCCCUAAUCCUGCCGGAGUGUAUGAUGUAUGAAUGGGACUACAAAGUGCUCCUGGAGCUGUAUUACGAAGGAGGAAGGAGUAGACGGCUCGUCUCUGCCUCUCCUAUGUGGUUGGUGUGUGUGAUAAGUUGACCGACCCUCUGCAUGGAGGGGGCGGGGGGUUUUAUAGACGAACCCACCGGCCUACAAUAUGGAUAAAGGGUACAAGAGUGGGACCCGGCUGGCAGCCUUGUCGGCUGGCCAGGGGGGCCACGAGGGUCUUGUCUUGUCGCUUGAGGGGCCCGCGGGCUACGAGGUCCCGUCUGGCCAUGGGACCCGCUGGCUAGCCAAUGAAGCUCUCGCGUAAGGUUGACGUAGGACACGUAUGGUACGUCCGGUGUCGUCCAGCGAGAUUCGUCAUGGGCAGACAGUACGGCCGCCUCCACUGUUCCCACGCCGAGUGCAGUAAUGGAGUGAGAGUUUGACGGCCGACACUGUGCAGGGUGAUGGAUCAGAGCCGGGGGAGGUCAAUGGCGUGGCCGCCGACGCUAGUACCCGCCGUGCACUCUGAUCCAGUAACUUUGUUGACGCGUAGCCACCUUUAAUCAUAGGGUCUCGUCAUGACCUACGAUCUGAUGUGACCUGAGAUCCCCGGGCGGCUAGCUUGCUUGACUAGCAGGCCUGGGCACGGGCGCCUCGUCCGUAGUAGGCUGGCUUGGCCUAGGUGGCCAGGGAGAGGUAGCCGUCUCACCUCUAGACGGCAGGUGCUUCCUGGCCGGCCAAAGAAUUGGCCGCCUCGCCCCCCUGGCGGUAGGUGCUUCCUUGCCGGCCAGGGGACUUGGGCUUUGUAGAAUUGUUUUGGUCAUUCCUUCUGGGCUGAAGUUGAAGGAGUGAUACGUCCAUUUUGCAUCAUGCUUUCAUGUUGAUAUUUAUUGCUUUUUGGGCUGUUAUAUUACUUGUGGUACCAUAUUUACGCCUUUUCUCUCUUAUUUUGCAAGGUUUAUUUGAAGAGGGAGAAUUCAGGCAGUUGGAAUUCUGGACUGGAAAAAGGAGCAAAUCCUAGUCCACUAUUCUGCACAUCUCCAAAUGCCCUGAAAAGUUACGGUGAUUUUUUCUGGAAUAUAUAAAAAAAUACUGGGCGAAAGAACUACCGGAGGGGGGCCACCAGGACUCCACAAGCUUGCCCACCGCCACCACCCCCCUGGUGGCGCAGGGCAGGCUUGUGGGCUGCCUGACGGCCCACUAGACCCCCUCUUUUGCUAUAUGAAGCGUCCUGGUGUGGAAAAAAAUCAAUAGGGAGCUUUUUCGUGGUUUCGCCGCCGCCACGAGGCGGAACUUGAGCAGAUCCAAUGUAGAGCUCCGGCAGGACGAUCCUGUCGGGGAAACUUCCCUCCUGGAGGGGGAAAUCGUCGCCAUCGUCAUCACCAACACUCCUCUCGUCGCAGGGGAGGCAUCUUCAUCAACAUCUUCAUCAGCACCAUCUCCUCUCCAAUCCCUAGUUCAUCUCUUGUAACCAAUCUUCGUCUCGCGACUCGAUUGGUACUUGUAAGGUUACUAGUAGUGUUCAUUACUCUUUGUAGUUGAUGCUAGUUGGAUUACUUGGUGGAAGAGAUUAUGUUCAGAUCCUUGAUGCUAUUCAUUACACCUCUGAUCAUGAUUAUGAUUAUGCUUUGUGAGUAGUUACUUUUGUUCCUGAGGACAUGGGAUAAGUCAUGUUGAUAAUAGUCAUGUGAAUUUGAUAUUCGUUCGGUAUUUUGAUAUGUUGUAUGUUGUCUUUUCCUCUAGUGGUGUUAUGUGAACGUCGACUACAUAACACUCACCAUAUUUGGGCGAACGUCGACUACAUAACCUUCACCAUAUUUGGGCCUAGAGGAAGGCAUUGGGAAGUAGUAAGUAGAUGAUGGGUUGCUGGAGUGACAGAAGCUUAACCCCAGUCUAUGAGUUGCUUCGUGAGGGGCUGAUUUGGAUCCACUAGUUUAAUGCUAUGGUUAGACUUUGUCUUAAUUCUUCUUUUGUAGUUGCGGAUGCUUGGGAGAGAGGUUAAUCAUAAGUGGGAUGCUUGUCCAAGUAAGGGCAGUACCCAAGCGCCAGUCCACCCACAUAUCAAACUAUCAAAGUAACGAACGUGAAUCAUAUGAACAUGAUGAAACUAGCAUGACAGAAAUUCCCGUGUGUCCUCGGGAGCGUUUUUCCUCCUAUAAGACUUUGUUCAGGCUUGUCCCUUGCUACAAAAGGGAUUGGACCACUUGUUGCACCGUUGCUACUACUUGUCACUUGUUACUCUUUGCUUGCUACGUUUCACCUCACUACACAAUCACUUGUUACCGCUACUUUCAGUGCUUGCAGUUAUUACCUUGCUGAAAUCCGUUUAUCAGAGCCUUCUGCUCCUCGUUGGGUUCGACACUCUUACUUAUCGAAAGGACUAUGAUUGAUCCCCUAUACUUGUGGGUCAUCAAGGAGCAGGCUUGAUGAGUCUACCCCGGGGUUAUCCCCCCGACACCCAUUUAGGCCAACCGCAGGCCUCGCGCGCGCAGGCCACCACGCUCCACAUCUUCCCUUCCCCGCCCUAGACUAUAUCCUUCCCUUCCACUCUCACCCGACCCCAAUCACCCCCCUGCACCAUUCCCACUCCAUUUCUUGCUCUCGGUGCUCGGAAUUGAGCUCAGCGUCGCCGCUUUGGGCCGUUGUUGAUUCCCAUGGUAGGUGGAAUCUCUGGCCAUUCUCUCUCCCUCUGGAACCGCAGCGAGUUGCUGAUGCUUUCCCCCCAUUUCCCAUGCUUUUUGCAGCCUGCACUACUAGCUCUGAUCACCUCCCGAGACUCCUCCGCCGCCGGAACUUAUCGUCGGCGAUUCCCUCCACUCCAGCGGCUCCCGCGACCACCGCCAGAUCGGCGACUGCCUCCUGGUUCCAUUCCUGCCUUCGGUUGCUCUCGCCGUCGUUGGAAUUGUCGCCGGUAAGCACCGCCACCUCCCUGGACACAGGUUGACGGCGGCGUGCGAUUGGGGCCCGGUCAUCAGCCUCUACCCUGCCUCUCCUCGUUGCCGCCUCUCCCCCUCUCUGUCGCUGGCUGCUGGGCCCCGCGCAUCUGGAUUAAACCUCACAGAGCAUGCGUCGCGUCUCGCGUUUGCUGGCUUCGCCAGCUGGGCCAAGUUGGCGAGCCGCGUGUGGCCCAAUAGAGCGGAGGGCCAUUUUUCCUUUUCUUUUUCCUUCUAUUUUGGAAAAAUUCAGCAGAAGCCAAUAUGCCUCCAAAUGCAUUUAUUCUUUCACCACACAUAUUCUAAAAUGUGUAGUAUUUAAUAACAUCACAUGUGUAAUUUUUAUAGAAUCUUUUAUACAUAGUUUUAUCUUAAAAUCUAGUUUUAAACAUUUUUACCUUCUGCUAAAAUGUUUUUCACAACUUUUUACACCUCAAAAAUAAAACCUGGCUAUUUUUCUGAGCAGAUUAUUUUCCUAUUUUGUGGUGUGCUUAUUUUUUCCCAUUAUUAUUGAGAAUAUAUAUUGUGUUGCUGACGAACGACUUGGAACAGAAGAAUUUGAAGACCCCGGAGACUUUGUUGAGCAAGGAAAGCGACCCUUUGACCAUGUCUAAGAAACCAAUUAUUUUUGCAUGACAUGUAGCACUAUAUUUCGUUAUAUUUGAUUCAUGAUGAGUCGGUGACCACCUUGGUGGUUUGUCCCCUAGAAAACCCUUGUUGAUGCUUGCAUAUGAGCAUGACCCUACCACCUAUGUUAGUUGUGCAGGUGGGAAGUAGCUAGGCUGCUAGUAGUUGCUACGCAAAUGGGAUGGGUCUAUGCAUAAUGACCAUGAGAGAAAUGAUUUCGAAGGCUUUUCUGAAAACUCCAACGGGUGACACUUAUGCCCAAGGGAGAUGGUGAUGAGGUGGGUGACCACUUGCGAAAGAAGUGGGUCACCGAGAAAAGUUUUGUGUGUGUGGUUUCGAAAACGGAUUGGUGGCAGUUGCGACCGUUACUCCAACCUUACAUGUGCGACCACGAUACUCCUUAUGGGACGGGGCUUUGUUGAUUACCUUGGUCGGUGUUAACACAGAGCCCGCAUUACUAGUGGCCGGAGUGGCGUGGUCACUCUCGAGACGGGGUCAUGCCUGGUAGGGCGACCGUGAGCUGUUUUCACGGGCCCCGGGCACACUGUUGGUCCCUGCAUGGAUGAUAAGAUCUAGAGUGAGGCUUGUAUGAUAUACAUUAUGUGGGAUGGGUACUGAUACGUCUCCAUCGUAUCUACUUUUCCAAACUCUUGUGCCCUUGUUUUGAACUCUAAUUUGCAUGAUUUGAAUGGAACUAACCUGGACUGACGUUGUUUUCAGCAGAAUUGCCAUGGUGUUGUUUUUGUGUAGAAAUGGAAGUUCUUGGAAUGUCCUGAAAAUUCACGAAGAAUAUUUCUGGAAAAUAUGAAAAAUACCUGCGCAAAGAUCCACCGAAGGGGGUGAGCCAGUGGGCCACAAGCCCUGUGGUCGCGGCCACCCCCCAGGCCGCGGCGUCACGGCUUGUGGGGCCCACGUGGCUCUGCCGCCCCCAAAGUCAGCGCUACUUAUUCCCUUUCGUCCCGAAAAAAAUCAAGAGAGAAGAUUUCAUCGCGUUUGCGACACGAAGGCGCCGCCACAUCCUGUUCUUCAUCUGGAGGGCAGAUCUGGAGUCUGUUUUGGGCUCUGGACCAAGGAGAUCGUCGCCAUCGUCAUCAUGAACCUUCUUCCCUCUCCAAUUCCAUGAAGCUCUUCAUUGUUUGUGAGUAAUCUAUUCAUAGGAUCGCUAGGCGGUGAUGGGUAGGAUGAGAUCUAUCAUGUAAUCGAGUUAGUUUUGACGGGGAUUGAUCCCUAGUAUCCACUAUGUUCUGAGAUUGAUGUUGCUACUACUUUGCCAUGCUUAAUGCUUGUCACUAGGGCCUGAGUGCCAUGAUUUCAGAUCUGAAAUUAUUAUGUUGUCACCAAUAUAUGUGUGUUUUAGAUCCGAUCUUGCAAGUUGUAGUUACCUACUAUGUGUUAUGAUCCGGCAACCCCGGAGUGACAAUAACCGGAACCACUCCCGGUGAUGACCAUAGUUUGAGGAGUUCAUGUGUUCACCAAGUGCUAACGCGCUGGUCCGGUUCUUUAUUAAAAGGAGAACCUUAAUAUCCCAUAGUAUCCACUUGGACCCCGCUUCCAUGGGAGGGAUGGACAAUAGAUGUCAUGCAAGUUCUUUUCCCUAAGCACGUAUGACUACACACGGAAUGCAUGCCUACAUCACAUUGACGAACGGGAUCUAGCCACAUAUCUCUCCGUGUUAUAAUUAUUGCAUGAUGAAUAUCAUCCGACAAAUCCCCGAACCAUUGCCUACGAGUUUCUCCCACUGCUACUGUUACUUGUUUUGCUCUGCUGCUGUUACUACUGUUGCUGCUACUGUUACUUGCUGCCACUGUUACUUGCUUUGUCCUGCUGCUCCUACCACUACUGUUGCUACUACUGUUACUUGCUACUGUUGUUACUCGCUACUGCUGCUACUUGCUACUGCUGUCACUACUGUUGUUCCUUGCCACUGUCGUUACUCGUUACACUGCUGCUACCUGCUACAAUACUUUUCUGGCGCCAUUGAUACAACAAUUAGGAAUAGUCUGCCUCGUCAACAGAUCGUUUCUGGCACCGUUGCUAUCAUACUACCUUUGCUACUUAUAUCCUCCUUGCAGAUACUAAUCUUUCACGUGUGGUUGAGCUGACACCUCAACUGCUACUACUUGAGAAUAUUCUUUCAGUUCCCGUCGUGCGAACCAACAAAUUUCGGUUGAAUACUCUACCCUCGAAAACUGCCGCGAUCCCACGCGCUGGUGGGCUAUUGCAAGACAAUUUCUAAUUGUUGAGCAACUGGAAGCAGCUCUUUUCUGGCUCCGUUGCCGUGGAGGCAUCAAGUCAGGAAUAGUUGCACGUCAAUAGGUACCAAUCGAGUGGACUCUUUGUUUAGCAUCGUCAGGGGAAAGGCAUUUUUCGGGUGCUUACCUCGGGUAUGUGAUAUACCGCGAGUCGUGGAUGACACAGUCUCUCUAUGCUUGAUACUGCUAGAGAUGCUAUGCCUGAUGAUGCUAUGCUUGAUACUGCUAGAGAUGCUAUGCCUGAUGAUGCUAUGCUUGAUACUGCUAGAGAUGCUAUGCCUGAUGAUGCUAUGCUUGAUACUGCUAGAGAUGCUAUGCCUGAUGAUGCUAUGCUUGAUACUGCUAGAGAUGCUAUGCCUGAUGAUGCUUUGCCUGAUGAUGCUAGAGAUGCUAUUUUGCCUGAUGAUGCUAUGCCUGAUAUUGCUAGAGAUGCUAUUUUUCCUGAUGAUGCUAUGCUUGAUACUGCUAGAGAUACUACUUUGCCUGAUAUGCCACUAGGGGUAUUCCUUGAUGCUCAUAUUGCUAGAGUUACUGCCAAUGCUCGUGAUGCUUCUGAAACUGCCGAUACUAUUGAGAUAGAACCUGAUUUUGCUCCUCGUAGAUCUAGCUCUCCUAGAUAUGAAUUGCCUGAUAUACUUGAGGGUUAUGUUACGGAGGGAGAGAUAGCUAAGGAUUUUCUUGCGUGUAAGGAUGCCUAUGACGCUGAGAAAUUACUUCUCAAGUGGAAGGAAAAAUCUCUGAAAGCUAGGAUGAAAUACGACCCGAAGUUUGCCACUUCACCUAUCUUUAUCACCGAUGAGGAUUAUGAAUUCUUUGUCAACCCUGAGAUAAUCUCUCUAGUCGAAUCUGAUCCUUUCCACGGUUAUGAGUCUGAGACGGUCGUAGCCCAUCUUACCAAACUACACGAUAUAGCCACCCUUUUCACUAGUGAGGAGAAGAUCCGCUACUACUAUAUCCUUAAGUUGUUUCCUUUCUCUCUAAAGGAUGAUGCUAAAGCCUGGUUCACUUCUCUUGCUCCUGGAUGUGUGAGUAGUCCCCAGGAUAUGGUCUAUUACUUCUGUGAGAAAUAUUUCCCUGCCCAUAAGAAGCAAGCUGCCUUGCAGGAAAUAUACAACUUUGCUCAACUCAAAGAAGAGAGUCUCCCACAAGCUUGGGUGAGGCUCAUCCAGCUACAGAAUGCUUUGCCAGAUCACCCUCUUAAGAAGAACGAGAUACUGGAUAUCUUCUACUCCCUCCGUAAACUAAUAUAAGAGCGUUUAGAUUACUAUUUCAUUUAUCUAAACACUCUUAUAUUAGUUUACAGAGGGAUUAUAACGGACUUAUCGAUGCUUCUAGAGACCACUUAGAUAGUUGUGCCAGUUGUGUUUUUAGGGAACGAACUAUAGAACAAGCUGAGAUUCUACUGAAUAACAUCUCGAUCAACGAUAAUGCUUGGACUAUUCCCGAACCACCUCCCAAGCCAACUCCUAAGAAAAUAGGUAUUCUAUUCCUCAGUCCUGAAGAUAUGCAAGAAGCCAAGAAAUCUAUGCAAGAGAAAGGCAUUAGAUCUGAAGAUGUCAAAAAUCUAUCGCCCAUCAAAGAGAUCCAUGGUCUCGAUAACCCGAUACAAGUAGUAGAGGUGAAUUCUCUAUGUAGGUUUGAUGAGAGUGAUAUUCCUUUUGACAAACCUGCUAGCCUAUGCUUUGAUGAAUUUGACAACUUUGUUGCCAAACAACAGAGUUUCAAUGAUUAUGUUAGCAGACAUUUGGAACAAAGUACUCGUAUGCUUAGUCAUUUAAGUGCUUGUGUAGACAGAAAUGUCAAUGGUCUGAAGCUUCCGAGUAAACAUGCCUCUAUGAUUACUACUCAGGUAGAACAAGUACUUCAAGCUCAGAAUGACUUGCUCAAUGAAUUAAAUGACAACUCUGUCAGAGCAUUACUAGAGGAGGCAAAAUGACUCAGGAACCUUUGUAUCCUGAAGGCCAUCCUAAGAGAAUUGAUCAAGAUUCUCAAGGAAUUAAUGUUGAUACACCCAGUCAUCCUAAGAAGAAGGAUGAUAGAAACCUACAUCUGAGUUCACCAAAUACUGUCACACCUGAAGAACCAAAUGGUAUUUCUGCGUCUGAUGCAGAAACACAAUCUGGUGAUGAACAUGAACCUGGUGACAAUAUGAAAAGCGAUGUUCAUAACAAUGCUCAACCUUGCAAUGAUAAGGAUUUGGAGAUUGAACCUACAGUUAAUCCUGAUAACCCACAACCUAAGAGAUACGAUAAGAAUGACUUCACUGCUAGGAAGCAUGGUAAAGAAAGGGAGCCAUAGGUUCAGAGACCUAUGCCCUUUCCUCCUAAGCCAUCCAAGAAAAAGGAUGAUGAGGAUUUUGAGCGCUUUAUUGAAAUGAUAAGACUUGUCUUUCUGCAGAUGCGGUUCAUUGAUAUGCUCAAAAUGUCUCCAUAUGCCAAGUACAUGAAAGAUAUCGUGACCAAUAAACGGAAGAUACCAGAUCUUGAGAUCUCCACCAUGCUUGCCAAUUACACUUUCAAAGGUGGAACUCCUAAGAAACUUGGUGAUCCCGGAGUGCCCACUAUGCCUUGCUCCAUUAAAGGAAACCACAUAAGAACUGCGUUAUGUGACCUUGGAGCCGGUGUUAGUGUUAUGCCUCCCUCUCUUUAUCGUAGACUUGAACUGGAUAUGUUGACACCCACUGAAAUUUCUCUGCAAAUGGUCGACAAAUCAACUGCUUUCCCUAUCGGCAUUUGCGAGGAUGUGCCUGUUGUGGUUGCUAACACAACUAUCUUAACAGACUUUGUUAUCUUGGAUAUUCCCGAGGACGAUGCCAUGGCUGUCAUCCUCGGAAGACCCUUUUUAAACACUGCAGGGGUUGUUAUAGAUUGCAACAUAGGCAAUGUCACUUUCCAGGUCAACGGUAAUGAGCAUACAGUGCACUUUCCGAAGAAACGAUAUCAAGUAUAUUGCAUCAAUGCUAUCGAAAAAACUUCAUCAAUUCUUGUUGGGAGCUAUGAAUGCCCUAUUCCUCGUGUCAAGAUGAAGUAUGAUUUGCUUGUGGGGAGAUUCAUAUCCCCAUUGAGGUGACUUAGUGGCUAUUCGAAAUUCUCCAUUCUCUUUUGCGAUUCGAGAAAGUUUUGUCAUGAGGAUUUGAUCAACCCCAUUGACGGAUUUCUUUCGAUGACCAUGAAAUGGAUGAAUCAAAGAGUCGCAUACCUCUGUUUUAAGCUUUCACUUUCUGUUGCUUAGAAGAAAAAUUCUAGGUUUAGUUUAGUUUUCCCUGUUUUCUGUCUUAGCGUCCGGUGGAAAAGUACCCCGAAAAUAAAAGUUCUCCGAAUGUUGUGAAAAUCUAGUAUGAUUUUUUCUGGAAUAUUUGAAAAAUACUGGGACUGAGAGCUGGCCUCGGGGCCACACUAGUGGGACACAAGCCCUCACGCCGCGGGCUCCCCCUGGCCGCGGCCACCAAGCUUGUGGGGCCCACAGGGACCCCCUUCACUCAUUCUAGCUCCCAUCCUCUUCUUCUACCUCCAGACGAAAUCGUUUCGCAGCUCAAACCCGUGUUCUUGCUCAUUUGGCUGUGAUUUUUGAUCUCCUUGCUCAAAGCACCAUUCUCCGAACCGUUUUGGGGAAAUUACUCCUUGGUAAGUGACUCCUCCAUUGGUCCAAUUAGUUUCUACUCUAGUGCUUUAUCCUUCGCAUAUUCUUGCUACCUUGGUGACCCUGUUCUUGAGCUUGAAAUGUUGAUUUUAGCUGGUCCCAAGUAGUUUUAGCGCGUGAUACAGUCUCUAGGCACUAGUAGGAGUAAUUUCUACAAGGUGUGGUUCGUCUUUAUUCACUUUUCUCUUGAACUUCAAAAAUUUCAGCAAAAAGAAAUUAUGUUUAGGAGGAAGAUUCAUGGUGGUUCCUCAAGUAAGAAGGGUCCCCGUCUUUCUAUUCGGGAGCCCGAUCCUUAUCAACUAAGGGACGCACCUGUACAACCAUGUGAAUGGCCUUCCGAUGAGUUCAUGAUCAAAGCAGGCUUCAAGGAUGAGUUUGAUACACUUGUCCGCAAUGCCGGGUUAGAAUAAUUCCUCUCAGAUAAAUGUGAACAGUAUGCUAUGCUCACUGCCUCUUUCGUGCGUAGAUUUAAAUUUUCAAUUGGCCGUGACUCAUCCAUACUGUUUGAUCUGUAUGAUAAAUCCUACACACUGGAUUUGGAGGAUUUCAAUAGGAUUUGCAAGAUACCUGAUGGGGGUAGUCUUAAUGAUCCUGCUAAGUCUUCGGUUAGAGAUUUUGUCUCUAGUAUAACUGUUGGAGAAACUCGAGACAUCACGCAAGCUACCAUAGGAAGCAUUCAUUUCCCCGCCUUGCACUACUUUGCCCUCUUCAUAGGUAGAUGCAUUAACGGCAAGGUUGAACAUUGUCACCUAUGGGCAUCUGACCUUAGUAUCCUUAAGAGCGCAGUGACGGGUGACAAAAGCUUCAACAUGGGAGCUAUUAUAGCAAGGAGGCUGAAUAAGAAUGCUAUUGAUGGGGAUUUCUUUGGCGGGAUCUAAGCCACUCGCAUAGCAAAUUUUCUUGGAGUACCCAUCCGCGCAGGAGAUCCCCCUCUCCAUACAGUUUUCCUUGACCACGUCGCUAUGACACGCUACCAGUUCCUUGAGAGGGAUGAUGGGAUGAUGAAUCCCUCCUAUACCGAUUGAUAUUUAACCGGCAGCGUGUUUUCCAUAUUACCGUUCCUACUCCUGCUUUCUUUGACUUUCAGGUAAAACGGAGAUACUACAUAACCAGAGGAGAGGUAGAGGAGUAUGAGAGGGAAGCGAAGGCUGCUCGUCUCCGUGAGGUAGCUAUUCAGGCAGUGGCUGCAGCGCUCCCGUAUAACCCCGAUUAUGAUUUUGGGUUUCGCCAGGACCGUCCUUGGGAGUAGACCAAGCUAGGCCAAAAGCCUAAGCUUGGGGGAGUACGUGUUCUCACCAACUUUACAUUCAUGCUUAUGCUUUCACUUUGUUAGUCGGUGUUUACACUUUGCUACUGUAUUAUCCAUGCUAGUUUAUUUUUGUUUUCUUGUUUUGUGUCCUUUUGAGAAAACCCAAAAAGAUUUUCCUUUCUUCUUUUGCUUGUUGGGAGCUUUCCAGUGUAAAUAGUUUUCUUUUUCUUUGGGUCAAGGUAGAAGAUAUUGGUUACAAUGUUUAGUGGCUCUUGCAUGCAUACCUGUUUAGCUUUCAAAGAACCAUAUUACUUUGUCUUCUCCUUUGUGUUUGCCUGCAGAUUCAACUUAGUCCAAUGCACGAGUACUCUUAUUAUUGUUCACAUCGUUCGAUUGUGCAAGUGAAAGGCAAUAAUGAUGAUAUAUGAUGAAGUGACUGAGACUGGAAAAGCUGGUAUGAACUCUAUCUAAUUUUUUUUGUAAAUAUGACUAGCUUGUCGUCCCAGAUUCAGCUUUGUUGUGAGAGAACCAUGUUUGCAAUGACAACUUAGAGAACAUAGUUUCUGAUGCCAUGCUUAAUUAGCUAGAUCUUAUAAUGGUUUGUCUUGAAUGCCAACAUAGAUUUUGAGAUGACUAUGAUGUAGUAUGAUAGGUUGGUAUUCUCCUUUGAUUGAUUCAAGUGGCCUGACUUGGCGCAUGUUCAUGCAUGUAGUUUAAACAAAAUCAACAUAGCCUCUAUGAUGUUCGUGUUCAUGGUGAUUUAUAUCUUGCUCAUGCUUGCACUCAAUGUUAGUCAAACUCAUUGCAUCUUGAUGACCGUUGUCGCUCUCUAGUUGGUCGCUUCCCAGUCUUUUGCUAGCCUUCACUUGUACUAAGCGGGAAUACUUCUUGUGCAUCCACCUCCAUAAACCCAAAGUUGUGCCCUAUGAGUCCACCAUACCUACCUAUUUGCGGUAUCUACCUGCCGUUCCAAGUAAAUUUGCGUGUGCCAUUCUCUAAACCUUCAAGAAAUAAUCUGUUUUGCAUGCCCGAACCGCUCAUGUGGUGACAGGGGGCUAUUGGUAUCUUCCAUGUUAGGCGUGUUAUCCUCGACAUGUGUUUAUUCACUUUCAUUCACGAGAAAGGGGCCGGUAAUUGGAAUGCCCAGUUCCACGCUUAAAUCGAAAACAUAACUGUAAAACAAGACUCCCCCAGGAUUGAUGUUAGUAUGGACGGUACCCGAGGAUUCGGCUAGCCGUGGUGUGUGAUUGAUUGGUGGUGGUGUUGGGGAACGUCGCAUGGGAAACAAAAAUUUUCCUACGCGCACGANNNNNNNNNNNNNNNNNNNNNNNNNNNNNNNNNNNNNNNNNNNNNNNNNNNNNNNNNNNNNNNNNNNNNNNNNNNNNNNNNNNNNNNNNNNNNNNNNNNNGGUGGGCUAAUGCAAAACAAUUUCUAAUUGUUGAGCAACUGGAAGCAACUCUUUUCUGGCUCCGUUGCCGUGGAGGCAUCAAGUCAGGAAUAGUUGCACGUCAAUAGGUACCAAUCGAGUGGACUCUUUGUUUAGCAUCGUCAGGGGAAAGGCAUUUUUCGGGUGCUUACCUCGGGUAUGUGAUAUACCGCGAGUCGUGGAUGACACAGUCGCUCCCCGAAUCUUGUGGGUACAGCGCACAACCUCUACAAAUUGUAAAACUAUUUGAAUAGCCGUUUCCAUGGUCAAGGACAAUUGGAUGACCUCUCUUGGGCUACGUCCAUAUGUUUUCGCAUAAACCAAAUGUGUGUGUGCUUGUGUGUAUAUGGGAAAGAUGAUGAUAUGAGAAAGAUGAUACUUGAGCUAAGUCUGACGACUUGGUAUGGGAUUGAACGUGGGACGUUCUACCCCGGCUUAUGAUGAUAACCACAACUUGUUCAUAUGGAUAUCUAUGACAAGUUAAUGCAUUCCUUUACAAGAUUGAUCAUGUCAUUGCACUCAAAGAUUAGCUUUCCGCAAAACUACCUACUUAGUACUAUGUCAUGCAUUAUUAUUACCUUGUUCCACAUCAUGGGUUGCUUGCGAGUACAUUCAAAGUACUCAUUGGCUUUCCACUGGUUAUUUAAUUGUCUAGACAUNNNNNNNNNNNNNNNNNNNNNNNNNNNNNNNNNNNNNNNNNNNNNNNNNNNNNNNNNNNNNNNNNNNNNNNNNNNNNNNNNNNNNNNNNNNNNNNNNNNNUAUCCACAUCUUUAUUCUUUUUCAUAUCGCAUAACUCAAUAAAGGUAUUAAGAUGGGAUGCGGCAUCUUCACUGGGAAGGCCGGAAAAUUGCUCUUUCAUAACAAAAUUCAACAAGGCAGCAUUAAUUUCAUAUGAAUCCGCACUAGUGGCGGGAGCAGUUGGAGUACUAAUAAAAUCAUUGUUAUUAGUAUUAGAGAAGUCACACAAUUUAGUGUUUUCAGACAUGGUGACUUAGCAAGCACAGAAGCACACAAGCAAGCAAAAGAAGGGCGAACGAAAAAGGCAAAUAAAGAAAGGCAAAUAUUUUUGUAAAUUUUGUUUUAGAAGUGGGGGUGAGGAAAACGAGAGGCAAAUGGAAAAUAAUGUAAAUGCAAGAGAUGAGUAUGCGAUAGGUACUUGGUAGAUAUGCUUCACUUGAAUACUCCCCGGCAACGGCGCCACCAAUUCUUCCUGCUACUUCCUGAGCUUGCGUUGGUUUUUCCCUUGAACAGGAAAGGGUGAUGCAGCAAAGUAGAGAUAAAUAUUCCCCUCAGUUUGAGAACCAAUGUAUCAAUCCAGUAGGAGUAUCAAGAUGAGGCACCAAUGCACCUGCGCAAAAACAAACAAACUUGCACCCAACGCGAUAAAGGGGUUGUCCAUCCCUUUACGAUUACUCGCAAGGUGAGAUCUGAUAGUGAUAAUAGGUAAAUAUAAAUAAAUAAAUAAAAGUGCAGCAAGGUAUUUUUGGUAUUUUUGUAUGUAAAUCAGAAUAUAUAAUGCGUAAAACAGACCUAGGGGCCAUAGUGUUCACUAGAGGCUUCUCUCAUGAUAGCAAGUAUUACGGUGGGUGAACGAAUUACUGUCGAGCAAUUGAUAGAAUCGCGCAAAGUCAUGACGAUAUCUAAGGCAAUGAUCAUACAUAUAGGCAUCACGUCCGAGACAAGUAGACCGAUACUUUCUGCAUCUACUACUAUUACUCCACACAUCGACCGCUAUCCAGCAUGCAUCUAGUGUAUAAAUUCAUAACAAACAGAGUAACGCCUUAAGCAAGAUGACAUGAUGUAGAGGGAUAAAUUCAUGCAAUAUGAUAUAAACCCCAUAUUUUUACCCUUGAUGGCAACGACAUGAUGCGUGCCUCGCUACCCCUUCUGUCACUAGGUGAGGACAUAGCACGGUAUGAACCCAAAACCAAGCACUUCUCACAUUGGAAGAAUUAUAGAUCAAGUUGGCCAAACGAAACCCAUAACUCGAAGAGAAUUACAAGGAAACAAAAUCAUGCAUGUAAGAAAUCAGAGGAGAGUCAAAUAAUAUUCAUAGAUAAUCUGAUCAUAAAUCCACAAUUCAUCGGAUCUGGAAAAACACACCGCAAAAGAAAGUUACGUCGGAUAGAUCUCCAUGAAGAUCAUGGAGAACUUUGUAUUGAUGAUCCAAGAGAGAGAAGAAGCCAUCUAGGUACUAGCUAUGGACCCGAAGGUCUGUGGUGAACUACUCACGCAUCAUCGAAGAGGUAAUGGUGUUGAUGAAGAAGUCCUCCGUGUUUGAAUCUCCAUCCGGUAGGGCACCAGAAUGGUCCCCCGAUGGGAUCUCGCGGAAACAGAAGCUUUCGGCGGUGGAAAAGUAUUUUCGUGGCUCUCCCUGUUUGUUUCGGGAUUUUAGGGAAUCUAUANNNNNNNNNNNNNNNNNNNNNNNNNNNNNNNNNNNNNNNNNNNNNNNNNNNNNNNNNNNNNNNNNNNNNNNNNNNNNNNNNNNNNNNNNNNNNNNNNNNNAAUAUCUGAGUUUCGAGUUUGGUGCUCACUUAAGACAAUGUGGAAUUGUUUCACAGUUAACACCGCCUGGAACACCACAACGUAAUGGUGUGUCCGAACGUCGUAAUCGUACUUUAUUAGAGAUGGUGCGAUCUAUGAUGUCUCUUACCGAUUUGCCGUUAUCAUUUUGGGGUUAUGCAUUAGAAACAACUGCAUUCACUUUAAAUAGGGCACCAUCAAAAUCCGUUGAGACGACACCAUACAAACUGUGGUUUGGCAAAAGGCCAAAGUUGUCGUUUCUUAAAGUUUGGGGAUGUGAUGCUUAUGUCAAAAAGCUUCAGCCUGAAAAACUAGAACCCAAAGCGGAAAGGUGCGUCUUCAUAGGUUACCCAAAAGAGACAGUUGGGUACACCUUCUAUCUCAAAUCCGAGGGAAAAGUGUUUGUUGCUAAAAACGGAGCUUUUCUCGAGAAGGAGUUUCUCUCGAGAGAAUUGAGUGGGAGGAAGAUAGAACUUGACGAGGUUUUCGAACCUCUCAUCCCUCUGGAUGGUGGCGCAGGGCAAGGGGAAACCUCUGUCAUUGCGACGUCGAUUGAGGAGGAAGUUAAUGAUGAUGAUCAUGAAACUCCGGUUCAAGUUUCUGUCGAACCACGCAGGUCGACGAGACCACGUGCUGCUCCAGAGUGGUACGGUAAUCCCGUCUUAUCAAUCAUGUUGUUAGACAACAAUGAACGUGCAAAUUAUGAAGAAGCAAUGGUGGGCCCAGAUUCCAACAAAUGGCUAGAAGCCAUGAAGUCCGAGAUAGGAUCCAUGUAUGAGAACAAAGUGUGGUCUUUGGAAGUACUACCUGAGGGCCGCAAGGCUAUUCAGAACAAAUGGAUCUUUAAGAGGAAGACAGACGCUGACGACAAUGUGACCGUUUAUAAAGCUCGACUUGUGGCAAAGGGUUUUUCACAAGUUCAAGGAGUUGACUACGAUGAGACAUUCUCACCCGUAGCGAUGCUUAAGUCCGUCAGAAUCAUGUUAGCAAUAGCUGCAUUUUUCGAUUAUGAAAUCUGGCAAAUGGAUGUCAAAACGGCGUUCCUUAACGGUUUCCUUAAGGAAGAGUUGUAUAUGAUACAACCCGAAGGUUUUGUUGAUCCUAAGAAUGCUAACAAGGUGUGCAAGCUCCAGCGAUCCAUUUAUGGACUGGUGCAAGCAUCUCGGAGUUGGAACAAACGCUUUGAUGAGGUGAUCAGAGCAUUUGGUGUCAGAAUCAUGUUAGGAAUAGCUGCAUUUUUCGAUUAUGAAAUCUGGCAGAUGGAUGUCGAAACGGCGUUCCUUAACGGUUUCCUUAAGGAAGAGUUGUAUAUGAUANNNNNNNNNNNNNNNNNNNNNNNNNNNNNNNNNNNNNNNNNNNNNNNNNNNNNNNNNNNNNNNNNNNNNNNNNNNNNNNNNNNNNNNNNNNNNNNNNNNNCAUCGCUACGGGUGAGAAUGUCUCAUCGUAGUCAACUCCUUGAACUUCUGAAAAACCCUUUGCCACAAGUCGAGCUUUAUAAACGGUCACAUUGCCGUCAGCGUCCGUCUUCCUCUUAAAGAUCCAUUUGUUCUGAAUAGCCUUGCGGCCCUCAGGUAGUACCUCCAAAGUCCAUACUUUGUUCUCAUACAUGGAUCCUAUCUCGGACUUCAUGGCUUCUAGCCAUUUGUUGGAGUCUGGGCCCACCAUUGCUUCUUCAUAAUUUGCACGUUCAUUGUUGUCUAACAACAUGAUUGAUAAGACGGGAUUACCGUACCACUCUGGAGCAGCACGUGGUCUCGUCGACCUGCGUGGUUCGACAGAAACUUGAACCGGAGUUUCAUGAUCAUCAUCAUUAACUUCCUCCUCAACCGGCGUCGCAACGACAGAGGUUUCCCCUUGCCCUGCGCCACCAUCCAGAGAGAUAAGAGGUUCGACAACCUCGUCAAGUUCUAUCUUCCUCCCACUCAAUUCUCUCGAGAGAAACUCCUUCUCGAGAAAAGCUCCGUUUUUAGCAAGAAACACUUUGCCCUCGGAUUUGAGAUAGAUGGUGUACCCAACUGUCUCUUUUGGGUAACCUAUGAAGACGCACUUUUCCGCUUUGGGUUCCAGCUUUUCAGGCUGAAGCUUUUUGACAUAAGCAUCACAUCCCCAAACUUUAAGAAACGACAACUUUGGCCUUUUGCCAAACCACAGUUUGUAUGGUGUCGUCUCAACGGAUUUUGAUGGUGCCCUAUUUAAAGUCUCAACGGAAUUUGAUGAUGCCCUAUUUAAAGUGAAUGCAGCUGUUUCUAAUGCAUAGCCCCAAAACGAUAACGGCAAAUCAGUAAGAGACAUCAUAGAUCGCACCAUCUCUAAUAGAGUACGAUUACGACGUUCGGACACACCAUUACGCUAUGGUGUUCCAGGCAGUGUUAACUGUGAAACAAUUCCACAUUGUCUUAAGUGAGUACCAAACUCGAAACUCAGAUAUUCACCCCCACGAUCAGACCGCAGGAAGUUGAUCUUCUUGUUACGAUGAUUUUCCACUUCACUCUGAAAUUGCUUGAACUUUCAAAUGUUUCAGACUUGUGCUUCAUCAAGUAGACAUAACCAUAUCUACUCAAAUCAUCAGUGAAGGUGAGAAAAUAACGAUAUCCGCCGCGUGCCUCCACGCUCAUCGGACCACACACAUCGGUAUGCAUGAUUUCCAACAAGUCACUUGCACGCUCCAUUGUUCUGGAGAACGGAGUCUUAGUCAUCUUGCCCAUGAGGCAUGGUUCGCACGUGUCAAGUGAAUCAAAGUCAAGUGACUCGAAAAGUCCAUCAGCAUGGAGUUUCUUCAUGCGCUUUACACCAAUAUGACCUAAGCGGCAGUGCCAGAAAAAUAUGGCGCUAUCAUUGUUAACUCUAACUCUUUUGGUCUCAAUGUUAUGUAUAUGCGUAUCGCUAUCAAGAUUCAAUAUGAACAAUCCUCUCACAUUUGGUGCAUGACCAUAAAAGAUGUUACUCAUAGAAAUAGAACAACCAUUAUUCUCUGACUUAAAAGAGUAACCGUCUCGCAAUAAACAAGAUCCAGAUAUAAUGUUCAUGCUCAACGCAGGCACUAAAUAACAAUGAUUUAAGUUCAUCACUAAUCCUGAUGGUAACUGAAGUGAAACUGUGCCGACCGCGAUUGCAUCAACCUUUGAACCAUUUCCUACCCGCAUCGUCACUUCAUCUUUCGCCAGCCUUCGUCUAUUCCGCAGUUCCUGUUUUGAGUUGCAAAUAUGAGCAAAAGAACCGGUAUCGAAUACCCAUGCAUUACUACGAGAGCCAGUUAAGUACACAUCAAUAACAUGUAUAUCAAAUAUACCUAAUUUUUCUUUGGCCGCCUUCUUAUCUGCCAGAUACUUGGGGCAAUUGCGCUUCCAGUGACCCAUACCCUUGCAAUAGUAACACUCCCUUUCAGGCUUAGGUCCUUCGAAUUACCCUUCUUGCCUUUGCCGUUUCUCUUGAAACUAGUGGUCUUAUUCACCAUCAACACUUGAUGUUCUUUACGGAGUUCAGACUCUGCGACUUUCAGCAUCGCAAACAACUCGACGGGUGACUUGUUCAUCCCUUGCAUGUUGUAGUUCAACACAAAGCCUUUAUAGCUUGGCGGCAGUGAUUGAAGGAUUCUGUCAGUGAUAGCCUCUUGCGGGAGUUCAAUACCCAGCUCAGCUAAACGGUUUGAGUACCCAUACAUUUUGAGCACAUGUUCACUGACAAACGAACUCUCCUCCAUCUUGCAAGCAUAGAAUUUAUCGGAGAUUUCAUACCUCUCGAUCCGGGCUUUCUUCUAAAAGAUAAACUUCAACUCCUGGAACAUCUCAUAUGCUCCAUGACGCUCAAAGCGACGUUGAAGUCCCGGUUCUAAGCCAUACAAUAUUGCACAUUGAACUACUGAGUAGUCCUCCUUACGUGCUAACCAAGCGUUCUUAACAUCCUGAUCAGCCAUAGCGGGUGGUUCAUCUCCUAGCGCAGCAUUGAGGACAUAAUCCUUCUUCCCAGCUUGUAAGAUUAGCUUAAGAUUACGAGCCCAGUCUACAAAGUUGCCUCCAUCAUCUUUCAACUUAGCUUUCUCUAGGAACGUAUUAAAAUUCAGGGUGACUGUCGCGUGAGCCAUGAUCUACAACACAAAUAUAUUCAAAGUGGACUUAGACUAUGUUCAAGAUAAUUAGAGUUUAACUUAAUAAAAUUAUUUGCUAAACUCCCACUCAAAAAGUACAUCUCUCUAGUCAUUUGAGUGGUUCAUGAUCCACUUACACUAGCUCAAGUCCGAUCAUCACGUGAGUUGAGUAUAGUUUUAGUGGUAAGCAUCCCUAUGCUAAUCAUAUCAUCUAUAUGAUUCAUGAUCGACCUUUCGGUCUCAUGUGUUCCGAGGCCAUGUCUGCACAUGCUAGGCUCGUCAAGCUUAACCCGAGUGUUCCGCGUGCGCAACUGUUUUGCACCCGUUGUAUGUGAACGUUGAGUCUAUCACACCCGAUCAUCACGUGGUGUCUCGAAACGACGAACUGUAGCAAUGGUGCACAGUCGGGGAGAACACAAUUUCGUCUUGAAAUUUUAGUGAGAGAUCACCUCAUAAUGCUACCGUCGUUCUAAGCAAAAUAAGGUGCAAAAAAAGGAUUAACAUCACAUGCAAUUCAUAAGUGACAUGAUAUGGCCAUCAUCACGUGCCUCUUGAUCUCCAUCACCAAAGCACCAGCACGAUCUUCUUGUCACCGGCGCCACACCAUGAUCUCCAUCAACAUGUUGCCAUCGGGGUUGUCGUGCUACUCAUGCUAUUACUACUAAAGCUACAUCCUAGUAAAAUAGUAAACGGAUCUGCAAGCACAAAUGUUAGUAUAAAGACAACCCUAUGGCUCCUGCCGGUUGCCUACCAUGGACGUGCAAGUCGAUAUUAUCUAUUACAACAUGAUCAUCUCAUACAUCCAAUAUAUCACAUCACAUCAUUGGCCAUAUCACAUCACAAGCAUACACUGGAAAAACAAGUUAGACGUCCUCUAAUUUUGUUGUUGCAUGUUUUACGUGGUGACCAUGGGUAUCUAGUAGGAUCGCAUCUUACUUACGCAAACACCACAAUGGAGAUAUAUGAGUUGCUAUUUAACCUCAUCCAAGGACCUCCUCGGUCAAAUCCGAUUCAACUAAAGUUGGAGAAACCGACACUUGCCAGUCAUCUUUGAGCAACGGAGUUACUCGUAACGAUGAAACCAGUCUCUCGUAAGCGUACGAGUAAUGUCGGUCCAAGCUGCUUCAGUCCAACAAUACCGCGGAAUCAAGAAAAGACUAAGGAGGGCAGCAAAAUGCACAUCACCGCCCACAAAAACUUUUGUGUUCUACUCUAGAAGACAUCUACGCAUGAACCUAGCUCAUGAUGCCACUGUUGGGGAACGUCGCAUGGGAAACAAAAAUAUUCCUACACGCACGAAGACCUAUCAUGGUGAUGUCCAUCUACGAGAGGGGAUGAGUGAUCUACGUACCCUUGUAGAUCGCACAGCAGAAGUGUUAGUGAACGCGGUUGANNNNNNNNNNNNNNNNNNNNNNNNNNNNNNNNNNNNNNNNNNNNNNNNNNNNNNNNNNNNNNNNNNNNNNNNNNNNNNNNNNNNNNNNNNNNNNNNNNNNNNNNNNNNNNNNNNNNNNNNNNNNNNNNNNNNNNNNNNNNNNNNNNNNNNNNNNNNNNNNNNNNNNNNNNNNNNNNNNNNNNNNNNNNNNNNNNNNNNNNNNNNNNNNNNNNNNNNNNNNNNNNNNNNNNNNNNNNNNNNNNNNNNNNNNNNNNNNNNNNNNNNNNNNNNNNNNNNNNNNNNNNNNNNNNNNNNNNNNNNNNNNNNNNNNNNNNNNNNNNNNNNNNNNNNNNNNNNNNNNNNNNNNNNNNNNNNNNNNNNNNNNNNNNNNNNNNNNNNNNNNNNNNNNNNNNNNNNNNNNNNNNNNNNNNNNNNNNNNNNNNNNNNNNNNNNNNNNNNNNNNNNNNNNNNNNNNNNNNNNNNNNNNNNNNNNNNNNNNNNNNNNNNNNNNNNNNNNNNNNNNNNNNNNNNNNNNNNNNNNNNNNNNNNNNNNNNNNNNNNNNNNNNNNNNNNNNNNNNNNNNNNNNNNNNNNNNNNNNNNNNNNNNNNNNNNNNNNNNNNNNNNNNNNNNNNNNNNNNNNNNNNNNNNNNNNNNNNNNNNNNNNNNNNNNNNNNNNNNNNNNNNNNNNNNNNNNNNNNNNNNNNNNNNNNNNNNNNNNNNNNNNNNNNNNNNNNNNNNNNNNNNNNNNNNNNNNNNNNNNNNNNNNNNNNNNNNNNNNNNNNNNNNNNNNNNNNNNNNNNNNNNNNNNNNNNNNNNNNNNNNNNNNNNNNNNNNNNNNNNNNNNNNNNNNNNNNNNNNNNNNNNNNNNNNNNNNNNNNNNNNNNNNNNNNNNNNNNNNNNNNNNNNNNNNNNNNNNNNNNNNNNNNNNNNNNNNNNNNNNNNNNNNNNNNNNNNNNNNNNNNNNNNNNNNNNNNNNNNNNNNNNNNNNNNNNNNNNNNNNNNNNNNNNNNNNNNNNNNNNNNNNNNNNNNNNNNNNNNNNNNNNNNNNNNNNNNNNNNNNNNNNNNNNNNNNNNNNNNNNNNNNNNNNNNNNNNNNNCACUAUCUUUGAUUAACUGGCUAGCCAACUAGAGGCUUGCUAGGGACGGUGUUUUGUCAAUGUAUCCACACAUGUAAAUGAGUCUUCAUUCAAUACAAUUAUAGCAUGGAUAAUAAACGAUUAUCUUGAUACAGGAAUUAUAAUAAUAACUAUAUUUAUUAUUGCCUCUAGGGCAUAAUUCCAACAGGCACGGGGUGAGCGAUGAUCCUACAUGGCAUCCUAGACGGUUAACACGCGGGACUUAGAACGGAGCUACGUACAAGAGACAUGCAACACAAGAUAUAUGCCAUGAAUGGGUCAUGCAUGCGAGUUCAUAACACGGGCAAGAAGGGAAAGAAAUAGGUGUCGCCACGACGAGCUUGAGGGAACCAUGGCGGCAAAACGGGAACGAAGCCACGACAACGUUCCUAUCCCGACAACUCGUCGAGAUACCGAAGCCACGAAUAGGGAGCGCGUGCGGGAACGUCAAAUAAAGAUGGGGUGAUCCUGUAUCUCGGGUUCCCAUGUGUCGGGCACAACAUAGAGGGACAACGUGCAACGGUCAAACAUUCAGUGCAUACAUACGGUGCAUACAUGCAUUCAACUCAUACAACACAUGCAUUCGUUACACGACACGUCUCAUCGGUAUACCUUCGACGCGUGCGAUUCAAAGCGGAUCGGUUCGGUGAAGGGGAACAACGGUCGUCGUGGACGUCGUGGAAGUCGUGGUUCCGGUCUCAGCGACGGUAGUCGUUCGCUCGGCGUCGUGGUUCUCGGGUCUUCGGCGUCAGUAGUCGAUCACAUCUCCGUCGAUGUUCGGGGUUCGUCGAGGAUGUCGUGGUACUCGUGAACUUGUCGGUUCCACGGCGUUGGGGAUGGUGCACGCGGCGACGGCAGGCGACACAACAACAACUAGCACUAUUUAGCAGCAAUCUACAAGCAGCAGCAACUACAACAUCUACCCGCGGCAGCAUAACGGCAAGCAUCAAGCAACAUCUACAGCAACCUGCAGCUAUCUAACAACAGCACUAGGCAAUGGCCACUCCUGGCAACAGCAAGCAGCAUAGCACUAGGCUAGCAAAGCAGCGGCUAUAGCUUCGGCAGGAGGGGCUAACGAGAGGAGGCCGGACGAGGGCGAGGCCAUGGCGAGCAGGGAGCCACGGUAGCUGCUAAGGCCGGCCGACGACGAGGCUCACGCGGGAGAGGGGCUCCGGCAAGGACGCUCCUCGCAGCAGACGGCGGGCGGCGGCGUGCUCGGGUCGAGGGGGCCUGGAGGGGAUCCUCGAGGGGAACGGCGCGGCGGAACGGCGCAGGCCAUGGCGGGGCGCGGGAGCCGCGGAAGACGACGGCCACGCGAGCUCGGGCUCCAGUAGGGAGCUUGGCGCGGGGAGCAGCGAGGCGGACGACGGCUCAUGGGGGUUGGCGGCGGCGACCGGGGACAGCCAGGGCGGCGGAGGAGCUGCUGGCGAGCCGAGGCCAUGGGGAAGCCGGCGGCGGGAAGCUCGGGGAGAGGGAGGAGGAAACGGGAGGAGAUGGCGCUGGGACGAUGGAGGACGAUGGAGGAAGAGGGGAAUCGGGAGGAACGGGGAGACGCUGGGGAGGACGGCGCUGCGGGAUGGACUCCUGCAUGCGCUAGGGUUUGGGGCUGGUUGGCCUUGGGUCGGCUGGGCCUCUCUCUCUUUUUCCUUUAAAAAAACAGAAAACUCCAACAAAAAUGAAAAAGGUUUUUUUAACAAAUUAGAAAAAUGCUUUUGGCUCCCUUUUAAAAAUAAUAUACCCCAACUAUAAAAUAGCUUGGGCAUUUUUUUAAACGAAUAAAAACUAAAACUUUUUUAAAGAAUUAAAAAUCAAAACCCUUUUGAAGAAUAAAAUAAAACCUCUUUUAUUUAAAGAAUAAAAUAAAAGCCCUUUAAAAGAGAAAAGUAAAUGCGACGGUUUUAAAAUAAAACCAAAGGAGAAAAUUAAAGAAAAAUCCAAGGGUUGCCCCCGCAUUUAAUAAAAGGACCUUUUAUUGAAAAGAAGAAGACGAACCCUUUUUAAAUAGGGGUUUAAAACGGGAAACUUAGCAAACCGCCAAAACAGAUAAAAGAGGAGAGGAGGGGAGUGAAGGUUUUAGGUCCUUGGUGCAACAAGGUUACGAGCUUGAACUUGUUGCACCCAAUCACGUUGCAAGGCCCUAAGGCACACACACAUGCGCUCACACACAAACAACGAGGUGCAACUAGCCACACAAGACAAGCACACAGAUGACAUGAUGCCAUGCAUGAUGCGAUAAUGCAAACUACAUGACGAUGCAACGAAUAAAAAUACUCACACGACGGAAACGGAAAGGAAAGGGGAAUCUUCUGGAACGCCGGCAUCGGGCUUUCACACCACCCCUCCUCUCUAUUUCUCCUAUGUCAAGAUUCUCUUCUCCCUCCCCUCUUUUAAAAAUGCCCUUGAUUUAGCUUGUUUUGUGGUGGAUGUAAAGAGGUGUAUUUGCUGAUUUGAAACUUAGUUUUAAAGGUGCAUAUAUUCACAAAACAGACCCAACAAAAUUCUGUUUUGGAAAUAUUUGAUGGCUCCAAACAUUUCUUUCUAUAUUGAUCAAAUAGGCCAUAAUUCCUUAUGACCAGGGGUAUUUCUAUUUUAAUUUUUGUUGCCAUAGUUUUUCCCUGGGAGUUUAUUUUUGCUGGUGUUGUUUUUUAAAUUAAAAAAAAACCCAGGAGUCUUUUCUCUUAACAGGCGCCAGAUGGGCCACUUCUCCCUCCUGAGGCCCAUCCUCUCCUCUCUGAUUCCCCUGCGACAGCCCAGCUCGCUCCUCCUUCUCCCACCUGACGCCGUUCCCUCCCAGUGCGUUCUUUUCCAUCAGGCAGAGAGAGAGCGAUCAGUAAAGCCGUGCACGAACGUCGAGGUCCCCCCAUAUAACGUGGUGUCCGUGCCUCCCCCUCGGCCUAGGGUUCCUCUCCAUCCCUCCUGCCGCCACCACCUCUGUUCUCCCCAUCUCCAUCUCAUCUUCUUCCUCCCUCCUCUGGUUAGUUCUGUAGAUAGACCAGAGAAGGUGCCCGCGUCUACCCCGCCGUCAUCAUCAUCUCCGACGCCGUCCGCCAUGUCCGGGAGCUCGGGGUGGUUGCCCGCGCUCCAUUCCCGGCGCUAGGAGCCUGGGGGAACAACUGCACCGACGACCCCGACCACGUCUUCGCCGCGAACUCGGUGGUCUACCUCCUCUUCUUCGGUUCUGCAGACAGGGACUCCCCCAAGCUUCUUCCUCCUCCUCCGUCCGGACUCCUCCUCCGAUCCGAGCCCCUACUUCCUCCCCAAGGUGAGGUUGCACCUCCCCUCUCUUCUAUCCCCUAGUUCGGCCUGGAUCCGGCGAGUUGCUCGCGUACCUUCUCUGUCAGUUAGUAGAUGCAGAAGUUACAGUAGUGUUGCGGUGUGCAAUCGCGGUGCAGUAGCAGUAGUUUGUGUGGUAGUAGCAGUAGAUGUGGUGCAUAGCAGGCGCAGCUCUUGUUUGUGCUAGUAGUUCUCCUGCCGUGAUGCAGCAGCAGGCAUGCCCGGCGGCCUCCCUGUCGCCGGCGUGCGUGCAUGUGCAGAGAAGACCGAAGGCACAGGUUUUCUUGAUACAGUUCCCCUAGCUAGCAGACUUCGAUUCGUAGCGCAGUGGUUGGAGUCUCAUGUUUGUUCUCGUGAGGUUGCGGGUUCGAGUCCCCCCUCAACCCUUUUGUUUUUCUGUCUAUUUUUCGUGUAGCAGUAGCAGCAGGGGAUGGCUUAUCCUGUAUAAGCCCUCUAUUCUAUCGAGAGGCAGGUGUUAGCCCAGUGGUUGUGUGGUGGUGUGGUAGACCAGUAGGUCAUGGGUUCGAUUCCCAGGGCAUCCUCUUUUUAUUUUCUUGCUAUUGUUUUUGCCUUUUGCUGUUUUGCCUUGCUAGUUAAUUGUGAUGCUUGGGCAGCAAUGUUGUGUUGCCAAAAAUAUGAACACCAGUAGGUUUUACACCUUGUUCUAGUUAUGUGCAUGGUAGAUAUAACUUGUGUAUAUACGCAUACAUAUAUUUGAGAGCAUAUAUAUAUGUGUGUGUGUAAGUAGAUGUGUGUGUGUGUGCUCUAGAGGGAGUGCAUGUAGGUGCAUCUGCUAGUAUAAUCUUGGGCUUGCAAGCAUAGCAUUUUGUUGUAUGUGAUGCACUAGAGUUUCAUAUGUAAGUGCAUCUUAUGGGGGUUAUGAUGAGUGUAUGGUUGCCAUGUGAUGCAACCUAUGAUUAGCAUGUGUAGGUAUGUGUGUUGAACUAGGGCAUGAUGUGCUUGUGGGUGAUGUGGAGUAGAUGAGUGUGUGGGACACCCCACCUUUGCAAGCAAAACUAUGCACCUUCACAUGCCCAUAUGUGAGAGGGCAUGGUGAUUUGUAUGUGUGGAUAGCUUGGUAGAAGUGGUUGUGAAGUUGAUGUGCAUGACACAAACAUGGGGUUCAAACCCCCAUGUCACUUUGUCAUUGUGAACAUGAGCUCAACCAUGUAGUAGCUGAUAUAGUGGAACUACAUGAAAUGAUGCCCUAUUCACUAGGCAUGAUUUGGAGUAGUUUCCUCUUCCUUAAUUUGUGGUCACUUGUUCCAAGUAAGUGCCCACAUAUUAUAUAUGAUUUUGGGGUAGAAUCUCCCAAGGAGUCCAGUGGUGAAGUUAGUUUUGCCAUUAGGAUACUUUCUGGAGUUGACAUAUUCAAAUGUGUUGCAAGUUUGCUCUUUGUUUCCAUGGAAUAGGUUGAGCCCAAGGGCAUGAGCUUUUGUGUGGUAGUAGUAGGGGUUUUGCUUUACACCAUGGUGGUGUCACUUAUCACUUGGUGUUACUUGUGUGAAAGCUAUGCCUAGACAAAGUGGGCAUGUGGCUGGAAAUUCCAGCUUAGUGAAAUCUGGAAUUUCACUAAGUCUGAGAAUCUGGAAAUAUUUUCUUCUCCUUCAGAUGAGGUUGUGCUGGUCAUUGUGUUCUGAUCUAGCCUUAGUUCAGUGCUAGGAAUUUGUACCUGAUAUGUUUGUGGAGCUCCCUGUCAAAUUUCAUCCAUUUGGAAUCCUGUAAGUUAUGGUUCGGUUGCUGUCAAAAAGCUUCAGAACAAAGACAGAAAGUCAGGUGCAGGAAUUUUCACCAAGUCCCUGAGACCUGAUGGUUUUGGGAAAGUUUGUAGCCUUGUAUCUUCCUGUGUAUAAUUCCUUUUGGUGUGAUUCUUGCUUGUGCUUGUAGUAUUCUUGGUUGGAUACAGCCACAUAUAUUAUUUGUCAUAUUUGGAGGGCUGUAGCUAUGUUGCAUUUAGCUCACAAAGAGCUAAGAUGCAGAUUAUGGCAGAUUGUGUAGUAUUGUCAUUUUGAUGUUUGUGAGUGCUUAGUUGAUGUUGUGGUGUUCUUCCUUGCUCCAAUCCAUUCAUGUUGGGUUGUUAUAUGUCUUGGCAACCUGGGAAUACCAGAUUUGUGCCAUUUGAGUGUGUGGUGUUGAUUCUUACACGUAGGGCUUCAUAUCUUGUUUCGUUGAUUCCCGUUGACCCGUAGCUCCGAUUGUAAUGUUCUUUAUAUGGUUUUGCAUCGAUUUCUCGAGACGCAUCUGACCAUGUCAUCCUCAUGCAUGUCAAAAUAGCUUAGUGUACAGUUCUGUCCAGAAACUUGUAGUAGCUUCUUUUGCUUGUGCUAGUGAUAGAAAUAGUGAUGCAUGCUCAUUUUCAUCUCAUGCAUCAUGUGCUUGUUGCAUCUUGAGGUGCUGUUGUUCAUUGGAUGUUAUUCUUAUGUUGGGUAGCACCGGGAUCGGAGAACGAGUACGUGGAUUCGGGAGAGUACGUGCAGGACGAACAAAAACCAUUCCAAGCUGAGGAUAUGACAAGAAAGAUGAUAUGACCUUGAUUCCAUCUCUAGACUUGUUAUGCUAGUUUGCGUUUCCAUGUCAUAUUGCUUGCUGCCUACCACUGAAUUAAAUUGCCUCCUGAUAUGCCAUGACCCAAACACUGAUCCCUUCCUAGCAAAACUUGUAUGGCUAAGUAGGCUUUGCUCAGCUACUAAUGUUAGCGUUGCUAGAUGCAGGUGCUUUGACUCAUGUGAUAACAUGAGCUUGAUAUCAUUAUCUUAAAUUAUGUUAUUUAAUUAAUGCACCUAUAUACUUGGUAAAUGACGGAAGGCCUAGCCUUUUGCUGGGUGCUUUGUUCCAUUAUUGCCGCCUUAGUUACCGGCUACCGGUGUUUGAUUCCAUAAUGAUCACUCCUAACACGUUCGGGGUUGUUAUGGGGACCCCCUCGAUAAAUCGCGUAGUGCUAAGGCUUGUCCGGCAGGACCCAACAUUGGUUUUAUUUGCUAAUCACUUAAUAACCUACAUAGGGAAUAGCUACCCCGAGGAAAAUUAAUCAACAACCCGGGCCAGUGCUCCUCAUGAGUGUUGGUCCAAUCACCUAGCAGUCGGCAAGACCACCCCAGGGAAACUUGAGGUUUGGUCCCUGUUCACUUUGCAUAGACGGUGUUGUCCUGAGACUGAGAUAUGCGGCUCUUAUCGGGUCGUCGACAUACCGGGAGGUCCUGCUAGCCUUGUCUUACCUUAGCGAUAUAUCUUGCGUAUAGGAAUCCCAGUGAAGCUUUGGUUUCCCCCAGAGUUGAGGUUUUCCUCUAAGGAAUCGGACGAGAUCACGAGAUUCGUGAUAGAGGAUGCCUUUGCGGCCUGUGUACGUUUGUGAUGGACUAGUUGGAGCACCCCUGCAGGGUUAAUCUUUUGGAAAGCCGUGCCCGCGGUUAUGUGGCAACUUGGAAUAUUUUUUUAACAUCCGGUAUUAGAUAACUCAAACAUAAGCUAAUAAAAUUGCCAACUGUGUGCGUAACCGUGAGUGUCCCCUCGAAGAUCUCUCUUCGAUCAGGAACACGGUGGGGUUAUGGAUGACGUAGGUAGGUGUUCAGGAUCAUUUAGUGAUCAAUUAUCAUCGUCCGCUAGUCUAGACCACCUUCAUAAAAGCUUUACGUAAGUUAGCCACUGAAUCAAGCUUAGGCUGCUGCAACCUUAAACACAUCACCUUAUCCUACCUAAUAACUUGACUAGUGCUGGCACCAAGGUCUUAGAUUGCUGAGUCCCCGUGGCUCACGGAUUCCUUUAAAAUCCCAACAUGUUCAGGUACCCCAGAGAUAGAUGAUCCCGACGGCACUCAGCUGGCGUGGCAGUACGACGAGGAGACAGACCGCCUUUACGUGAACUAUCCAGAAGAUUGAGGCGUGGUUGUGAUCGUGGGCCUGCAGGCAGGGUAGCAUAGCAUUUCUAUGUUUUGUAGUCCGUAGCGGAACUACCUUGGUUGUAUGUGUGUUGUACUCUGAGAUAUUUAUGAGAAGGAAAUUGAAUCCCUGAUUGUCUAUCUUUAUUAUUAUGUAUGUGCCGCGUUACCCGUUUGCGAGACGCUUAGAUGCGCUCCUUUCCAAUUCGGGGCCUCGACCCCCAGAUCGGAAAGGACCGCAUCUUGGUCGUUACAAGUUUUUAAGAUGGAUUUUUUUACACAAUACUGAUAUAAAUAUUCCCCAGGUCUUCCUAAAUUUUCAGAUUUUUUAGAGUUAUAGAAGUAUAACAAUUAAAUAUAUUACUACAAACUAUUCUGUUUUAAACAUAUUCUAUUUUUGCAUGCAUAGUUUGCUUGUUUUGAUACUACUAAUGAUUAUAUCGGGCGAUAUAAGCCAUGGGAAACUUAGAAUACAAUACCUUAUGCUAAAAUAAAUGAAGAAUCAAUUUAUAACAGUACCUAAAAGUGUUUAUUAUGUUGCCUAUACUAACGGAUCUGACAAAGUUUUGUUGAGUUUUUUGUGAUUGAAGUUUUCAAGUUUUGGGUUUUAUUUCGAUGGAAAAAGGAAUGAGAAGUGGCAAGAGCCUAAUCUUGGGGAUGGCCAAGUCACACCAAGGUAAUAUUUUGGUAAGACUCAAGUGUCUAAGCUUUGAUAUAAAGCUAUUGAUAUGUUAGUUGGAGCUACAUUUUUAUUCAUCACAUGAUAUAAGUUUUGCUUGGAGCGUCGUUUGUAUCGUUUACUUUUACUUUCAGUUUUCCAAAAUCAUUGGUUGCUUGACACACCUAUUUGAGAGAGAUAAACCAUCAUCAUGAUUUGUUAGAAUACUCUAUGUGCUUCACUUAUAUCUUUUGUGCUUAGCAGUUGCUCUAGUACUUCACAUAUAUCCUUUUGAGCAUGGUGGCGUGUAGAUUCUAUAGAAAUAAUAUGCUCUCGUUGUUCACUUAUAUUUGUUUGGGAGAUGGACAGAUAGCGACGGUAAUUUGCAUCGGUCAUCAAACUAGAUCAAAAAUAAUGAGUGUCGAGUAAAUGACAGUUAAAACCAUCAUGUAGCAAAUAAAGAGAAAUUGUGUUUAAUGAUAUUUAUGUGGUCAUAUUAAAAGGUGUGAGUGCAUAACUAUUAAUUUAGAGAGGUUUUGAUAUUAAGAGAUGUUAAAACUUCUUGAACAUCUAAAAAAUUAAAGGGAACUACUAGGCAUCAGACAGACCACUUUACAACCAUCGGAUGAGAUGCAUCCUAGUAGUCCAAUCAGCUAGUAUAACCCGUGCGUGAAUUCUGGAUUGGAGCAUUAAUUGCUUUCGAAUAAUUAUCUGCUUCCUUGUAAUUGCUGCGCACUAAACGUGCAUGCAUCACGUGGUAGACUGAUAGUACUUGGUGCUAGUAGUUGAAAAUUGUUUCCCAUUAAAUCACAGAAAAUAUUCUUUAUUAUCAGAUUUUCUGGGUAAGUUGUAAUUUUCUUCCAACAAAAAAAUAUAAGAAAUUAUUAUUAUUUGAUUUGCAUUUUUGUGCAGCCCAACAUGCUUGUGUGGCAUGGAAGCAUUACUUUAUAUCGACCAAAGCAUUCUUUUUCGUGCGAUGCAAACAUAUUUUUGAUCCCAUAAAAGAAAUAUUUGUUGUAUUGAUAGAAGCAUUUUUCUAUGCUAUGGUAGCAUUUCUUCGGUUUAGAAAUUCACUUUGGUGUCGCGGAAACAAUAUCGGCGUUUGAUGGAAAUAAUUAUUUUUCACUAAUUAAAUUAUGUGGAAGCAAUACAAGAAUAUAAACGUGCACAAAGUUAUUUGAUAUACAUGGAAAACAUGACCGCUUACUUUGUGGUAUGGUAGAAGAUAUUGUUCAACACAAGCAUUUGAUGUGGUUUGAAGAGCUUUGGAAACAAAAUUUCAGUGUGAGGGAAACAAUAUUUUUGUAUAACAGAAAUAUUUUCUUGGUAAAGUAUUUAUGUGGAAGCAUAGUAACUUUAGUAAGAAUGAUCAAGUAUUGAAACAAAUUAAUCUAGUAUAACAAAAAAUGUACUCCUUUUUUACAAUAAAAGUAGAAUCAUAUUGCAAUCACACUAUUUUCACAUUUCAUAGCCCACAUAGCAGCAGUCGCUUGACAAGCUGGUCAUGGACAAGAUCAGCACACACCAUGAGCUCUCUGUCAUGAACAGUACAACUGACACCUUAGAGUACCUCGUAGAAUACUCAACAUCAUUGCCAUUAUGCAAUAAAGAAGCACAAACGAAAUUGUGGUAUAUACGACGCCUUGACAUUCAACAGCAGAGUGUGUUUCUUUCUAGUUUUCUUCCAAAAUGAAGAAAGAAUUUCACGCACUCGGAUGCUCGAAGUCACAACACACACCAUGCCCACUAUCGAUGACAGUGACAUACCUACCAUCGACAAAACACGAUAUUUUCGCUCUUCAUAGCUCUGUAGAAAUUUUGGAAGCAUGUGAAUAUUGAUAUGGAUACAAAGAAACAAUAUGAAGCAUGGAAAUGAAGCAAGCUGAACACAAUAUAGAAGCACAAGAGUGAAGCCCAGAAAGAAAAAUGUACGAGCGAUGAAGCAUAACUAUGUUGCAUAUGAAUGUUUUUGAACCGUGAAGAAGCACAUGUAUGAUAAAAAUGAAUCAUGGAAAUUGGAGGCAUCAUAUCCAUGUAAUCUCAACAUAAUUUCUUCAUAGUGGAAGCACGUAACCAAAAAAUUGGGAUACAAGAAAUUUCUGCAGUCUUGCAAAUUAAGACAAUGAAGGGGUGGCAUGCAUCUUGUCUAUAAUAUAUGUGAAAUGUAGGAAGCAUGGUUUAGUCAACCGAGUAAGUAAAUAGAUGAUCCCAACACAUAUGCAAGUCAUGGAGACGAAGAAAAAGUAAACACAAUGUAGAAGCACAAGUUGGAUAUGUAUCAAGCAAACUGGACUUACUGUAAAAGCAUUGACACGGUAGCACAAGUACUAUUAGAAACCUGAUUGCAUACGUGAAAUUAACAAAGUAAACUCAAGAAUAGUUAAAAUCUAGGAUAUAUGAUUAGAAUAGGGGGCGAUUAGCAAUGUGAUACCAUCGUUUAUGAGCAGGUACUUAGAAGAGUGCAAAGCUACGGGAGGCAACUGUUGAUUCUCCAGUCGGCCAAUGGGUAGUACUCCGGUAGCUAAUGUGCGGCAAAAUCGGGGAGGACGAGACGACCAGUGCAGUUGACGCCAAGAUCGAGGGACGUGCGGUGAGGCGAGGGGAGAAGAGGACCUAGGUGGUGAGUGCUUGUGGUACUUGGCGACGAGGUGAGAUGGAGGCAGGAGGUGAACCGCGAAAUCACAGAGGACGAGGUUGCACGGUUGACGUCGAUAUUGUCGGGGGUCCAUCUGAGGCGAGGGUAAUCAGGAGGGACAUGCGUGUGAGUAAUUAGGGAGGGAAUUUAGGCUGCUAAGAUUUUUUUCCCAUAGGAAGCAAUGAGAUAAGACUGAUCUAUGGCCAUGAGAUUAAAACUGAAUCGACAUCACUCGAGCAGUCUGAUGGUGGCCUCGUAUCAUACUACCGACACAAAGUGUUUCCCACAAUUAAAAGGGCAUGGUGAUGAUGUGGGGGCAUUUCUAUUCCUCGUUGAAAACCUAGUAUUAUUUCGAGUCGGAGUCGUGCGAUGGUUAAUUCCUACCAACCCUCUCCCUUGGGACAUGCAAGUAGUACUUUGAUUUGCGGUAAGACAAAUAAAACUUUGUAAUAAGUAUAUGAGUUCUUCAUGACUAAUGUGAACCAUGGACAUACGAAAUCUCACCUCCUCAUAUUUGCUAGCCUCUCUAGUACCGUGCAUAGCCAAUUAUCACUUUAUUUGAGUUCUUCAUGACUAAUGUGAAUCAUGGACAUACGAAAUCUCACCUCCUCAUAUUUGCUAGCCUCUCUAGUACCGUGCAUAGCCAAUUAUCACUUUAUUUGAGUUCUUCAUGACUAAUGUGAAUCAUGGACAUACGAAAUCUCACCUCCUCAUAUUUGCUAGCCUCUCUAGUACCGUGCAUAGCCAAUUCUCACUCUGAGGAUUGGUGCGACUUUCGCCCAUGCAUCCAAACCCCGUGACAUGAUACACUCUAUUUCACAUAAGCCUUAUUAUAUCCUUCUCAAAAUAGCUACCAUACCUACCUAUUAUGGAAUUUCCAUAACCAUUCCGAGAUAUAUUGCCAUGCAAAUUCCAUCGUAACUUCACAUGACUAGUCCGUUUAUCAUCAUAUUGCUUUGCAUGACCAUAUAGAGAUGACAUAGUAUUUGUGGCAAAGCCACCAAAAAUUCAUAUGCUGAAUACAUGUCACGCUAUAUCAUUGCACAUCCUGGUACACUGCUGUGACGCCCGGAUAUUUAAGGUACAGUAAUACCCCUGCUUAUGAUGACACGUCACCAUGGUUACUGUUGAUAAACUCUUGUUGAUUCAAAGUCCAAUUCAAAUUGAAACUUGAAAUAAAGUCAAAAGAUAAAAGUUGUCCAAUGUCAAAAUAAAAAUGUUCGGUGUGUGUCAAAUAAUACAUAGGAAAUUGUCUUUUAGGAAUUAUUAAUUUUGGAGGUAUUUAAAUUCACUAAAAUAAAACAAAACUAAAACUAAAAAUAAAGUAAAAAGAAAAAAUAAGAAAAAAGGGAACCCCUAACCCCGUGGCCGGCCUAGCUGGGCCUCGGCCCACCUGGCCAGCCAGCCCAACCGGCCGACCCACCUAAACCCCCUCGGGUAUAUAAAUCUACCCCUAAACCCUAAACCUCACCCCACAUCUCACUCCCNNNNNNNNNNNNNNNNNNNNNNNNNNNNNNNNNNNNNNNNNNNNNNNNNNNNNNNNNNNNNNNNNNNNNNNNNNNNNNNNNNNNNNNNNNNNNNNNNNNNNNNNNNNNNNNNNNNNNNNNNNNNNNNNNNNNNNNNNNNNNNNNNNNNNNNNNNNNNNNNNNNNNNNNNNNNNNNNNNNNNNNNNNNNNNNNNNNNNNNNNNNNNNNNNNNNNNNNNNNNNNNNNNNNNNNNNNNNNNNNNNNNNNNNNNNNNNNNNNNNNNNNNNNNNNNNNNNNNNNNNNNNNNNNNNNNNNNNNNNNNNNNNNNNNNNNNNNNNNNNNNNNNNNNNNNNNNNNNNNNNNNNNNNNNNNNNNNNNNNNNNNNNNNNNNNNNNNNNNNNNNNNNNNNNNNNNNNNNNNNNNNNNNNNNNNNNNNNNNNNNNNNNNNNNNNNNNNNNNNNNNNNNNNNNNNNNNNNNNNNNNNNNNNNNNNNNNNNNNNNNNNNNNNNNNNNNNNNNNNNNNNNNNNNNNNNNNNNNNNNNNNNNNNNNNNNNNNNNNNNNNNNNNNNNNNNNNNNNNNNNNNNNNNNNNNNNNNNNNNNNNNNNNNNNNNNNNNNNNNNNNNNNNNNNNNNNNNNNNNNNNNNNNNNNNNNNNNNNNNNNNNNNNNNNNNNNNNNNNNNNNNNNNNNNNNNNNNNNNNNNNNNNNNNNNNNNNNNNNNNNNNNNNNNNNNNNNNNNNNNNNNNNNNNNNNNNNNNNNNNNNNNNNNNNNNNNNNNNNNNNNNNNNNNNNNNNNNNNNNNNNNNNNNNNNNNNNNNNNNNNNNNNNNNNNNNNNNNNNNNNNNNNNNNNNNNNNNNNNNNNNNNNNUGAUGCUGACAUCAUGGUGAUGUCAUAACUAAAAUGUUUGAAUUAAAAUUAAUCUGUUUUAAUUUGUGAAUAUUGAAUAAAACUUUAAAAAUUAAUAAUAAAUAAAUCGUAAGUCAGAUGAAAAUAUUUUGUACAUGAAAGUUGAUCAGAAAAACGAGACGAAACCGGAUACGCUAUCCGUUCGUGUGUCACGCGUCCCUAGCAUAGAAAACGUGGAACUUUUCUAUCGUUUUCGUCUGACUAGUAGUAGUCAGAGACCCGGAAAAUAUCAUAUGAUAUUUUCCCGAUCCGUCUAUGACAGAUGAUACUGCGUUAGCUCAUGCCUAGCCCUCCAUUUGACAUGUCAUGCUUAGUGUUGCACCUGUUGUUGUUAUUUAUUUUUUCUUCACCCCUCUUCUCACUGUAGAUGCCGAGACUGAUGUUGCUGUCGAGUACGACUACCCACCGGAUGACCAACCCUUUGCCGCAGAGCAACAAGGCAAGCAAACCGCCUUGAUCAUUCCUAUAUCGCCCAUUUCUUUCUCCCUCAUGUUUGCAUUGGAAUUUUGCUACUGUUGAUAGUUAGCUCAUAUAUCUGAUGCAUAGCCUAAUUUUGAUGAACUGCUACUUUCCAGUACCACACUUUAAAUUUUGCUACUUGCCCCGCUUUAUCGUCCAGUCUCGAUCUGAUCGACGAGCCAAGACCCUACACCGCACUUACACCCUCCUUAGUUGUACGACGCUGCAGAGCUACUAUCGGGUUCGAGGUUGACACCUCGUUACGUACCCUGAUGUUAGCGUUGUAGUGUAGUUUGUUUGGCGGUGGCUCUCGGAGGGUGAUUCCUCGUUCACCACCCCCGAUAACGACUCUAUCGUACAACCCCUCAAGUUGGUCCAGCGAGGGUGAUUCCUCCCUGGCCACCUUGACGGUUACAUCGUAAGACAUCCAUCGAGGGUGAUACCUCGGACCACUCUGAUGUUACAACCACAUAGUUACUCGACUGUGCUACUAGGCACAUUAAUGAACAAUGUUUGGCGGUUGGAUUCCCACGUAGAUGUGUCGAUGAGUUUAAUUAAAAUGCUAAGGAUUUGGGUAUUUGAUCUGGGUUGGUCGGAGACCUUUACGCACUAACCGUCUACGUGGGAGGAGUUAUGGGUUCUCGACGUCGUGGUAUCAACCUAAUCUCUUCAGAUGUCAGCAAUGGAGCGACGCGUGCCCGAGUGGUUUGGAUUAUCACUGAUCUUGCAUAAGAUGUGCCACGACUGACCUCGGCUACCCUCGCAACGUGCAGGAGCGCAAUGGGUGAUGGGCCCAUGAACCCUGCACGCUUAGGAUUUAGACUGGUGGGCUGGCCUCGCUGUUGAGCUUAGGUGGGGCUGCGACGUGUUGAUGUGUUGAGGCCGGGCAUGACCCAAGAAAGUGUGUCCGACCAGAGUGUAUUCAAGCGUGACGGGAAAUUUGGUGCACCCGUGCAGGAAAGAGAUAAACUAUUCAGAUAGUCGUGUCUGCGGUUACAUGAUGACUUGGAGUUGUGCCCUCAUCUUAUACAACUACAAUGGUUACUUAACUAGUAUGUUUGCCCGAGGAUUGAUUCCUCGUAGGGAUUCGAGGUAGAAUGUUUGGGCGUGACUUUAAUUAAUAUUGCUGCAACAAUAUGACUAUUAAUUGUAUUACCUUGAUCUACUCUCGUCUAUUGCUGCAAGACCCCUGAAGAUGUUAGUCUUUGAUAGGACUAGACUUCUGUCUUUAUUCUUGCAUUGCUGCAGUCAGUGCACAUAUAACCCCUUCCUUUGAUACCGAUGCAUACUUAGCAUAGUUUUGAUGUGAGUCUUGCGAGUACUUUGGAUGAGUACUCACUGUUGCUUUGCUCCCCCUUUUCCCCUUGAUACGUUGUUGUGACCAGAUGUUGGAGCCCAGGAGAUGGCGUUUCCCGCGGCCGAUGACUGCUACCCGGACGGUUCCUACUACUACGUGGAGGCUGCUGAAGACCAGGAGUAGUUAGGAGGUUCCCAGGCAGGAGGCCUCGCCUCACUCGAUCGAUGUAGCUUUGUGCUAGCCUUCUCUAAGGCACCUCAUGUUUUAUGUCCGUACACAGAUAUUUCUUGCUUCCGCUGACUUGUGUUUAUCGAGCUUUUGUAUUCUAGACCUCGAGGCCCCUGGCUUGUAAUAUGAAGCUUGUAUAUUUUAUUUGUGUCUAGAGUUGUGUUGUGAUAUGUCCCCGUGAGUCCUUUGAGCUUGGUCGUACGCAUUUGCGCAUUUGCAUGUAUGAUUAGCGUACGAUCAAAUCGAGGGCAUCACAAGUUGGCACCAGAGCCGACUGUUUGUAGGUAGUUGAUACGUCUCAAAUGUAUCUAUAAUUUUUGAUGGUUUCAUGCUGUUAUCUUGUCAUCUUUGGAUGUUUUAUGUACCUUUUAUAUCUUUUUUGGGACUAACUUAUUAAUUCAGUGCCAAGUGCCAGUUCCUGUUUUUUCUGUGUUUUUGGCUCUUUUCAGAUCUGAUUUUGGAACGGAGUCCAAACGGAAUAAAAUCCCCGAAAUGAUUUUUUCCCGAACGAAAGAAGAUUAGGGGGCUUGUGGGCCAAGCCAGGAGGGCUACCAGGGGGGCGGUGGGCAGGUUUGUGGCCUCCCUGGCGCCCCCCUGACCUAGAUCUUGCGCCUAUAUAUUCCCUAAAAAUCAGAAAAAAAUCAACGGCUCCACGAAAAUACUUUUCCGCCGCCGCAAGCUUCCGUUUCGGCGAGAUCUCAUCUGGAGACCCUUCCCGGUGCCGUGCCGGAGGGGACUUUGGAGUUGGAGGGCUUCUACAUCAACAUCAUCGCCCCUCCAAUGACUCGUGAGUAGUUCAAUUCAGACCUACAGGUCUGUAGUUAGUAGCUCGAUGGCUUCUUCUCUCUCUUGGAUCUUCAAUACAAAGUUCUCCAUGAUCUUCAUGGAGAUCUAUCCGAUGUAAUCUUCUUUGGCGGUGUGUUUGUCGAGAUCCGAUGAAUUGUGGAUUUGUGAUCAGAUUAUCUAUGAUAUAUAUUUGAGUCUUUGCUAAUUUCUUAUAUGCAGGAUUUGAUAUCCUUGUAAGUCUCUCCGAGUCUUGGGUUUUGUUUGGCCAACUAGAUCUAUGAUUCUUGCAAUGGGAGAAGUGCUUGGUUUUGGGUUCUUACCGUGUGGUGACCUUUCCCAGUGACAUUAGGGGCAGCAAGGCACACAUCGUGUAGUUGCCAUCAAGGGUAACAAGGUGGGCUUUGUCGUAGAUAUGAGAUUGUCCAUCUACAUCAUGUCAUCUUGAUUAAGGCGUUACUCUGUUCUUUUGGACUUAAUACACUAGAUGCAUGCUGGAUAGCGGUCGACGGUGGAGUAAUAGUAGUAGAUGCAGAAAGUAUCGGUCUACUUGUUUUCGAUGUGAUGCCUAUAGAUAUAAUCAUUGCCAUAGAUGACGUCAUGACUUUGCGCGGUUCUAUCAAUUGCUCGACAGUAAUUUGUUCACCCACCGUCUACUUGCUUUCAUGAGAGAAGGCACUAGUAAACACUAUGGCCCCCGUGUCUAUUCACACCUAUCGUUUCCACUGUCGCUUUUACUUUGCUUUGUUACUUUGUUGCUUUCAGUUAUCACUUGGCAAACAAUCUGUAAGGGAUUGAUAACCCCUUCAUAGCGUUGGGAGCAAGCUUUUUGUGUUUGUGCAGGCUCUUGUGAUACUCCUUCACUGGAUCGAUACCUUGGUUCUCAAACUGAGGGAAAUACUUACCACCGCUGCGCUACAUCACCCUUUCCGCUUCGAGGGAACACCAACGCAAGGCUCCAAGGCCACGGGGAAAAUGCUUUACAUAUUUGCCUAGGAAGUCCCUUAAGGCGUAGCCGUAGCAGAAGGAUUCCUGGUGCCGUCAACACACCUAUUUCUGGCACCGUUGGAAGGUCUUUUGUUGCAAUAGCAAAAGUAUUUCUGGCGCCAUUGCCGGGGAAGGAGAGAUCUAUCCAAGUAGGUCUCACAAACUCAUCUCUUGCAUUUACUUUUUUGCCAGUUGCCUUUCGUUUUCCUCUCCCCCACUUCACAUUUUCCGUUUUCAUUUGCCUUUCUCCUUUGCCUUUUUCGUUUGCCUUUUUGUUCGCCCUUUUCUUUCGCUUGCUUUCUGUUCGCUUGUGUGCUAUGUGCCUCCAAUAUGCUUGCAUCUUCGCUUGUUGAAAAUCUAGUGAUAUGGAUCCUCAUCCACUUGCUAAUCUCUUUAAGAGAUCCAAGUAUGUUGAGCCAAUUGCUAGUGAGUUGAGUGCACUUGACUUUUUCUAUGGAGUUUUGCUUGGGAUGCGUGAAUCUGAAAAUCGUGAUGAGGAAAUUUAUGAAGUGAUUCACGAGGGCUCCUUGGAUGAAAAGCAUGAUUUCAAUGAUUUCACUAUAAAUCCUGUUAGUGACAAUCAUGCUAAAAAUAUGCAAAAUGCUAAGCUUGAGGAUGCUAGCUUUGCUAGGUCCACUACUUGUUGCAAUGAUCAUGAAUGGGGUGAUGAUUUUUCUUAUGAUCUUGAAAAGCCUCAUGAUGAAUAUGAUAUUUGCAAUAAUAUUGAAAGUGGGUUUGGAGAAGUCAUGACUUUAGUUGAUGACAAUCCCACUAUUUUUGNNNNNNNNNNNNNNNNNNNNNNNNNNNNNNNNNNNNNNGAGCGUCAACUUUGCAUGCAUGUGGAUCAUGAAAAGAAUAUCCUUUGUGAUAGCUAUAUUGUUGAAUUUGAUUAUGAUCCCUCAUGUAAUUGCUAUGAGAGAGGAUCAUAUGCUUCUACUUAUUGCAAUAGUAUCAAGCUUCCUUUCCAUGUGUUGAAAUUUUUGAAGCUAUGCUUGUUUUGCCUUUCUAUGCUAGUUGAUUCUUGCUCCAACAAGUUGUUUGUUCACAAAAUCCCUAUGCAUAGGAAGUGGGUUAGACUUAAAUGUGCUAGCCAUAUGCUUUAUGAUGCUCUCGUUGUGCUUCAACUCUUGUCUUUUGUGUGAGCAUCAUUGAUGCCUAGCUAAGGGCGUUAAACAAAAGCGCUUGUUGGGAGGCAACCCAACGAAUCUAUCCUUUUUAUUUCUGUUUUGUGUUUUCCACACUUUCAUAAUUCUGUUAUGAUUGUGUUUUUUGUGUUUCUUUUUGCGUUUGUGACAAGCAAAACCGUUAUGAUUAGUGUUGGGGAUGAUCGUUUGGUCAUGCUAGAAAAGACAGAAACUUUCUGCUCAUGAAAAGAAUUUUCAUUUUUUUAUGUAAGUGCUUUUGAGUUGAUUCUUUUUGCUGCUAAUUGUUACGCAAAUUCUUCAGACUGUCGUAAUUGUUCAGAAUUUUGGAAGUAACAGAAGUAUACGAAAUAUACAGAUUUCUACAGACUGGUCUGCUGUUAAGAGAUUCUGUUUUUGUUGUGUUGGUUGCUUAUUUUGAUGAAACUAUGGAUAGUAUCGGGGGGUAUUAGCCAUAGAAGAUUGAAAAUACAGUAACCCAACAUCAGCAUAAGUAGAAUUUAAGUUUUCUACAGUACCUAAGGAAGUGGUGGUUUGCUUUCUCAUACUAAUGUUAUCUCGAGUUUCUGUUUAAGUUUCGUGUUGUGAAGUUUUCAAGUUUUGUGUGAAGUUCUUAUGGACAAAGAGAUAAAGAGUGGCAAGUGCUCAAGAUUGGGGAUGCCCAAGGAACCCCAAGAGAUUCAAGGAUGUCGUAAAAGCCUAAGCUUGGGGAUGCCCCGGGAAGGCAUCGCCUCUCUCAUCUUCAAUCCAUCGGUAACGUUACUUGGGGCUAUAUUUUUAUUCACCACAUGUUAUGUGUUUUUUCUUGGAGCGUCUUGUAUCGUAGGAGUCUUUUAUGUUUUUUCUAUCACAAUCAUCCUUGCUUCACACCUAGAGAGAGAUACAUGCACUCACCGUGAUUUUGUCGAGCUUCACUUAUAUCUUUUGGUAGACAAUUCAGCUCACAUGUGCUUCACUUAUAUCUUUUGAGCUAGAUACUUUUGCUCUAUGUGCUUCACUUAUAUCUUUUAGAGCGCAGCGGUGCGUGGCUUGGUAGUUGAUCUAUGCUUUGAAAGUAGUCUCAAAAGGGGUAGUUAUCCAAAGGGAUACGAAAACUUCCACCUUCAUGUGCAUUGAAUAGUUAGAGAGGUUUGAUUCAUCUAAUUAGUUUUGAGUUGUGGUUCUGGUAAUAUUGAAGUUAUGCUAGUAAGGUGUUGUGGAUCUAGAAAUACUUGUGUUGAAGUUAGUGAUUCCCGUAGCAUGCACGUAUGGUGAACCGCUAUGUGAUGAAAUCUGAGCAUGAUUAGUCUAUUGAUUGUCAUCCUUUGCGUGGCGGUCGGGAUCGCGCGAUGGUUUAUACCUACCAACCCUUCCCCUAGGAGUAUGCGUUGAAUGCUUUGUUUCGAUUACUAAUAAAACUUUUGCAACAAGUAUAUGAGUUCUUUAUGACUAAUGUUGAGCCCAUGGUUUAGAUGCACUUUCACCUUCCACCAUCACUAUCUUCUUAGUGCCGUGCAACUUUCGCCGGUGCACAAAACCCACCAUUAGCCUCCCUCAAAACAGCCACCGUACCUACCUACUAUGGCUUUUUCAAAGUCAUUCCGAGAUAUAUUGCCAUGCAACUACCACCAUGACUUGUACCACCACGUCUACAUUUCCAUUGCAUGAUCGUAAGAUAGCUAGCAUGAUGUUUCCAUUAAUGUCUAUGCCAUGCUAGAUGAUUGUCAUGGUACACUACCGAAGGCAUUCCAUAUAGAGUCAUCAUUGCUCUAAGUUUUGAGUUGAAAGUGUGAUGAUCAUCAUUAAUGGAGCAUUGUCCCAUGUGAGGAAAUAAAAGAGGCCAAAGAAUCCCACCAACAAAAAAAUAUCAAAAAAAGAGGCCAAAGAGCCCACAAAAAAAUGAGAGAAAAAGAGAGAAGGGACAAUGUUACCACAUCUCCACACUUGUGCAUAUUAAGCACCAUGAUCUUCAUGAUUGAGAGUCUCUCAUUUUGUCACCACCAUAUAGCUAGUGGGAAAUUUUCAUUAUAUAACUUGGCUUGUAUAUUCCAAUGAUAGGCUUCCUCAAAAUUGCCUUAGGUCUUCGUGAGCAAGCAAGUUGGAUGCACACCCACUAGUUUUCUUUAAGAGCUUUCACAUACUCUUAGCUCUAGUGCAUCAUUUGUAUGGCAAUCCCUACUCAUUCACAUUGAUAUCUAUUGAUGAGCAUCUCCACAACUCAUUGAUAUGCCUAGUUAAUGUGACCAUCUUCUCCUUCUUUUUUGUCUUGCAAACUCCACCACACUCCACACCACUUAUAGUGCUAAAACCAUGGCUCACACUCAUGUAUUGCGUGAGAGUUGAAAAGGUUUGAGAAAGUAAAGGUGUGAAACAAUUACUUGGACAAUACCGGGGUUGCGCAUGAUUUAAAUUCGUUGUGCAAUGAUGAUAGAGCAUAGCCAGACUAUAUGCCUUUGUAGGGAUAACUUUCUUUUGGCCUUGUUAUUUUGAAAGUUCAUGAUUACCUUGCUAGUUUGCUUGAAUUAUUAUUGUUUCCACGUCAAUAGAAAACUAUUGUUUUGAAUCUAAUGGAUCUGAAUAUUCACGUCACGCAAGAGGAGUUACAAAGGACAUCUAUGCUUGGUAGCAUGAAAGCAUCAAAAAUUCAUUCUUUAUCACUUCCCUACUCGAGGACGAGCAGGAGUUAAGCUUGGGGAUGCUUGAUACGUCUCAAACGUAUCUAUAAUUUUUGAUGGUUUCAUGCUGUUAUCUUGUCAUCUUUGGAUGUUUUAUGUACCUUUUAUAUCUUUUUUGGGACUAACAUAUUAAUUCAGUGCCAAGUGCCAGUUCCUGUUUUUUCUGUGUUUUUGGCUCAUUUCGGAUCUGAUUUUGGAACGGAGUCCAAAUGGAAUAAAAUCCCCGAAAUGAUUUUUUCCCGAACGGAAGAAGUUCAGGGGGCUUGUGGGCCAAGCCAGGAGGGCUACAGGGAGCCCACAAGCUCCCACUCUGCCACUAGGGGGGCGGCGGUUGGCAGGCUUGUGGCCUCCCUGGCGCCCCCUGACCUAGAUCUUGCGCCUAUAUAUUCCAUAAAAAUCAGAAAAAAAUAAAGGGAUCCAAGAAAAUACUUUUCCGCCGCCGCAAUCUUCCGUUUCCGUGAGAUCUCAUCUGGAGACCCUUCCCGGCGCCCUGCUGGAGGGGACUUUGGAGUUGGAGGGCUUCUUCAUCAUCAUCAUCGCCCCUCCAAUGACUCAUGAGUAGUUCACUUCAGAACUACGGGUCCGUAGUUAGUAGCUAGAUGGCUUCUUCUCUCUCUUGGAUCUUCAAUACAAAGUUCNNNNNNNNNNNNNNNNNNNNNNNNNNNNNNNNNNNNNNNNNNNNNNNNNNNNNNNNNNNNNNNNNNNNNNNNNNNNNNNNNNNNNNNNNNNNNNNNNNNNUGAUGUNNNNNNNNNNUAUCAUCUAUAUGAUUCAUGAUCGACCUUUCGGUCUCAUGUGUUCCGAGGCCAUGUCUGCACAUGCUAGGCUCGUCAAGCUUAACCCGAGUGUUCCGCGUGCGCAACUGUUUUGCACCCGUUGUAUGUGAACGUUGAGUCUAUCACACCCGAUCAUCACGUGGUGUCUCGAAACGACGAACUGUAGCAACGGUGCAUAGUCGGGGAUAACACAAUUUCGUGUUGAAAUUUUAGUGAGAGAUCACCUCAUAAUGCUACCGUCGUUCUAAGCAAAAUAAGGUGCAUAAAAGGAUUAACAUCACAUGCAAUUCAUAAGUGACAUGAUAUGGCCAUCAUCAUGUGCUUCUUGAUCUCCAUCACCAAAGCACCGGCACGAUCUUCUUGUCACCGGCGCCACACCAUGAUCUCCAUCAACGUGUUGCCAUCGAGGUUGUCGUGCUACUCAUCCUAUUACUACUAAAGCUACAUCCUAGCAAAAUAGUAAACGCAUAUGCAAGCACAAACAUUAGUAUAAAGACAACCCUAUGGCUCCUGCCGGUUGCCGUACCAUCGACGUGCAAGUCGAUAUUAUCUAUUACAACAUGAUCAUCUCAUACAUCCAAUAUAUCACAUCACAUCAUUGGCCAUAUCACAUCACAAGCAUACACUGGAAAAACAAGUUAGACGUCCUCUAAUUUUGUUGUUGCAUGUUUUACGUGGUGACCAUGGGUAUCUAGUAGGAUCGCAUCUUACUUACGCAAACACCACAAUGGAGAUAUAUGAGUUGCUAUUUAACCUCAUCCAAGGACCUCCUCGGUCAAAUCCGAUUCAACUAAAGUUGGAGAAACCGACACUUGCCAGUCAUCUUUGAGCAACGGAGUUACUCGUAACGAUGAAACCAGUCUCUCGUAAGCGUACGAGUAAUGUCGGUCCAAGCCGCUUCAAUCCAACAAUACCGCGGAAUCAAGAAAAGACUAAGGAGGGCAGAAAAACGCAUAUCACCGCCCACAAAAACUUUUGUGUUCUACUCGAGAAGACAUCUACGNNNNNNNNNNUGGCGCACCAGCCCUUAGUGGGCUGGUGGGACAGCCCAAAGGGGCCCUAUGCGCAUUGGAAGGAAAAAUCAAAGAGAAAGAAAAAAAAGAGGAGGUGGGAAGGGAAGGAAGGACUCCCACCCACCAAACCAAGUCCAACUCGGUUUGGGGGGGGAGACCUUCCCCCUUGGCUCGGCCGACCCCCUUGGGGCUCCUUGAGCCCCAAGGCAAGGCCCCCCCCUCUCCCACCUAUAUAUACGGAGGUUUUAGUGUUGGGGAACGUCGCACGGGAAACAAAAAAUUUCCUACGCGCACGAANNNNNNNNNNUGGCAAGGCCCCCCCUCUCCCACCUAUAUAUACGAAGGUUUUAGGGCUGAUUUGAGUCGACUUUUCCACGUCAGCCCGACCACAUACCUCCACGGUUUUUCCUCUAGAUCACGUUUCUACGGAGCUCGGGUGGAGCCCUGCUGAGACGAGAUCAUCACCAACCUCCAGAGCGCCGUCACGCUGCCGGAGAACUCUUCUACCUCUCCGUCUCUCUUGNNNNNNNNNNGAGACAAGGUCAUCACCAACCUCCGGAGCGCCGUCACGCUGCCGGAGAGCUCUUCUACCUCUCCGUCUCUCUUGCUGGAUCAAGAAGGCCGAGAUCAUUGUCGAACUGUACGUGUGCUGAACGCGGAGGUGUCGUCCGUUCGGUACUAGAUCGUGGGACUGAUCGCAGGAUUGUUCGCGGGGCGGAUCGAGGGACGUGUGGACGUUCCACUACAUCAACCGCGUUAUCUAAUGCUUCUGCUGUACGGUCUACAAGGGUACGUAGAUCACUCAUCCCCUCUCGUAGAUGNNNNNNNNNNGUAGGACUGAUCGCGGGAUUGUUCACGAGGCGGAUCGAGGGACGUGAGGACGUUCCACUACAUCAACCGCGUUCACUAACGCUUCUGCUGUACGAUCUACAAGGGUACGUAGAUCACUCAUCCCCUCUCGUAGAUGGACAUCACCAUGAUAGGUCUUCGUGCGUGUAGGAAUAUUUUUGUUUCCCAUGCGACGUUCCCCAACAGUGGCAUCAUGAGCUAGGUUCAUGCGUAGAUGUCUUCUAGAGUAGAACACAAAAGUUUUUGUGGGCGGUGAUGUGCAUUUUGCUGCCCUCCUUAGUCUUUUCUUGAUUCCGCGGUAUUGUUGGACUGAAGCAGCUUGGACCGACAUUACUCGUACGCUUACGAGAGACUGGUUUCAUCGUNNNNNNNNNNNNNNNNNNNNNNNNNNNNNNNNNNNNNNNNNNNNNNNNNNNNNNNNNNNNNNNNNNNNNNNNNNNNNNNNNNNNNNNNNNNNNNNNNNNNCGAUGGCAAAUAUGGAUGGCAUAUAUAUCAUGUGAUAGGCAGCGGGCAUGUAACGAAGGAAACGUAACUCUAAGCAUAACAAAGCUAGAAACGGUGUCAAGGUCACGGUCAUCUUGCGUGUGAUUUCUUCAGACUGGAACUGCUCUUGUUCUUCCUGCACGAACUCUCCAGAAUCCACGUACUCGCUCUCCGUUCCUGAUGCUACCCAAAGAUAAGAUAACAGCAAAUAAACACCAGCAAAACAUAAUGCAACAAAAAAAUAUGAUGCAUGUGUGAUGAAGAGGGCAUGCAUCACUAUUCUAGUCACUUUCACAUGCAUUAGUUGAGUUGUUUAUAUUUUGGACAAAACCUCAUGUCAAUUUAUCUUGACAUGCAUGAAGAUGGCAUAAACAUGUGCAUCACAAGAAAACUAUGCAAAAACCUAUAAAGCAUGUCAUGAACGGAGUCUCGGAUCAACCGGAAGUCGUGAACGGAGUCUCGGAUAAACCAGAAACUACAAAACAAGUUACGAAGGUCUACGGAUUCAAAACAGCCACAAACACAAUUAUGUGGGCACUCACUGGUCUAACCAGGUUGCCAAAUGAGAAAGCACCAAAAUACCAGUGGAACGGUGUUUGAGAACACACAAAACCAUCACCCAUAACUCACACAUGCUCAAAAACCAGUUUGACACACAAUCUGUUUCUAACAGCAACACUUUGACUACAAUAUCUGUAACAGCUAUAGCCCUCUAAAUGAUUCAAACAAGACAUGAAACUGAAGCCAUCCAACUGCAUUACCACCUCCAACAAGUAUCUAAGGCAAAGAGAUUACACAUCAGCAGAUAUACAGCCCCUAACUUGGCAAAAUAUCACAGAUUGGGACUUAGUAAAAAUUACAGAUUUUCACCAGCUGCUUAUGCUCUAAAUCAUUUUGGCACCCUCCAAUAGGAUAUCUACAUGAGGUAUCUGGGCAUGAAAUUUGAUAGAGAGCUAGACAAACAUACCAGAAAACAAAAAAUAGUUUGUUGCUUGGGCUAAUUCCCAACAGAGGAGCAAAUAUGAACAACACAACACGGCAAGAAAAUAACCCCAGAUUUCCAGACUUAGUGAAAUUCACAGUUUUUCUCAAAACUGUCAUUUUCAGUCAAGUGCCCACUUUGAAAAGGUGUAAUAAGAACAUGCAAAAUCCUAAGAGCAAAAUAUAUGUACCAAGUUGUAGAGGGGUUCACCCACUACCAUAUUUAUCUAUGAAGCAGCCCAAAAGAACAUCACUCUACCUAUUAUGAGGCUCUAAACAGGGCAAGAAAACAUAAGUUGCAACACUUAGGGAAUAUUACUACAUCCACAAACAACAAAANNNNNNNNNNUAUAGUGAGGGGGUCCACCUGGCAGUGGCCCUCACAGGAUGACAUGUGGGUCCUCACAGUGGCCCACUGUCAUACACACAGCACCCAAACUCACAAACAUAAGCAAAAUAAAGGUGCAAGAGGGGGGAUUCGAACCCACCACCUCUCUGCUACACACCUCACCAGCUACCACAUGGCUAGCACCCUGUUGUUGUUCUAACAGGGGAGAUAAAUCAGCUAAGCUACCUGCUACCGAUUCUACCGCAGGGGAGAAACACCAGAAAAACACAAGACGCGAGGGGGAUUCGAACCCACGAUCCCCUGGUCGGGGUGCAGCUCUGGAACCAUUGGGCUAGGAGGGGGUCUGAACCAGAAGGGGUUCUGCCCCAGAGAGGCUAAAUUACACAGCACCACAUCUUCUUCUACCUCCAGAACAGGGAAGGAUGAGGUCGACUCCGGCGAUGAUGCGGCAAUGGUGACAGCAACGAGAGACCGACGGGGAUGCGGGAACCUCAGGGGGUUCCAUUCCCGUGCCUAACUCCACGGAGAGCCCGCAACGGCGGCUCGACGGCGCUACUCCUCCUCUGCCACGGCGGCGAUGACAGCAACUACAGCUAUGCUACGGCGACCCUACGGGGAAGCGGAGAGGGGAAGGCGACACGAUGGCUCACCCUGAGAGACUCGUAGACGCGCUUGACGCCGAGAGGAAGGAAGAAGAGGCGGGGCGACGGCGACGGCACUGCUCCGCUCUGAUCCUGAUGAAGCCGUCGUGGAGGAGGCAGCAGAGGAAGGGAUCCACCCCUCUAGCGACUGGAACGGGUCAAGGGAGGACCCAGCAUCCUAAGUGCGCGCUUGGACUUGACGGAGAAGCACCGACGAUGAGGGGGGAACGAUGGCGAGAGCAACGGCACUGUCUCUAAACCUCUCUCUCUCUCUCUCUCUCUCUAAAUCCCUCUCUGAAUCCUUACCUACAGAGGGGGAAAGAAGAAGGAAGAGAGGCUGGCGGCGGGGAGAGGGAACCCUAAAGCACGCAUGCCGAGGGGGGCUCUAAAUAGGCGCGGAUGGGACGGCUUGACGGCGUUGGCGUCCGUGCCACGCCACGUGGCUCUCUAUCUCUCUCGCAGCUCUUUGACGGAAAGCGAACAGAGAGGAACACGGCGUGAGGAGGUAGAAGGAAAGGGGAAUGGGCUCUAGCGCCAGAGAGAAGGCAAUGGGCCAGGUCCCGUUAUGUUCCCUCACACUCUUUUAAAACACAUGUUGGUUUUCUCUUUUUUAAAAAUAAAUCAACCAGUUUUGGAAUAAAGCCAGGGAAGGAAAAAAUAAAAAUGAAUAAAAUUGAAUAUAAAUAUAAGUCUCUAAAAUGCUCCUCCUAUUUAUAAAAAUAGAUGAGGCAUUUUAGAGCUAAGUAAAUUUACUUGUUUAAUUAAAUCUGCCCCUGUUUUAAAUUAAAACAAAAAGGAAAACAACUUCAAUUAAAUGAGGGAUGUCACCCACAAAUAUCUAAAAGUAUUUCCAAAGAAGAUGAUCAUUUUUAAUGCCCCAAAACAGAAACUUAAUUCUGCCUCAAAAUAUAAAGGAGAGGUGGGGUUUGUUUGGUCUAUGGUGCAAUUAAGAUUUUUGAAGGCCCUUGUUGCACCCACACCACACUUCACAAUAACAACACAAGCCACAUGCAAUCACAUCACCAAGGUAGACAAGAACAAGACUAGCACAAGGAAGAUGCAAGAUAUGCAUGAUGCAUGAGAUGCACAUGAAAUGAUAACCACAUGAAAUGAUAAUCACCUCACCACUUCCAUAACAUAGGUUCAACAAGGUUGCCACAAUUACAAAGGCUUACAAAAGAGGAAAGAAAGCAUCUGGAUUGUUACAACUCUCCCACACUACAAGGGAAUCUCGACCCGAGAUCUAGGACUGGAAGAACUCUGGAAAUUCGGAACGGAGAUGAUCCUCGCGCUCCCAAGUGGCCUCUUUCUCGGAAUGAUGUGACCAUUGCACUUUGAGAAACUUGAUUGACUUAUUGCGGGUCUUGCGCUCAAUCACUUCAAGAACUGCAAUUGGAUGAUCAUGGUAGGAUAGGUCGGGCUAGAGGUCGAUAUCCUGGAGAUCAACUGUGUGCUCAGGAGUCUUGAAGCAUCUCCGGAGCUGAGAGACAUGAAACAUGUCAUGCACAUUUGAGAAGUUGGAAGGGAGCUCUAAUUGAUAUGCAAGAUCGCCUCUCUUGCCAACAAUUCUGAAAGGACCAACAAAACGAGGAGCAAGCUUCCCUUUGAUGCCGAAGCGCUGAGUGCCCUUCAUGGGAGACACUUUGAGAUACAUGAAAUCAUCGAGCUGAAAAGUCAUGUCACGAUGCUUGCUAUCAUAGUAACUCUUCUGACGGGACUGUGCUACUUAGAGAUUAUCCCAAAUGACACAUCACAUUUCUUAUACUUCAGCAAUCAUGUCAUUCCCAAGAAUCUGACGCUCACCAGUCUCUGACCAAUUGAGCGGGGUACGACACUUCCUGCCAUAAAGAAUCUCGAAUGGAGCCUUGCCUGAGCUUGCCUGAUAGCUGUUCUUGUAUGAGAACUCAACAAAAGGUAGGCAGUCUUCCCACUUCAUGCCAAACGAAAUCACACAGGCUCUUAGCAUAUCCUCGAGGACCUGGUUGACUCUCUCAACUUGCCCACUUGUCUGAGGAUGGAAAGUUGUACUAAAGAAAAUCUUAGUACCCAUCGCAGACUGAAAUGAAUCCCAGAACUUGGAAGUAAAGAUGUUUCCGCGAUCCGAAGAUAUCAGCAUUGGAACACCAUGUGGUAGACUAUCCUUGACGUAUACAACUCUGCAAGCUGAGCUGCCGAGAUAGACUCCUUGACUGGAAGGAAAUGAGCGACUUUGCUCAACUUUUCGAUGACGACGAAGAUGGCAUCGUUGCCUUUCUUGGACUUCGGAAACCCAGUGACGAAAUCCAUCUCAACAUGAUCGAAUUUCCUCUCGGGAAUGGGCAAGUGAUGCAAAAGACCUGCUGGAUGUUGAUUCUCUGCUUUCACUCUGCGACAAACAUCACACUCGUUUACGAACUGAGCAAUUUCAUGCUUCAUGCGAGUCCACUAGAAGGUCUGCUACAGAUCCUGAUACAUUUCGGAACUUCCUGGAUGUAUCGAGAGAAGGGAAUUACGGGCUUCUUCCAUGAUAACCUUCCUGAGCUCCCCUUUCGAAACGACAAGGCGGUCCUCGAAGAACAAGGUAUCUCUAUCAUCAACACGGAAGCACUUAUAUUUGGGAAUGAUCUUUGCCAAGCCAAUCUUAACUUUCUUCACCAUUGCAUCAAGAAGUUGAGCUUGUCGGACUUGGUCUUCCAAGGUAGGAGAAAUCUAGAGAUUAGCAAGAAAUCCCUGAGGUACUAACUGAAGGUUGAGCUUCCGGAAAUAUUCACAAAGAUCGGGCUGGAGAGGCUUCAGAAUGAGACUAUUGUAGUAAGCCUUUCUGCUCAAAGCAUCUGGAAUGACAUUAGCUUUUCCUGGAGUGUAGUCAACGCUAGGAUUGUAAUCUUAGAGAAUUUCCACCCAACGAGUUUGCCGAAGAUUGAGAUUAGGCUGGGUGAAGAUGUAUUUGAGACUCUUGUGAUCGGUGUAUACCUCAACCUGUCUGCCCAACAAGAGAUGUCUCCAAGUCCUCACAGCAUAUAUCACUGCCGCCAACUCAAGAUCAUGAGUGGGGUAAUUCUUCUCACUUGGCUUCAACUACCUCGAGGUAUAAUCUACCACUUUCUUCUCUUGCAUCAGAACUGCACCAAGACCUUGUAGAGAGGCAUCACAGAACACUUGAUAAGACAUGGAAUCAUCAGGAGGAAUCAAGACUGGAGUAGAAGUGAGCUUCUCUUUGAGUGUGUCAAAGGCCAACUGACAAUCUCGAGACCAGAGAAACUUCACACUCUUCUGAAGAAGGCUUGAGACAGGCUCAGCAAUCUUGGAGAAAUUCUCAACGAAUCUUCUGCAAUAGCUUGCAAACCCGAGAAAGCCUCGAAGCUGCUUCACAUUCUGAGGAGGUUCCAACUCAACAAUGGCCUGCACCUUUGAUGGAUCAAGUUUGAUGCCCACAGUAGAGAUGAUUUGCCCAAGGUACACAACUUCCUUCAGUCAGAACUCACAUUUGGAAAACUUAGCAUAGAACUUAUGCUCUCUUAGCUUAUCAAGCACAAGCCGGAGAUGUUCUUCAUGCUCUUCCUCAGUUUCAAAAAAUACGAGAAUGUCAGCAAGAUACAACAAGACAAAUUCAUUCUUGAAUGGGGAGAAGAUAUAAUUCAUCAUCCGACAGAAAGUCGGUGGAGCAUUGGCGAGACCGAAAGACAUCACUGUGUACUCAUACGAGCCAAAGCCUAUCCUGAAGGCAGUCUUGGGAAUGUCCUCUUCACGAAUGUAAAUCUGAUGAUAGCCCAUCCUGAGAUCAAGCUUCGAUAAGAUCUUAGCUCCUUUCAAUUGCUUGAACAACUCAUUGAUGUUGGGAAGUGGAUACUUGUUUUUGAUCGUCUUCUUUUCAAUGGGCGGUAAUCGACACAGAGUCGGUCUGUGCCAUCCUUCUUCUUGACGAAAAGAACUCCACAAACCCAAGGAGAUGAGCUUGGCCUAAUCAGACCCAGACGCUCUUGCUCAUCAAGCUACUUCUUCAGCUCCUUCGGCUCUUCUGGACCCAGUUUAUACGGCCGCUUGCAUACUGGUUCAGUACCCGGUUCAAGCUCAAUUAUGAACUCAACUGUCCGGUGCGGAGGCAUUCNNNNNNNNNNNNNNNNNNNNNNNNNNNNNNNNNNNNNNNNNNNNNNNNNNNNNNNNNNNNNNNNNNNNNNNNNNNNNNNNNNNNNNNNNNNNNNNNNNNNAUAAUAAUAACUAUAUUUAUUAUUGCCUCUAGGGCAUAAUUCCAACAGUCUCCCACUUGCACUAGAGUCAAUAAUCUAGCCCUGACAUCAUCAUGCGAAUUACAUUGUAAUAAAUCUAACACCCAUACAGUUCUGGUGUUGAUCAUGCUUUGGCCGUGGAAGAGGUUUAGUCAGCGGGUCUGCUACAUUCAGAUCCAUGUGCACUUUGCAUAUAUUUACGUCCUCUCCUUCAACGUAGUCGGGGAUGAGGUUGAAGCGUCGUUUGAUGUGUCUGGACUUCUUGUGAAACCGUUGUUCCUUUGCUAAGGCAAUGGCACCCGUGUUGUCAUAGAACAAGGUUAUUGGAUUCAGUGCGCUUGGCACCACUCCAUGAUCCGUCAUGAACUGCUUCAUCCAGACACCCUCCUUAGCCGCCUCCGAGGCAGCCAUCUACUCCGCUUCACAUGUAGAAUAUGCUACAACGCUUUGCUUGGAACUGCACCAGCUUACCGCACCCCCAUUAAGAAUAAAUACGUAUCCGGUUUGCGACUUAGAGUCGUCCGGAUCUGUGUCAAAGCUUGCAUCGACGUAACCUUUUACGGCGNNNNNNNNNNUAGGGCUGAUUUGAGACGACUUUUCCAAGGCAAGCCCCCCCCCCUCUCCCACCUAUAUAUACGGAGGUUUUAGGGCUGAUUUGAGACGACUUUUCCACGGCAGCCCGACCACAUACCUCCAUGGUUUUUCCACUAGAUCGCGUUUCUAUGGAGCUCGGGCGGAGCCCUGCUGAGACGAGAUCAUCACCAACCUCCGAAGCGCCGUCACGCUGCCGGAGAACUCUUCUACCUCUCCGUCUCUCUUGNNNNNNNNNNNNNNNNNNNNNNNNNNNNNNNNNNNNNNNNNNNNNNNNNNNNNNNNNNNNNNNNNNNNNNNNNNNNNNNNNNNNNNNNNNNNNNNNNNNNCCGAGCUCUAGCGGUACUACCGCUGAACAGGAGCGGUACUACCGCUGCCUGGCGGUACUACCGCUCGAUGCAAUGGUACUACCGCUGGGCCUCCAGCGGUACUACCGCUGACACCAGCGGUACUACCGCUCGCCCCUUGGUACUGCACAAACACUACUACCGCCGGGAAAGUCUUCGCAAAAGGGUCCGUCCACGAACUACCGCUAGGUAGAUGGAACAAAGCACCUGGAGCGGUACUACCGCUGACCAGGGGCGGUACUACCGCUAGCUAGCGGUACUACCGCUGGCUGCAGCGGUACUACCGCUAGCAGUCCAGCGGUACUACCGCUGUAACCAGCGGUACUACCGCUGGGGACCAUUUUGCAGAUAUGCUCAAAACAAAUAGGCGAGGGCCGCUCCAAAGAUAAAGGAAAGGGAGAAUGUGAAGUGUGCGUGUGUAAAGAUAGAUUCCACCCAAACCUUUCCACUACAGAUCCCCUCUUAAUAGUACGGCUUUCCUAUGACUCAAAUAAAGAGAAUCGUAGAGAGCGUCGUGCUUCCGUUCCAUGAGAGAGGAGACGUGUCGUCUUGUGCCAUUGACGUGUGCUAUCUCAAACCUUAACACACACGGUUAGUCCUGUACGGUACUGUCAUCAAUCACCAAAAUUACUUAGGCAUAAACUAUGCCCCAACAGUUUCAGCACAUACAACUGUAGAAUUUCUAUGCUCAUUUGUUUGCCUAACUUGCUUGUUAAUUGUAAUUGCAGGUGAAAGUUAACAUACAUCCUCACACAUGCCCUAGUGUGACAAGAAGGCAAAGGUUGAGGUCAGCAAAAUGCAGAUGGGUUGCAGAUGAAGUUAAGAACUGGGUCAGAGAAAAUUCAAAUAUUUCCAUGACACAGCUUCAAACUGAUCUGAAGAAUAAGUAUGGGGUUGAACUGCCAUACAUGAGAGUUUUCUAUGGUAAGCAAAUGGCCAUUGACAACAUAUAUGGUAAGUGGACUGAAAGUUUUCAUUUGCUUUAUACAUUCAAAGCUGAGGUUGAGAAGGCAUCACCAGGUAGUGUAGUUCACAUUGAUAAGCACACGGUGGAGUUUGAAAAAAAUGGCCAGAGAAGGUCCAAGGAGUGUUUUAGGAGAGCCUUUGUGUCAUUUAAGGCCUGCUGGAAAGGGUUUCUAGAUGGGUGUAGGCCAUAUCUGGCAGUAGAUGCCACUUCUCUGAAUGGGAGGUAUAGAGGACAACUUGUAAGUGCUUGUGUUGUAGAUGCAAACAACUGGAUCUUUAUAGUUGCUUAUGGUGUGCUAGAGGUAGAGAGCAUAGAGAUUUGGACAUGGUUUUUCCAGCACUUGAAGGACCUCAUAGGGCACCAAGAAGGGCUUGUCAUACACACUGAUGCAUGUAAAGGACUUGAAUCAGCUGUAGAUGAUGUGUUCCAAGGAGUAGAGCAUGGGGAGUGUAUGAGGCACCUUGCUGCUAACUUCUCCAAGAAGUUUAAGGGGAAAUUUUCUAAUGAGAACUUGUGGCCCUGUUCCCUAACUUAUAGCAGUAAAAGGCAUAACUACCAUCUGAGGCAGUUGUAUAGCAAGCCUGAUGUGAAAGAGUAUUUAGAUGAGCAUCACACCAAGAUAUGGGCCAUGGCACUUUUCAAUGAGUUCUGCAUGUUAGAUUAUGUGAACAAUAACCUUGCAGAGUCAUUUAAUUCCAAGAUAAGAAAAUGGAAAGGAUUGCACAUUGUAGAUCUGUUUGACAAGAUCAGGCAAUAUUUGAUGGAGAAAUUUGACCUGAGGCACAACAUUGCUGCUGCUACUUAUGUAGGGCACAUCAUAGUCCCUAAAGUGAUGAAAAUGCUGCUGCUAAAGUCCAAGAAUUUGGACAUGAAUAUUGUGAAGAGAAGUACAUUUCAGGCAGAGGUAAUUGCAAUUGACAAAGAGAAGAGAGAGUGGAGGUAUCCUGUGGAUCUGCAAGCAAUGACAUGUAGUUGUAGAAAGUGGCAAAUUACUGGACAACCUUGCAUACAUGCUCUCUAUUUCAUUACUUCAAUGAGAGGUCCAGUAAGUGAGAUAGAUCAGUAUGUGCAUGAAUUUUACUCAGUUAAAAGAUUCAAUCUCACUUAUGCUGAAAAUUUGCCUGCAAUGGAGGGAAAACAACAGUGGGACAUUGUUGACCCUGGGUUUAAACUCUCUACACCUGUGCAACACAUACCUCCUGGCAGACCAAGGAAGACUAGGAUAACGACACAGUCUGAAGGAAAAAGGCCUAGGAGGCAGGAGAAGGAAGUGAUCUCGUUGUGGAAGACUAGGACACCGUGGGAUCCACUUCAAAGAGUCCAUUGAUCCUGCUUUUGGAGAAGAUGAGCAUUGGGGUGCUGAUAAUGCUGGAACAGAAGCUCCAAAAUCUGCUCAAGCAACUGCCCAAACUGAAGCUCCUAACUCUCCUCCAACUGCUACUAGCUCUCCUGCUGCUGCUAGUUCUCCUCCACCUGCUACUAGCUCUCAUGCUGCUCCUGGCUCUCCUCCACCUGCUACGAGCUCUCCUUCUGCUACUUCCUCUAAGGCUGUUGAUACUGAUCUUGCUAGGUAUGCAAUAUAUUGUACUGCAUGUACAUGCAUUAAUUAUGUAGCUACUUUUUUGCUGACUGAUCUUGAUUGUGUUCAUGUUUCUCAGCCCAAGGAAAAUUUUCAAAAGGCCAGCUACAAGAGGUACAAAGCGGGGUUCACCACAGAAGAAGGCGACAUGCGGCAUGCAACCAACUGUAAGCACAAGGAGCAAGGCUACUAAUCCUGUAGCCAACACAAGGAGCAAGAUGAGCAAACUUAAUUGAUCAUGCUGUGGAAUCUAUUAUGUUUAAUGUUAGAUGUUGUCAAACAACUGUUGGUUUGUAAUGCUGGAGUGUGAACUGAUGUUUAAUGCUGGAGUGUGAACUGCUGUUUAAUGUUAGAUGAAUUGAUCAUGUUGUGGAAUCUAUUCUGUUUAAUGCUGGAGUGUGUUGUGCAAUCAUAUGAUUGCUCACUUUUGCCCCUAAAUAUCUUGCUAGGUGCUCAAAAUUGCACCUUUUACUGUCAUUCUGUGCUGAACACUGGACCACAUCUAUUUUGUUACUACCAGUCAACAUUGCCCCUAAAUACCAAAUUAAAGCAUUGGUGACAAUUUUAACACAAAUUUUGUAUUACCAAGAGAAAGUAGCCCCAACAAUGCACAAAUGAUAGAAUUACAUCUGCUCAAGUUCACAACAUUACAUCUAGGGCACAACACACUAGCAGAAACAUAGCACACACACUGCCACUUAAUUGCUUGCUUAGACCAAAUAGAAACUAAAUUAGCCACAAUGCUGAUGCCAAGAACAAAGACAAAACCCAUUGUUUCCAUGAGCUCAUUCCUUUUCUUCAACUUCAAUUGCAUUUUCUUGUUUUCAUUGUUCAGAUCCAUAACCUUCCUCUCCAUCCUACUAGCUUUGAUCCAACUACGUUCAAGUCCACCAUGGAGCUCCUCAAAAGCUUGCCCCACUAGCUCAGUGGGAGGGGGGUCAAUCCAAACAACCCAAUCACACUCAUCAGGAAGCUGUUAAAUCAGAGUUCACAUAAUUAGGUGAAAUUCAUAACUUUGCAAUAAAUCGACGAAAACAGAGUACCAAAUGAUGUUUUGAGGUCAGAUCAAUUACAUCGAGUGGACAACACAAAAACAUUCUUACCGUGCUUGCUCCACCCCAAGAAACACGGCGAGCAGGAAUUAGCCCAUGCCCCGGACAACGGUGCUUCGAGCGCUCCUCAAGGCCGUAGAAACUUUGAUUGGGAAUGAAAAACUCGGAUUGGAACUGCACAAUCCCGCAGCCAUCCACCUACGAGCCAAAAAGGCGCAUAUUACGGCCCAUCCCGCGAAACCCUAGAUGAGAAAUCCCCAAAUCCAAUGUCAACCGAAAAUCCAAAUCGACUUACCUCACUGUCUGCGGAGGAGCUUGCAGACGACAUUGCAGACGUACACAUGGACGGGCCCCAGUCGUGCCUCCCUCCCGGAGCUCCAAAUCGCCGGUGCUCUGCCGCCUUCCUGUCUCCUAUGGUCGUCGGGAGGUUGAAGAAGACGAGUGAGAUAAAUAAUUGUUCGGUCAGGUCCCACUUGUAAGGAGGGGCAUACUUGUCCAGAAAAAGUCCCGAAGACAGUCAAACUCCUUUGACUGGACGGAAACGGUGCGGAGGGGUAUUUCCAUAACGCCAUCUAACGGAAGAGGGGUAUAGUUGAGCACCGUUUUAUUUUAAGGGUAAAGAUGAGCUCGGGACAAAGUUAGGGGUAAAAAUGGAAUUGGCCCUUUUAUAUACUCACUCCUUUAUCGAUGAUUUCUUCUUCUUUGAGAAAAACCUAAGUUGUGACAAAUCAUGUGUUUAGGUCACAAAUUUAUCCAAAGAACAAAGAGAUACACAAAGGGUAGGAUGGUGUCAAACUAUCUUGCUCAUUGUUUUCGGUUGCAUUUUGUUCUUCCCUUUUUCGAUAUUCAUGGUUUUUUUCUUAACUAUUUGUUCUAGUUCAUUAAUUUCAUCUACAUUAUUGAAUGUUACAAGAUAAAUAGAUUUUAUGGUUUUCAAUGUUUUGUUGAAAGAGCCAAGAAAGCACAAUAUGCAUGUGAUGGAUGACAAACUUUCUUGGUUAUAUAAAACAACAAAAAGAAUCUCUUCUCCGCCUUUUGUUGUAUGCAUAGUCUUUGUUAGCUAUUCAUAUUGUUUUUUGGAACACCGAACGCAUUGCCGAAAGACCUGAAAUGAAUCUAGAAAAAUACAAUUAUCAAUGUGAAGGCUAGGACUUGAACCCUGAUGGGUUGGUUGCAUCACAAGGAACCAAACCAUCUGAGCUACCCUCAGUUCGCGUUACUUAUUCAUAUUUGGUUGUAACUUCUUCCCGUUUAAUGAAUGAGAUGGUAAUUGCAUAUUUGAUUAGCUAUUCAUUUUAUUGAUCAAACUUUCUUGAUCGUUUUUUGACAAAGUUGCAUGCGAUUCUCAAUUUUCAUAUGUGUUCUAUUUUGUUUUUAAGGAUCAAAACUUCUCCACGCAUGAUGCUCGCGCCCGAUCUUUGCAUGACCUGUAAGAGCAUCUACAGUCGGACUCCUCAUAUUGAUCGAGGGCACACACAGACCACUGACCGGACAUGAGAGAUAAGAAAAAAGUUGACCCAACCGGACCCCUCAUGGCCUCCUUAAAUGCUCAACCUGUCUGACACUCCUCAUAUUGCCCUUAUAUAUAGGAUGAUUAUGAGGUACGCUCGGGCAUGUCCGGUGAGUGGUCCUGCAUGCGCCACAUAGGAUUUGGCCCAUCUUUUCUCUCUCUUUGUUCUUUUUUUCUUUCUCUCACUUUCUUCACCAAUCACAUGCAUGUGAUCGGACGUAUAGGAAAAAGUGAGAGACAUGACUGUGAAAGUGAAAAGCAUAGUGCAGACUCCACACUAGGGCUAGUCCGAAGACAACCACCAUCAACAACACAACUACAAAGCAAAAGGAGCAUGUCCAAAAGUGAGCAGCAUCGUCGCGUCUCGAGCAAUGCCAGUCACCUCCGAAGACAACACCAACUCCAACUGAACUUCCCUCGUCGAUGCACAUCCACCCUUGAUGCGUAAAAGAAGGUGGCAAAUGGAUGGCAGAACUUGAUCGAUCCACUAUAGCCACAGUAUUGGACUAGCCGACGAUGUCGUACAUUGCGCCUAUGAAGAUCACCUUGGACGGUAGCAAGCCCCGAAAGUAGCACAUCAUGGAACCUCAAGUCCAUGUCUUCGAGCACGAUGCUCCCAACAAAGUAGCAACGUUAAGGACGCCACCAUCAUGCCGGUUCAACUCCAAACCUAGGCUUUCACCCGUAGACAUCUACCAAUCCCAAGAGCAAGCUAAGGAGAUGCCGCCACCUCUUAGCGAUGCCUCCAAGGAAGGGAACGACACCCACGGGCGUCGUCACCGUCAGCGCCGACCGAAUACGGGGUAGAAUUUCUUCCAAAUCGCCACACAUCUUCAUCCCUGCCCUUUGGAUUGGGGCCAUACCGUCCAAGUUGACCACUCUGCCGCCGCGGCAACACUUCACAAGAGUAGCUGCGAUGUCGUGGACCACCGAAGACAUGCACAGGCAGGCAGGAGCACAUAGACCAACUACGAGCAACCCCACGAUAGAGAACUCGGAGAUCUCCCUCCCAGCUCAACCAAGGAUCGCCGAAACCACACACGACAACCUUUAAGGCAACUCCGACUGACUUUCAUGUCGCGGCCCUGUAGCCCAGAGGCCGAGAUCGGGCCCAUCCGACUUGCAUCGCCGCCUCCAUCACCCACGACCGAGGCACCUGGAAUAGACACAAUGUCGGAGGCGUCAAGAUUUAUAGCAUGCUCGGCAUACCUGGCCAAAUGGGCUGGGCUAAACAGGCCGGCCCGCCAGCCCGCCAAGAUGGCACGACACGGGCCCGGCCCGACAUGAUUUAAACAGACCGUGUCAGGCACGUGGCAUGCCUCGGGUCGUGCCUGGGCCUGAAGGCUGGGCAUGCGGGCCGGCACGACACGAUCCGUUUAUUUUUUUUACAUAUUUAUAAAUAUUUUUAAUAUAUAUACAUAACAUAUGAUCCAAUAGGCCUAAAAACAAACCCAUGAGGCUGAAAUUGUACAGCCCAACGUGCUAAUCGGGUCAACAGGUUGGUCCGUUUAGUAACCGGGCCAUGUCUGGGCCUGAAGAUGCAGCCCACGGGCUGGCACGGCAUGGCCGAAUUACUAAACGCGGCAUGCCGUGGCGGGCCGGUCCGUUUGGCCAGGUAUGAUGCUCGGCCGCUGCAAGGGCAGCCACCCUGUCCGAGCUAUGCCACACCACCAUGGCUUUGUCACGUCGUAGGCGUUUAAAAGACUGGAUUUGCAUGUUGUAACUUCAGAUGUCUAUAAGCUGAGAGAAACUUGAAUUCACUUGUAAUGAAUCCUUUAUUAUUCUCUCCGGAGAAAAAGAGAAAGAAGAGGGCCCACCAGGGGCGUGGGAUGGACGGGAGACUUGCGCGACGCACGUGCACCGGCCAACUCAAUUGGUUUGCAUACUACGGUGCUACAUAGGGCAUAUAGCAAAAGAAAAAGAAAAAGUACUAGCAGGAGCUUGCUCGUAGUCGCAAAACAGUAAUGACAAUAGAAAUACAAUCCCGGUUUAUAAAUAGCGUCCCCACCCGCGCCCCUCCUCCAUUGAGAAGGGACGAGAGGAGGAGAGGUGUAUCCCCGCCCGGCCACCCAAGCCAAAGCAUCCUCUCCCGAAUCUCUCUCUCCUCCCCUCUCAUUGCCUCC
rnacentral:lncRNA from 1 species